rnacentral:lncRNA from 1 species
CAGAAGACGGUAGAUUUUGCUGGUCAAUCUGAGGAGAUGAAUGUUGUAAUUGAGGGGAAGCAUGCUGAGGUAGUUGAGGUGAAGAAAUAGGAAAUGAAGGUGCAGGUUUCAUGUGUUGACGUGGGAAAGCUGUGCGUUGAGCUGUUGGGAGAUGUUGUUGGAAGACUGCUGGCUUAAUUCCAAUCCCCUGUCUCAUCUCAUUUACAUCAUUCAUCUGUUGCGGCUGUGGAAUUUGGUGUGUCUGCAUCUGUGCAGGCAACUGCUGCUUGGCUUGCUGGUGUAAUUGCUGCUGCUGCUGCAGCAUCUGUUGAUUCUGCAUUAAAUUCUGGCGUUGCUGCAUUCGUUUAAGCUGUUGUGUUUGUAGCAUAUGUUGUUCAUGCUGCUGCUGCUGUUUUAGAUGCUGGUGUUGAAUCAUAUUGGAAUUCGACUGAAGGGGCAUAUUUGGCUGCAUCAUACUCACCCCACUUUGUGUUGACAUUGUGUUAACAUUGGUUGGUUGGGAAAUGCUCACGAGAUUCUGUUGUACAGAUCCUACAGGUGUCUGCUGCAAUGAGCUCAGUGCAUUUCCUUGUCCAGAAUCUAAAUUGGAGCCUGGUUGUAUUGGAUUCAUCAUGUUUGAUUGUGACGUCGAAUCCCCAGAUAAAGUUGAAAGAGAAUUAUGCAGCAAGCUUGACAUAUUGUUCUGCUGCAUCUUUGGUACAGAACCUUGCAUAUUUAUUGAUUGCAACUGGGAAUUCAGUUGAUUUUCAUGGGACUGCAAUUGAGGAACUUGAGAUUGGGGUUGCUGCAUAGGUUGAAUAUGAGGUUGGGGAAGUUGUCCUUGCUGAAGAUUAGGAAUAGGCUUCCUGUAUCUGCUUGGGUUUAGAAAACCUAGAAUCUGCUUCUCAUAGGAACCCAAUUUCUCCUUGAAAUUAGGUGUGAUGUUGUUUUUAGGGACCUGUAAGAAUCCUAUCAAGCGCUCCAACAUGACCUUGAAUAACUUCAGCUUUUCAAGCUGUUCUGACUUCGGUUGUUGCGGAAGAGGGUCAUGCUGGAAAGCAAAGUUAACAUACACGAGAAUUAAAAAUUGCAUUGACCCUUUGUAGCAAAACUAGUAAAACAUUAGUGAAAAAAAUGUUUCUAUUCCAAUUCUUCUGUGUCAAUGCAUGGUUGUGGGGUGGUUGGGGGUGGGGGAGGUAAUUAGUGCAGAUGAUACAGUGACAAGCAAUGCCGAUGGGGAAAACAAAUUAAUACAAAAGCUCAACUGUGGGGGUUUAUGAAUCAUGUGUGGGAAAAUAAAUCGGAAAAAAUUACAGACAAUUUACCUGCUGUAACUUGGUAGCAAUUCUCUGGUACAUUUCAUUUAUUUCAGGCAAAUACGUUUCCUUCAUAACUUUGAUCUAGGAAGUACAUAUAACCAGCAAGACAUUAUCAAUCAUAUGCUUGAUUUCUUCAGGUGCCAGAGUCAGAAAGAAACAUAAGCAAACUUGAGAGAACUGAUAAAUAAAUAAAUAAAAUGGCAGACGACAGCAUAUAUUGUUUGAGAUAAAAAUAGCAGUGGAAUCAAUGCCGAAAACUCAAAAGAGAAUAUCGUUAUUGAUUGCAUGCAAAGAUGCAAAGGAUUGUGUAGUUACCUCUUCAGACAAGAUUCAGGGGUUGGUCAAGUUCAGUUACUUUGUCUCACAGCAAACUACUCACCAUUGUUUUCUAUUGUUCUAACUCAAGUCAAUGGAUGUCACGACUUUGGUAAACACUUCCUAGCUUUAUAACUUUGGAUUUACAACCCUUAUAUCCUAAUUAUCAACAACCACUCCUAUUCCCGUUUUAGUACCCUCCCAGGCACAAAAAAAUUGACCUCAUCAAAUAUGCAGUUAUGAAUUGCAACUACAGCCAUUAAAUGAUUCAGAAUUUCAACCUCGUUUUCUAUAAAAUUCAACAAUACUGGACAUGGUCAUGAUUCAAUGGAUUAGGUCCACUUAUUUUCCUUUCUUCCAUUGUCACAUGUUUCAGAACAAAUUUGAUUGUAAUCCUGAAAAUAACUGUUCACUUAACCAAAUAUAACGAUGACUAUUCAGAAACAGUUCACUCUUGUUUUCAAGUCGGUCUAUUACAGUAAGAAGUAUUGUCAAUUGGACUUGUUGGAAAUAAUAAAAUAAUAAUUCACCACACUAAAUGUAUGGAAAUACAGGGAAAAAAUUGAAAGGGAGAGAUUUGCAAUAGAAAAAAUUGUCGUGUCAAUACCAAGAAAAUAACCCUCUUGACCUAGAAAUCUGAAUAUUUUACCUUUAAUCAUCUUAUCAGUAAUUUAUCGUUUCUUAGUUGCUGCAAUCAUGGAACUUACAAUGCUUCCUAACUAAUCACAACCAUAGCUGAAUAAAACUCCCUUGUACCAUAUUCCAGGAGACCUUUUCCAUUGAAAUCUUGCAAGACUAUGACAUACAUGAAUUUCAUCUAAUGAACAGUAAACCAUAGAAAUUACCUUUUGGUAGAUCUCCUCUUGCCAAUCAGCACCAUUUGCAUGUCCAGUCUCUGCUGUAGAAUCUAGGGAUGCUACAAAAAUUUUGAUGCAGCCAACAAAAGAUUAGAAUUCAUGUAUUUUUUGAAUGUUUUCCGCACACAAGGGUAUUUCUGUAAUUUUCACACUUGCUGAAAAUUAUGGAAUAUUGUAGGUCUUGGUUUUAUUUCUAUUUAGUAUUUUAUUGUUCCUAAAGAAUAAGGAGCUUUAAUAGGUUUUCCCUAUCCUAGAUAGCACCAUUAGUAUUUUCUUACAUAGGAAUACAAGUCCUUUUUGGACUUGGAGUACUAGGAACUCCAUCUCAACGAUAUGUAAUCAUUCAAAUAAAUGUAUGUGUGAUUGCAAUGGUUCCAAUAGCAGUGGCAUUUCUGAUGCAAUAAGUGGCAGCCAUAGCUCAUAAAGCUACCUAAAAGAGCAUUACUGACUUGAACCAUUAUUGUAUUUUCAAAAAAUUUAAAUAAAUAUGUUAUAAUCUAACAUGAAAGCACAAAGCUGCAAAAUUAAAGUUGGAGCAAGGCUAGAAAGCUGCAAGGAUGAGAAAAACUUACUUGAGGACGUUUCUGGAAGGGCUCUUUGAGGUUGAUAUAACUGCUUUUGCUGAUCAAUCACAUUCGGCUGUUGAAGCAAGGAGCCUGAUGCUUGAAGCCUUUGCUGCAGAUCACGUUGUAAUGGAUUUGAUUGCUGUUGCAGCUGUCCAGGCUGUGAUUGAAUCUGUGCCAUCAAUUGCUGCUGUGGCAGCUGUGAGUGUGACUGCUGCCCUUGAUUCGGCAACAAACCACUUCCACUUUGUUGUGCUUGCUGCUGCAGCGUAACCUUGGGCUGUUGCAGCAUGUGUAGAGAGUGCUGAUUAGAUUGCAUGCUUGAGUUACCAGGCUGAGCUCCAUGCAACUGCUGUUGCUGUAAACCAGUGACAUUACUUUGAGGGGCCAACUGUUGCUGAUGCAUGCUUGAGAGGUUAUUUUGUUGAGCCAUUAACUGCUGCUGCUGCUGCAGAUUUUGAAGGUUAUUCUGCUGCCCUAGCAAUCUCUGCUGCUGCUGCUGCUGCAAGUCCCCAACAAUGUUUUGUUGUCCAAUUAACUGAUUUUGCGACAUGUUAGUGGUACUUGAUUGUUGCCCCAUUAGCUGCUGUUGUGGAGGCAAUAGUGGCUGCUGCAUCAUUGGUGUUUGCUGCUGAUGAAUACCAGCAGACUGUUGAGGUUGUUGCUGCUGCUGCCUAAGGACUGAUUGUGGAUGUUGCUGGUGCAUUGGUUGUGUUGACUGUUGAACAGAAGAUGGUUGGUUCUGUUGAAGGCCAGAGACAGUUUGCAUCAUUGAAGGCUGCAUAACAGUUGAUGUUUGCAAACCAGAUUGCUGAGAAGAUUGCAACUGAUUUGGCUGUAACAAAUUUUGCUGCUGCUGCUGGUGGAUGUGAGAUUGCACAAGUGAGUGUGGAUGAUUUCCCUGUUGAAGCUUCUGCUUUAAAAGCUGAUGUUGCAUCUGCUGCUGAUAAAGAUACUGCUGAGGAUUUUGGGACUGCUGCUGUUGCUGUGGAGGAACAACCUGUUGCCUGCCUGGCAUUUGUCUCUGAGAAUUGACAAACAUAUUGGGGGGAAUCCCUUGUCCCAUUGAAUUCCCCACUGGGUUCUGUGAAACACCAGAGAUACUCUGCAUGUUAGCAUUCUGUCCAACAGUGUUUGGGAUAGUCUGGGUUAAACCGGAGACAGAAGGCAUUGCUGAUUGUAAACCAGCAGAACUUUGAACUCCAUUAGAUGACAUACUAUUCUGCAUGUUCUGUGAUAACUGCUGACGUGCUUGAGACUGAUUAGAGGACAAUGAGUUAGGGAGCGACUGCCCUUGGUUGUGAACUUGAGGCGGCAUACUAUGAGAUGCUGUUCAAGAUAAAAGGCAAAAAGGAAAACCAUGUCAAAGGAAAAAAAAAGAAGGCAUUGAACAAGAAAAACAAAUGAAACAAUGACAGUUCACACGUAAAGUUAUGAGGGAAAUAAUUAAGAUGGUUUUACCUCAAAGCAUAAGUGUCAUUUGACUUUUUUUUUUUUUUUUGUUGUGGGGGGGUGGGGAGCAGAAAACAAAAAUAAUCUGUAAUUUUUUUUUGAACAUUCAUCAAUUACUCGACUCUUUUAUUAAAGCAUGGUAUAUACAUAGCAAAAUGCAGCAAUAAAAUGUAAAAGAGUUUGAUAACAACGCAAAAUACAAAACAAAAGGUAAGGAUGUUUAGAAAUCCAAUGCUUGGCUGCAUUAUUACCUCCUGGAUCCAGGGUUUUGUUACCAUUGCCAGUGGGUAUGGUAUUUUGAGACUUGGUCUCCAUUGUAAGCAUCUUCAGAGAUAUUUUACGCAGAUAAUCAGACUGAAAUCAGAUAUCAAUAACAAAACAUUAGAUCUCUGCGCAGUCCAUGUUACAAGAGAAGGGGGAAAAGGGAUAUAUGCUCUUUCUAAUAUGCUAGGCUUUCUGUAUUUGCAUCUUCUGUGAGGAUAUACUUCUGUGUCCUUUCUUUUUAUUUAAUUAUUUAUGUAUUGAUUCGUUAUUUGCAUUUUGCACACUUCCCUUGUACUUGAAAAGGACCUUGGUCACUCUAAAUAAAACACUUGUCAAGAGAAAUAACGAAAAGAUGAGAACUUCUACAGAAUGACCAGUAAGGAAGUGUGGACACACUACACACACGUGUACAUGCAUUAAUCCACAAACUUAUGCAUGUGUAUAUUCAUGUCUAGAGAAUAUCGAAAUCAUUGAACCUAGCAUUAGCCGAAUACCUGAUUGGUGGCGGCAGUAUAAAUCUUUUCCUCAAACCGUACGGCAAUUUUCUUGAGUUCUUGUAAUCCCUCUUGACCAGAAAACGGAAGAUGCCUCUUUAAUGUCUCCAUUCUGCACAUGUAAAACAUUACAUUUAAUUUUUAAUGACAAGGCAGGUAUAGAGAAGUUAGCAGCAGUGAGAAAGAACCGUGAACUCAUACACCACACCAAUAUCAGAAAUGUAUACAACGGAAUCAUUAGGAAAAAGUAAAAACAAAUAAUGAUAUAGCCAAGUGUCGGUCAAGUAAUAUAUGGCAUCAAAAUACACAUCUAUUUUUACUUCCUUUCCCCGUAUUAUUCCACAGGUACAGGGUAUAGGAGUUCACUUGGCCACCCUUAUGUUUAAAAUUCUAGCUAUGAGCUUCAUGGUUAAUUUUCUUGAACUGGAAGAACCUUCCAUUUAUGGCUAUGGCUAUGCUCCAAGAUAUAUAAAUGAAUUAGCUGCAAACCAAGGGAACUCUGUGAAAACAUUACAACAGCAUUUACUCUAAAUAAGAAAACCUUUAUACAUGCACUGCAAUUAACAAAGAAAAGAAGAGAAAUCCUUUUAAUUUAUGAAAAUGCAAUGAGUUAACCUUAUCUCACGCUGCAAUAUAUACUCAACAGUGCUCAUUGGCUACUGCAAAUGCCAACAGUAGCUGUCUAUAUGAAUUUGGAUGUAGAGAUAUCACCAAAACAUUCCACUUUAUACUGAGAAACUAGGAAACCAUGCACUAUUGUGACUAAUUGAUUUUUGUCUGCUGCUUUUGUACUUUAAGAUAACUAUCAUUUCAACCCUGUAGAAGUUAAAGCAAAUGGAAGGCUCAAAUCCAACACUGUUCAUUUAAGUUCAGUUGAUACUCAAGGUUGAAAUUGAAACACCAAUGCUCAUAGCAAUAGAUUAACCUUGAAAUUUAAAGCGGAAGAAGCUUCAUGCAGCCAUCCUAGAGGUCAUCAUCGAAAGAUGUUACACAAGAAGUUCCAACAAAAAUUACUUCCCAGCACUUUUUAUUCCCUCAAGUUCACUUCUUGUGAGAAACACGUGAAAAAUGAAAAAGACAAAAACAGAGGUGUAUGAUACUUGAGGUUGCCUCAUGGCAGUCCUGCUGAUUUUAAUUAACCUUUUUCCCUUCUCUUUUUCUUUCAUUUAAAUACAAGAUUUACUAUUUUGCAGCACUUGCACAUAUUAGGAAACAGAGACUUACAUUUUGUUGACUAUUCUUUGCCGUGAGUCAGGCUGCAAUUGAGUUCUCCAAUCACCUGUGUCCAUAACAGGUUCUCCGCCUGGGGCAGUGGGCCUCCAAUUAUUGGCAUCCAUGGGGUUUUGGCCAACCAAAAAAAUCACUUCAAUCACCAAAAAAAAAAAUAAUAAUUAUAUUGCAUGUUAGAAUAGACCCUAAAAAGAAAGUCAGGAACAACAGAAGAGUAAGAGCAUAUCAAAGUCAUGAAAAUUGGAAUGUCAGUUUAUUCAGACUUGAAUAGAUUUAAAAAGAACUUCCAUCCAAUAGCAUGUACUUUAUUAAAGAAUUCUACCAAAUAUGGAUGCAUAAAAUCUGAACAGCCAUAACAAAUAUACACGACCAUUCAGGGCAAGGUGCUAGGAUCUUGGGUAUUCAGGUAUUAUAAGCAAGAUUUGGGCCUGAAUCUUCAUGGUGCUUCUAAAACCAAGGAAGCAAAAAACUAGCCAGCUAGUUCAUAACUUGCCACACCAUCAGAUGGUGAGUGUUGGUAAACCAAGCCAUGGAGAAACUCAUGGUGCUUCAAUUUUAACUUGAUGUUUUCUAGCAACACUCGUGAUACAUCAUUGAUGCAAUGUUUACAAUGACAAACUUGCAUUUGUAUUCAUUCUGAUCAAAUAGAUAUUUAAAGUUCCAAAAACAUUGUAUACGCAUUUAAAUGCUUUACUUCAAUAGAUAGAUUGUCUAGGAUGUUUUAAGCUAGUAUAUAACAUCUUACCAAUUUAGAUUCAGCACAGGACCUUUUUCAAGUGCUUACCAAUUUUUACUCGCAAGCAAAUACAUACCGUCAAACCCCAACACCCCCCCCCCCGGCCCCUGUUCUUGUUAUUUAUGUAUGUAUUAACUUUUCUAACGUGCAAUAAAACAAGGCUUUUCAAUCAGCAGUACUCUAAAUACCCCAGCAAAUAGAACAUGAAGAGGCCACAAACAAUAACCCAUCUAGGGUUAUCAACCAAACAAUGAGUCAUCAUAAACUAUUAUUUUUAUUUUUUUCGCGUUAACAUGACCAAAUUAUAAAAUGUAAAGUCCUUUUCUUUCUUUCUUUUUUCCAUGUGUGAGCGAGCAUAAAACCCAAGGAUAUCGUAUUGUUGUUAAGAACACAAUAAUUUUGAAGAAUUCAGUAAAUUCCAAAAAAGAAGAAUCAACCAAACAGCUCAUUUUUCGGCCAUUCCGGCAGAAAAAUCUCUUCCACUCCAGCUGCUGCAUAAACUAAUUAACAAAUUAUCGAUCGAGCCUAAAAGAUUUGAAUUGAUUUCUAUUCUCCACUAAAAAAUAAAAUAAAAUAAAAUAAAAUAAAAUAAAUUUGGGUUCAAGAAUUCAGGGCUUGAUUAUUACAACAAUAACUGUGAGAAAAAUCGGAUAAUAUCAUGUAAAUUAAGGGGAAAAAUUGAAAAAGAAAAUAUUAGAAUCGGCUGAUUGUGCGUUUCUUUGAAUUGCGUUCACGAGCAGCGAUUUCAACGGAUCCGAUUAUAUAUUUUUUUAAUUUACUUAUUAAAAUCGAAUUGCGUUCACUAGCAGAGAUUUCAUCGGAUCGAUUAUUUUUUUUAAUUUUCUCAUUAAAAUAGAAUUUCUGUCUCUGAAUAAUAAUUCCAAUAGAAUAAAUGAAAACACCCAUAAAUUUUAAAAACAAAAACAUGAUAGAAAUAGAAGCACCUGGCAGAAAUCUGAAGCCUUCUUGGCGGCGGCGGUUUCCGAGAGGCGGAGGAGGGAGGGAGGGAGGGAGGGAGGGAGAGCUCUGGCGGGGAGAGGUGAGGAAUGCUGGACCAAAGUGAAAUGGAUGACUUUAUUCUUUUCCAGAUUCCUUCUAAAAAAACAUUAACGAGUAAACACUCGCUCGCUCGCUCGCACGCACGCAUAUGAUGAUUAAAAUUGGAGUUAAAUUCUAUUUAACUAGUGUCUGUAUUUUUGUUAAACAAACAGAUUAAUCCCUCAAGUUCAUUUAAAUAAUUGAUUGAUCCUUGAAUCACAUUUUACCGUUAAGUUAGCAGCACAAACUAAGGAAAUAUUGCUGACAGCUCAACAUUUUACUAACGAAAAAUUAAUGAAGGGACUGAAUUGUAAACAUAUUUAAACGUAUAGGGAUUAGUUAGAACAACUAGUUAUCACUGCCUCUGAGAAUUAGUAUACAGCUCAGCAUUUUGUUGAAGGGACGGGCAAAGGUACAUUUAUUUCCGUUAACUUUCUAAUAUUAGAUCUUGCUUCAGUAUAAUUUAUUAAAUUUAUUUUAAUAUAUUAAAUAAUAUAAGGCACAAAACAGAUCAUAAUAGAAUACAAUAAAAACAAGUUGUGAUAUAUUUGUUGCACAUGGCAAGCUAUAAAAUGUUUGAUAUACUCUUUGGACAUCACAAAGAUUGAUCAUUGUCUUGUCCAAAAAUUAUUUUUUCUUAAUUUUUAUAUUAUCUAUUAUUUAUUUAUCACUUAUUUAUUUUUUAAUUUGGAAAACCAAAAUUUGACCAAUUUUUAAUUUGGAAAACCAAAAUUUGACCAAUUUUAUUAAAAUAAAUAUGUACAUGUAAGAGUUUAAUUGCAAAAACUUUUUGAUUUAAGAACUAGAUUGUUCUAGAUGACAAAGAAAUUCUAGUAAGGACUAAAAUAUCAUAAAAAUAAAAUGCAAAGACUAAAAUAAAUGAUUGAAAAAAUCUCAAUGAUAAAAACAAAAUUAUUUGAUCUUAUCUUUAGUGCACCAAACAUAGAAUAAAAACAUAUGUUGUCUAGUUCAAUUCAAUCUAAUUAAACAUUAUUUGGUAUUUAUAUUAGUAUGUUCUUAUCUAACACAUUUUUAGUUUCAAUUGACAUCCAUUCAAUAUGGAAUUCCAAUAAAAACAAAUUCUAUUGGAAAAAUGUUCUAUCAAAAUAAAAGAAACGUGGAAAUAUACUUGUAUAUUAUAAAUUAAUGGAUAUACAUCAAAAUACUCAUAAUGUCAAAAUGCUGCAUGGCACCGUAAUCACAUGUCUUCUUCUUCUUCGGUUACUUCUAUUUUUGAAGCAAAUCACAAAAAAUAAUUAUUUGAUAAUUUAUAAAACAUUAUUUACUAUUUACGAGACCCACUUGAAGUUGCUUCUCCUCUUCCUCUGUUGUCUCCACUUUUUCAUGUGAACAGUGGAGAAUGUCUCUAUUAUUCCGGCUGGACUGGAUCCGGUCCAAAGCUAAAUAUAUUGAACCGGGUCCGACCUAGUAAAAUAAAAAAAUCAAUUUUUUUAUUUUUAAUUGUGUUUUAUUCGAAAAACUAGUGUUUAACAUUAUUCAAUGACACUACAUAAAUUAUAAGGAGAUUGCUUGAUGACGUAGCAUUUGCAGAAUUUGAUCGCAAUCCUAAUUUUGUUCCUGAUGAUAUUUUACCUGAUGUUGUUGCGGGCUUAAGAAACCAAGAAAACUGUAGUCCUUGUCGAAUGAAUUUCGUGCGUGAUGGAAUUGUAGAUAGUUUAAUGGAACAAUAAAAAAAUAUUUUAUAUAAAGUAUUACUUAUUUCAUGAUGUAAUAGCAGUAGUUAAAUCUAUAAUAUUUAAAUUAAAAACCAUCAAUAUUAAUAUAUAUAUAUAUAUAUAUAUAUAUUAAUUAUUUUAUAACCUCGAUUUGAAAAACAUUCUUAACUAAACACAUUAAACUACUUUUUGUUCAACCUCAAUUUCAACCACAAUUUUAACCAAACACUACUAAAAAAUGGAGUAAUUAGCAACGGACUAUUCCGUUGCAAAUAAGACUACAAUCCGUUGCUAAAACAAUUUAGCAACGGAAUCAGCAACGGCAAAAAUCCGAUGCAGAUUUGUCGUUGCUGAUUUUUUAGCAACGGAUAAAUCCGUUGCUGGUUUUGUGAAUCAGCAACGGAUUCUCCGUUGCUGAUUCAUAUUUGUAUUUAUUAAAUUAAUUUUUAUUUAUUUAUUAAAAUAACUUUUAAUUUAUUUAUUUAAUUAUUUAUGGAUAUUUUAAAAGUUGUAGAAUUUAUAUAACCAACAUAAAUUAAUUAAUAUUAAAAAUAAUUAUAUCAUUAAUAAAAAACAAAAUAAAAAUAAUAUUCAUAUUAUAAAAAUUUAGUUAAACUUGCAUUAAUACAAUUAAGUUCAAAUACAAUAAAAAAAAAAACAACAAAAGAUACAAUCAUGGUGCUGGUUGCGAAGACGAACCAUGAUAUUGUGGAUCAACACAAGAUUGAUCAGGAUAUAAAGGUCGAGGUAUAGGUCGAAAAAUUGGUUGAGAUGCGGGACCCAUAGGUGUCAUUAUCUGAGGAGCCAUAGGUGGCGGUAUUGAUGGAGUCAAAGGUGGUGGCAUACCUUGAUCAAUAUUUGAUGUCCCACCAUGGUAUCCAAGAUUGUUCACAAGAUAUUCUUUCAUGGAAUCCAUCUGCCGUUUCAUUUCAAGAAUAAAAUCAUCUUUUUUCUUUAUCUCCUCUUCUUUAUCCUUUAUUUCCUUUUGCAAUGCUCGAUACGAUGAACUGGGAUAUGAUGACUCCACCGAGUAGGAAUGUGAUGAAGAGCUUGUACUAACUUUUGAUUUUGGCAUACGAGGUGCACCAUAUACCCUACCCUUUGUAACUCCUCCUGAAGCCACACACCAAGCUGCUCCAUCAAAUGAAGGAUGAUUUUCCCGAUCAGUUCCAUACUUUGAAAUCAUCUCCUUUUUAUAAUUUUCCUACAAAUAAAAUACAUGCAAUAAUAAAUUAAUUUCAAUGUUGAAUAAUACUUAAGUUAUAUUAAGAAAUAAUCAAAUAAAAAUACAUACAACCACUUUUUUAGACUUGUUGUCGACGAAGCUACUAGAUUGCUUAGUAUUUUGAUGCAAAGCUGAAAAGACAUCAUCCCAUGGAGGUUCUUUUCCACCAGCUUCCUCUUGCUUUCAAGAUUAAUAAAUAUUAUAAAAGAUAAAUAUACAAAUUUUAAUUUAUUAUCUUAAGCAUUAAAAAAAAAUCCUUACCAUGUUAGCUCGAUAUGAUGCAAAUGACACUGUUCCUCCAGAAUGAGUGCUUAUUUUGCCAUCUGUUUUGGUUAAUCGAUUCCUCCUAGCAGAUUCAGAUCUCUUUUGAAAUUCAGGGGUGGACCAAACAUAUUUGAUCAUUUGAUUCCAGUCAUCAUUGUUUAUCCAGGCAGGACCUUUAUCAAGACAAUCUAUAAUAUUUGUAGUGUUUUCUUUUGACAUGGCUUUCUUGCGAGCUCGUGUCAAUUGUUGAUUCAAAGCUAUCCUAGCCUUAUCUUCCCAAAUAUUACGAACAAUCGACUCAUCUUCCUCAGGAAAGGAAUAUGUUUUCUACCAAAUAAUAUAUAUACCAAGUAAAAAGAGUGCACAAAAUUUCAAAUUAUAUAAAUAAUUAAUCAUAUUGUGUUAUCUUGUUCAGAAUUUGCAAGAUGAUGUAAUAACUAAAGAAAUUAAAUGAUAUUAAAGAGUAAACAAGAAAUAAAAACAAAUUAUAACACAAAUCAGUCAUAGCUAUUCAGUUGAUAAUUUUCAUAAUUCUACAUUAAAGUGAUCAAAAUUGAAAAGAAUAUUAUAGCAAUUAGUGUUGGUUCUUACCUUAAACUCUUUAAAGAGUUCAUCCUUGCACAUUGGAUCUACUUUUUCCCAAGAGUGCCAUGCUCCCUUAAAAUUGGACCUCAAAAUAUCUCCGAUUGCACGGCCACACGAUGCGUUAUUGAACCUGAAAAUAUAUAAUAACAAACUUAUAUUAAACAAAUAAUUACACAAUAAGAAGUAAUUUUUUUCAUACUUGAAAAUAUAACCUUAAUAAGUUAGUUAUUAAAAGUUUGAACUUACUCUGUUAUUCCAUACAAACAAAGCUCUUUUUUUCUUGUUAUUGGAUCUAUUGGCGUGUCAAAACCCUUCCUUUUAACACUUUGAUCAUAAUUGUAUGGAGAAGAUGUUGAACCGUGAUAUGAUGGAACACCAUCUUGAUCCUCAUCACAUACAUCUCUCUCAUCACAUACACCUCUCUCAUUACUACCGUCUCCCUCAUCUUCAUUUCUAAUGUUCACAUCAUCAUCAUUACCAUCAACUCUCCCAUAAGUCCCAUAUAAAUUAUGUCCUCUAUAAACAAGUUGGUUAUCUCGAGAGAAACCUCCUUGAGUUUGAAGCAAAUCUUGAAAACGAAAGCCGUCACAAUAUUGAUAUGCAUCUACCCUCCCAUAAUCAUGUUGAGGAGGAUGUGUACUCCCCAAAGUGGGUAUAUAAUACUCAUUUGCGUUCUGAUACACAGGUUGAUGAAAUGUGGAUCCUUUGUUAUUAUGCCUUGAUGUAGUUUGAAAUGACUUGGAUGAAGUGGACCUGUCACUCCUUGAUGUGGACCUGUCACUCCUAGAAUCUAAUAUGGAUCCUCGUCGAGGCAUGCUAAAAACCAGAAAAAAUAACUAAUAUUUAAUAUGAAUAUAUACAACAUAACAAUAAAUUAGCUCAUAGUUAAACUAUCAGGAACAAAAAAUUCACAUAUAUUUUCCCAAGACUGCCAUAACUAGAAUGAAAAUAAACUGUUAAAUAACAUUUUUUUCCCAAUUCAUUACAAACAAUAUCUAGUUUAUGAUGUUCAAAAUCAGUAUGGAUUGUCCACUUAAUACUCAUCACUCCGAAAAAUAUUAUACUUCAAAUAAAAUAAUUACUGUAACAAAACCAAAUAUAUAAAUAACAUCAGGACAAUUUCAUUAAGCAUUCCUUGCAAUGACAAAACUCAACCAUGAAGUUUAAAUUGUCAAAAGCCAAUUAACACAAACAAUAAUAAUUAAUUAAGCAGAAAACAAAAUUUAUAAGUAUGCUUACCUUAAUGUUUGGUCCUAUAAAUCAAAACAUUGAGUAGGAAGAACCCUUUCUUUCACACUUCAGCAUCUGUAAGCAAGAAAAUGAAUCACAAAAUAAAAUAUAACAUCAGAAUCACAAUUUAAAGAUUGAUACUUGAAAGGUUAUAAAUGGUUUCAAAGGUGAAUGAAAAUGAUUUAUGUAAUGUGAUGCAUAACACACACUUGAAUAAAAUAAUAAAAAAAAAACAUUGAAAGCCUAAAUAUUGUCAAAUAAUAUGAAAUCAUUCAUACAUAUAAUAAAGAUAAUUCAUUACAUAUACUACAAAAUAUAAUUAACUUGUGCUACUCAUUAUUAUCAUCAUUCCUAACCAUCACCACCAUAACAAUCAUCCUCAUCAUCAUCAUCUUCUUCUUCUUCACCAUCACCAUCACCAUCACCAUCACCAUCACCAUCACCAUCAUCAUCUUCUUCAUCAUCUUCAUCUUCAUCAUCUUUGUUUCCCCAAUUCAUGUCAAGUUGAAUCAAUUCAUGUUGCCCGAUUUCUUCAUAAUAAGAUGAUUCAACAAGUAUAUUUGGAUCAUCAAGUGUUGGAGUAGGAAGGACACGACAUGGUUGAGAAAUCUCAUCUGAUUGAUCAACAUCAAAUGAUCUCACAUUGUUGGCAUCUUCAAUAAAUUCACCCAUGUCAACAUUAUAACGACUUCUAGCAGUUGUCUUAAUAACCGUCCACCAUUCAGAUGAUUUAUUACCAGGUGGAUAUGUAUAGUAGACUUGUUGACAUUGUUGUGCUAACACAAAAUCUUCAUUUCCAUGUAGUCGAGAUGUAUGCUUGAUUUCAACCAAACCAUUCGAAGGAUGCACUCUAAUCCCUCGUUUUGUAUCAUACCAAUUACAUUUAAACAUAAAUAACUUGCACUUACUCCCCAAGUAUUUUAGCCGAACAACUUCUUUAAGCAUUCCAUAAUAAUCACGUUCAUUAUCAUCAUAGCAACUUCCUUUCACACAAACUCCACUAUUCAUUGUCUUUUUAAAACGGCCAUAACGUUGAGUAUGAAAUUUAAAACCAUUCACAUAAUACCCAUUAUAACAUUUCACUGAAGUUGAAGGGCCCAUAGCAAGUCCAAAGAGUUGAUUUUCAAUUCCGUUAGAUUGGUAUUCCACCUAGCAUAAUAGUUAACUCCAUAAGAAAUAAUGAUUUAAAAGAGAUUAAUAAUAUUUUUAAAGUAGCUAAUUGACAUAAAAUAUAAAUUAAUUUUAUUAAAAUACUUACAUUAUUUUUUAACCAAUUUGGAAAGAUCGUUUCGCAUGAUUUUUCUAUUUCACCAUCACUCGCAUAUGGUUGUUGUGACUUUAGCUCUUGUCGACAUUGCCUAAAAUUUUAAAAUGUUAAAGUUAACAAUAAAUUAUUAUAAAUUUAGUACAAAAUAAUAUUUCAUACUUACUCUAAAUAAGGCUUCAGUUCUUGACAAUUGAAUAUCACAUAGUUAUGCGCAAUUUGCAUUUCAGCAUGUGACAACUGCCUUUUAUAAAAUCUUUUGGAUAAUUUUUUCCCUGGAUAGGAAAAAAUAGAGAGACAUCCAUCUACACUUCUAAGGCCACCAUCAUCAUUCCGUGGAACUCGAUUCCAAAUUGUUUGCACAUCAUCACCAAAAUAAUGAGAUGCAAAAUUGGUAAUUUCAUCAAUCAAGUAUGCUUCACAUAUGGAACCCUCAACUUUAGCUUUAUUGGUCACUUUCUUCUUCAAAUAAAACAUAUACCUAUAUCAUUUCUGUCAAUUAGUUUAUUUUUAAAAAAUAAAAAGUGAAUAAAAUUAACAUAGUAUGAAAACAUACCGUUCAAAUGGAUACAUCCAUCGAUAUUGAACUGGUCCACCAACUUUUGCCUCGUAAGGUAGAUGUAUCGUCAAGUGUUCCAUGGAGUCAAAGAAGGAUGGAGGAAAAAUCCUUUCAAGUUUGCAAAUUAUUUCAAUUAUAUUCAUCUGCAUUAACUCCAUGUGCUGGGCAUUUAAAUUUGUUGAACAAAUAUCUCGAAAAAAUACGGACAGUUCAGUUAAUGCCUCCCACAGUGGCCUAGGUAAGUAAGGUCGGAAAGCGGUUGGAAGAAGUCUUUGAAUGAAGACAUGACAAUCAUGGCUCUUCAUCCCCGAAACCUUACAUUGUGCCUCUUUCACACAUCGUGAAAUGCUUGAAGCAUAACCAUCAGGAAAUGAUAAUUCCUUCAUCCAUGACAAAACUUCUUCUUGUUGUUUCUUGUGCAGACAAUAAGUGCCUUUAGGUUUGUAAAGCCGACCACUCAUAUCUUGUUGCAAAUGUAAAUUUGGCUUCUGACAAUACAAUUGAAUAUCCAACCUAGCCUUUAAAUUGUCCUUGCUUCUAUUCGGACAAUCCAUUACUGUAUAAAAAAUAUUGUCAGACAUUUUUCUCAAUAUGCAUGACAUCAAGAUUAUGACGAAUCAAAUUUGUAUGCCAAUAUGGAAGCUCCCAGAAAAUGCUCUUCUUCACCCAAUUGUGCUUAACACCAAAGCCAGGAAUUUUAGCAUUAUAUGAUGAACCUCCAUUAUGUCCCUCAGUGUACUUGGACACUUCAUUUAACAUUUCCAAACCAGAUGGACGAGGUAAAGGAGGAAGCCUUUCAAUUACUCCUUUCAAAAACUUAUCAUAUUGAAAUCUAUAUGGGUGGUUCAUGGGUAGGAAUCGUCGAUGACAAUCAAAAAAUGUAGUUUUCCCCCCAUUUUUUAAUCUAAAAGUCUUGCUAUGCUCCAUACAAUAAGGACAAGAUAAAUUUCCAUGAGUACUCCACCCCGAUAACAUGCCAUAUGCUGGAAAGUCACUAAUGGUCCACAUCAAAGCUGCCCUUAAUUGAAAAUUUUCCUUUCUGUAUACAUCAUAUGUUUCAACACCAAAAAACCACAAAUUCUUUAACUCAUCAAUCAAAGGUCUUAGAAAAACAUCAAGCUUUUUACCCGGAUUCUUUGGCCCAGGAAUCAUCAUUGUCAAAAACAUGAAUGGUCUAGCCAUGCACUUCCACGGAGGCAAAUUAUAAACAGUCACAAUUACUGGCCAACAAGAGUAUGUAUUUGAAGACAUGUCAAAUGGACAAAACCCAUCAGUGCACAACCCUAACCGAAUAUUUCUCGGAUCUGAUGCAAAGCUUAAGUGGACACGAUUAAACUCCUUCCAUGCCUCCCCAUCAGAUGGGUGCACCAUAACCCCAUUAUCAGACUUAUGAAAAUGAUGCCAUGUCAUAUCUUUGGCAUGAUAUGGAGACAUGAAUAGUCUUUGAAGCCUUGGUGUUAGAGGAAAGUAUCGGAGUUGCUUCUCCGCCUUAUUGGAACCUUUACUAGUUGGAUUUCUAGGUUUGUAUCGUGAACUUCCACAAAAAUCACAAUUUAUUUUCAUUGCAUCUGCCCCAUAGUACAACAUACAGUAAUUAGGACACACAUCAUAUUUCUCAUAACCAAGUCCAAGUGGCCGCAUAAAUUUCUUGGCAUCAUAAAAAUUUGAAACCAAAUUUUCAUCAUUAGGCAUGCAACUUUUUGUAAAGUCAAUGAAAUUGUUGAAGGCAUUCUGAGUCAAAUUUAAAGUUGACUUCAUAUUAAGCAAUUGUACACACGCAGAUAAUUUGGAUUGCUUGGUACACCCAUCCCACAACGGCUCCUCCGCAGCUUUCAAAAGCUUAAAAAAUUUAGUUGCCUCCGGAUUUGGAAUUUCCCCUGCUACCAUAGGACUAGACACAUUAUCAUUAUAGAAUGCAUCACCAACCCCCAUUGCAUCCAUAACCAGAUUCCUAUAUGGAUUCUCUAGACAAACAUCAUUCACAUCAUGACUCAUUAUAAUCGAUGAAGGUCCAGCCAAUAUUGGUUUUGCGACAUAAGGCUCCCCAUGUACAGUCCAAUUUUCAUAACAAGGUAAAAAACCUUUUGUCAAUAGAUGUUUACAAACAUCAUCUUCCUUUAAAAACUUUUGAUUUUUGCACCUCACACAAGGACAUCUAAUUUUUCCCCCAGAUAUAUUUUUAUCAAUUGAAAAUGCAAAAUUGAUAAAUCUUCUAACACCAGUAAUGUAUUCAGGACGAAGACGACCAUCCAUAAGACGACGAUACAUCCACGAUCGAUCAUCCAUGUUAAUCUAAUUAACAUGACAACACCAAUAAGCAUUUUUUGAAAUACACAUACUUCUUUAACUACUAGUACUUAAACAAUCCUUUAAAAUAAAAUAUGUACCACAUGAAUAAACUUUAAUUAUUUGUCUCUUAUCAUAUACAUUGUAUCUAUCUUUUAUGUCGUAGUGAAAUAAUAAUUAGAUAAUAAUUAUAAUACUGGUGGAUGAAAAUAUAAACACAUUUGUUUUAUAAAUUCUUUAAGCACAAUCCAAAUUAGUUAAUUUCAUGUACUAGUAGAUUUGUUGCCUUCUUUCUUCUCUUAAUAUGUAUGGAGCAUAAUAUUAUUGUUAAUUAAUUGACAUGAGCAGACCGUAAGAGAAAUGUUGUCUUCUCAAUCUCAACGUCACAAUAUGUUUCAAGACUUGACAAAUAGCACGACAUUUAAAUUUGCAAUUAAUUGAUAUAUUAUUCAGCCACCUCUAGGUUUCAUUUUGGUCUCAUAAUUUCCAUCCAAAAUAAACUCAAUAUCAGAUUUAAUAAAAGAAAAUCAUUCAAUUAGUUUUCUUAUAUAAACUAUCAAUAUUGUCCCAAUGAAAGGCAGAGUUCGAACUACUUGAAAAGAUUACAAUAGGCAUGCACAACAAAAAAAUUAUGCACGAUAUAAUUAAGCAACCAUGUAAAAAUGGAGCAAAAUAGACUUACCUAAGCCCCAAGAAUCAAUGGCACAAGGUGGAGGUUUUCUUAUUGCAACCCAAUCAGAUUUAGCGAACUCUAUUGGAUUAUAUUAUGAUCCAAUAAGCCAUUCAUAUUGCUGGAAAAAUAAAAAACAUAAACAAUAUGUUACACCCAUAAAGUUAUAACAAUUGCUAGUUUUUAAAAUAAAUCCAAGUUAAAUUGAUUCCAAGGAUGCGUCUGAGAGGGUGGAAAGACAUGAAGGGAAAUAAAAUGCACAGAGGGAUCGGAUGCUUGCUUUGUGUAAAAAGCUUGAAAUGAUCCAGAAGACAAGGUCUUCCAGAUAAGUGCUAGCUAAUUGGAAUCUGUUGGAAUUUAGCCGGAGAAAAAAGCAGACAUCUCCAUUUCAAAUGGGAAAUCAUUAAAAAAAAAAUACUAUUGAAUGCAAAAUUAAAGCUUGUCACCUUUCAACUCAACAGAAUUGGUGCAUUUAAAUAAAAACCUACCAUCCGGUGAGCUAGUCGUACACACGUAGCUAGCCUUUUUAAUGAAAGAAGAAAAAAUAUAAUGAGUUCAUAAGCUAUAACUCUCAGGGAGUCAAGAGAAAUGGCAAAGGGCGAAGAUAGAGGAUAUAUAUAUUUUUACGUGUUUUUUCAUUUUUUUUAAUUAAACAUAUUUUUAUCUAUAUUUUUAUCAUUUAAUUAAACAUAUUUUUUAUAUUUUUUUUAAUUUGCCGCUGAAUAUGGAUUUGCUUCAUGCUCUACAAAGAAUACAAUCAUGUAGCAUUGAUGAGAUUGCGCUUCUUGGCUUCAAAAAGAAGACAUGCUGAACAGUUCACUGUGAGUUGGACUCAAAUUUUCUUCACUGUUUACAAGAGAAAUUUCUGCAUGAUAUCAAUCAAAAGUAAACAACCACAUUGUUCGUUUCAGUCCUCAAAUUUCUGGUAUUGGAAAUUCAUUUAGUUUAUAUGAUGAUCUAACUACAUGCUUAGUUCUGUUUUUUAGAAGGCUUGCUUCUUGUUAUUUUUUUGGUGUAUUUGACAUUUGAAGAGACAUGAUCAAGAAAGAAAAGAAGUAGAAGCAUCUCAUGAGUAAAUUAAAGCAUCUCACGUAGUGGUGAGAAAUGUCCCACAUGUUUCUGGCUGGUUAGUAUUAGCCACAGUGGAACAAUUUUUUCAAACAAACCGUCCAAAUACUUAUCUUUUUCAGCAGGUAUUAUAGUUUUAUUACGAUUUAUCUUGACUAAUUUAUCUUUUAUUUUUUCUGUAAUUUUAAUUUGGUUAUGUGAAAAUGGUUUUCUUAUGGAUUUUAUGUUUGAAUGAUAUAUGCAUGAUUGCGAGUUCUCUUGAUUAAUUUUCUGACUAUUUUCACAGUAAUUUGAUUAAAAUGAAAAUAAUCUUUGCAUGGAUUUUAUGGAAGGAUGGUAUACGCAUGAUUGAUGUGCUUAAUGUUUCCUUAGCCUUAUAAUUUAUUGAAGAGAAUUUGAAUUUUCUUUUCAGGCCGUCUAACAAGUCUUUCACCACUGAAAAACACAUAAAUAAUUCAAGUUUCCCAAGUAAUAGUAAAAUUUAUUUCAUUUCAAUUUCAGGUCCAUCCAUCCAUGACCAAUAAACCUUUUAACUUUGUAGCUUGUCAAAUGAAUUAUAGUUUAUAUGUGUGCAAAAUUUUACAAAUUAGGACAUUCCAAUUGAUUUGAAAAUUAAUUCACGUGAGUUAUAAACAUCAAGUUCAAUGAUUGAAUCAGUGGUAGUCAGAUGUCAUGGAAUGGUGUAAAUCAUGGAAAUCAUACAAUUUUAGUGCAUGGUUGAUGAAAGCAAUAACUCCUAUUUUAAAUUCAUUUUUUAAAAAUGUACCAAGGACGUCUGAAUCAAUAUUCCUUAGUUGUAGUCAUUGGUAUGGUGGUUGGAUAGUUAUUUACCAUGUUUAUGAGCUAUGAAGGUGCACAUUCAACACAGAGGGGGCAAAAUAACGAAGGAAAAAAAAAGUAAUUCUUACUACCAUGAAAAUUAAAAGCCCUCAUCACGCAUUGAUUGUGUAAUCACUAAUUAUUAACUUAGCUAACUAGCCAAUCAUCAACAGACAUGUCAAUAAUUUUCCCUUGUAAGGUCAGUAAAAAAUAUAGAUUUUAACCUUCAAUAAUUAUGAAUAUUGGCCUAAUGAUUAAACAAGUAUCUGCUGCUAUCUUUAUCACCAAUUCUGUUGGUUUUUUAGGAGCGCAGCUUGAUUAAAGGAUUUUUUAAAUAAUUAAAAUGUUGCUAGAUAAUUACAAAAUACUUUUUAUAAUUUAUUUGUUUUUUCAUUUUGCUUCUAGUUCUUUAAAAAUUACACUUUGCAUUCUAAAUUAAUACAAUAAUAAAAUUACCAACAUAGCAAUCCCAAUUUCAAACCAAAACCCUAGUCACCCUUGCUAUUUUUACACAAUCUGCAUAUCAGAAAUCAAAGUUCUAAGUAAUUCUAAUAGAUUAGAAAGCUCAUUUCCAGGUAGAUUUUAUUGCUGGAAAUCAAAGUAAAGAAAAAACUUAUCCCGAAUAUAUCAUGUUAUGUUUUUUUUUUUUUUAACAAAAAUCAAGCAACCCCACAACACAAAAUUCAUUAAAAAUACACAACUUACUCUUGUAAUGUUCCCCAUAAGAUUCCACCCUUAAAUAUGUCCUUAUCACCUCUUACCCCAUUCUUUUUACUCUUGUAAUGUUCCCCCCCCCCCCACAGCUUAUUGUAAAAAGCAUUAAUUAUUAUUUUUUGAACUACCCACCCAAAGUUCUAAACUACCUUGUCAUUGAUUUAUAUUGUCUAACCAAAUAAUCAAAAUGGGAUUUGGGCCUCUAAAUGCCUUCAUGGUUUUCAAAUUAAAUAAAGAAGACCGAGGUUUAUUCUUAUUCUUCUUAAGAGGAAAAAUACCAAAAACAUGAACUUCAGGAAGCAAUAUGUAAAAGCAGAAAUAAAAAAGACAGUACUAUGCCCAGAAAAGUUAAUUUAAUAUAAUCCCAGCAUCAUGUUCACAUAAACCUCCAAAACUAGGAUCUACAAGGACAAUAAAUUUAAAUAUGAAUAAUCUUAUCCCAAUGAAAAGCAGAGUUUCAAUUAAUUGAAAAGAUUACAAUAGGCAUGCCCAGCAGACAAAUUAAGCAUAAUCUAAUUAAGCAACCAUCAAAAAAUGGAGCAAAUUUGACUUACCAAAGCCCCAAUAAUCAAUGGCCCAAGGUGGAGAUUUCCUUGUUGCAACCCAAUCAGACUUAGCCAACUCUAUUGAUUUAUAUUGUGAUCCAAUAAGCCAUUCAUAUUGCUGGAAAAAUAAAAAACAUAAACAGUAUGUUAAACCCAUCCAGCUUUAUCAAUUGCUAGUCUUUAAAACAAAUCUAAGUUAAACUAUGAAAAACAGAAAGAAUAUCCAAGUUAAAGUACUGUUUAGUUUUCAUAUUUUCAUGGCAAUUGUCUUCUCAUAACAAUUUUUUUUCUGAAUUGAAUAAGGAAAGAAAAAAAACAGUCCUAUGCCCUGAAAAUUUAAAGAUGCAUAUUUAAAUUUUGAUACAAGAGAAUCAAUACACACCACUUAAUCCCGUCUUUGGUAGCUAUUGCAAUAUCUGAAUUUUGUUUGCUGAAAACAGGAACUCCAUCAACCCUCCUGCUCCCAUAGCUAUGUGGAAUAGUCUUGAGAAGUUGGUGUGCUGCCUUGACCUGUGAGAGCAUAAAUCAGAUAAACAACAUUAUGAAUCUAUCACAAUAAAUACAACUUUGUUAAUACAAUGUGGUCUGAACAAAUGGUACCUGCUUUUAAUUUGGAACAAACUGAAAUAGUUGAGGUUUCUCCUGCAUAACACAGCAAAAUAAAAGGUGGAUUAUUCCAGAAAAUGAUACGAUAUUACAAAUAUGAAUAGGAUCGCAAAAUUUGAAUUUUGUCAAGGAAAAUAAGUGCGUAUAAGUUUUGCAACUAAAACUAAUAAUUGCAUAUUUUGAAAUAAUAUCUACACGAAUCAACAACCACCACAUCCUAGUCAGUUGGAUUGGCUGUGACUAAAAGGCAGCACUAAAACUCUGCAAGCAUGCUCAAUCAAAUCACAGCAAGAAAAAAAGAAAAAAAGAAACACUUGGACUGCUACAGAAGAAGAAAAUGCAUCACAGGUUAACCAGUUGCUAGACUCUCUAGAUUUUAACAGCAUCCAUACGCUGCUGUAACACUUCAAAAUUAUAGAAGUAGAGCAUUACAAUGUAAAAAGUUGAAGCAACAGGGUAGCAAGUUACAACAGGGUAUAAUAUUCAGAGCCAAUUUCAGUGGGGCAAAGAAGGAGUUAUUUAGCCAAAAAGCCUUGCUUUGUUUAAAGACAAUUAUAUGCCUGAGGAGAUGAGAAAAUGUGGAGAUAUAACAUUGGAUCUUACAAAACAGUAGUUUGAACAGAAAAAUACAUCCCACUUACACGAUGAUAUGAAGGUAUCUCAUGGGGGAAAACAACUAUCUACUGGCAAAAAGAAACCAAAGGGAAGCAAAAAUGAUUAUAGCUCAACUGCUGGGACAUCAAAAAAUUUAUGAACCGUAACCCUAAAAAUUAAAUUGGGGGUUUUGAUAAAUUUUCAAUUACACAUGCAUAACUAAACAUUUCAUAAACCCCUAUAUUAUCGAAUUAAUAGCCUAAAACCAUUAUUCAAAGUAUUGAAGAAAAAAAAAAGUUACCUGUGUUCUUGAGUUACAGGUGACCGAGAUCGUUCUACAGGGACAGAAAGAAACCUGGAUUGGGAAAGUUAGGUGAAAAAUUUUUAGUGCAAGUUAAAUUGCAACAAACAAAAACAAAAACCCUUAAUUACUUACCUGAACUAUUGAAGAAAACCGUGAAACACCCAACCCGUUUACAAGGAGAUACCUUAAAUCAGCAUGUCCGAUGGUGAUAAUGAUGGGUCUGGUUCGAUUUUGUUCGGAUGAAGGAGAAGAAGAUGAAGAAAAGAAAUUAGGGUUGCUGAAGACGUGAAGAAGAUGAAAUGUUUGGGAUAAAGGAAAAUCAAAUCGAUGAAGAGAGAUUGAUUUUUCUACAGUUAUGGAUCGAUGUUGUUAGGGACGAAGGAGACUGGAAGAGUGGAAGAUCAUUAAUUUCAUCUGUUGGUUUUGUUCAUUUCGUCUCUGUAAACAUGAAUGGUGUGGGGGGAGAGCAAUCCUGGUGUUAAUUUACAAAGCCAGCGAAAAAUAGACGGUUGAGAUUUAAUAUUUGUAAAUGUAAUCAACGGUGUUCGUAAUUUUGGUUUUAUAUUAAAAUUUAAAUAAUUAUUUUUUAAUUAGCAACGGAAAAUCCGUUGCUAAAUUCAACGUAAAUUUUGCAACGGAUAAUCCGUUGCUAAAUUCCGUUGCUGAUAUUAAAAAACUAAUAUAUGUGUAAUCCGUUGCAAAUCCGUUACUGAAUUUAGCAACGGAAUUAUCCGUUGCUAAAUUCAGAUGCUAAUUACCCCUUUUUGUAGUAGUGAAACAUGUAUAAAUGUCAAACCAACCCCAACCAAAAGUACUUUUUAUAAAACAACAGUUUUCAAAUCACAACCACAAAAGUUAACACGAUACGAAACACACUCUUCUCCUCGCAAUUGUGUUUCAAUUUAUUUAAAAUGGUAAGAGAACGGCUUGAACAUGACAGCUUGUAUGUUUCUAUAUGUUAUAACUAGGCAAUAUUUGGUUACUGUUAUAAAUAAAAAAGAAGAAGACCAUGAAAAUAAAGAAAAAAAAAAGAUAGAAAAGGAGAUGAAAAUAAAAUUAUGUUUGACAGUAACUAUCUCUAUAUCUUAUUUGAUAAUAAUAAACAAAAAAAAUAAAAUAUAAAAAAAUUAUUUUACUUUUAAUAUGUAUUAUUGAUAAACUUACAUAUUUAUACAAAUAAUUAGAUUUUUUUUUACUUUAGUUUAUAUUAAGUGUUGAAAUUAAUAAUAUUAUAAUAAUCCUAGUUAUAAAACCUAGACUGAUCUAAUGAAUCUAUUCAGGAUCUAGUCGUCUCUAAGCCCGGAUUAAUUUAAGUUUAAGAAAAGAUAGGUGAUUUAAAAAACUGAGUUGAUUCGGGAUAAAACACAAGACAAAACCUGUUAUUUAAAAAAAAACAAAUUGGUCAAAACAAGGUUGUGUUGAUUCUUUUUUUUUUUAAAAAAAAUUGGGUCAACUCGAGUUGACCCUCUCAACCCAUAACCUAGGCUUUGUCUCAGGUCGACUCUUGAAUCAAGUUUUCAAACUAUGAUAAUAAUUAUUUUUAUUCAUGCAUUAACCCUCCUAGCCCAAGACCUGAGCUAACCUCAGGUCGAUCUCUAAGUCGAGUUUUAAAACUAUUGUAAUAACCACUUUUAUCCUUACAUUAACCCGGUUCCACCAGAGUUGACCCUCCUGACCUAUGACCCGGGCCUUGCCUUGAGUCGACCUCCAAGUUAAGUUUUAAAAUUAUAAUAAUAACCACUUUUAUUUUUUUAUUGACUCGGGUCAAUGGUCAACCCAAACAAUGACCCAGGCCUUGUCCCAGGUCGACCCUCGAGUUAGAUUUUACAACUAUGAUAAUAACUAUUUUUAUUUUUACAUUGACUUUGGUCAACAAGGAUCACAUAUCUUUCUACAAGUCAACCCCCAAGUUGGGUUUUAAGACUACGAUAAUAACUAUUUUUAUUUUUACAUGUUUUAAUUGGGUAAUUUUGGAAUUAAAAGUUUUUUACAAUGAUAUUUUAGGAAUAAAAAAUAAUAUUGUUUAUGAAGAUAUGUCUUAUUUGUACUUUCUAUUUUGAAAGUAUAUAAAUUCACUCUAAAAUUAUCCCAUGAAAAAAAUUAUUUUUAUAUCUAUGUCUUUUCAACCAAACAUAUUUUUGUCUUUACUAUCUUUAUUCUUUUUAUCCCGAGAUAAUAACUAAAUGUUACCCUAGAGUUUAAUCAUGAUAUAAAUGUGAACAUCUUAACUUCAUAAAAAAAAGUCAAAUGAGUAAAUAAGAAGACAUAAAAGGGAAGUUCAUAGUAAUUUUAUAAAAUCAUAGUUAUUAUAUAUGGCUUAAAGCUUGAUUCGGCUAAAAUCCUAGAUCAGCAGGUUAUAGGUCAUCCUACUAAGUUACUGAGUUGAAUAGUAUAUCAAUCAUGAUAAUAAAUUAUACAUAUAAUAUUAAAUCUAAAUGUUUCAUACAGGUUUUGGUGAGUUGGUAAUUUUUUUGAGCCAAUAAAAAACACCAAGAUUCAAACAUUACUCUAUGAAUAUAUUUUUUCAAAGUCAACCUUUGAAUCAACUAGGUUUUGAUCAAUUGCCUCCACAAAUAGGUGAGAUAUCAUCGAGAAGAAAUCAAAGAUGAAAUAAAGCCAAGUUCAUCCUUGUCGGUUGUAGAUCUUUAGGUAAUGUUUGGUCAUUGUCCUAUAAUAUAAUAGAAAGGAUAAAAACAAUAAAUACAUAAAUAUAUUUGGUUGAAGAGACAAAGACAAAUACAUAAAAAUAAAUUUGUUUCUGGAAUAAUUUUGGAGUGAAUUUUUGUACUUCCAAAACGUAAGGUAUAGAGGAGACAUGUCUCUAGAGAAAAUAUUUAUUAUUUUUUAUUUCUAAAAUAUUUUUAUAAAAAAACUCUCAAUUUCAAAUUGUCCAACUAAGACAUAUAAAUGUAAAAAUAAUUAUUUUCAUGGUUUUAAAAUUCAACUUGGGGGUCGAUCCGGGGCAAAUUCUGGGUCACUGGUUGAGGCUUGAGUCAUGAGUCAAGUUGACCUGUGUCAGUAGAAGAAUAAAAAUAGUUAUUAUCAUAUUUUAAAACUCGAUUUGGGGGUCGACCUGGGCAAUUCUUGGGUAACGAGUAGGGUUGAUCAUUGACUUAGGUUAAUGUAAUGAUAAAAAUAAUUAUUAUCAUAGUUUUAAAACUCAAAUCAGGGAUCGACUCGGGAUAAAACUUGGGUCAUGUGUUAGAUGAGUUAAUCUAGAUUGACCCGGGUCAACAUAAAAUAAAGAUGGUUAUUAUCAUAGUUUUAAAAUUUAAUUCGAUAGUCAACUUGGGGCAAUGCUUGAGUUACAAAUUAAGAGAGUUGACCCAAAUUAAUGUAAGGAUAAACAUUAUUAUUAUCAUAAUUUUAAAAUCCGACUCGGGAGUCGACAGAAGCAAGGCCUAGGUCAUGGGUCGAGAGGGUCAACACAGAUUGACCUGAGUCAAUGUAUGGAUAAAAAUGAUUAUUAUCAUAGUUUUAAAACUCAACUCAGGAGUUAAUCCAAGAGAAGGUUAACCCGAUCAACCCAAUUUUUUUUAAAACAAAUAGUCAAAGAAACCUUGUUUUGAACAAUUUUCUUUUUCAAAAUAUUUAAUGGGUUUUGACCCGUUUUUUAUCUUAAGUUGACUCAUGUUUUUUACUAGGUCAGGUCGAGUUAAUCAUUUCUCUAUUUUUCUGAAACUUGGACGGCCUCGGGUCAACCUGCCAAGUUAAUCCUGGUUUUAAUACUAGGGUUAUCAUAAUAUUAAUAAUUUCAAUACUCAAUAUAAACUAAAGUAAAAAAAUAAAACUAAUUAUUUUUUAAAACAUGUAAGUUUGACAAUAAUACAUAUUAAAGGUAAAAUAUUUUUUUUAUAUUUUAUUCUUUCUUGUCCAUCAUAACCAAAUAUGAUACAAAAACAAUCACUUUGUCUUAUACAUUAUUAGUGAACACAAUUCUAUCUCCAUCUUCUUUUAUGUCUUGUCUCCUCUAUCUCCAUUGUCUCUGUCUCUACUAUCUCGGAUAGUAACUAAACGCUGCCUUAAAAAUAUACAAGUUUGUAUGCUAGUGCUAUACUGUGGAGAUCAAAAAAACUUUAAAUGUAAAACAAAAUAUCCAAGUCUAAGGGGACUCUUUGACAUUGUUAUUAAACUUGAAAAUAUAGUCGUUUUGAAUUUUUCUCUAUCAAGAUAAAAUUUUUUAUUAGCAUAGUUCUUGUUUUAUCUUGGUGAAUAUACAAGUUUUUUUCUUAACUAGAAUCAUUUUUUAUAUUAAAAGAAUAUUCUAUAAUUAUCAGAACAAAUUAAAAAAUAUAUCAAAAUAGUAUGUUCAUAUUUUUAUGUGUGAUUGAAAGUUAAAAAAAUCAUAAAUAUAAUAAAAUCAUGCUCAAAAUAUAUUUUAAAAUUCUAAGAUUAAAAAAGUGAUUUAAAUUGAAAUUUCAUGAACAAAUUUUUAUGUCAUAUACAUAACAAUUAAAAAUAAUUAUUAAAAUUCAAAUAAAAAUUUACAAAACAAGGCUCACGCAUCUAACCUUACUUUAUAUUUUUUUAUUAAACUCUGCUCGAAUGCUGGAGCUCUAUCAGUUAUUCCUCUAUUUUUGUUAUCUAAGCAUUAGCUGUUGAAAAAAAAAAACUGGAAACAUCCUCUCGUGGUUGCUAGGAGGUUGGGAAUCACAAAAAUUUACAUGACCGGAUGACAUAACAACAACAUCCUUGUAGAAGAGGUUGCCGAUGCAUUGCGGUUGCUGCUCAUUGCGAUGUCUUUGCAGAUGAAACCCACUAGCUGUUGAUGCAAAGCUUGUUGAAUUUGCCACAUGUUGAGCUUGAGCUUGAGCUUGCAUAAAAGCAUUAGCGUAGAUUAGUUGAGCCUGUUGCAGUGCAUACUUUGUUAACUGCUGCUGCUACUGCCGCUUUGAACAAGAUUUUGAGGAAAUGCAAAAGUGCAUUAGGUAACUUGGUGCCCAUAGAUGAUGAUGAUGAGAUGUGGUCCGAAUAAACACUUCCAUUACUAGUUGUUGGUGUUUCACUACGAGUGGAAGCUGCAGCUGCAAAUUGUUGACGCUUCUGAAGUUGAAGGAUUUGCUGACUUCGUUGCUGCUGCUGCUGAUUCCACUGCAUCUGUUGUUGUAUACUUGGUGCAUUUACACUGCCAAUAGUAGCUGACAUAACAGGGCUUGAGGUCCGAGCAAGAGUGGACCCAAGGUUAAGAGUUCGGGCUGAGCUAUCAACAACAUUGUUCACAGGCAUUGUUGAAACAGAGGAGUCUGUUAAAUCUAGCCGAGAGAACACAAUUGACUGCCCACCAGUUAAUGGGGUCUGUCCUCCAACCAUAUCGGCCUUCCUCUCUCCUUCCAUAUUUGAAGUGUCAUUUCCUCCAUUUUCCCCUUCUUCAGGCACACGGUAAUUCAUCUGCUGUGUUGCUUGGGCCGCAGUGAUGAAGUGAUAGCCAUGACUUGCUGUCUCUGGAGGGCUUUGGAGAAGAGCAUGAUUCUGUACCAUCAAUGAAACAUCAAGACCUGGGGAAGUUGUGGUUCCGUUGAUGGAGCAAAUGACAUUGCAAAAGGAGGAGGUGUUCGUGAGUAACAUUCUGAUUUUGCAUCAGCUGCCGCUGCUAGUUCGGCAGGGAAUGAUUCUGCUGAUGAUUCUGUAAUUGGUUGGAUCUUGAUGACCACUGCUGAUUCCACCUAAUUCUGCAAAUGCUUCUGGGAUGACGAGGAGCCACUAGAAAUACGUGGAUUUUGAUGACCCUGUUGGCUUUGCUGUGUCUGUAUGAAUGGUUGCUGUCGCUGAAGCUGUGAAGGAUGAAGCAUUCAAGAAGAAUAAAAUUGAUCCAUUGAAGAAAGGCAUAGCCUAAGGAUGGGUUCCUCUGUAGGCUAUUGUGGCCCCCAACAUGUUCAGGGAUUGGAAUCUCGUACGCACCAUUCUACAAUUUUGCCAGGGAAGUUAGGGUAGAAGCUCAUUGUUGUAGCACCAGUUAUUGCUGAUGUCGUGGUAUUUAUUGAAGCAAAACUUUAGCUACUUGAAGAAGCUCCAUUGCUAGCAACAGGGGAAGGCCUCCCACUGGCUGGUUGGAUAGAAGCUUUUACUGCUGCAGUAGCUACAGGGGAGACAUGAUCUUCAGGUGGACUAUAAAGUCUAGGAAAUUGAACUGCAAGACAAGAAUCUACCAGCCAGACAUCAUUCCAUAAGUUAAUAUCUCUACCAUUGCCAACCAAACCACAAACUUCUUUCUUGGCAAUAUUUUGAAGUCCCUCGUUCUUAUAAAAAGUAAUGACAUGCCUAGACCAUGUACUACCCUUUAAAUGAACACAAACUAAAGGCAUGUUCAAAUAUGCUUUUUGGUUGUGGAUGUUGUAGAUAACAUCUUUUCAUAGUCUUGUAUUAGACCUCCCAAACCUCCAUAGCCAUUUGAAAAACAAGGCUUUAUUUUUAUCAAUAAUGCAGUCUAUACCCACCUUUUUUGUUUUUUUGGAGGAACCACUGAUGCCCAUUUAACAUUGCAUAGUUUUUUCCCUCCUUCCUCCUGAGAACCAAAGAAAGAUAUGAUAUGUUUCUCAAUUUUGGUAGCAACAGUGGAUGGGAUAGGAAAUAAAGAAAGAUUAUUUAUAAUUGAGUUAAUCAAGCAAUAGUUUUCCAAACGGAUGUAUGAGAUGAAGAUGCAUAAAUAGGCAGACCCAAAUACUUAAAUGGCAUCCCCUCCAUCCUACAUAUUAGAUUGCUAGCAGUUGAAGAAAUAACAACAUCAUCAAUUCUAGUUCUAGUGAUUGAGCUCUUGUGGAAAUUAACCUUCAGCCUAGGAAUCAACUCAAAACAUCACAUCGUUCUUUUGAUGUUUUGAAGAGAUGGAAAAUCAUAUGAACUGAAGAUGAGUGUAUCAUCUACGAACUUGAAAGUGACCAAAACAAAUUCCUUUUAUAAGUCCCAAAUCACAUCUGUUUUAAUUUUAGCAUUCUACUAAGACCCUUAGUUGCUAUAUUGAAUAAAGAUGUUGAUAAAGAGUCCCCUUGUCGCAAUCCCUUUUCGAUAAAGAACUAUUUAGUUGGAGAGCCAUUCACAAGAAUUGAAAGUUUUGUUGUCGAAAUACAUUAUUGUAUCCAUCAUCUCCAUCGUGAACCAAAACCCACACAAGCCAUAACUGUGGAAAUACCUGGGCAGUAAUUGAUUCUGCCUUGGGGGUGCAGGCCAAGGAUUGGGGGUUAGGCGAGUGGGUUCUCAACGCAUCUUUGUUGCCUUUGAGAAUCAAGGUUGGUUCAUAUUAUUGUGUUAUACUAAAAUUAAAAAUGAAGAAAUGGCUGCUGUUUAACGCUACUUAUUUUGCUUUGAUAUUUCUCUUGCAGGCUUCGGAGUGUUGAAGCCUUGUAUUAAUUUUCGUAAGUUCUCCAACUUUAGAAGAACUUAGCACCACAUAGGUAUCCUUUAACAUGAAAACCUAUUGCUUAGAUUAAAACUCUAUAAACGGCUUUUUUUAAUUAAAAGAUAUGUUGAUAAAAAGAUGAUGAAUUGUAUCUAGAUGAAUAAUGGUUCGACUAUUAAUAUACUACCUUUUAAGAUUAUAAAAGAGCUUUGAAUUUAUAUUUAUGUUUAUAUAUAAAAAACAAUAUUGUUUUAACACAAGCAUAUUGAUCCAAGUUGAUCUUGAAUCUGAUAAAAAACGAUGAUACAAAUCUUACUCUAAGUUAACCCCCGAGCCGGCCUAACGAGGAUUGUUUGGAAAAAGAUUAUGAAAGACCGCCAGUAUGCACCAGGAAAUCACCAGGAAAUUACGGCAUGGUUGUGUUUAAAAAUCAAAAUGGUACACAGCAAGUCAAGCAUCCGCGUUCACGACAGUUUCCAUUAGAUAUUCAAUAAUUUAUAUAUUCUUUUUGGAGAAGCGACUCAUUUGCACACCCUUGUUGUAGUUUUCUAUAUAUUCAAUUUCACACCCCAGUUGCCACCCUGCUUUUCUUUCCAUUCACCCCAGCACUUCGACAAUAAUUGACUCCCAGUCAAUAAGGCACAUAACUAAUUUGAAUAUUUUUCCCAACCUGGCGAAUAGACUAAGUGCUAAACAAUAAAAUAAAAUAAAAUAAUAUUCAAAUCCAAAAAUAUUCCAAAAAGAAAUGAAAUAAAGAAAACAUCUCAAAACAUAGAACCUGCACAAGAUGUGCGGAUAAAGUCAUGGAAAUGGACAAGGUGUAGUAUAAAUAGGACCUCUAUGGUUGCCCAAAGGCACAUAACAAACAACAAUAUUCUACGUAGUAGUUCAUAGAAUUAUCUACGAUGAUGUUGAAAAUAAUGGGGGCUUGGAUGUUGCUAGCAUUGUUGACUUUGGUUGGCGAAUGGCAUGGUCGUUGUUAUGGGUGUUUGCAGGAAGAGAGGAUUGGUCUCUUGGAGAUCCAAUCUUUGAUCGACCCAGAUGGCUUUUCCUUGCGAGAUUGGGUGGACAGUAGUAAUUGUUGUGAGUGGCCUGGGAUCAAGUGUGAUAACACUACAAGGCGAGUGAUCCAGCUCUCUCUUAGAGGUGCAAGGGAUUUCCGCUUGGGCGAUUGGGUUCUCAACGCAUCUUUGUUUCAGCCUUUCAAAGAAUUGCAAAGUCUUGAUUUGGGAGAUACUGGAUUGGUUGGUUGCAUGGAGAAUGAAGGUUAGUUCAAUGUUUCUGCACUUAAUUAUAAUAAUAAAAUAAAUGAAGGUUGGUUGGUUGGUGUUUAAUGUCAAUUAUCUUGCUUUGAUGGUUCUCUUUCCAGGCUUCGAAGUCCUAUCAUCAAAACUGAGGAAACUUGACCUGAGUGGCAAUCGAUUUAAUGAUAAAAGCAUUUUGUCAUGCUUUGACUGGGCUUUCCACCCUCGAGUCUUUGGAUCUAUCAGCCAAUGGGUUGACAGCUGGAUCAGGUAGCUUCUAUGGUAACCUUUUAAUUAUUUUUCUUUGAAACAUUCUUCUCGUAUGAUUUUUUUCUAUGCGUUUAUUUCCUUCCAAUAUGCUUUUGAGAAACAUCAUGCAGGUUUCAAGGUCCUGUCAUCAAGGUUGAAAAAGCUGGAGAACCAUCUCUAACUGGAUUUUCAUCUCUCAAGUCUUUGGAUCUAUCAGAUAAUGGGUUGACAGCUGGAUCAGGAGGUAGCUUCUAUGGUAACCUUUUAAUUAUUUAGCUUCGAAACCUUUUCUUUUCUCCUUCUCAUAUCAUUCCUAUGCUUUUGAGAAACAUCAUGCAGGUUUCAACGACUUGUCAUCAAGGUUGAAAAAGCUGGAGAACCUUGACCUGGGUUGGAAUCAUUGCAACGAUAGCAUUUUUCCAUCUCUAACUGUAUUUUCAUCCCUAAAGUCUUUGGAUCUAUCAGGCAAUCAGCUGACAAGAUCAGGUAUAAUACACAGUUUCUAUCUACCUAAAUGCUUCACAUGACAUUCUCUUCAUUAUAUUGUUUCUUUAUCAAGAAAAAUGAGGAAUUUAUAUCCAUGCAAAGAUCAAUUUUGUCACAACUCGAGUUCUAGAUCUAUAACCGACAAUGUAGAAGCGGUGUUAAAAGGACAUUCUAUUUAUGCUAUGUCGUAUAACAAACAUAUUAAAAGAAUAAGUUAUUUAAAAAUACAUAACAUUUCAUAAUCUUAAAAAAUAUUAUAUUAUUUAAAAUUAAUAAAACCAAAUAAAAAAUAAUUAAUUUAAUGAUAAUUAAAACAAGAAAGAUAAUCAAUAACACUCAUUAUAUUAUCAUGAAAAAUAAAGAUUUUAUAUCUAUGUGAUGAUCAAUUUAAUGAUAGCAUUGUAUCAUGUUUGACCAUCUUUAACGACUUUAUAUCCUUAAUUUUUUUUUUCAAUAAGAUCAAAAUUAGAAUGAUUAAAAAUUAUUUCUUAAUCUUUGAAGUGUACACAACCUAUUAUAUAAUUAAAUAUGCGUUCGUGAGCUCAUUAUAAUUAAAUAUAGCAUUUUAUCAUUCUUUUUAUGUAUAAUUCGAGAAUCAUAUAUCAAUUGAACAACAGCAUCUCAUCAAUUCUAUUUAUCUUUAGUUUCUAUCUAUUAUGCAUAUCGUGAUUAUGACUUACUCUUAGAAACAACUCUCUUGCAGGUUUUGAGAUCAUAUCAUCACAUUUGUGGAAACUCGAGUCAUUAGAUUUAUCACGCAAUCAGCUGACAGGAUCUAUCACUAGUAAGUUACAUUCUCUUUAUCAAGAAAAUUGAGGACUUUAUAUCUAUUUAAUAAUCAAUUUAAUUAUAGCAUUUUAUCAUGUUUGACUGAGCUUUCAUCUCUAAGAAUUUAUAUCUAUAUUCUUUCAUGUAUCAUUUUAAUAUCUAAAAGAUACUUUCAUCACUAUUUUGAUUAUUUCAAGAUAAACUGUACAGGUUGGUGUGAAUUGAAGAAUCUAAAGCAGUUAGAUCUCUCUGGAAAUAAUUUAGCAGGUUCACUCCCAGAUUAUUUGGGAAACUUGUCAUCUCUACAACUGUGAGAUGUUUCUGAAAACCAGUUUAUUGAAAAUAUUGUCUCUAGUCCUCUUACCUACCUCACAUCCCUUGAAUUCCUCUCACUAUCAAAUAACCUCUUUGAAGUUCCCACUUCAAUGAAGCCUUUUAUGAACCACUCAAGCCUCAAGUUCUUCUCCAGUGAAAACAACAGACUAGUAACAGAACCUUCUGCCUUUGAUAAUUUGAUUCCAAAGUUCCAACUAGUUUUUUUUAGAUUGUCAAAAACAACGAAAGCACUCAAUGUAGAAAUUCCUGAAUUCCUCUAUAACCAAUAUGACUUACUAUUCCUUGAUCUCUCCCACAAUAACAUCACCGGAAUGUUUCCAUCAUGGUUGCUUAAGAACAAUACACGAUUGGAGCUGUUAUAUCUGAGCGAAAACGCCUUUGUUGGUACUUUGCAGUUGCAAGAUCACCCAUAUCCGAAUAUGAUCGAAUUAGAUAUAUCCAACAAUAACAUGAGCGGUCAAAUUUCAAAAGAUAUUUGUUUGAUCUUUCCAAAUCUAGACACCUUAAGGAUGGCUAAGAAUGGAUUCACAGGUUGUAUUCCUUCUUGUUUAGGAAAUAUUAGCUCUUUGAAAAUUUUAGAUUUAUCCAACAAUCAAUUGUCCACGGUAAAACUAGAACAACUAACAACAAUAUUGUCACGACCCGAAUCCCGGAUCCAUGACCGGCACAUAGGCAAGGUUCCCCUCCAGGGUUCCAUACCUAUGCGAACCCAAACUUACACACAAACUUAUCCUAACUCAAUCAGAGUUCAACGCAGCAUUAAUAACAAAAUCAACUUCAUAAUAUAAUUGAAUUGUCUUAAUACAAGAGUUUAUAUAAGUUCAGAGUUUUGGAGCACUAACUAGACAUAAAGGAAAAGGUACAAAUUACAACAAAAAAACAGGCUCGAAAGGUUCAACAAAAGUGACAUGCUAUCAAGCUAUAAGCCUGAAAAGGAUAAAUAAUGAGAUGGUGAGUUCAACAACUCAGUGAGUAGAUAACGUUCAAUAUACACACACGAGGUAAUACAACAAUGAGAAAUAUAUAUACAAGUAUGGCUUUAGGUUCUUAUGGAAGUGUUCUCAAAUUGACCAUAACAAGAAUGUCAUAUGGUAAAACUCGUCAGAAAAUCAAAAUGCAAUGAGCAUGAGGCUCCGUAUUGUGGGAUGAUCAGUCCACACAGGUUGGUGACUCCCCCGAGCAACUAGGGUUCAGAUACGAUAUGCACAAAGACUAACACUACCCUGUUAGCAUGGGUAUUCUGACUGACAUACCAUAGGUNNNNNNNNNNNNNNNNNNNNNNNNNNNAACAGACAUAUUCAUAUCUUAAGGCUCAACUCAUGACAUCAAUCAAAUGAGGAGCUAUCAAUUCAGAAUUCAAUUCAAAAUAUAUACUGGUUCAUAUCAAGAAUUCAGAUUCAACAAUUGAUCAUGCUUUAUCAAAACAAGGAUAAUAAUCAACAUAUAUAUUAUCAAGAAGCAUGAUCCAAUUCAUAUUAACAAAUCAAAUAUUUAUAAUAUUUCUCAUGCAUAUGGAAAAUUAUCCACUCACCUAACUCGAAAGCAACAAAACUCAAAGCUGAUAUCGAAGGAAAUCCUAUUGACGUCCCGCCGGUAGAAUAUCAGGAUUAUCUGAAUAUAGAGGAGACAUAUUCAAGAAUGACUCAAAAGAAUAUAUAACCUAUUUAAUACACUUAUCUAAGGGUGUAUUCCAUAAUCCUAUAUAUUUUUGAACUCACUAGUCAAUUUUCUCAAAAACCCAAAAAUCUAACGGUUUUCCCGAAAUCUAAUCCAUAAUAAAACAAAUAAUAAAAUUGGCAAUAAUUCACUAAAUAAACCUUAAUUAUUCAUCAAACUAAUCUGCAAAAUUUAAUAUUACAUCUGGGGACUAAUCUGUAAUUUAUCAUAUUUUUAAGGGUCAAAUUGCAACUUUUGUCAAAUUGAAGGACCAAACUGAAAUUGUCAUAAAUCCAUUACUAUACUGAAAUUCUGACCAUAAUUAGUCCUCAUUUCUGUCUAGAUCAUCUCAUUAUAAUCCAAGGACCAUUCUGGAAUUUUACCAAAUUUUUAGGGUCAAAUUGGAGGACUAAAUUGAAAGUGUUAAAAUUUCAUAACUAUACAGGAAUUCUGCCCAUAAUUCAUCUUUUAUUCUGUUCAGAAUCUCGGAAUAUGAUCCAGGGACCAAUCUGUAAUUUUCCAAAGUUUGGGGACUAAACUGUAAUUUUCCAAAAUUGAGGGACCAAACCGAAAUUUUGUCAUCUUCAACCUCCAACCCAGAAUUUUAACAGAAACCUACUGUCCUCUCCAAAUUUCUAACACAAUUUCACCAUUCAAACAAAAAUCAUAACUCAAAAUCAUCAUCUUUCAAUUCAAUCUCUCAAAAUCAACCAAAUAAUCAAAUACCCACAACAAUUAACCCAUAACAUUCAACUUAAUUCAUCAAUUAACCCAAAACACAAAUUUUCAAAACCCUAACAUUCAUCAAAACUGAAAUUAAAGCUUAAUUAACACAUAUUUAUACAUAAUCUUACCUUUAAACUUAUUUCCUUCAACUCCUUUCUAUUUCCCUUCUAAUUUCCCUCUUUUCUCUUCUUCUUCUUCUUUCUCCCUUUCUCUCCUGCCGGUUCUCUCUCAAAAUUCAGAUCCCUCUUUCCUUUUUUUUUUUUUUACUUCCUAUUUAUAAUUAUCAUCUCUUUAUUCAACUACUACUAUACCUCUCAUUUAAUUUAUUCCUACAUCUAAGCAUUCAAGGGUUUUAUAGCCUUUUCCUAUGUCUUUAUAUUCAAAACAUCACAAAUAUGGUUUCUCGACCUGUCAAACAACAAUUUGGGUGGGAAAAUACCGACCUCGAUGUUCAAUUCUUCUACCUUAGAAUUUCUCUACCUAGGUGGUAACAACUUUUGGGGUCAGAUAUCAGAUUUUCCAUUAUAUGGGUGGAAAAUGCUUAGAGCAUUGAAUUUGAGUAACAAUCAAUUUUCAGGCAUGCUUCCAAGGUGCUUCGUAAAUUCUACGUGCCUUACAACAAUUGAUUUGUCCAAAAACCAUUUUAAAGGUCCGAUCCCAAGAGACUUUUGUAUGCUUAACCAGCUUGAAUAUUUGGACCUUUCUGAAAACAACUUGUUUGGAUAUAUACCAUCUUGUUUCAGUCCACCACCUCUAAUCCAUGUGCAUCUAUCCGAAAAUAGAUUGAGCAAUCCAUUAACAUAUGGAUUUUAUAACAGCUCUUCCUUGAUUAUGAUGGAUUUUCGAGAUAACAGCUUCACCGGCUCCAUCCCAAAUUGGAUUGGCAAUCUUUCAUCAUUGAGUGUUCUUCUCCUGAGGGCUAAUCACUUUGAUGGUGAGCUCCCUGUUCAGUUAUGCUUGUUAGAACACUUAAGCAUUUUAGAUGUUUCACAAAACCAGCUCUCUGAUCCACUACCCUCCUGUUUGGGCAAUCUUACUUUCAAGGAAAGUUCCCAAAAAGCAUUCGCGCAUCUCGGAGUUGUUUUUCGAUCAUCGCCCAUAGAAAAAGCUUAUUAUGAAACAAUGGGUCCGCCACUAGUGGAUAGUAUGUAUAAUUUGAGAAAGGGUUUGUGGCUUAACUUUACAGAAGUGAUCAAAUUUACAACUAAAAAUAUAUAUUAUGGUUACACAGGGGAAAUUCUUAGCUACAUGUCUGGUAUUGAUCUCUCCAAUAACAACUUCAUAGGAGCAAUCCCACCAGAAUUUGGAAACUUAAGUAAGAUACUGUCAUUAAACUUAUUACACAACAAUCUCACUGGAUCUAUCCUUGCAACAUUCUCAAACCUAAAGCAGAUUGAGAGUUUGGAUCUUUCUUACAACAACUUGAAUGGUAUCAUCCCUCCACAACUUACUGGAAUUACCACACUGGAAGUUUUUAGUGUGGUGUACAAUAACUUGUCAGGUAAGACACUCGAGAGAAAAUAUCAGUUUGGGACCUUCGAUGAAAGCUGUUACGAAGGAAAUCCUUUCUUGUGUGGACCUCCAUUGCAAAACAAUUGUAGUGAGGAAGCAGUGUCGUCGCAGCCAGUGCUUAAUGAUGAACAAGGAGAUGAUGGUUUCAUAGACAUGGAGUUUUUCUACAUCAGUUUCGGUGUAUGUUACACAGUUGUGGUGAUGACGAUUGCAGCAGUUCUCUACAUCAAUCCAUAUUGGCGACGCAUGUGGUUGUACUUCAUCGAAGAUUGCAUAGAUAUUUGCUACUAUUUUGUGGUGGCUAGUUUUCGCAAGUCCUCCAACAACUUCAGAAGGUGAAUUUGUUACUGGGGAGAUGGUCGACGUUCCUAGUUUGGGAUGAUUGUAUGUCCUCAGCUAUUGGGUGCUUAAUUUGUAGUGUACUGUCUCUAAGCUCAGCCUUUCUAUUUGAUUAGUUAUUUGGGCUAAAUAUAUAAGAUGGACUUCUCAUUCCUGAACCAUUAGGAAGGGAACUGAUUUAGACUGGUCAUUAACUCGGCUGUGAUUAUUCUUUCAACUCUCAAAACUUGUCUGAAAAUAAAUUGCCAAAACCACUACUAAGUAGAAACAAAAUAUUCUAUGCCUCUGUUUCAAGGGCUACCCCACCUCAGUUAUUCAAUCAAAACAUUGAAAUCAGAGCAAGAAGAUCCACCUUCGUCAACAGCCUUCCUGGCCGUUUCUCCUAGCUUCUUUGCUCUGCUCCUCAUUUCCUCUGCUUCUUCACCCAUCAUAAUUUGAGUGAUUGCCUCCUCUACAGCUUGCCUGUUGAAACGCUGAAGAUUUGAUCGGCAUGUGAAGCCCAAUCCAGGUCAUAAAAGAAACCGAGUCAUUACAAUUGUGAUCGGCUCCAAUUCGAUUGAAUCAGAACCUAACAGACAUUGGUGUGGUAUAGAAAUUAAGAACACAUCACAGGGAAUGUAUAAAAUGAAAAUAAUAGAAGAAUCGGAAAUCACCAAGCUUAUAUCCAUCUACAAUCUAGAACAAAAUGGAAUUACAUUGCAGGACUUUGGUUUCUUAGAUCAAUUUUCUUCAGAGAUCACAGCUAGGACAAUAAGCUACUUCCAGUGCUACCGUAGAGAAAUAGCAUGAUCCCCGGUUAGCUGCUCUUUACUUAGAUGAAGCUGAUGUCGUGGGAAUUGAGAACUCAAAACAUCUUCUGGUUUCGUGGUUUGUGGAAGGAGGAGAAAAGCUCUCCAGUAUCUCUGUGGUUGGAAUGGGUGGGAUGGGAAAAACAACCCUCGUAAAUAGAGUUUAUGACAGCCACCCCAUCAGAAGAAGCUUUGAUACCCAUUCUUGGGUUACAGUUUCUAAAUCGUUUGCAUCCACGGAGCUCCUGCGAGUUGCUCUGCAGGCGUUUCUGGUGACAGCCAACGAACCUGUUCCGGAUAAUUUGCACUGAAUGACUGACUUCCAAUUAAUUGAUGCUCUAAGAAGUUAUCUAUGGAGAAGGAGGUAUGUCAUUGUUUUGGAUGAUGUAUGGACUGUAAACGCUGGGGAAACAAUAAAGAACGCAUUUCCUGAUUGUAACUGUGGUAGUAGAAUUAUCUUCACUACACGUUUAAGUAACUUGGCUGAAUCUAUAGAGAACACUAGUCAUGUUUAUGAACUCCAACCUUUACCAGAAAAUGAAGCUUGGACCCUCUUUUGUAUGAAAGCCUUUAGAGGGGAACAUAAGGCUGUAUGCCCUCCAGAACUGGAAGAGAUGUCUCGAAAUAUCUUAAAGAAGUGUGAGGGACUGCCACUUGCAAUGGUAGCAAUAGGAGGCCUACUGUCGAAGAAGAAAAAUGGAGGUUUAGAAUGGAAGAAAGUCCAUGACUGCCUGGCUACAGAAUUGAAAAGUAACGACGACCUUGGGAGUCUACGUAGAACACUUCAACUAAGUUAUGAUAAUCUUCCUUACUACCUCAAACAGUGUUAUUUGUAUUUAAGUGUUUUUCCAGAGGAUUAUUUGAUAAAAAGAAUGAAGUUGAUCCGGCUAUGGAUAGUUGAAAGGUUUGUGGAAGAGAAGCAAGGCUUUACAAUGGAGGAAGCAGCAGAGGAAUACCUUAAUGAACUCGUGAAUAGGAGUUUGAUCCAAUUGGUGGAGAUGAGUUAUUUUAACAGGGUCAAGACAUGUCGUGUUCAUGAUCUAAUGCGAGAAAUCAUUCAAAUGAAAUCCAGGGAACAAUCUUUUGUUAUGAUAGCAAACGGAACAAGAAUCAGCAAGAAUGAGAAAGUUCGGCGUCUAUCAAUCCAUGAAAACUCCGAGGAAGUUCAAUCAGAUAUGAUAUUUCCUUAUCUGUGGUCUUUGUUGUCAUUUUCUUCGCAUCAUCCUUUUGAGCAUGGUCUUCGCAAUUACAAGCCGUUAAGAGUAUUGAAUUUAGAUCGUGCUCCCCUUCCCAGCUUCCUACCUGAAUUGGCUGAACUGAUUCAUUUGAGAUAUUUGAGUUUGAGAUCGACCAUGAUAAGGGAGCUUCCAGAGUCCAUAAGGAAGCUGAAGUACUUGGAAAUACUUGAUUUGAAAAGGAAUCAUGUAUCUUCUUUGCCUGCUGGGAUCACACAACUGACAUGUCUUUGCCAGCUCCGAAACUAUCGACAGUUUCCAGUCCAUAUUGUUCUUCCCAGACAUUCAUGGAAUGAGAGUUCCAUCAGGAAUAGGAAGAUUGACUAGCCAGCAGAAAUUGGGAAGCGUUGAUGUGAAUGAAGAUUAUGAGUUAGACAGGGAGUUGGGAAGGCUAACUCGGUUGAGAAGGCUGGGCAUUUUAAAGCUAAGAGAAGAGCAGGGAAUGGAUCUCUGUUAUACUUUGGACAGGUUGAAACACCUUACUGCUUUGUAUCUUGUUUCACUAAACAAAACUGAAUUCUUACAAUUUGACUCUCUUUCAUCUCCUCCAAAAUAUCUCCAACGACCAUAUCUCAAAUGUAGUCUUCCAGCUUUACCAGGAUGGAUAACUUCACUCAAGUAUAUUUCCAAGCUAGUGCUUCAAUAUUCUAAUUUGGAAAGUGAUCCUCUCAAGGCCCUCCAGAAAUUGCCUAGUUUGAUGCUUGAACUCCGUCAAGCUUAUGCAGGGGAAGAACUGUGCUGUGAUCCUAGUGGAUUUUCAAAGCUGAAGAGGAUAGGUCUCCAUGAACUCGAGAGAUUGCAGCGCAUCAGAAUAGCAAAAGGAUCAAUGCCUGGGUUAGAAAGGCUAGACAUCACAGCAUGCACGGUGCUAGAAACUGUGCCGGAUGGGAUUGAAAACCUGAAGAAUAUAGAAGACCUGGUUCUGUGGCAUAUGCCUUCAACAUUCAUCAAGACAAUAGAGAGGUACCGCGGUGAAGAUUUCUGGAGAGUUCAACAUAUCACAACAAUCACCCGUAUCUACAAGAGCCAGGGGAGAUGGGUCCCUGAAACUCUUCUGUAAUUAGAGGGGUAAAAUACGGAGAGGACUGCAGUUUCUGGAAAAUCAUGAUCCCUGCCAAGUUCCUCAGGUCUGUACAGACGUUUCAUCAUGUAAUGCUGAGCCUCAGAAAAUCGAAAACUGCUGCUCUUCCCUCCUCUUCUCUGCUCCUUUGUCUCUGUUCCGCUGUUGUUGAAUCUUCCAACCUGCUAUCUUGCCCAUGUUUGUCACCCCUAAAUUUUGGACACCGUCAAUUUCUAGACAUCAAUACGAGUGAGUUUAUUUGGGAUUUGUCAAAUGUUUAUUUUAUAUUUUAUCAAAUUUCACAACUUCAGUUCGUUUUGCAAGUUCACAUCAACUUUUUUUAUUCUGGUUUUGUUUUAUUCGUUUUGUAGUAAUUUAUUUAUAUUUUUUAAUUUAAAAAAAAUGAUGAGAAAAAAUUAAAAUAACUUAAGAUUCAAAAAGAAAAAAAAUUUGUGAAAUAUUUGCUACAAUAUCCUCAUCGUUCUCUCUUCCCCCUUUUCUUUUCUUAAAAUCUCUCAUCUCGCAUCAUCGUGAUUGAUUGUGACAUAGAAACCCCAGAUAAAGAUGAAAGAGAACCAUGCUGCAAGCUUGACAUAUUGUUCUGCUGCAUCGUUGGUAUAGAACCAUGCACAUUCAAUGAUUGCAACUGGGGAUUUAAUUGAUUUUCAUGGGACUGCAAUUGAGGAACUGGAGACUGGGGUUGCUGCAUAGGUUGCACAUGAGGCUGGGGAAGUUGUCCUAGCUGUAGAUUAGGAAUUGACCUCCUGAAUCUGCUUGGUUUUAGAAAACUUACAAUCUGCUUCUCAUAGGAACCCAAUUUCUCCUUGAAACUAGGUGUGAUGUUGUUUUUAGAGACCUGUAAGAAUGUUAUCAAGCACUCCAACAUGGCCUUGAAUACCUUCAGCUUUUCAAGCUGUUCUGACUUUGGUUGUUGCGGAAGAGAGUCAAGCUGGAAAGCAAAGUUAACAUACGCGAGAAUUAAAAAUUGCAUGAUUAGUGCAAAAUAUUAGUGAAAAAUAAUGUUUCUAUUCCAAUUCUUCUGUGUCGAUGCAUGAUUAGUGCAGAUGAUACAGUGACAGGCAAUGCUGAUGAGGAAAACAAAUUAAUACAAAAGCUCAACAAUGCAGAUGAUUUAGUGACAGGCAAUGCUGAUGAGGAAAACAAAUUAAUACAGAAGCUCAACGUGGGGAAAUUGCAAAUAAUCAUGCAUGGGCAGAUACUUCGGAAGAAAUUGCAGAGACAAUUUACCUGCUGUAACUUGGCAGCAAUUCUCUGGUACAUUUCAUUUAUUUCAGGGAAAUAAGUCUUCUUCAUAACUUUGAUCUAGGAAGUACAAAUAACCAGCAAAACAUUAUUGGCCAUACACUUGAUUUCUUCAGGUGCCGGUCAGAAAGAAACUAACACAAACAAACUUUAGGGAAUUGAUAAAUAAAAAAAUAAAAAAAAGGGCACACAACGAUAGGACCCGUUGGAAAUAAAUAAUAAAAUAAUAAUUCACCACACAACAAAUAUAGGGGAAAAAAUCGAAAGGGAGAGGUUUGCAAUAAAAAACUGUCGUGCCAGAACCAAGAAAGCAAUCCUCUUGACCUAGAAAUCUGAAUAUUUUUACCUUCAUUCAUCUUAUCAAUGAUUAAUCAUUUGUUAGUUGAUGCAUUCAUGGAACUUACAAUGCUUCCUAACUAAUCCCAACCAUAGCUGAAUCAAAUUCCUUGGACCAAUCUCAGGAGACCCUUUUCCAUUGAAAUCUUCCCAGACUAUGGCAUGCAUGAACUUCAUCUAAUGAACAGUAAAUCACAGAAAUUACCUUUUGAUAGAUCUCCUCUUGCCAAUCAGCGCCAUUUGCAUGUCCAGUCUGUGCUGUAGAAUCUAGGGAUGCUACAAAAAUUUCAAAGCGGGCAACAAAAGAUUAGAAUUCAUGUAUUUUUGUGUGUUUUCCAUAUACAAGGGUAUUUCUGUAAUUCUCACACUUGCUGAAAAUUAUGAAAUAUUGCAGGUCUCAGUUUUAUUUUCCAUGUAGUAUUUAAUUAUUCCCGUAGUAUAGCGAGCUUCAUUAGGUUUUUCCUAUUCUAGAUAGGACUAUUCGUAUUUUCCUAUAUAGGAAUACAAGUCCUUUUUGUAUUAGGAACUUCAUCUAAAUGUUAUGUAAUCAUUCAAACAGAUGGAGAGACCCUAUAAAUUCAGAAUGACAGGGUGAACAAAUGCAUGUGUGAACAAGUGCAAUGCACUGGAGGGCAUCGUGUGGUUGCAAUAGUUCCAAUAGCAGUGGCAUUACCUGGCAUUUGUCUCUGAGAAUUAGCAAACAUAGUGGAGGGAAUCCCCUGUCCCAUUGAAUUCCCCACUGAGUUCUGUGAAACACCGGGGAUACUCUGCAUGUUAGGAUUCUGGACAACAGUGUUGGGGAUAGUCUGGGUUACACCAGAGACAGGAGGCGGUGCCGCUUGUAAACCAGCAUAACUUUGAACUCCAUUAGAUGCCAUGCAAUUCUGCAUGUUCUGUGAUACCCAACUGCUGACGUGCCUGAGACUGAUCUGUGGACAAUAGGAUAGGGAGAAACAGCCCUUGAUUCUGAACUUGAGGGGGCAUACUAUAGGAUGCUAUUCAAGAUUAAAGGCAAAUGGGAAAACCAUGUCAAAGAAAAAAAGAAGGCACUGAACAAGGAAGACAAAUGAAACAUUGGCAGUUCACACAUAAAGUUAUGGGCGAAAGAAUUAAGAUGGAUUUGAUUCAAAGCAUAAAAGUGUCCUCUUGACAAUUUUCGGGUUGGGGGAAGACGAGGCAGCUGAAAACAAAAAUAAUAUGAAAAUUUUUAGGGUGGGGGGAAAAAAAGGAGGAGGCAGAAAACGAAAAUAAUCUGUAAUAUUCUUGCCUAACAUUCAUCAAUUACUCAACUUUUUAUUAAAGCAUGCUAAACACAGCAAUAAAAUGUAAAAGAGUUUGAUAACAAUGCGACAAACAAAACAAAAGGUAAGAUGUUUAGAAAUUCAAUGCACGGCAACAUUAUUUUAUACGAAAAAAAGAUCAAAUACUUUCUCCGGGAAGAAAAGCAAGAAAGUGACGUCUUAUCUCCUAAACAGGAAAAUCUUUAAAAUCUAUCAUCUCAAUCAUAAAAUAUAAAAUAGCCAUGCAUCACAGUCCUUGUUCCUUAACAAGUUAAAGAUGAAACCCUUCACAUGCAUUACAGAAUUAGCAUAGUGGAGGUGAUGAUGGGAUUUUUCCAGCAAGGCGAUAUACAUAGCAAUAUGCAGCAAUAAAAUGUAAAAGAGUUUCAUAACAAUGCGAGAAGAAAAACAAAAGGUAAGAUGUUUAGAAAUUCAAUCCUCGGCUGCGUUAUUACCUGUUGGAUCCAUGGGGGCAGUGGGCAUGGCAUUUUGAGACCUGAUCUCCAUCGAAAGCAUCUCCAGAGAUAUUUUACGCAGAUAAUCAGACUGAAAUCAGAUAUUAAUACAAAACAUUAGAUCUCAGAGCAAUCCAUGUUACAAAAGGAGGGAAAUGGAUAUAUGCUCUAUCAUUUCAUCUUCUGUGAGGAUAUCCUUCUGUUUCCUCUCUUUUUAUUUAAUUAUUUAUGCAUUGAUUCACUAUUUGCUUUUUGCACACUUCCCUUGCACUUGAACUUGGUUACUCUAAAUAAAACACUUGUCAAGAGAAUUAACAAAAAGAUGCGAACUCUCAAUCAGCCUUGCAUAUAGAAUGAACGGUGAGGAAGUGUAGGCACACUACACACACAUUUGUACAUGCAUAAAUGCAUGUGUAUAUUCAUGUCUAAAGAAUAUCAUAAUUAUUGACCCUCGCAUUAGGCAAAUACCUGAUUGGUGGCGGUAGUGUAAAUCUUUUCCUCAACACGUAUGGCAAAUUUCUUGAGUUCUUGUAAUGCCUCUUGACCAGAAAACAGAAGAUGCCUCUUUAAUGUCUCCAUUCUGUACAUGCAAAUCAUUACAUUUUAUUUUUAAUGACUAGGCAAGUAUAUAAAAGUUAGCAGCAGCAAACAAGAACCCUGAACUCAUAAACCACACCAGUAUUAGAAAUGUGUGGAAUCAUUAGCAAAAAGUAAAAACAAAUAAUGAGAUAAGCAAGAGUUGGUCAAGUAAUAUAAGACAUCAAAAUACAUAAACAUCCUUUCCCUGUAUUAUUCCAGAGGUACAGAGUAUAGGAGAUUACUUUAAAAAAUGUAGCGUCGAGCUUCAUGGUUAAUUUUCUUGAACUAGAAGAACCUUUCAUUUAUGGCUAUGUUCCAAGAUAUAUAAGUGAAUUAGUUGAAAACCAGGGGAGUCUAUGUGAAAACAUUACAAUAGCAUUUAUUCUGAGUAAGAACACUUCUAUGCAUGUGCUGUAAUUGACACAAGAGGUCAUCAUCGAAAGAAGAGAUUACACAAGAAGUUCCAACAAAAAUUACUUCCCAGCAUUUAAGUUUGCUUCUUGUGAGAAACACAUGAGAAGAUGAAAAAAAAAAAAACAAAAAAAGAGGCGUGUGCUACAUGAGGUUGCCUCAUGGCAAUCCUGCUGAUUUUAAUUAACCUUUUUCCCUUCUCCUUUUCUUUCAUAUAAAUAAAAAAUUUGCUAUUUUGCAGCACUUGCACAUAUUAGAAAACAACUACUUACAUUUUGUCGACUAUUCUUUUCCAUGAGUCAGGCUGCAAUUGAAUUCUCCAAUCACCCGUAUCCAUGACAGGUUCUCCGCCUGGGACAGUGGGCCAACCAAAAAGAAGAAAAAAAUCAUAUUGCAAGUAAAAAUAGACCCUAAAAAGAAAGUCAGGAACGACAAGAAGAGUAAAAGCACAUCAAGAUCAUGAAAAAUGGAAUAUCAGUUUAUUCAGACUUGAAUAGAUUUAAAAAGAACUUCCGUCUAAUAUCAUGUACUUUAUUAAAGAAUUCAGCCAAAAUAUGGAUGCAUAACAAAUAUACACAACCAUUCAGGACAAGGUGCAAGGAUCCUGGGUAUUCAGCCAUUCUAAGCAAAGAUUUGGACCUGAAUCUUCAUGGUGCUUCUAAACCAAAGAAGCAUUCCCUUUUAAGCAAAUACUUACUGUCAAACCUCCUGUUCAUGUUCUUGUUAUUUAUGUAUAUAUUCACUUCUCUGAAAGAAUAAAUAUUGUAGGGAGCAAGUAGUGUAAAUAGAAAGAGGAAAAUACCACAUCCCCAAAAGAAUAAAGAAAUAAGAAGAAAACAAAACAAAGUCAUAAAACGAGGCAUUUCAAUCCCCGAAGAAUACCAGCAGACUAAAUACCACAGCACAAAUAGAAGAUGAAGAGGCCAGAAACACUAAACCAUCCCAAAGAGAUUGUCUAGGAUGUUUUAAUCUAGGAAGAAGAAGAAGAAAACAACGAGCAUUAACAAUGAAUAUUUCAUGUUAUCAUCAACUCUAAAGAGCAGACUGAUAAGAAUCAACUUAACAAAUUUACAGGCACAUCUUUCUUUGAAUAGACAACACAAUAACCCUGACCAUACUGAAUGCUCCACCCACAGUAGAAUCGGCUGAUUGCGCCUUUCUUCGUGUUGCGUUCACGAGCAGUGAUUUCAUCGAUCCGAUUAUAUAUCUUUUUAAUUUACUUAUUAAAAUCGAAUUUCUCUCUCUGGAUAGUGAUUUCAAUUAAAUAAAUGAAAAUGCAGACGUAUAUCUUUUUUUAAAAUAAAAAACAUGAUAGAAAAGGAAGCACCUGGUGGAGAUUUGAAGCCUUAUUGGUUGAUGUGGCGGCGGUUUCCUAGAGCGGAGGAGGGAAAGAAAGAGAGCUCAGGUGGGGAGAGGUGAGGAAUGUUGGAACAAAGUGAACAGAACUUGACAGAUGACUUUAUUCUUUUCCAGAUUCGCUAACAAACUAAAAGAUAUGCAUUCUUGUGCUGCUUCACUGUUCACAACUAACAAACUAAAACUAUAUAUAUAUAUAUAUAUAUAUAUAUAUAUAUAUAUAUAUAUAUAUAUAUUGGAGCAGUUUAAUGACAGUUCAGCCCUUAAUACAAAGAGUUGUAAUGGCAGCAGGGGAGGGGUGGGGUUGUCUUUUUACUGGGGUACAUUUGGCAUUGAAAAGAUGGUUGAGGAGAAAAUUGUCAGUAUAAGUUUUAGUGGGGAUGCAAGCCAUGGGAAGCGAGCACCUGUCACUAGUGUUGCCCGGGCAAGGACAGCUGGCACUUCUGCUGCCCGACCCUUCCACGGGGCAGACCAAGCGCCACAUGGUGCAUGGGCGCCCCUGCCCUUGCGCGGGGCAGACCCGGGUGCCACUUGGCGCUGGGGCGGCUCCAGGACACAGGGCGGACACUAGCACCACCUGGCGCUUGAGUCUUGGCAAAAGGCCUAAUUAGCUAUGGCUGCUCUAGCGCCACAUGGCACUUGGGAAAAGGUGGGUGUGGACACUUCCAUGCCCAACCCCAAAGCAAGUUGGGUAUGGACGCGUUCAAGCCCAACCCCAAGUUGGGAAAGUGUUCAAAUCAAAAAUAGUAUUAUUUGUGUUAUAAAUAUUAUUAUUUUUAUUAUAACUCAAAGUAUUGAUAUAAAAAUUAUUAUUAUUUGUGUUGUAAUCAUCCUUGAAAUUCUUAAUAUAACUAUUUAUGUUAUAAAUAUUAUUAUUUUUAUUAUAAUUAAUAGUGUGAAUAUUAAAAAUAUUAUCAUUGGUGUUAUAAAUAUUAUUAUUAUUAUUAUUAUUAUUAUUGAUAUUAUUAAUAAAAUAAUUACUAAAUGUGAAAAACAAUUAUUAGUAAUAUUAAAAAAAUUAUUUGUGUUAUAAUUAUUUUUAUUUUUAUUAUGGUUAAAAGUAUUAAUGAUAAAAAUAGUAUCAUUUUUUAUUAUGAUUAAAAGUAUUAAUAUUAAAAAUAGUAUGAUUUGUAUUUUAAUUAUUUUUAUUUUUAUUUUUAUUAUAAUUACAAGUCUGGGCGCGUCCACUCCCAACCCGACAUUGGGCCUGGACGCGUCCACGCGCAACGCCGAGUUGGGUCUGGACGCGUCCACGCGCAACCCCGAGUUGGGCAUGGAUGCUUCCUCGUCCACACCCAAGGCGGGUGUGGAGGCGUCCACGCCCAACCCCAAAUUGGGGUGAACAUGUCCACGCCCACCCCUAAGUUGGGCCUGGACGCGUCCGCGUCCACCCAUAUGUGUUAAUAUAAUAAUGUGUUAUAAAUAUUAUUUUUUCUCUUAUAAUUCAAAGUGUUCAUAUCAAAAAUAAUAUUAUUUGUGUUAUAAAUAUUAUUAUUUUUAUUAUAACUCAAAGUAUUGAUAUAAAAAAUAUUAUUAUGUGUUGUAAUCAUCCUUGAAAUUCUUAAUAUAAUUAUUUAUGUUUUAAAUAUUAUUAUUUUUAUUAUAAUUUUGAAUAUUCAUAUAAAAAAUAGUAUUAUUUGUGUUAUAAAUAUUAUUAUUUUUAUUAUAAUUAAUAUUAUUAAUAAAUUUAAAAAAUAUUAUUUUUUAUAUUAUAAAUUUUUAUAGUAGUUUUUUAUAAAAAUAAAAAUAAACUCGCUAUGUAACAUUGGCAUCCAACUAGUAUAAAACUAAGAGUGCUCAUUAAAUUUUUUUGCGUACAGUGUGUGAAUCCAUCCUGUGGCUUCACAGUCUUUACCGUGCUCCCUCUCUGUUUUUCCCGUUUCUUCUCGCGCGGUGGGUGUUCCCGUGCUUUCUUCUCGGCUGCUGAGGCUCCCUAGCGUCUUUCCAUCGACUUUGUCUGGUGCAUGUUCAGAUUGAGGUGGUUUGGCUGGUGCUAGGCGCGCGAGGAGAUGUCAGCCGACGGGUAAUCACCUUCAUCGGCUGGGAUGGCUUCAUUGAAGCUGUCCUCUUGGUCUGUGGCGGGACUUCUCAUGUAACUGAGACAAUUCUAACUUGUUUUUGUUAAUUAAAAAAAAAAUUAUUCUAAUGAGACAUUGUUUUUGUUUUUAUAAACUCUUUUCUAUUAUAUUUUUUAUCAAAAAUUUUAUAGAAAAUAUCAUAUAAAUUCUAGUUCACUGUUUAUUCUUAAUUAUGAUAUCAAAAAUAAAAUAUUGAAUAAAUCAAAAAAUAAUAUUACAAUCACACUAUUAUUAGUACCAUUGCUAAGAGCUUGAGAUUAAGAAGUUUGCUCUCCCUAUAGUUUCAGGUUCGAACCCUGUGGUUACUAAUAUGAUGGUCACUAGAGGCUUACAUGGUCGCUAACUUUAGGGCGCGUGAAAUUAGUCGAGGCGCACGCAAGCUGGUCUGGACACCCACGUCAAUUAAAAAAAACAAAUUACGAAUUGAUUAUUACCUCAAUCUAAUUUUUAUUCGAGUAUUAAUUUAUAUGCAUAUUUAUAUUACGUGGAAACUUCAUCAUUAUAGUAAAAGGGAACAAUAAUUUUAUGAACUAUUUAAGGUCCUCUAACAAUCUUAAAACAAUUUAUUUUUUAGUAUAUUUGUUCUGUGUAUAUGUAUAUAUCUUCAAGAACAAAUUGAUUAUAUAUUAACAUAUAUAGAUUAAAAAAAAAUAGUUUAAUUUUAGUAGGAAAAGUAAAGUGCAUAUAUUUUCUCUUAAAUUUCAUGACUAUGUUAAAUUUCUUGUUGUCUGUUAUCUGUGUACUUGUUGCAUUGAUUCUACGGGAAAAUAAAUUUUAUGUUGCAUGGUAUUUUCCUUCGUUGUUGUAUUGAUAUGAAAAGAACAAAAAAACAGCCGAUCGGAAAAAAAAAGUUGUAUAUCUGGAUAAUAAUUACCGGUGAAAUAAUAUAUGUUAAGUGCAAUUCUAUUUAACUGUAACUCUUUUGUUUAAGUUGCAUAGCGACAACUUUACUACGUUUCAACAACUAUAAAUAGUUAAUUUUUUUUUAAAAAAUACAUAUAUAUAGUUCUCUUUUAUAUAAGAUUAAAAAGAAAUUUUGAAUAGAUAUGAUAUAGAGAAGUUACAAUUAAUGAAAAAUCAUCAAUCAUAAUAAUUUUGAUAUAUUUGUUAACAUGGUAAGCCUAGUGGAGUUAAUGAUUUGGGUUGUGUAUUUAACGAGUUAACCUGUGGAACUCGAGUUAAUAUAAUAUAUCAUCAUCUUAAUAUUAAAAAAAAUAUCAUCGUGAUUUUUUUUCUUUAAAAUCCAAACCAUGCUUUUAUUGGUGAUUUGAAUUGCCUUAAUUUGCAUAUAUCAAGGCAACUAGAUCAAGUACAAACAAUUCCCUUGUAAAUUAAUUUUAAUAUUAUUGCUAAAUUAUGUUUUUUUACCGGUCAUAUGGAUUGACUUUGAAUCCACCACAUUAACUAUGUCAUGUUAGGGCAACUUUCAUGUUGGUUAAUUUUAAACUUGAUAUAAAUGAGGAUCGGUCACAUAAAUUUAAACUAAAUUAUUUUUGUCGAUUUUAUUUUUAAUAUUGAGAUGAUUGAGAAUUUAAUUUAAUUUUUUUUCUUUUUAGUUUGCCUUUCUAUGUGGUUUGCGAGUUUGUCGAGGUAACUCGAGUUACUCCAGUUUACGGAUUUUGUGUGGUUUUUUUAAUUGAACUUGGUUUUUUUUAUAGUAUAUUUUUUUUGUUAUAUUGUUAGAAAAACAGUUUUAGAGAAAAAAAACAUGUUAUUAAACUUUAUGAAGUAAGAAAAAUUAAAGAAUACGAGGAAAACAACCUUCAUUCAUCUUAUCAAUGAUUAAUCAUUUCUUUGUUGCUGCAAUCAUGGAUCUUACAGUGCUUCCUAACUAAUCCCAACCAUAGCUGAAUAAAAUUACUUGGACCAAUCCCAGGAGACCUUUUUCCAUUGAAAUUUUGCAAGACUAUGGCAUACAUGAACUCCAUCUAAUGAACAGUAAAUCACAGAAAUUACCUUCUGAUAGAUCUCCUCUUGCUAAUCAGCGCCUUUUGCAUGUCCAGCCUGUGCUGUAGAAUCUAGGGAUGCUACAAAAAUUUCAAUGUGGGCAACAAAAGAUUAGAAUUCAUGUAUUUUUUUGUGUUUUCCAUAUACAAGGGUAUUUCUGUAAUUUUCACACUUGCUGAAAAUUAUGGAAUAUUGCAAUUCUCAGUUUUAUUUUCCAUUUAGUAUUUUAUUAUCCCAAAGUAUAGAGAGCUUCAUUAGGUUUUUCAUAUUCUAGAUAGGACUAUCAGUAUUUUCCUACAGAGGAAUACAAGUCCUUUUUGGACUAGGAGUACUAGGAACUCCAUCUAAAGAAAGUCAGGAACGGCAAGAAGAGUAAAAGCACAUCAAGAACAUGAAAAAUGGAAUAUUAGUUUAUUCAGACUUGAAUAGACUUAAAAAGAACUUCCGUCUAAUAUCAUGUACUUUAUUAAAGAAUUCAGCCAAAUAUGGAUGCAUAACAAAUAUACACAACCAUUCAGGACAAGGUGCUAGGAUCCUGGGUAUUCGGGCAUUCUAAGCAAAGAUUUGGGCCUGAAUCUUCAUGGUGCUUCUAAACCAAAGAAGCAUUCCCUUCUAAGCAAAUACUUAUUGUCAAACCCAGGGCUUCCCCUCCUGUUCUUGUUAUUUAAGUAUACAUUUACUUCUCUGAAAGAAAAAAUAUUGUAGGGAGCAAAUAGUGUAAAUAGAAAGAGGAAAAUACAGGAAAACAAAGCAAAGUCAUAGAACGAGGCCUUUCAAUCCGCAAUGAAUAUUAACAGACUAAAUACCACAGCAAAAAUAGAAGAAUAAGAGGCCAGAAACACUAAAUCAUCCCAAAGAGAUUGUCUAGGAUGUUUUAACCUAGGAAACAGAAGAAGAAAACAACUAAAGAGCAGACUGAUAAGAAUCAACUUAACAAAUUUACAUGCACAUCUUUCUUUGAAUAGACAACACAAUAACCCUGACCAUACUAAAUGUUCCACCCACAGUAGAGUCGGCUGAUUGCGCCUUUCUACGAGUUGCGUUCACGAGAAGCGAUUUCAUCGGGUCCGAUUAUAUAUCUUUUUAAUUUACCUAUUAAAUCAAAUUUCUCUCUGGAUAAGAAUUUCAGUUAAAUAAAUGAAAACGCAGACGUAAAUUUUUAAAAUAAAAAACAUGAUAGAAAAGGAAGCACCUGGUGGAGAUUUGAAGCCCUAUUGGUUGAGGUGGCGGCGGCGGCGGUUUCCGAGAGCGGAGGAGGGAAAGAGAGAGAGCUCAUGUGGGGAGAGGUGAGGAAUGUCGGACCAAAGCGAACAAAGCUUGACAGAUGACUUUAUUCUUUUCCAGAUUCGCUAACAAACUAAAAGAAUUGUAUUCUUGUGCUGCUUCACUAUUCAUAACUAACAAACUAAAACUAAAGGAAUUAUAUAUAUAUAAUAAGAGUGCUCAUUAAAACACGGUGCACUGUGUGUGAAUCCUGUGGCUUCACGGUCUUUACCGCACUCCCUCUCUGUUUUUCACGUUUCUUCUCGCGCGGUGGGUGUUUCCGUGCUUUCUACUCGGCUGCUGAGGAUCCCUGGCGUCUUUUCAUCGACUUUGUCUGGUGCAUGUUUAGAUUGAAGCGGUUUGGCUGGUGCUAGGCGCGCGAGGAGAUGUCAGCCGAUGGGUAAUCACCGUGGCGGGCCUUCCUUUUAAUGAAAAAAUUAUUCUAACUGAGACAUUGUUUUUGUUUUUAUAAACUCUUUUCUAUUAUAUUUGUUUUAUCAAAAAAUUUAUAAAAAAUAUCAUAUAAACUCUUGAAUAAAUCAGGAAAUAAUAUUAUAAUUACACUACUAGCACUAAAGAUCAGAUAAUAAAUUAUAUAUUGACAUAGAUUGAAAAAAAUAGUUUAAUUUUAAUAGGAAAAGUAAAGUGUAUAUAUCUUCUGUUAAAUUCUAUGACUAUGUUAAAUUCCUUGUCAUCUGUUAUUUGUGCACUUGUUGCAUUGAUGCUACGAGGAAAUAAAUUUUAUGUUGCAUGGUAUUUUCCAUUGUUGUUGUGUUGAUAUAAAAUAAGAAAAUAGAAGAUUGGGAAAAAAAAGUUGCAUUAAUAUAAAUAUAAUUAGAAGGAUAUAACUAAAUUUUCAAAGGCUUGAUGUAAAUAUUAAAGUUCAAGAGAGAGAAAAGAUGAGGAGGAGAAAACAACUUUGUCACCGCUGAACCACCGUGAAAUAACAACACACGCUACACCAUUAACUACACCUUCACAUUACACGUUGAACUAUCACACGCCUCCUGAAUGAUGUGGUGGACUAUCACGUGUUAUACACAUGUCGGUCUUUUUAUUGAUUUAUUAAUAUUUCAAUACUUUAAAUUACUAAAUAGCCCCUAAGAGCAUCUAAAUAUUACCAAAAAAAUGUUAUCCCAAACCAGCUUUAGAUUUUUUUUAUUCUAAGGUUAACUUUAUCAUUUUACAAUAACAAAACAUGGAAAAGACUAAAAAAUGCCUCUUGUCAAGGUCAAUAUUUUUGAACUGUAAACCCCGGGAAAAAAAAUAAUAAAUAAAUAAAAGUGAAGAAAUUCAUGCAUAUGGUUAAAUAAAAACAUAAAUUCAGAAAUUUUUAAAUAUAAAUUUCCGGGCGAAAUAAUUCGAGACAUUAUAAUAAACCCGGUACUGUUGAGGGUUGGAUUUAAUUGAAGAGAAUGAUACACUUAAAGGAAAAUAUAGAGUAUAAAUACUCUCUCCUCACCAAAAAAAAAUAUGUAGGAACCAUAAGGAGAGAAGAUAGUGAGUUUUAUACCCAUUCUUGAGAAAUCAAGAGAGAAACACUAAAAUUUCAAGAACCCAUCCAAGAUUAAGAGCUUAUAGAUGGGAUAAACACUUGAGAGCAAAGGAUUACCAAGAAAUUGAACAAGAAGAAAAGAAAUGACGGAGUUGAAAAUCUUCAACUGGUUGAAGAUCAAAAUCUUAAUUUGUACCGGGUAAGGUAUUCUAAACAUGAUCUUAAAAAAAUUCAUUUUUAAAUUCGAUAAAGAAUUGAUGCCUUGAUAUUGAAUCAUAGGUUAGGGUUCUUAGAAAUAAAUUGGGGAAAAAGUACUUAUUGUUGAGAUUAAGUUAAUUCAUGUGUGUGGUAUGUAGUUUAUGAAAGUAUUGUGUGAAGGGGAGGGGGAGACGAAUCUGGACAGACUUGUCUCCUAACUUUCGAUGAGAUUUUGGGUAGGAGGAUGAGGGGAUUAGGAUCGGGUUCCUCAUAGAAAUUGUAGAUUUGAAUGUUAGCUAACCAAGGAAGCUGGUCUUGCUCAAUUUGGAGAUGUAGAACUCCAGUUAUGGGUUACCAACUGAGACUGAGUCGUGACUGAUUAUGUAGGGCAGUAAGACUAAUUAGUAAAUGAACAAUUUUGACUAUCUUGAAGGCAAAACUGGGUUCUACUCCCUCAGAGAACUAGUAGCCUCGUGUCUUAGCUUUCUAACGAGAUCAAUCUCACUUAAAAUGGAGUUUUAGAACUUUAGAUAUAGUUAAAAAUCUGAUGAGUGUUUAGACAGUAACAGUUGGAAAUUGGACAGUAACAGUUCAAAGUCAAACAGUAACGGUUGGAAAAGUCAAACAGUAACAGUUCAAAGUCAAACAGUAACGGUUCAAAGUCAGACAGUAACAGUUGGAAAAGUCAAACAGUAACAGUUCAAAUGUCAAACAGUAACAAUUCAAAGUCAGACAAUAACAGUUGGAAAUUGGACAGUAACAGUUCAAAGUUAGACGGUAACAGUAUACUUUCACGUGAAUACUAUAAAUAAGAAUAUAAAAGAAUUGAGUCAUUCUAACACUUGUAUAUUGAGAUACUAACUCUGAAAAUAUACAUGAUAUAUGUAUGUAUGUUAUUAUGAGGAAAUGAACAUGCAUAGAAAGUAACAUAUGAGUAAUGGAUGAAUAUGAAUUCUCUAUAAUAUCGGCUUGAAGGAAUCAUAACCAAAAAAAGAAAACUUCCUUGUGAUUCAGGAGGAGCAACCAGGAUUGGAUCUUCUGUUAGGGGAGGUCGCGAGACAGGCAAAGCAGGUGCGUGAUUUUCCCUCCUAUUUGCACUUAUACAAUUUAGAAGCCUUCUGGUGAAUGCAAUUAUAAUAAAUAUCGUGUUCAAUGUAAAUGAAACCUAGUGUAUCUACAAGAUUAGCUCCGGCUAAUGGCAUCCGUGAGAGGAUUGUCGGGAUAUGAUUUACACGAUUAGCUCCGGCUAAUGGCAUCCGUGAGAGGAUUGCUGAGAAAUGAUUUACACGAUUAGCUCCGGCUAAUGGCAUCCGUGAUAGGAUUGCCAGGAUAUGAUUUACACGAUUAGCUCCGGCUAAUGACAUCCGUGAUAGGAUUGCCGGGAAAUGAAUUACAGGAUUAAACCUUGCAAGGUCACCCAGUUUAUGCAAGUAAAUAAGAUUAUUCAAUUAAGAAUAUACAAAUGAGUGUUAAUUGGGUUUAAAAGAUUUACAAGCAAAAUAUAAGUUCUUUGUUAGAAUUCUCAUGGAUUCGAUAGAAAGCUAUUACUUCAUUCGUAUUCAUUACAUGAGCAUACAUAUAUUCUUUAUCAACAUAAUGGUAUGUUUAUUAAUGUAACAGGUCCAUCAAACAUCCAGGAAGAUCAUUAGUUUAGGACUCUACUUUGUGAAGCUUAUGUAAAUAUUAACUUAAAACAAAAGGGAAUUAACGUGUUUAUGUAGUAUACUUUUGUGCAAACCUUGAUGUAUUUAUAAAGGUUCAGCUUAACAUGUAGUAUUUUAGUUAUCUUGUAAUUAACCCUUUUGAAAUAUUUAAGAACACUUCUUAUAUUGUAAAUAUUUUCUUUGCAUGUUAGUAUUUCUUUUCCUUUAGAUUUUAUGAUAUGAUGUGUUGGACUAUGUUCAUAUUGAACUUACUCGUAGGAUAUAUAUAUAUAUAUAUAUAUAUAUAUAUAUAUAUAUAUAUAUAUAUAUAUAUAUAUAUAUAUAUAUAUUGUGUGGAUUGUAUGAGGUGUGGAAUUAUGAGGUUUGAUAUAAGGUCCGGAAUUAAGGACCUUGUGAUGAUGUGUUGAUUGAGUAAACUGAUAGUAGUCGAUAACUUGGGAUGUCCUACAUGCAAACGAAACUCUGCCGAAUUUUUGAAAAUAAAAAAAAAAUUACCCUAAAAUAAAGAGGAUAUGUUGGAAUCUUUAACAUUGAUCGAGUCGUACAGUUCGGACUAUUACAUGAACUCUUAAGGGUAUUGACCUCAUUUUACGGUGCAAAUAAAAUAGAAAAGACAAAAUAGACCCUAAACAAAAGGCCAAUUGUUUUUUUGCUUGCAAGGGCAAUGAUGUAGUUUUAGUGUGCAAAAAAAGAGCAAACCUACUAAAUUAUUCUCAAUCAAUUUACGAAUAAGCUUUAGAUCACUUGAAAAAGACAACUUUACCUCGUUAAUAAGUCAAUUGUUUUGUGUAGAUAAGGGCAAAAGGUAAAUAUAUUGUGCUAAUCCACGAUAUUUUACCUCACAGUCUAUAAUGAAUCACUUGAAUCAUUGAUCUCUUUUAAGUUUUUUUUAUAUAUAUAUAAUUCCACUUUGUUUUAAUUCAUGUUUAGAUUUUUAGCAUACAUUCUCAAACCAAAUCUCUCUUCUCUUGCACGCAUAUAAUUGUUUUUCUCACACUCUGCCAGAAAAUACCACAUCCCCAAAAGAAUAAAGAAAUAAGAAGAAAACAAAACAAAGUCAUAAAACGAGGCAUUUCAAUCCCCGAAGAAUACCAGCAGACUAAAUACCACAGCACAAAUAGAAGAUGAAGAGGCCAGAAACACUAAACCAUCCCAAAGAGAUUGUCUAGGAUGUUUUAAUCUAGGAAAAAAGAAGAAGAAAACAACGAGCAUUAACAAUGAAUAUUUCAUUUUAUCAUCAACUCUAAAGAGCAGACUGAUAAGAAUCAACUUGACAAAUUUACAGGCACAUCUUUCUUUGAAUAGACAACACAAUAACCCUGACCAUACUGAAUGCUCCACCCACAGUAGAAUCGGCUGAUUGCGCCUUUCUUCAAGUUGCGUUCACAAGAAGCGAUUUCAUCGGAUCCGAUUAUAUAUAUUUUUUAAUUUACUUAUUAAAAUCGAAUUUCUCUCUUGAAAGUAAUUUCAAUUAAAUAAAUGAAAAUGCAGAUGUAAAUUUUAAAAAACAAAAACAUAAUAGAAAAGGAAGCACCUGGGUGAGAUUUGAAGCCUUAUUGGUUGAGGUGGUGGCGGCAGUUUCUGAAAGUGGAGGAGGGAAAGAGAGAGAGCUCAGGUGGGGAGAGGUGAGGAAUGUCGGACCAAAGUGAACAGAGCUUGACGGAUGACUUUAUGCUUUUCCAGAUUUGCUAACAAACUAAAAGAAUUGUAUUCUUGUGCUGCUUCUUUCUCUGAAUGUUAAAUGCUUUUUAUUUUAUUUUGUGUCAUUUGGUAUCAUUCUUCUUUUACUAUUAGUUAAUGGAUAUUCGACCUCUUGCUCGUUUUUAAUAUUGUUGUUUGGCUCACUUGUAUAUUCUUUUUAUAGAUUUUUUGCCUGACUUAAUAUUCAAUAAGUAUGUUAAUUGAGUAUGCAUUCAAUUUGCAAAAAUAGAUACAUACAUGACUUUUAUUAAUUAAUAAGAUUGAUUACAUUAAAUAUAUUCUUAAACUUGUUUUAUUUAAAUAAAUAUAUAGAAUUAUGAUAAUUCAUAAUUUGAUGAUUAGAUAAUAUUUGUAUAAUAAGAAUACAUGAUGCAUGUAUUGAGUUCAAUGUUUUUUUAAAAGAAAUUUUUUAAUUGAUUAAUGUAUAAGUGUAUAAAUUUAUUUAGUAAAUAAUAUCUUGAUUAAUUAAUAAAUUUCAUGGUCUCAAUGAUAUUAAUUUAUAGAUGUUUAAAUGUAUAUUGUAUUAAUCUUUUAAAAAAUAUAUAAAUUUAAAUGAUAAAAUUAAAAACACUUAACUCCAUAUAAGGAAAAUAUUUAUUUUUUUAAACGACAAUACAAAAUAUAUGAUAAUACUAAUAUGUAAAUUCAAAUCUAUCUCUAAUGAGGCAUAUGUCAUUCCGGCAACAAUUGGUUUAGCCAAUUAGCUUCCAUUGGUUUAGCCAUGCAUUGCCUCUUUCAUUUCUUAACUGAUCGUUUUUAACAUUCCAUGUUAAUUUUAUUUGUAGAUGAAGCUCUCAAAUGUACUCUUGGAAUCAACAACUUAGGUUACAUGAACAUCACCCUUUUUUCUCACACUUACAUAUAAAAGAACAUUGGCAUGCUUAACUGUCUUACUAUGGCUUUGUCUAAAAUAUGAUGACACAGUGGCGACCAAACACAUCACCACUGACAUGGCCAGCCUGAGUAUUUCUGGUGAUUACAAGGAGGCAAGGACAUCUCUGGAUAAAAUGGCAAGAUUGUUUAGGACAUUCUCAUUAUCAAAAAAAAAAAAAAAACAUAAAACAAAUAUCUUAACGUUGUUCAUCUGUUUAUAGGAUUAGAGUUUGUUUAAUACUGUGUUAACAGUAUUUUUUAAGUUUUUUUUUUAAUUUUAAAAUAAAUUGAAAUAAUAUAUUUUUUAUUUUAAAAAAAUUAUUUUUAAUAUUAAUACAUGAAAAUAAAUUAAAACCACUAAAAAAUAAAUUUAAAAACAAAUUUAAAAUAUUUUUAAAACACUGACUUGUGCAUAAUGGCACUUCCGAGAGGAAAAUGAGACAUGUUGUUGACACUACUGUCACCUGAUUACAACCUAUUUGAUUAACUGAAUGCCUAGUUCAAUUCUUGAUAAAAUGUCAUUCUAUCAGAAAUUGUAUGGUUCUCCUCCUGAUUACAAUUUCUGAUAGCUUUGGAUCAGCUUUGUAUCAGAAAUUAUUUGAUUAGCUUUGGAUUUAUUUAUUUUUCCUGUUAUUGUUUCUGAUUUGGGUAUUUGAUUUGUCCUUCUUGUUUUUGUUCUUUUUUGCAGUGUUGUAAAAAAGGAAGCUUUAGAGCAAGUAAGCGAAAAAUGGGUUUUCAUCAGCUGUAGAUAUUCCAGCAAUGCAGGUAAAUAAAAUCACUUUUAAAAUUGUUGUUGUAAUUGCUUUUUUUGGAUGUACAAGUAUGUUAUGGUGUUGUGGUUGUUUUGCUGGGUAGGAAAUUAUGUUGGAGUUUCGUGCUGGUUCGAUGGAAAAAAGUUUGUUCCUGAUUCUCGAAAAGGACUUGUUCGCAUUGGAAGGGUAAACUGGUGUCUUUUGGUUUUUUUGUGUUAUAUAGAGUUCGUGCCUGUGUAAAGAUUUUUAGUUACUUCUGUUGUUUUGGUUUAUCUUAAGUACUAGAUAGUGUGUUUCUAGCAUCUUGUUUCCUGUUCGAAGUCGAAAUUUUUGAAUUGUUCCACGGUGAUGAGGGUUUGCUUCAUUUCUAGUGGCUUGAUAGGAAUUUGAAUGCUGUGGAAGAUGUAUCGUAGUUAUUAUUAUGUUUUUGAGCCUAGGGAUUUUGUUUCUCUCUUCCAACAUUGGUUUUUUAUUUCUUUUUCUGUUGUUUGUUUUGUUAAUAUUGUUUUGAGGUGAGAACUUGGUAGCUUUUUCUUGACGUGUUGAUUGACAGGAUCAUAUUAUUUUUUUCUGAAGAGGCUGUUUUUGAGAAGGUACACUUUUCUCUCUUAGUUUUUUCUUAGAUGGGAGAUAUUUGACUCUAAUAAUUGAUUGUAAUAUCAUAUAUUCAUAAUUCUUUGGGUUAUUCAGGUUAAUCAAGCAUUGGGAAGAGUUUACAUCUUGAAAUUCAAUAUAGGUGAUCGAAAGUUUUUCAUUUAGAUGCAGUUCAGGUUCAUUUUCUAUGUUUUUCACUCUCUUAUGUGUAACAUUGACUCAGCUGUUAGUUGCAUGAUUUUGGAAAAUUGUCUAACAUGUUUGCAGGAGCCAAAAGCUAAAGAUGAUUCACAAUUGUGUAGCUCUAUCAACUAUUAUAUUAAUCGUCCAUUUGGUAAAUACUUUUGUGUUUUGAGUCCUUUGUUAGCCAUGCUACUUUUGUGUUUUUUUUUAUCUUGCAUCUGCAUUUAUCUCCUCUCAUCUCCACAAUUUCAUAAAGAAAACCUCUAUUUAACAGAAAGAUCAUAUUAGACUAAUUGGAUUUCCUGUUUAUUUAUUUUAGUUACACACUCCGUAUGUGUGAAUUGGUCUUCCUAAAAUUUUACUAACCAGUUUUACUCCUUCAAACUAAUGACCUGGCUUAUAACUUCAGCACUCAUUCAAGAGUGAAGUUUUUCCAUCAGCAACGUCGCUGCUUUAUCUUAUUGCCUGGCAGAGUUCCUUGAUGAAGAAGAGCCUGAUGCUUCUAUUCCUUUCCAAGUUUUUGAAGACGUGCUUAAAGAUAAUAUCUCAUCAAGCUAUAUUUAUUAUAACAAAUAAGCAUACUUAAAGAUGAUACUUCAACUCUAAGAGUUGAUAUAGCAAGAGUGAGUAAGGAUAUAGGGCUAAGUAAUUUUUUGUUCUUUGAGACUAAGAGUCUGUGGAGCAGAAUGAGCCUCCCUUCUCUCCUUCUGGUCAAUCAUCUUGGAGAGCCUAUGUUCUUGCAUUGGAGAGCCUAUGUUCUUGCCUUGAUGAAGACUCCUAUCUUAUUUAUUCAAGAAAUAUCAAGAAAUUUUCCAAAAUCAUUUCUUGACAAAAACAUCUCAACCACCUUAGCCCAUGUCAAAUCCUUCAUCCCCUUAUGCUCUUGCACAGACUUGCCCUCGGGGUAAAUUUUAAAACUUGGGGCAUCUUUUAUAUGGAAAUUUAGAUUCAUAAAUUGGUGUUUGUCCAUGUAUAUACAAGUUUAAUGCUUGUAAUUCAUUGUAAAAUAACUUCAAAAAGGUUAAGGAGCACUUUUAUUAUCAAAAAGAAAUGGCCCAGUAUUACGUGGCCAUUUUCUUUUAUUCUGAUGAGAUUUUUGCUCAUAGCUCUCAAGACUGGAAACUUAGUUGUCCCAGACCUUGGUGCAGAAGUAAUGAAUGAUGUAAACUCUUCAUCAGAACCAGUGAAAUUGGAAGACUUGCAAAGAAUCCUGAGUAAUAUCUGUGUUAUGCUCAGAUAGUGCAAUUGACCAUAUCCUUGUUUGUUGUACUUAGGGUGGCCCGCGCCGUGAUGUGAUGAUAGAUGUUGCAGGUAGUUUGGCCGAUCCAGAUGAAGGUAAUUGUUAAUGCCUAUUCUAUACGUAUUGUAAGCUGUGAAAGAAUUGUACAACCUUUUUUUUCUGCUAAUUAUAUGCUCUGGCACGGGGUGCAUUACUGUAAAAUCAUUUUUUUUUCAUGAUGUUUUCUUUUGCUGUCCUAGGCUUGGGAGUAGGGGAUAUACUGAAGCCUGAUUUGAUAAUGUCGUUGAUUGAGACAUUGCCGCUUGAAGAAGGAUUAACAUCUCACUUACCUGAGGUAUAUUAGCCUGAUUUGAUAAUGCUUAUUCUAUACGUACUGUAAGCUAUGAAAGAAUUGUACAACCUUUUUUUUUCUACUAAUUAUAUGUUUUCUUUUGUUGUCUUAUGUGUUGGGAUUUCCUAUGUGCUUUACAUUGGUGCAUUCUGAGGUAAAUAUGAGGUUGUAGGGUCACUAAACUCCAGAUGAUAUUUUAGACUUGUUGCAGAGUCUUCCUUUCCAUCAGCAAGUGGAUUCUUUUACAUAUGUAAGAAAUGCGACGCGGAUCCUUCUUGUUCUGUUUCUUGUCCUUUUGAUGAUAGCCAAUUUUACAAGGUUUAAUUCUUCUUUUUGUUUGAAGGUUCUCCGAACUGGACAAGUAGAUUUGUCUGAAUUUGGGAUCAACCCCACUAAAUGUGAGUGGUUUGUGGCUCCUGAACCUGUAGCUUAGAAAUGGUUCUUAAAUACAUGGUUUUCUCUUUAACAAAUCAUUUACUUAUGUUCAUCAGCAUUAACUAAAGUCUUUAGUUAAUUCUUUCUUGAGAAAUCCAAGUAUUCCAAGUUCUUGAGAUGAAGGAAGCUUGCCACAAUCAAGAAAUUAUAUUAAAAUAAAUUAAAAUUAUAAAGGAAAUAAAAGAGUUAGCAAGAAGCAACUAAUUGAAUGAAUAAUAAGGAUCUCAAUUGAGUUUAAAUUUGGAAUUUAAGUCUCUCUUAUUGAUCAAUUUGCUGUUGUAAGCAAAUUGCUAAUAAGUUCUGGCACUGGACAACAUGUGAUUCUGGUCAAUUAUUGGUUGGGUAGUGUACCUUUUAUGCUUUUCUUCUUUUAUCUUUUGAGGGUUUUUUUUUAAUUUAAUUGACUCUUAAUUAGUUUUUAUUUUUUAAUCUAAAUAUAAUAAUUUAAGGGAUAAAAAUCCCUCUAUAAUAUAAUACUGUUAUCGAAACAAUUAGAUUCUAAGUCAAAGAUCUCUAAAUUGUUCAAUUUCUGUAAUUCAUAACUACCUAUAUAAAAAAACCAAAUUAAGACUUCAUGUAAAAGAAUAAAAAAAAGAUAUUAUUACAGUAAUUUAAUUAUGAUUGAUCAAGAGAUAUAUAAUUGCUACGGUGACGCCACGUAAAGAGGUUGGGACGGUGAAAAUACAAGUAAGAGGACUUAUUGUUACGGUGAUUAAUAAUAUAAUAUAAGGAAUUAAACAACACCUUAUUACUAAAUAUGUUUUCUAUUUUCUUCGAUGGAGAACCAAAAUGUUACUAAUUUGAUUAAUUUUAAAAAAAAACUAAUAUAAAUAAUUUGUAAUACAAAAGCGAACCUUUCUUCUCAACCCAACCAGCUAUACGAUUGGGUUUUAAUCUGAAUAUCUUGAAAUUGAAACAAGGAAGGAAGAAACAAGGAGGUAUUUUUUUUAUAAUGCUUUUAAUCUGAAUAUCUUCUUUUAGAAAAAAAAAUGGUUUUAUUUUGUUUUGAAUUUUUGGGAUUUUAUAUUUUAUAAUUUGAUUUUUAUAUCAACUUUAAUUCUUAUUUAUUUUUCUCUUAUUUUUUUAAAUUAAAUAUUUUAAUUUAUUAUAUUUGAUUUUUUUUAAUCAAUAUUUAUUUUAUUUAAAAUAAUUUAUAAAAUUAUAAUUAUUUUUUUUAUUUUUUAUUUUUUUAUUUUUUUAUCUAUCAUGUGAAGCUAGCGUCCCUAUCCCUAUGUAUAAAAAAUGAUUUGAUGGUGCUUGGAUUGGGUGUAUGCCUACGUACUUAGUUUUCUGCACAGACCUUGAGCUUUAUUAGGGCAGAAAAUAAGCCGCCUGGCAUUAACCUUUUAUUCAUAUUUUUUUUUCAAAAAGACUCUGACUUGUAGUCAAUUUUUUAAUAUCUUGUUUGUUUUUGUAUUUUAAAAGUAUUAUUAAAAAAUUUAAAUUUUUUUUUAUAUUUUUUACUUUAAAUUAAUAUAUUUUUGAUAUUUUUAGAACAUUUUGAUAUGAUGAUGUUAAAAAUAAUUUUUAAAAAAUAAAAAAAUUUUAUUUUGGUGCAUUUUCAAGCGAAAAGAACUUUGAAAAGCAACCGCUACCACACUCUCAAACACUCCUCGAACGAAGAAAUACAAGUUUUCUGUUAUUUAUUUUAAGCUUUUUUUUUUCUCUCAGUGUCAGUUUUUAAAAGAAUUAGUUUUUAAAAGAAUUAGUUUUUAAAAUCUUAGUAAAUUAUACAAUUGGAUUUAUUUUGAUGUUUAUCACCCGUGUAUUAUAUAUUCAAUUCUUUAAUAGUUAGAAAAUACAAAGAGUUAGUGGCACUUACAAAGAGUAUUUGUAUCUUGUUUUUUCUAAUUAAAAACUUGAAUUGAUUUAUUUUUAAAAAAAAUUUGAAUACUUGCUCUUAUAAAUUUUUAUCAAUCAAAGUCUCUAUAUUAGUUUUGUUGCCAUAAUGCAAAUAACAUGAUUAAUAGUAUUUUAUUUUCAAUUUUUUUCAAGGCCUAAAUUUUCCACACGUAAUUUAGAAAGGAGCAAGUCUUGUAUAUCCGUCAUCGUCAUGUGUCUAGCAUUAACUGUAAACCCCCGUAAAUAAAAAUUAAUAAUAAUAAUAAAAAGAAAAAAAAACAACACAUAGGAUCGAAGUAAUGAUGUUUCGAUGAGUAAUAAAUAUUCGGUAGGAAAGAAAUGAAUAAAUAGUAGGAAUGACAAUAAAUAUGUCAUGUGAGAGAGAAUAAUCUCCAUAAAUAAAUUUAAAAGCAUUGUUGAAGUCGAAAAGAGAGUCAUGAUUUUUUAGUUUAAAACUUGUAAUGUUAGUGAAACCAGUGACGAGUUUCAAUGGAUAAAAGAAUAAGAAAAAAAACCAGAAGAUAUGUAAACCCCGGUCAAAACACGUAUUUUGACAAAUUAAUGAUAAAUGUGGUAAUAUUGAAUUUAUUGAGUAUAAAUUAAGGGGAAAUGUCACGAGGAUCUAAGUAAAUAAAUUAAUGCAUGAAAUUCAGAUUUUAGCGUAAUAGACAUUGAUUGUCUAGUUUUACGGUAUCGAUGAUAUAUCUCAAUCCGAUCGUUGGAUCGGGCUGAAAUUUUAUAAGGAAUCUCCAGAAAUAUUAUUUUAUAUUAGGUUCAAAUUUCGUGUCAAUCGGAGUUUGGGAAGGAUUUACGAGAGCACUGAAAAUCGGGUAAAUUGAAGAAGAUGACACAAGGGGCAUUAACAAGGGUAUUUUUGUAAUUUUAUCAAAACAAAUACUCUCCUCUCCUCUCUUUAAAAACAGAGCACGUCCUCUGCAAAUGGAAAAACAGGAGGGAGACCAUUUGUUUUGUCCCAUUUUCUUCAUUUGUAUAUCCAUCAUCGUCAUGUGUCUAGCAUUAACUUUUUAUUCAUGUUUUUUCCAAAAAAAAAAACUUGACUUGGGGUCAACGUUUUAAGAAGGAAUAUAAGUUUUGGUUAAUCAUGCAAUUCAUUUUUUUUCUGUACUCUAUGGUUUCGAUGAACAUGACUUUCUUAAGCUAGUUGUAGUAUAUAGAAAUUUCUUAUAACAUUUUAGAAAUAUAAUUCACAUCUCAAUUGAUAAAUUCACAAAUUAAUAUAAUAGGUUUUAAUAUUUAUUUUUAAUAUAUAUUUUGAAUUUAAUAUUAAUAGUUAUAGAGUUUAUUUAGUUAAUAAAAAUUGUUCCACUUUUGUUAUAUCACUUUCCUUUUAAAGGGGUUGUGUGCAGCCUUGCAAAUUAUUUUAAAGUUUAUUUAUUUUGAAUUUAAUAUAUAAUUUUUUUAAUAGAUAAACUUUAUUUUUGAAAAUAAAAAAAAUUAUUUUCAAAUAAUAUUUCCAAUAAAUGAACCCUGGCAUAUUAUUAUUAUUUUUUAUUUUAUUCAAUUAAUUUAUAAUAUGUAUCUAUUUUUAUUAUCGUUUGAUCGAAUUAAAAAAUUAUUUUAAUUAGAAAAUUUAGAAAACACAACUGUAAUAUCAUGUUUUGUGAAAUUAAAUAUUUUGAUUUAUAUUUGUCUAUUGAUUUUUCCAGUUUUUAUUUUGAGUCAUCAUUUAUGGUUUUUUUUCACUUAUUAAGACACAUAAUUCUUAAUUUAUUUAACUAUAUUGUGUAUAAAUUUUUUAAUUUUCACUUAAAAAUUUUUUAAAUAAAAAAUUUAUUGAAGAAAUCUAUAUAUAAUUUUUUUUAAUUAAAACAAUUUAACUUUUGGUGAAGCUGUGAUCAAAUAACUAAGUCUAUGUACUAAAAUGAGUGGCACUUAAAGGUUCACAUGUCUUAUCUUCCAAGCAAGAAGAGACAAUAAAAGUAGUAGGUGGUGUUCUUUUCUUCAGCUGUAAAUAGAUGAAGAGAUUAAUAUCAAAAACAUGGACAAAAAUUGAUGUGGACCCACACCACUUUGAUUAUUCUUCAUUUUCUUCGUUUUUCCUGUAUUUCACUACUUGAUGAUUCAAAAUUUAUCUAUUUAAAACAAUUUAAUUUUUUAAAAAUAUUUUUAAAAUACAAAAAUAAAAAGGUAUUAUUAUGUCAUAUUGCUAAAUUUAUUCUGACGUUAUUCACAAGAGAAUUAUAUAUUCAAUUUGUUAAGUGUUAGCAAUGCAAAAGAGACAAUGAGAAGUGCAAAUUAUUUGUAUUUUAUAAUUUUUUUUAUUUAAAAGCUUGCAUCAAUGUUUUUUUUUUCAAUUUGAAUACUUAUAUUCACAGAAUUUAAUCAAUAAAAUAUCUUCAUUAGUUUUAUUAUCAAAAUGAUGAUGUCAUAGUUAACUCUUUUUAGAUUAGUCUGGAUUGCUUUUAUUUUAUUUUUAAUGUAUGAACAAUAAAGAUAUAUAAAAUGCUUAUAAUUUAUAUUUUUUUUAUUCAAGUACUCUAAUUGAUUUUAUUUUUCUAUUUAAGUACUUGAUAAACUAAUGUUUUUCCAUAAAUUUGUUUACAUUGAUUUCUCUAAUAAAAGUAUAUAAAAAAAUUCAAUAAAACUAUAUUUUAUUAAUAGAUUUGAACUUAAGUGUUGUUACCUAUUUUUAGGACCCCACACAAAAAAGGAGAAAAUACAAAAAGUAAGAGUCGAAAAAAAUUAAAUAAAUAAUAAUAAAUAAAUAAAAAUAUAUGUCGCAGUGAGAAAAGCUGUUGGACAGCCCAAAAUGGCUAAAAAUUGGUUGAGAGGUUAAAAAAUACAAAGAUUGAAAUUUGACAGUAUAUCGUUGACUAAUGAGAGCCAUGUUGACAAAGAAAAUUCAUUUAAAAAAAAUAUAUCCAAAAUCAUAUGUUUAUGGACUAAAUUAAAUUUUAUUGAGGGUUUAAUUGAAUUUAUGGAGGGUUUGAUUGAAAGAAAAAUUGAGUUUUAUGUUGAUUUAGGCUUUUAUUGGAAGAAAUUAAAGUUCUAAGGUACAAUUAUAAUUUUGAAGAGUUGAUUAGGUCAAAUCAGGAGUUUAAUUGCAUAAUUAUUAAAGUUUUAUGGGCAAUUAGGGACUUGAUUGAAAAAAUACAAAACCAAGGACCAAAUCAAAAAAGACACGUAAAUAGAGAGGCUGCAAUUGACCAACUCAAGGGCUAAAUUGAAGAAAUUAGAAAUUUAUUGAUCAAUUGAGGGUCAAAUUGCAUGAAUCUAGAACCAAAGAUUGUCUUGUAAAUGGGGCUAAAAUCUAGGGAUCGAAUUACAAUUUAUGUGAGGGCUUAAUUACAAAAUUGCAAAAAAUCCAAUGACCAAAUCGAAAAUAUUCAUUUUGAAUUUUAAAACGGUACCGUUUCCUUGACAACUGUUCAUUACCUUCUUCAUCAACAACGGUUUCUACAGUAAAAGGCAGUGAAGAUGUUAGCGGUGGAGUUGCUUCAAUCAGGGGAGCAUGUCUCACAGCUGAUAUCCUUCUCCACCAUGAUGCACUCCGGCCGUUACAACCUUCCUGCAAUAAAUCCCGAAAAGCAUGCAUCCUCUCGCUAUAAAAAGCCAGAGGAGAGACGGACAGAAAAAAAAAGGAGACAAGGAGGGAGAGCCAGCAGGACAAGAGAGAAAGUGGGAUGUAGCACGAGAGGGAGACAGAAACGAGUAGAAGGAAAGAAUGUAAGCAGAGGAAAUCAUUGAGACUAGAACCAACGUUGCCAUCGUCUUCGUCAUUUCAAAAACCAGAGAUGAAGAAGAAGAAGAGUGCAAAUAAGAAUUGAACGAAAAGGAGAAUCAGAAACGAAAACAGUAGCAUAAGGAAAGAAAGAAACGUUGCCCGAUCAAAGCACUGAUCACCAUCAACUUUGUCUUCAUCUUCAGGCAGCAGCUCCAGGGGACGUUUGAGAGGACCAGAGAGGGAGAGAGAAUAAAACAGGGAACAAGAGGAAGAACAGAGCAGAAGAGAAAAAAAGUAGAAGGGAAACGCAGAGAAAGAAAGAAGAACCAACGGCCAGUCAGCACCACGGUCCGCAGCCACAACACUGUCCACCGCCACUGGCAGCACCGCUAGGCCGUAGGUCUGCUUCUUCCUCUUCCUCCUCUUCUUCUUAGUCUUCUCCAGGCCGCUCCACUGUUCACGUUGCAUGUGAACAGUAGAGAGUCUCUCCACUGUUUGUUUUAGUUUUUUGACCCAGACAACGCCUACCUAGUAAAAAAAAAUCAUUUUAAAAAAUCUGUGAUUUUCCCGCAUAUUUUUUUAUUGAAUUUUUCUUAGUAUUGAUUUGUAUUUUUAUAUCGUAAAGAUACAAAUUUGGAAUUAAAAUAUCCAAUUUUUGUCAAAACAUACUGUUCACGUUGCAUGUGAACAGUAGAGAGUCUCUCCACUGUUUGUUUUAGUUUUCUGACCCGGGCAACGCCUACCUAGUCAAAAAAAAAUAAAUUUCUUCAAAAAAAAUCAUUUAAAAAAAUCUGUGAUUUUCCCGCGUAUUUUUCUAUUGAAUUUUUCUUAGUAUUGAUUUGUAUUUUUAUACCGUAAAGAUACAAAUUUGGAAUUAAAAUACCCAAUUUUUUUCAAAACAUUGAAAAAUAAAAAAAAAACAUGUUUUUAUUUUCAUGCAUACGACCAAGUAUCUCAAAGAAAAAAAAUCAUAUCAUAUUUUCAUACAAAAAAAAUUCAAAAAUAUAUAUUAACAUGCAUUUUGGUUUUAAUAACUAGUUUAUUAAAGUCACGAGAACUAGGCCAAUAUUUCAAAAAAUCCAAAAAUAUUUUUUUUUCUUUUAGUAUUUGGGGUUACGACCUUAUACGUAAGAUGUAUUCCAGAUAUUAAAUUCUUUUGUUGACGUUAAAACAGUUAGGUUUUAUUCGAUAAGAUAAGGAUCUUCUUAUCGAGAAGGAUAUUAAAUUCUAACCAAUCAUUACUAAAUUGCUAUUGGUAUAACUAUCUCUUGCAAAUGGCAGCGAGGAGUUUAGGCUUCUAUGAAGCAAGGUUGUCAAUUCCAUUUUAAUUGGUGUUUUAUUUUUUUUAAUUGUAACAAUAUAUUUUUGUUUUUGAGUAUUUUGAUGUGUCAUUUUGGAUUGUUCUAUAUAUACUUUGGACUCAUCAAAUCGAAUGGGUCAUAUCGAUUUAACUCUUUAUUUUUACGUAUAUUUGAAAUUUAAAUUGUAUAAUUUCAAGUUAGUUUAUUUUUAAAUGUCAAUUAAAAUUAUGUUUGUUAAAAAUAUUGAGACAACGACAUAUUGGAUUGACUCGGAUUAAUCUAGGUUAAUCUUUUAAAUCCGUGACCCAGAUCAUGAGACCAUAAUAAUCCGAAAUAAAAACAAAUUAUGAAUCUCAAUUUUUAAUAAACCUAUUGUUGAAUUAUGAAAUUGAAAAAACAAAUCAAUCUAAAAAAAGACACAAAAAAUGACCUUACGAAACCAAAUUAUAAAUUUAAAUAAAAUUAUGAAAAUGUCAUCAGCAAUCUCACAAAGUCUUUCUAAACUCUAAUUGUUCUAAAAUUUUAAUUUGCGAUAUAAAUAUAUGUUAGGAGAUUCCUCAUAAAAUUUUAGUCUAAUUCAACAGUCGAAUUGAGAGAUAUAAUUAAUACCAUAAAACUAGACUAUAAUUUUUUUUAUAAAAGUAAAACAAUACAUUAUUUGAUCAUAAUAGAAUGGCUGGAAUAGAACCAAAAUAUUCCGGCAAGAAUUUAGGUGAAAUUCAUGAAAUAAGAUAAGAGUCUAAACGAGAUGAAAUAUCUUCUAAUUUAUUCCAUUGUUUAAAUUGAAAUAAAAUAUACUUGCCAUUAUAGAUGUGACAUAAUAAAAUUAAAAACCAUAGCGUUUUAGAGCCCCAAGCGUACGGCCCCAUCUCGUGGGAAAAAAUUGCAUGAUGACAAUGGUAUCACUGACCCAUCUCGUGGUGUAUAAUUUGUUGCAAUGUCUUGAUCUCCAUCAAAAUCCUUUUUGUUUUGAAAAGGACUUUAUAUAUAUUAGUUUUGAAGUUUUGAGAUAUAAGUUCAUAGCUCUUAAAGACAAGAAAUAUACCAAAAGAUUUAAAACUAUUUUAUACUUCAUUAAAAUAAAUAAAUAAAUUACUUAUAUGGUUACAAUAUUUUUUUCUUAUGAGAAUAAAUUGAUUUCAUGUGUUAAUAACAUUUAAGGAUUUCUUCCAAUCAAAUAAUCAAAUUUAUUUUAAUUAAAAAGUUUCCAAUCAAUAACAACAUUCCCAAUUGAACCAAAGUAUUUCCACGAACCCAUCUCGUGGAAAAAAUGCAUGAUAGCAACGGUCUCAGGGACCAAUGUGCAAAUGGAAAUGGUCUCACGAACUCAUAAAUGCUUACGGGGCAAUGGUCUUAUAGACCAUCUCAUUGGCGUGGAAAAAAUUGCAGAUGGCAAAAGUCUCACAAACCCAUCUCACACUGCAAAUUCCCAUCCAUUUUACGUGUUGGUUGUGUUACAAAAAGAAAACUCUUUAGAAAGAAAAAGAAGAAGAUUUAUUGUCAUGACAAUGACAAGAAGUAAUUUAGAAAUAAUUCAAUCUAAAAAAGAAAUAAAAAAUGACAUUUCGUAACAAAAUUAUAAAUUUGAAUAAAAUUAUGAAAAUAUCAUCGAUAAUUUCACAAAGUUUUUCUAAACUCUGAUUGCCUUAAAAUUUUAAUUUGCGAUAUAAAUAUAUGUUAGGAGAUUUCUCGUAAAAUUUUAGUCCAAUCCAACAGUCGAAUUGAGAGAUAUGAUUGAUACCAUAAAAUUAGACUAUAUUUUUUUUAUAAAAGCAAAACAAAAUAUUAUUUGAUCAUAAUAAAAUGGCUGGAAUAUAAUCAAAAUAUUCUAGUUAUAAUUUAGGUGAAAUUCAUAAAACAAAAUAAAAUUUUAAAAAUGAAAUAUCUUCUAAUUUAUUCUAUUUUUUAAAUUGAAAUAAAAUAUACUUGUUAUUCUAGAUGUGAUAUAAUAAAAUUAAAAACAAUAUCUUUUAGAGCCCCAAGCAUACGGCCCGAUCUCGUGGAAAAAAUUGAAUGAUGACAAUGGUAUCACGAGGAUAAUUUGUUUCAAUGUCCUCUCCAUCAAAAUCCUUUUUGUUUUGAAAAGUUGUAUAUAUAUAUAUAUAUAUCAUCCAUGGCCGUCUUCGAGAAAUCACAUGAGAAACGCACAGUUUCGUUGAUUAAUCAAACAAUUAAUUAAUAAAUAAAUAGUAAAAUGGUAAGACCAAGACUUGUGACUAUGACUGGCAAUGACAGGUUUGGCCCUUCACAUGACAGGAUAAAUAGAAAGCUUGUUGACCAGUAAUCAAAUGCAAACACACCACUCAAAAUGGCAACGACAUUUUCCCUUUUCUAUGCGCACUGCCAAACAGUCCCUUUACAUGUCAUUUUCACCAUCCCUCUCUUUUCCACGUGCUUUUCAGGAUUCAAAAUACGUGUUUAGGAAUAUUGAUGAAAAAUUAAAUAUAACCAGAAAACAAAUACAGUAAAGCAUUCCCAAUUAAACCAAAGUAUUUCCACGAACCCAUCUUGUGGAAAAAAUGCAUGAUGGUUGGAAGAGGAUGUCUCACAGCCUCUCCUCGAGAAAAAAUGCAUGAUGGCAAAGGUCUCAGGACCAAUGUGCAGAUGGAAAUGUUCUUAUGGACCCAUCAUUGCACACCCAAGAGAAUGCUUUUUUUUUUUUAUUAUUAUUAUUAUUAUCUUUCUUUCAAAAGAUAAGGUAAUUGGCUGUCGUGUGAUUUUUACAUGGCUUGUGUGUUUUGACUUUUAGCAUUCUUUUAGAUUCUUUUUGUUUCAACCCUCUAUCAAUUCAAUUGAAGCUUAUGAAGAACCCCAAUUGUUAGUGUUUUGACUUUUAGCAUUCUUUUAGAUUGGCUUGUGGUGUUCCUCCAAGAUUCUGCAUAAGGAAAUCACAAGGAUAUCACUGCAUGGUUGUGUUUAAAAAUCAAAAUGGCACACAGCAAGUCAAGCAUCCGUGUUCACGACCUUUCUUGGCAAUAUCCAUUGUCUCAUCAAUUACUUAAGAUUUGUGGAAGAUAUGAUACAAGAGAUAAGAAAAUAAUUGCUAUUAUCCACAAUUUCUCUGUUAUAUAUAUAUAUAUAUAUAUUAGACGGAGUUCCCAUUAGAUAAUCAAUAAUGUAUAUAUUAUUCUUGGAGAAGUAACUCAUUAGAUAAUCAAUAAAGUUUUUUUUUGUUCAUUUACCACUAGUUUACACUUCAAUCAAAAACUAAAUUUGCUUUUACUACUAUUUUAAUUUUUAAAAAAUAUUUUAUAUUGUUUUAUAUUGUUUAAUGCAUUAAUUUCAAGAAAUAAAUUCCUUUUAUCCUAAAAUCUGGACUUGAAAAACCAGAUUUAUUUUAUAAUUAGGGAGAAAACUAGAAAAUUGACUAGUCUUCUCAUUCUAAUAAUAUAAAUGGUAUGUCUUUGACUCAAUUGAAAAAAAAAUAUUUAAUAUUGAAAUGUAAUAAAAACAAGUCAAGAAUACCUUUCCGAACAUAAAAACAAAAGUGUGUGUAUAAAUGUUAUGUAUUUGAAGUUUUUGUGUAUAAUAUUAUAGCCACACAAUCCACAGGGAUAAGAUUUAUAAUUAUUCCGUGUUUAUUAUUAUUGAUAAUUUAUACAUUUAAUUAUAUACAUGAUAGUGAGAUGACACCAUGCAAGUAGGCUCCUAAAUGAUUCUAAAUUAUAACGAGAAAAGUACAAUUAUAAAGUUAAAAAGAUCUUACGCGGAAUCACAUUUAAUUAUAAUUCGCAUCCGAGUAAAUACCUUCACAAAUUAAUAUAAUAGGUUUUAAUAUUUAUAAAAUGAAAGAUAUUAAGAGUUGAUUAAUAUUGUUAAGCCAUAUAUGUUUAUAAAAGUCAUUUCUUUUUAAACCACAUGAUAUGUUUACAUAUUUGCAAUAUGUACAUAUUUUGAAUUUAAUAUUAGUAAUUAUAAAAUUUAUAUAAUUAAUAAAAACUGCUCCACUUUUGUUCUCUUCUCUUUCUUCCAUUAUUGUUUUUUUUUUCUUUUGAACUGCCUAGUCUCUCUUUCUUUUCUGUUUUCCAUCUUUCAAUCCUUCAAUAUUCAAAAUACAUAGCACGUUAGGAAUAUUAAUGAAAAAUUAAAUAUAACUAGAAAACAAAUACAAAAAAAAUGAUAUUCUUGUAGAAAUAAUAUCAUUAAUUUGUGGUUCAUUUUAUCAACGAUACUCUUUGAUUUUGCCAUCACCAUCAAAAUUAAGACAUUAUUUUAAUAUAAUACAAGUUUUUGGUUGAUUACUUUUAUGCAAUUCAAUUUUUUUUUCUAUAAUGUGGUUUUAAUCAGUGUUAUUAAAUUUAAUUUAAGCCUAACAACGUUAUUAAAUCAUGAAGUAUUGCAACAAUUUGUUUAUUUUUUUUAUAAAUUGGAUAAUUAGAAACCAAAAUAUAAUUAAAUGCAAAUAGGCUAAGUGCUAAACAAUAAAAUAAAAUAAUAUUCAAAUCCAAGAAUAUUCCAACCCUAAAUUAUGACGAGAGAAGUACAAUCAUAAAGUUAAAAAGAUUUUACACGGAAUCACACACGAAUGUCGAUAACAAUGUUGAAGUACUGCAACAAUAUUAUAUAUAUAUAUAUAUAUAUAUAUAUAUAUAUAUAUAUAUAUAUAUAUAUAUAUAUGAAAAAAAUGAAGUUGCAAUUGCUAAAAAUUUAAAAAUCUUAUAAAUAAAUCAACUAAAAAUUAAUCUCAUAUGAAAAAAAAAAUCUCACAACAACAUUUAUACAAUUAUUAAGAACAAAAACAAUUAAAAAUAAAAUAAAAAACAAAUAUAGUGAAAAAAAUCAUGAAAAAAGAAGGAAAAAAUUACCUUAAUUUAGUUGCAAGUGAAGCUAAGGAGAGAAAAAAAAAUUUCGUAAAGCAUAUUAAUUAAAAAUAAACUAAGAGGAUAAAAGAAGAAAGAAGAAGAAGACAUACCCGAGCAUGGAGGAAAAGAGAAGGAGAUGAGGAGAGAAAAGAAGAGAAAGAAAUAGAUAUUGAUGUUUUUUUACAUAUAAUGAAGAAGUAGAAGAAGAAGAAAAAGAAGUAGAAGAAGAAUAAUAAGAAAUGAGUCUGUCUCUUGUGAAAUAAGAGAACUCAAGCUUUUUAUUGGGACGCGUUAGCGACGGAUUUACCGACGGAUAAUUGAAUAUUAAUAUUUUUUAAUUAUUCCAUCGGUAAUUCCAUCGGUAAUAUUUAAUUUCAAUUUUCAAUUUUGUAAAAAGUUUUCAGAAACUGCCAACAAUUACCGAUGAUUUUUCAAUCCGUCAAUGAUUCCGUCUGUAAUAUUUAAAUGAAAAUUUUAAAUCAAUUGAAUUUUUUCAGAAAACCGUCAAAUAACACCGAUGACUUUUCAAUCCGUCGGUGAUUUUGUCCGUAAAGAACAACAAUUAACAGUGCAAUUGGAAAGUGAACAGUUAUGGAGCUCUACGGAAAAUUCCGUCGGUGAUUCCCUUUGUAAUUAACAUGAUGAACAGUGUUCACAAUUUACCAACGGAUUUACCGACGGAUUUUAUUCCGUCGGUAAUUCCGUUGGUAAAAAUGACACAUCAUUGUUUUUUUUUGCUUUAUUUUAAUUUUUUUUCCCACUGUAAUUCCCUCGGUAUAUACCGAGGGAAUAUUUUCGUCGGUAAAAUCUCUCGAAAAUUUAUCGACGGAAAUAUUUCCUUGGUAUUUCUGUUUGUAUUUAUCGAUUUUCUGGUAGUUUACUGCAACAAUUUUUUUAUUUUAUUUUUUUAUAAAUUGGAUAAUUAGUAACCAAAAUAUAAUUAAAUGCAAAUAGACUAAGUGCUAAACAAUAAAAUAAAAUAAUAUUCAAAUCCAAGAAUAUUCCAAAAAGAAUUAAAAUAAUAUUCAAAUCUCAAAACAUGGAACCCUAAAUUAUGACAAGAGAAGUACAAUUAUAAAUUCAAAAAAAUCUUACACGGAAUCACACACGAAUAUCGAUAAUAAUGUUGAAGUACUACAACAAUUAUUUUAUUUUAUUUUAUUUAUAUAAAUUGGAUAAUUAUUAACCAAAAUAUAAUUUAAUGCAAAUAGACUAAGUGCUAAACAAUAAAUUAAAAUAAUAUUCAAAUCCUAGAAUAUUCCAAAAAGAAAUAAAAUAAUAUUCAAAUCUCAAAACAUGAAACCCUAAAUUAUUACGAGAGAGAAGUAUAAUUAUAAAAUCAUGAAAAAAAUCUUACGAAUGUCCACAAUAUUUUUUUUUUAAAAUUGGAUAAUUAGUAACCAAAAUAUAAUUAAAUACAAAUAGACUAAAGGCCGAACUGAACAAUAAAAUGAAGGCCGAACUGCACAAGAUAAUAUUCAAAUCUAUAUUAUCGACAAAUACACCAUAAAGGCCGAAGUGUCAGGCUUUCGCACUUCUAGGUUAAUUCCGUUGGAUCAUGUUGAAUUGUCAACAAUGGUGCGAGGUACUCUAGGAUGCUUAGACCCUGAGUACUUGCACACAAGCCAACUGACGGACAAAAGUGAUGUUUACAGUUAUGGAGUGGUUCUUGUGGAACUACUAACUGGGAUGAAGGCAAUUUCCUUCGAUAAGCCCGAGGGCCUUUAAGUGCUAAACAAUAAAAUAAAAUAAUAUUCAAAUGCAAGAAUAUUCCAAAAAAAAAAAAUUCAAAUCCAAGAAUAUUCCAAAAAGAAAUAAAAUAAUAUUCAAAUCUCCAAACAUGGAACCUGCACAAGAUAUGCAGAUAAAGUCAAGGAAAUUAAAUGGCCAAAGUGUAGUAUAAAUAGGACCUCUAUGGUUGCCCAAAGGCACAUAACAAACAACAAUAUUCUACGUAGUACGUAGUUCAUAGAAUUAUCUAAGAUGAUGAUGAAAAGAAUGGGGACUUGGAUGUUGCUAGCAUUAUUGACUUUGGUUGGCGAAUGGCAUGGUCGUUGUUAUGGGUGUUUGGAGGAAGAAAGGGUUGGUCUCUUGGAGAUCCAAUAUUUGAUCGACCCAAAUCACGUUUCCUUGAGAGAUUGGAUGGACAUCAAUAGUAGUUGUUGUGAGUGGGAUUGGAUCAAGUGUGAUAACACUACAAGGCGAGUGAUCCAACUCUCUCUUGGCGGAGAAAGGGAUGAGAGCUUGGGCGAUUGGGUUCUCAACGCAUCUUUGUUUCAGCCUUUUAAAGAAUUGCAAAGUCUUGAUUUGGGAAUGACUAGUUUGGUUGGUUGCUUGGAGAAUGAAGGUUAGUUCAAUGUUUCUGCACUUAAAUAUAAUAAUAAAAUAAAUCAAGGUUGGUUGGUGUUUAAUGUCAAUUAUCUUGCUUUGAUGAUUCUCUUCCAGGCUUCGAAGUCCUAUCAUCAAAACUGAGGAAUCUUGACCUAAGUGCUAACGGAUUUAAUAAUGAUAAAAGCAUUUUGUCAUGUUUCAAUGGUAACCUUUCCACUCUCAAGUCUUUGGAUCUAUCAGCCAAUGGGUUGACAGCUGGAUCAGGUAGCUUCUAUGGUAACCUUUUAAUUAUUUAGCUUCGAAACCUUUUCUUAAUUUUAAGUUUUUUUUAUCUUGUUUUGUAAGUCUAUCAUAACUUAGCUUCCAUCUUUAAUUAAAUAUGCGUUCUUUGAAGUGUAUCAUUCUUUUUAUGUAUAAUUUGAGAAUCAUAUAUCAAUUGAACAACAGCAUCUCAUCAUUUCUAAUUAUCUUUAGUUUCUAUCUAUUAUGCAUAUCGUGAGCUCAUCAUGACUUACUCUUAGAAACAACUCUCUUGCAGGUUUUGAGAUCAUAUCAUCAAGAUCAAGAUCACACUUAGUUUCACUACUUACUUGAUUGCCUGUUUUCAAUUCUACACAUCAUAGGUUUAAGGAAGCUGGAAUUCCUGCAGUCAUUGCCAUCCCUGAAGACCCUAUCUCUCAAGUAUACUGAUUUAAGUCAAGGUUAAUCAUAGUUUAGUUUCUUAAAAUCUUAAUUAAUAAUAUUGAAUGGAAUGACUAUUCUGUACCACCACUAUUUUCAUCAUAUCUUUUUUCUUCUUCUUUCUUUUUAACAGGGACUUUCUUCAAUUCGAGCACCCUUGAAGAAUUGUAUCUAGAUAAUACUUCUCUCCGAAUAAACUUUCUCCAGAACAUUGGAGCAUUGCCUGCUCUUAAAGUUUUGUCUGUUGCUGAAUGUGACCUCCAUGGCACCCUACCCGCUCAAGGUAAAUUAACAACUCUCCAUCCGCCUAUAAUUACAUCAUCAAUAAAAGAUUCUUUCAACAUUGUUUUGACUGUUUCAAGAUAAAUUAAACAGGUUGGUGUGAAUUGAAGAAUCUGAAGCAAUUAGAUCUCGCUAGAAAUAAUUUUGGAGGUUCACUCCCAGAUUGUUUGGGGAACUUGUCAUCUCUACAACUAUUAGAUGUUUCUGAAAACCAAUUUACUGGAAAUUUUACGUCUGGUCCCCUUACCAACCUCAUAUCCCUUGAAUUCCUCUUACUAUCAAAUAACCUCUUUGAAGUUCCCAUUUCAAUGAAGCCUUUUUUGAACCACUCAAGCCUCAAGUUCUUCUCUAGUGAGAACAACAGACUAGUAACAGAACCUGUUGCCUUUGAUAAUUUGAUUCCAAAGUUCCAACUAGUCUUUUUCCGUUUGUCAAGUAGUCCAACAUCGGAAGCACUCAAUGUAAUUCCCGACUUCCUCUAUUACCAAUUGGACUUAAGAGCCCUUGAUCUCUCCCACAACAACAUCACCGGAAUGUUUCCAUCGUGGUUGCUUAAGAACAAUACACGAUUGGAGCAACUAUAUCUGAGCGCCAACUUCUUUGUUGGUACUUUACAGUUGCAAGAUCACCCAUAUUCGAAUAUGGUCGAAUUAGAUAUUUCCAACAACAACAUGAGCGGUCAAAUUUCAAAAGAUAUUUGUUUAAUCUUUCCAAAUCUAUGGACCUUAAGGAUGGCUAAGAAUGGAUUCACAGGUUGUAUUCCUUCUUGUUUAGGAAAUAUUAGCUCUCUUUUAUUUUUAGAUUUAUCCAACAAUCAAUUGUCUACAGUACAACUAGAACAACUAACAAUACCGGUUCUCAAGCUGUCAAACAACAGUUUGGGUGGGCAAAUACCGACCUCGGUGUUCAAUUCUUCUACCUCACAAUUUCUCUACCUAAAUGGUAACAACUUUUCGGGUCAGAUAUCAGAUUUUCCAUUAUAUGGGUGGAAAGAAUUGAAUGUAUUGGAUUUGAGUAACAAUCAAUUUUCAGGCAUGCUUCCGAGGAUCUUUGUUAAUUUUACGGACCUUAGAGUACUUGAUUUGUCCAAAAACCAUUAUAAGGGUCCGAUCCCAAAAGACUUUUGUAAGCUUGGCCGGCUUCAAUAUUUGGACCUUUCUGAGAACAACUUGUCUGGAUAUAUACCAUCUUGUUUCAGUCCACCACCUCUAACCCAUGUGCAUCUAUCCAAAAAUAGAUUGAGCGGUCCAUUAACAUAUGGAUUUUUUAACAGCUCUUACCUGGUUACGAUGGAUCUUAGAGACAACAGCCUCACCGGCUCUAUUCCAAAUUGGAUUGGCAAUCAUUCAUCAUUGAGUGUUCUUCUUCUGAGGGCUAAUCACUUUGAUGGUGAGCUCCCUGUUCAGUUAUGUUUGUUAGAACAAUUAAGCAUUUUGGAUGUUUCACAAAACCAGCUCUCUGGUCCACUACCCUCCUGUUUGGGCAAUCUUACUUUCAAGGAAAGUUCCCAGAAAGCAAGAAUGGAUCUCGGAGCUAGUAUUGUAUUAGAGUCCAUGGAAAAAGCUUAUUAUAAAACAAUGGGUCCACCACUAGUGGAUAGUGUGUACUUAUUGGGAAAGGAUUUUCGGCUUAACUUUACAGAAGAAGUGAUAGAAUUUAGAACUAAAAAUAUGUAUUAUGGGUACAAGGGGAAUAUUCUCAGCUACAUGUCUGGUAUUGAUCUCUCCAAUAACAACUUUGGAGGAGCAAUCCCACAAGAAUUUGGAAACUUAAGUGAGAUACGGUCAUUAAACUUAUCACACAACAAUCCCACUGAAUCUAUCCCUGCAACAUUCUCAAACCUAAAGCAGAUUGAGAGUUUGGAUCUUUCUUACAACAACUUGAAUGGUGUCAUCCCUCCACAACUUACUGAAAUUACCACAUUGGAAGUUUUUAGUGUGGCGCACAAUAACUUAUCAGGUUGGACACCCGAGAGAAAAUAUCAGUUUGGGACCUUUGAUGAAAGCUGUUAUGAAGGAAAUCCUUUCUUGUGUGGACCUCCAUUGCGAAAUAAUUGUAGUGUGGAACCAGUGUCGUCACAGCCAGUGCCUGAUGAUGAACAAGGAGAUGUUGGUUUCAUAGACAUGGAGUUUUUCUACAUCAGUUUCGGUGUAUGUUACACAGUUGUGGUGAUGACAAUUGCAGCAGUUCUCUACAUCAAUCCAUAUUGGCGACGCAGGUGGUUGUACUUCAUCGAAGACUGCAUAGAUACUUGCUACUAUUUUAUGGUGGCUAGUUUUCGCAAGUUCUCCAACUUCAGAAGGUGAAUUUGUUACUAGGGAGAUAAUCGUUUCUAGUUUGUCAUGAUUGUUUGUUUAGCUAUUGGGUGCUUAAUUUUGUAGUGUAUUGUCUCUACAUCAAAUAUAUAAGUGGGACUUCUCAUUCCUGAACUAUUAGGAAGGGAACUGAUUUGGAUUGGUCAUUGACUCAGCUGUGAUUACUCUUUCAACUCUCAAGACUUGUCUGAAAAUAAAUUGCCAGAACCACUACUAAGUAGAAACAAAAUAUUCUAUGCAUGUGAGCAACACUUACAUCUGCCAAUGUUUCAAGGGCGACCCCACCUUAGUUAUUCAAUCAAAGCAUUGAAAUUGGAGCAAGAAGAUCCACCUCAGUUAUUCAAUCAAAGCUUGGAGUGGUCGCUGAUUAAGGCUACCUGUCAAAACGCUGAAGAUUUGCCCGCAGCAUGUAGGAAUCAAACCAAAACCCCUUUUAAGAAAAUUUAAUCUGCCUGUCGAAACGCUAAAGAUUUGCCCGCAGCUUGUAGGAAUUAAACCAAGCCCCUUUUGAGAAAAUUUAAUCCCUGUCGAAACACUGAAGAUUUGCACUCAUAAAAAUCUGCCUUGUGUUUUGAAGAAACACCUCCCUUCUGUUUCCUCAACAUUUCAGGUAAUGUUUGAUGUUUGAUGCUCCAGGCAGGAAAAAGGACAAAAUUCUAGAAGAGAUGAUUCAACAUGACAAGCUCAAAUAUUUUGGCUUAAUAUUUUGCUUGGAUUUGUAGUAAAUCCUGUGAAAUUUUUGCUACAAUAUCAUUCUCUCUUCCCCCUUUGCUUUUCUUAAAAUCUCUCGUCCCACAUCAUCAUAAUUGGUUGUGACAUAGAAACCCCAGAUAAAGAUGAAAGAGAACCAUGCUGCAAGCUUGACAUAUUGUUCUGCUGCAUUGUUGGUAUAGAACCUUGCACAUUCAUUGAUGGCAACUGGGUAUUCAGUUGAUUUUCAUGGGACUGCAAUUGAGGAACUGGAGACUGGGAUUGCUGCAUAGGUUGCACAUGAGGCUGGGGAAGUUGUCCUAGCUGUAGAUUAGGAAUUGGCUUCCUGAAUCUGCUUGGGUUCAGAAAACUUACAAUAUGCUUCUCAUUGGAACCCAAUUUCUCCUUGAAACUAGGUGUGAUGUUGUUUUUAGAGACCUGUAAGAAUGUUAUCAAGCGCUCCAACAUGGCCUUGAAUACCUCCAGCUUUUCAAGCUGUUCUGACUUCGGUUGUUGCGGAUGAGAGUCAUGCUGGAAUGCAAAGUUAACAUACAUGAGAAUUAAAAAUUGCAUUGAUCCUUUGUAGCAAAACAUUAGGGAAAAAAAAUGUUUCUAUUCCAAUUCUUCUGUGUCGAUGCAUGGUUGAAUGCAAAAGCUCAACUUGGGGAAAUUGCAGAUAAUCAUGCGUGUACAGAUAAUCCGGAAGAAAUUGCGGAGACAAUUUACCUGCUGUAACUUGGCAGCAAUUCUUUGAUACAUUUAAUUUAUUUCAGGGAAAUAAGUCUCCUUCAUGACUUUGAUCUAGGAAGUACACAUAACCAGCAAAGCAUUAUCGGUCAUAUGCUUGAUUUCUUUAGGUGCCAGUCAGAAAGAAAGUAACACAAACAAACUUAAGAGAAUUGAAAAAAAAAAAAAGGGUAGAGGACAUCAUAAAUUAGUUGAGAUAAAAAUAGCAGAGUGGAAUUAACGCGGAAACUCAAGAGGAUGCCGAUAUUGAUGGAAUGGAAAGAUGCAAAGGGCUGUGUAAGUACACCUUUAGACAAGAUUCAGGGGCUGGUUGAGUUCAGUUACUUUGUCUCCCUGAAAACUACUCAUCAUUGUUUUCUGCUGUUCUAGCUCAAGUCAAUGGAUGUCGCAACUUUAACAACGCUUCUUAGCCUUAGAUCCUAAGCAUGACCCCAUGUAUCAUUAUCAACAACCAUUCUUAUUCCCGUUUUAAUACUCUCCUAAGCACAAAAAAAAUGUCCUUAUCAAAUAUGCAGUUAUGAGUUGAGACAUUCAGAAUUUCAACCACAUUUUCUAUAAAAUUCAACAAUACUGGAUAUGGUCAUGAUUCAAUGGAAUAAGUCCCACUUAAUUUCUUUUUCUUCCAUUGUCACAUGUUUCAGAACAAGUUGAUUGCAAUCGUGCAAAUAACUCUUCACUUAACCAGAGAUAAACUGUAAGUCAUUCAGAAAUAGUGCACUCUUAUUUUUAAGUCUGUCUAAUGCAAGUACGGACAAUAGGGGAAAAAAUCGAAAGGGAGAGGUUUGCAAUAAAAAACUGCCAUGCCAGAACCAAGAAGCAAUCCUCUUGACCUAGAAAUCUGAAUGUUUUUACCUUCAUUCAUCUUAUCAAUGAUGAAUCAUUUCUUAGUUGCUGCAAUCAUGGAACUUACAGUGCUUCCUAACUAAUCCCAACCAUAGCUGAACAAAAUUCCUUGGACCCAUCCCAGGAGACCUUUUUCCAUUGAAAUCUUGCAAGACUAUGGCAUGAAUGAACAGUAAAUCAUAGAAAUUACCUUUUGAUAGAUCUGCUCUUGCCAAUCAGCACCAUUUGCAUGUCCAGUCUGUGCUGUAGAAUCUAAGGAUGCUACAAAAAUUUCAAUACGGGCAACAAAAGAUUAGAAUUCAUGUAUUUUUGUGUGUUUUCCAUAUACAAGGGUAUUUCUAUAAUUUUCACACUUGCUGAAAAUUAUGAAAUAUUGCAAGUCUCAGUUUUAAUUUAUUUUCCAUUUUGUAUUUAAUUAUUCCCAAAGUAUAGCGAGCUUCAUUAGGUUUUUUCUAUUCAAGAUAGGACUAUUAGUAUUUUCCUAUAUAGUCCUUUUUGUAUUAGGAACUUCAUCUAAAUGUUAUGUAAUCAUUCAAACAGAUGGAGAGACCCUAUAAAUUCAGAAUGAGAGGGUGAACAGUUGGUGCAAUGCACUGGAGGGUAUGAUGUGGUAACAAAUGCGUGUGUGAUUGCAAUGAUUUCAAUCAAGAUUGUUAAAAUCGCGAUUUUAACACGGCACGGAAAGCCGUUCACAAACUCGGAUCGUAAAAACGGAUCGUAAAAUCGUAAAAUCGUAAGGAAUUUUAAAAUAUAUAUAAAAAAAAAUUCAUGAUUUAAAUAAAAAUAAAGAUUUUUUUUUAAAUUCAAGGCAUUUGAAAUAUGUAGAUAAAAUAUAUUUCUUUAAUCUAAACUUUAUUUUCUUAUUAAUGCAUCUCUUAAUCAUUUUAAUGAAAAUAUUUUUUUUUAAAUUGCAAACACGAUUUUCUAAACAACAAUCUAUCAUAAUAUUAAAAGUAAUAUUUGCCUCCUGAUAAAUUUUGGUCCUUGAAUUUUAAAUUUUUUUUCAAGCAAUGAAACUAAAUUGUUUUGUUUAAAAUUGAGCAUUAACCCAAUGACAUAAUCUUUUUUGACAUUAAGAUAACCACUUAGAGAAAAAGUAAAAUAAAGUUUUAAGCUUAAUUCCUUGUGAACAUUACGUAGAAUAACAAAAAUGAAAAAUAAAUCAAUAAACAUAGUAGAAAAAAUUUAAAGGACGGAAAAAAAAAAUUAAAGGACGGGAAAAAAAAAAACAUUGUUGUUUCUCCUUUUAAUACCUCCUAGUAUACAGUAAAAACACCUUUAGAUAUUUUUGUUAAUAAUUGCAUGUUGUACAAUAUGCACAGAAGAAACCAAAACGUGAACGGCUUUCCGUAUUUUUCUUAAACCAAAUCCUAGGGAAAGCAAAUCGUGCCCGCGAAGCUUUUGCUCUUACCAAAGCAUCUGACAGCUGUCCAAGAGGGGGAGAUUUUGUUUCAGGGCCUCAUUUUAUCAAAAUCGCAAAAUCGGUCCUGAAAUCAUGAUUUUGCGCGAUUUCAUCCGAUUUUUGCGAUUUCACUUGAUUUCAACCCGAUUUUACCCAUUUUCAAUUUUUUCAAGCGAUUCAACCCGUAAUGCAUGUUUUGACUCGUAAAAUCGUACAAUUUUACGAGUCAAAACACGAUUUUAACAACCUUGGUUUCAAUAGCAGUGGCAUUACUAAUGCCAUAAAUGGCAGCAGUAGCACAUAAAGCUACCUAAAAGAGCAUUGCUGACUCGAACCAUUUAUAGUUAUUAAACCCGGACCGGCCUAGUGGGUUGACCCGGAACCCGGUAGCUAGACCGGUCCGGGUAAGGCAAAAGCCCGGGAUAAACAAAAACCCGGCAAAACUCAGUUAACCCGCAGGUUUGACCCAUGACCCUGGCAACCUAGCAAAACCCGGUUAGGAUCCCUUUUUUUUCAAAUGUAUUUUUUCUUCUAAUUAGAGACCCCUCUUUUUUUUUAUAUUUUUUAGUUCGUUAUUAAACCUUUUCAAAGUUUACUAUAUAAAGACUAGAAGAAUAUUUUAUUUUUUUAAUGUGGAAUUUGAAACCUUUUAGAAUAUAUAAUUCAUGUUCACAAGAAAAAAAAUGUUUUUUCAAUGUGAGAUAAAAAAAAUUUUGUUUAAAUACUUCAACUUAAAAGAAUAACAUACAACCAUAGUAUCUUUUCAAUGUAAGAUAAAAAACUUUUGAAAUAAUCUUUUAAACUUUAUUAUUUAUAACAUAUAUAAUAUAUAUUUACAUGGAUUGUUUCUUAAUUUUUUCAUAUAUAACAUUAAAACUUCAAAUAUUUUUUUAAAUUUUUUCUGGGUUGACUCGGGUCAACCUGUGUAACCUAGGACUCAGCUCCUUGACCGGGUCAACCCCGAAUCGGGUUUGAAAACUAUGUAACUAUUAUAUGAGGUGAACAGUUGGUGCACCGCACUGGAUGGCAUCGUGUGGUUACAAAUGCAUGUGUGAUUGCAAUAGUUCCAAUGGUAGUGGCAUUUCUAAUGCUAUAAGGGGAAGCAGUGGCACAUAAAGCUACCAAAAAGAGCAUUACCUGGCAUUUGUCUCUGAGAAUUGGCAAACAUAGUGGAGGGAAUCCCUUGUCCCAUUGAAUUCCCCACUGAGUUCUGUGAAACACCGGGGAUACUCUGCAUGUUCUGUGAUACCAACUGCUGACGUGCUUGAGACUGAUCUGUGGACGAUAGGAGAGGGAGAAACAGCCCUUGAUUCUGAACUUGAGGGGGCAUACUAUGGGAUGCUGUUCAAGAUAAAAGGCAAAAGGGAAAACCAUGUCAAAGAAAAAAACAAGGCACUGAACAAGGAAGACAAAUGAAACAUCGGCAGUUCACACAUAAAGUUAUGAGCGAAAGAAUUAGGAUGGAUUUGAUUCAAAGCAUAAAAGUGUCCUUUGACAAUUUUUGGGGUUGGGGGAAGAAUAGGUGGCUGAAAACAAAAAUAAUAUGACAAUUUUCAGGGUGGGGGAAAGAAAAGGAGGCAGAAAACAAAACAAUCUGUAAUAUUCUUGCCUAACAUUCAUCAAUUACUCAACUUUUUGAUUAAAGCAUGCUAAACACAUAGCAAUAUGCCGAAAUAAAAUGUAAAAGAGUUUGAUAACAAUGCGACAAACAAAACAAAAGGUAAGAUGUAUAGAAAUUCAAUGCACGACAGCAUUAUUUUAUACAAAAAAGGAUCAAAUACUUUCUCUCAGAAGAAAAGCAAGAAAGUGACGUCUUACCUCCUAAACAGGAAAAUCUUUAAAAUUUACCAUCUCAAUCAUAAAAUAUAAAAUAGCAAUGCAUCACAGUCCUUGUUCCUUAACAAGUUAAGGAUGAAACUCUUCACAUGCAUUACAGAAUUAGCAUCGUGGAGGUGAUCAUGAGAUUUUUCCAGCACGGCGAAAUACAUAGCAAUAUGCAGCAAUAAAAUGUAAAAGAUUUUAAUAACAAAGCAAGAAGAAAAACAAAAGGUAAGAUGUUUAGAAAUUCAAUGCUCGGCUGCAUUGUUACCUUCUGGAUCCAUGGGGGCAGCGGGCAUGGCGUUUUGUGACCUGAUCUCCAUCGAAAGCAUCUCAGAGAUAUUUUACGCAAAUAAUCAAACUGAAAUCAGAUAUCAAUAACAAAACAUAUUUACUUCUCUGAAAGAAUAAAUAUUGUAGGGAGCAAAUAGUGUAAAUAGAAAGGAAAAAACCACAUCCCCAAAAGAAUAAAGAAAUAACAGGAAAACAAAACAAAGUCAUAAACGAGGCUUUUCAAUCCCCAAUGAAUAUCAGCAGACUAAAUACCACAGCACAAAUAGAAGAUGAAUAUUUCAAAGAGGCCAGAAACACUAACCCAUCCCAAAGAGAUUGUCUAGGAUGUUUUAAUCUAGGAAAAAGAAGAAGAAAAUAACGAGUAUUAACAAUGAAUAUUUCAUGUUAUCAUUAACUCUAAAGAGCAGACUGAUAAGAAUCAACUUAACAAAUUUAUAGGCACAUCUUUCUUUGAAUAGACAACACAAUAACCCUGACCAGACUAAAUGCUCCACCCAUAGUAGAAUCUGCUGAUUGCGCCUUUCUUCGAGUUGCGUUCACGAGCAGCGAUUUCAUCGAUCCGAUUAUAUAUCUUUUUAAUUUACUUAUUAAAAUCGAAUUUCUCUCUCUGGAUAGUAAUUUCAAUUAAAUAAAUGAAAACGCAGACGUAAAUCUUUUUAAAAAAUCAAAAACAAAAUAGAAAAGGAAGCACCUGAUGGAGAUUUGAAGCCUUAUUGGUUGAGGUGGUAGCAGUUUCCGAGAGCAGAGGAGGGAAAGAGAGAGAGCUCAGGUGGGGAGAGGUGAGGAAUGUCUGACCAAAGUGAACUGUGCAGUGCGGUAGUUUUAAAAUAUAUUAAAAUAAUAUUUUUUUUAUUUUUUAAAAAUUAUUUUUGAUAACAUCACAUAAAAAUAAUUUAAAAACAUAAAAAAUAUAUUAAUUAAAAAAAAUAAAAAAAUUAAUUUUUUUAAAAAAAGCUUCUGAAAUGCAAUGACAAAUACACCCUAAAAGUAUGUUUGAGAUUGAAAUAACGAUGACGGUUUAAAAUGCUUUUCGUUUAAAAAAUUAUUUUUGACAUCAACACAUCAAAAUAAUCUGAAAUUUAAAAAAAAAUUAUUUUAAACAAAAAAAUAAAAAUUUUGAAAACUCUAACUAAAGGAAUUUUAUAUGUGUGUGUGUCCUGUGGCUUCACAGUCUUUACGGCGCUCCCAAAAAUAAUUUCAUGAACUAUUUAAAGUGAUCUAACAAUCUUAAAAUAAUUUAUUUUUUAAUAUAUUUGUUAUGUGUAUAUGUAUAUAUCUUCAAGAACAAAUUGAUUAAAUAUUGACAUAGAUUUAAAAAAAUAGUUUAAUUUUAAUAGGAAAAGUAAAAUGUGUAUAUUUUUUUUUUGUUAAAUUCCAUGACUAUGUUAAACUCCUUAUCGCUUGUUCUCUGUGUACUUGUUACAUUGAUUCUACAGGGAAAUAAAUUUUAUGUUGUAUUUUAAAUAUUGGUAUUUUUCUUUAAAAAGACAACUUUAUCCCCAUUAGCAAGACAAUCAUUUUGUGUAUAGAAAGAAAAAAAAUAAAUAUAUUGUACUAAUCCAUAGUGUUUUAUCUUAUAGUCUAUAAUGAAUCACUUGAAUCAUUUACCUGUUUUAGUUUUUUUUAAUUUUUAUAAUUCCACUUUGUUUUUAGUUCAUGUUUAGAUUUUUAGCAUGCAUUCUCAAAUCAAAUCUCUCUCCUCUCUUGUACAUGGAUAUUUUUUAAAACUUUUUUUUUCCUCACAAUCUAACAAUGUUGAAACUUUUUUUUUUUGCUUUUAAAUAAAUAGAAUAACCCAUAAUGCGGGUCACCUAUAUAGUUGGAUAUUAUAAUGGUGUUUCAUUUUUAUAUGAAUAGUGAAACACUUUAAUUUUUUAAAUUAGAUUUUUUUUUCUUUUUGAUUUGGUUUUGUUUUGUUUUGUUUUUCUUUUUACAAUUUAGUCCUUUUUUAUUUAAUUAUUUUUUGGCCUAAUUAUAUGAGAUAAAGUUUUCAAUUUAAUUAAAAAUAAACUACUAUACUAAAAAAUUUAUGUUUCUCUACCUUGAAUAUUUCAUGUUAUCAUCAACUCUUAAGAGUAGACUGAUAAGAAUCAACUUAACAAAUUUACAAGCAUAUCUUUCUUUGAAUAGACAACACAAUAACCCUGACCAUAUUAACCCAUGGUAGAAUCGGCUGAUUAUGCCUUUCUUCGAGUUGCGUUUACGAGUAGCGAUUUCAUCGAUCCGAUUAUAUGUCUUUUUAAUUUACUUAUUAAAAUCGAAUUUCUCUCUCUGGAUAAGAAUUUCAGUUAAAUAAAUGAAAACGCAGACGUAAAUUUUAAAAAUAAAAAACAUGAUAGAAAAGGAAGCACCUAGUGGAGAUUUGAAGCCUUAUUGGUUGAGGUGGCGGCGGAGGCGGCGGUUUCCUAGAGCGGAGGAGGGAAAGAGAGAGAGCUCAGGUGGAGAGAGGUGAGGAAUGUCGGACCAAAGUGAACAGAGCUUGACAGAUGACUUUAUUCUUUUCCAGAUUCGCUGACAAACUAAAGGAAUUGUAUUCUUGUGCUGCUUCACUGUUCAUAACUAACAAACUAAAACUAGAGGAAUAUAUUUAUGAGAGUGCUCAUUAAAACACGGUGCACUGUGUGUGAAUCAUGUGGCUUCACAGUCUUUAUCGCGCUCCCUCUUUGUUUUUCACGUUUCUUCUCGUGCGGUGGGUGUUCCCGCUCUUUCUUCUCGGCUGCUGAGGCUCCCUGGCGCCUUUUCAUCGACUUUGUCUGGUGCAUGUUCAGAUUGAGGCGGUUUGGCUAGUGCUAGGCGCGCGGGGAGAUGUCAGCCGACGGGUAAUCACCUGCAUCGGCUGGGAUGGCUUCAUUGAAGUUGUUCGCUUGUUCUGUGGCGGGCCUUCUCAUUAACUGAGACAAUUCUAACUUGUUUUUGUUAAUGAUUUUUUUUUUCUAAUUGAGACAUUGUUUUUGUUUUUAUAAACUCUUUUCUAUUAUAUUUUUUUUUAUCAAAGGUUCACUUUUAUUAUUGGUUGUAAUAUCAAAAAUAAAAUAUUAAAUAAAUCACGAAAUAAUAUUGUAAUUACACUAUUAACACUAAAGACCAGAAGAUAAAUUAUUUUAAGGUUAAAGAAUUCAUCAUUAUCUCAAUGUAAUUUUUAUUUCCGUUAUUGAUUUAUAUACAUGUUUUAUGUUAUGUGGAAACUUAACCAUUAUAGUAAAAAGGAACAAUAAUUUUAUGAACUAUUUAAGGUAUUCUAACAAUCUUAAAACAAUUUAUUUUCUAAAAUGUGUGUUUGUGUGUGUGUGUAUAUGAUGAUCCGGUUAUAUAUGGAAUAGAUAAUCUAUCGAGAACAAAUUGAUUAUAUGUUGACAUGGAUUAAAAAAAAUAGUUUAAUUUUAGUAGGAAAAGUAAAGUGUAUAUAUCUUUUAUUAAAUUCCAUAACUAUGUUAAAUUCCUUGUCGUUUGUUAUUUGUGUACUUGUUGCAUUGAUUGUACGGGGAAAUAAAUUUUAUGUUGCAUGGUAUUUUCCUCUGUUGUUGUGUUGAUAUGAAAAAAAAAUAGAAGAUCGGGGAAAAAAAGUUGCAUUAAUAUAAAUAUAAUCCGAAGGAUACAAUUAAUUUUUUAAAGGCUUGGCGUGAAUACUAAAGCAUAAGAGAGAGAAAAGAUAAGGAGGGAAAAAAACCUUUGACGCCGCCAAACCACUGCGAAUAUGACAACACACUCCACACCAUCAACUACAACUUCACAUUACACGUUGAACUAUCACACGUCUCCUUGAUGAAGUGGUGGCCUAUCAUGUGCUGACACGUGCUAUGCACAUGUUAGCCUUUUUAUUGAUUUAUUAAUAUUUUAAUACUUUAAAUUACUAAAUCGCUUCUAAGAGCAUCUAAAUAUUACAAACAAAAAGAAGCUAUAUUGCAAGGAUGAAAACGUUAUCCCAACCAACUUUAGAUUUUUUUUUAUUCUAAGAUUAACUUUGUCAUUUUACAAUACACAAAAAAUGAAAAAGACUAAAAAAUGCCUCUUGUCAAGGUCAAUAUUUUUGAACUCUCAAGGGUAUUAAUGUCAUUUUACUAUGCAAAUAAAAUAGAAUAGACAAAAAUACACCAUAAACAAAAGGUCAAUUGUUUUUUUGCUUGCAAGGGCAACAAUGUAGUUUUAGUGUGCAAAAAAGAAGUUAACCUUUUAAAUUUUCCCCAAUCAAUUUACAAAUAACCUUUCACUUGAAAAAGAUAACUUUACCUCGUUAGCAAGUCAAUUGUUUUUGUGUAGAGAAGGGCAAAAGGUAAAUAUAUUGUGUUAAUCCAUGAUGUUUUACCUCAUAAUCUAUAAUGAAUCAUUUGAAUCAUUGAUCUCUUUUAAGGGUUUUUUUUUAAUAUAUAAUUCUACUUUCUUUUAGUUCAUGUUUAGAUUUUUAGCGUGCAUUUUGAAAUCAAAUCUCUCUUCUCUUGCACGUAUAUAAUUGUUUUUAAAAUAUAUUUUUUUUAACAUUUGACAAUGCUUUUGCGUUAAAAAAAUUAGGAUAGCAGGUAAUGUAGGCCACUUGUCUAGUUAGGUACUAUAAUAGUGUUUCAUUUUUAUAUGAAUAGUGAAACACUUUAUUUUUUAAAAUUUUUUCUUUCUUUUUUAUUUGGUUUUGUUUUUUUUUUUUUACAAAUUAUUCCUUAUUUUUUAUUUAAUUCUUUUUUUGGCCUCAUUAUAUGAGAUAAAGUUUUUAAUUUAAUUAGAAAUAAACUAUUAUACUAAAAAUUUAUGCUUCUCUUUAUAUAUAUUUUUUGUCUUUUUAAGUAGUCCUUAUAUUUUUUUUCACUUCUUGAUUAAGUGUUUUUUUUCAUUUUAUUUCCUUUCAUUUUUUUACAAAUCGGUCUUUAGACAUUCUUUCCUUUUUUAUUUAACUUUUUUUGGGUCUAAUUGUAUGAGAUAAAGAGUUUAAUUUAAUUAAAAAAAUAUUUAUUAUACUAAAAAAGUUAGGGUUUUCCCCCUACUUCACUAUUCAUAUCCUCUCCUUUAAAACAAAUAAUAAUCUAUCUUCUAAUUUUUUUCUUCUUUUGAUUGAAUGAUUUUUGUUUUUUUUUUCCUUUCAAUUUCACUUUAAUAUUUUGUUGAUUUUGAAUUGUUCAUCUUAAUUUGUUUUUGUUUCUUUUAUAUGUAGUUAUCAUAGUCUCAAACCGACAUUUUUAAAUUUGUUUAGUGCUUAAUUCUGUAAGUGUCUAUUUUAAUUAUCACAUCAUUAUAUAAAAAAUAGUUUUUAAAUCCAGUGGAGUUCAUGAUCUGGGUUGUACAUUUGAUGAGUUAAAUUGCGAAGCUCAAGUUGAUCUAGUAUAUCAUCAUCUCAAUGUUAAAAAAAGAUAUCAUCUUGAUUUUUUUCUUAAAAUUCAAAUCAUGUUUUUAUUGGUCAUUUGAGUUGCCUUAAUUUGCACAUGUCAAGCCAACUAGGUCAUGUACGGACAGCUCCCUUGCGAAUUAAUUUUAAACUUAUGUUAGGUAAGAAGUCAAGUCAAGAGGUUUCAAGGUUGUCAACGGGAUCAGGUUUAAUAACAAUGUCAUAUUGUUCCUUUGUUUUUAAACUCUACCUUCCAAUUUUUUCUUUCUUUCAAUUGAAUCUUUUUUGGUUUUUUUUUUUAUUUUAUCCUUUAAUAUUUUAUUGGUUUUGAAUUAGUCUUGUUUCGGUUUGCUUUCUAUGAUAUUAUUGCAGUAUCAACCAAUUGUCCUAACAUUUGGUUGAUGCUCAAUUUUACAAGCAUCUAUUUUUGUUAUCAUAUCAUUAAAUAAAAAAUAAUUAAAAAAAUGCUUAAAUAGUUAAAAGCUAAAAUAAUAAAAUUUUAUCAAAUUAUUAAAUCAGAUCCUUUGAUUAAUAUUUUUAUGUUAUCUUUAAAAUCUUUUUAUAAUUAUUACUAAUAUUAAAAGAAGACUCAUUUAAGCAAAAUGAUUCAUGUACUUUUACUUUUUAUUCAUCCCCAUAUAAUUUAAAUUUUAAAAAAAAUAAAUAAAUUAUUAAAUUAGAUCUUUUUUAUCGGAGAGUACUCUAGGUUAUUGUGAUACGUUAUCUUUAACUUUUUUUUUAUAUGAAAUUAUUUGAUAUUUAGAAAAAAAUAAAUAUAAAGAUUUUAUUCGUAACUAUAUCUUUAAUAUGUGUUUAACAUAUGUUAAAAAAAAAACUCUCUAAAAUAGAAGGAAAUGUAGAAACUAUAAUGCCAAUAUAUUAAUAUUAAAAGUCACAUCAUAUAACUAUGUAUUUCUGUUAUUAUAUGUAGAGUUUAUUUGAAGUAAUUCAUAAAUAUCUUAAUAUAAUAGCUAUAGUAGAAGGAGAAGAUAUUUUAAUAAUAAAAUAUAAAUAUUAGUAUAUGAGAUCCAAUGCUAUAUCAAUUUCUAUUUCCUUGGAUUUUUUAAAGAUUUUUCGAUUUUAGAAAUUUCUAAAUAUAAAUAAUCAAAAUUGAUAAUUAAAAAGAAAGAUUAUGAAUUAUAGUAUUUUUUUUUUAUUUUUUUAGUUGUUACUCAUAUUAAAAAUCCCCCUUAAACAUAAUGAUUCAUAAAAUUUAUCUUCAUGCUUGUAUUCUUAAUUUCUAUUCACUUCACAUAUAAUUAAAAUUAAAAAUUAAUAAAAAUAUUUCAAAAUUUAGAAAAUUAUUGAAUUAGUCCUCAUUGUUUUUUUUUAUAGGUAGUCCUUGGUUCUUAUCAUACAUUAUCUUGACUACUUUAGAUAAAAAUAUUUAUACUUUUUGAUAGAUUUUACUAAUAUAUAAAAGGAUUUCUUAAUUUAAAGAUAACUUAAAAUUUUUAUCCAUGCCUAUAUCUUUAAUAUUAUUCCCACAUUUAAUAAAAAUAAACUCUUUAAAAUAAAAUAAUUCAUAAAAAUAUAAAUUUUGAAUAAAAUUUUAUUCAACAGGUACACUUUAUUUUUUUAAGUAAUACAGAUUUUAUCUAAAUAAAAAAAAUCUUUUAAACAAAAGUAAAUAAAAAUUUUUAUAAUAUAAUAGUUAUUUUUGUAGGGGAAAAAAUUUUAAUUUUAUAAUAUUAAAAUAUAGAUAUUAAAAAAAAUCCAAAUUUUCUUUUUUUUUUAUUUGCAGUUUUUUUCAAGAUUUUUUAACUUUAUAUAUUGAUAAUUAUAUGUAAUUAAAAGAAAAUCCAAUGAUUUCUUAUUUUUAUCAUGUUAUCAAACUAACUUUAUUUUUUUUUAAAUGACAAGAUAUAUUUUUUUAAUUGAAAAAAAUAUUUAUUUAUGUUUGUGGCAAGAAAAAAUGUCGCUCUCUUUUUCUUUUUUAUUUUUGAAAAAAAAGAUAAAAAUUAUGAUAAUAUAAUAUAAAUAAUUUUGUUUUAAUUUUUAACAAUGCUUAUAAGAAAAUUAAACAAAAUUUUUAAAGCUUAUUUCUCGAAGUCCAUAUAAUAAAUUCACAAACACAUAUACAUUGUUGUUACCCAUUUUUGAAUUCCCCAUAAAAAAUGAAAAACAAAUACAAAAAAAAUACAUAUAAAAAAUAUAUAUAUAUUAUGAAGGAAUAAAAAGAAAUAGGAGUGAGAAAAGGAUGCUGGAACUCCCAUAAAAUGGCUAGGAAUUGGUUGAAAAUGUUCAGAAAUACAAGAAUUGAAAUUUGGCAUUAUAAAGAGCCAUGUUGACAAAGAAAAUUCAAGUUGAGAAAGAAAAGUCUAAAAUCAGAUGUUUAUGGACUCAAUUAAAUUUUAUCUAAAGUUUAAUUGAAUUUAUAGAGUGUUUGAUUACAAGAAAAAAUUUAUUUUUAAGUCAAUUUAGGUUUUUAUUGGAAGAAAUUAAAGUUCUGAGGUCUAAUUAUAAUUUUAAAGAGUUGAUUUGGUCAAAUCAGGGGUUUAAUUGUAUAAUUAUUGAAGUUUGGUGGUCAAUUAGGGACUUGAUUGAAACAAUCUGAAAUGAAGGACUAAAUCGGAAAAGGCACUAAAAGCAAGGGAUCCAAUUACAAUUUAUCCGGAGGGCUUGAUUACAAAAUUGUAAGAACAUCCAAGGACCAAAUCAGAAAUAUCCAUUUUGAUAGGAAGACGGCGCCGUUUCAGAGCACUAUUUCAUCACCUUUCUUCACAGCUGUUUCAGCAGACAGUGGAGCCAUUUCAGCAACAAAAACAGCAGAUUGCUUCAAUUAUGGGGAAUGUUUCACGGCUACUAUUCCUCAACAUGCCGUUACCAAGCCGAACGUUACACCACAGGGCAUUCAUUGGCUUAUAAAAGCCAGAGAAAGACGAUGAAUGAAGGGGGAGAAACACUGGAGAGGGAACGAGACAGAGGAGAAAGAAAACAGAGAAGGUGAAACGUAAAGAGGAGAAAACAGGGGGGAGAGAGCAGAUAGAGAGGAGAAGUGGCAUUGAGGAGAAAAAAGAAGUAGGAGACAGUGAGGAGAACGAGAGAGCAGAAAGAAGAAGAGUAAGGGAGAGCAGGAAGGCAGAAAGAAAACGGGGAGAACAGAGGAGGAGAGAAGAAGUCAGUAGACGAGGACGGCAUCACCAUCAACUUCCCCUUCUCCAGAACCAGGAACCAGACCGAGCAAGACAGGGAGCGGCAUCAUAGCUUCUUCUCAGAAUCCGAGCUACAAGAUUAGGAGGGAUUUCUCCCAGCAGCGGCUGUGAACCAGGUAAGCUUUUCAUUCCUUUUCCUUCCGUUUAUAAUUGCAUGAAUACUGUGCAGGUGCGAUUUAAUUACUUUGUGGCUGUAGCUGGCGUGCGUGAAUUGUUCACGCACGCUUGCGUUUAAAAGCCAGUCGGGUCACUGGUUUGGGCCAGUGACCCGACCAGGCUUGCUGGGUCCAGCCCGCCACAUGGGCCGGGCUGGGCCCAGCCCAAAAAAUUCUUCAAAAAGUAUUUUAAAAAAAUAUGUGAUUUUUUUUUUGUAAAGUUUUUACUGCAUUUUGAUCAAUAUCGGUUUGUAUUUUUAUACUGUAAAGAUACAAAUCCGGCAUUAAAAAUACCCGGUUUUCAUCAAGACAUUAAAAAAAAUAAUAAAAAAUAUUUUGUUUUCAUGCAUACGGCCAAGUCUCUCUAAAAAAAAAUCAUAUUGCAUCUUAAAAAAAAAAAAGUUUUAGCAUGCAUUUUGGCUUUAAUAACCGGUUUAUUAAAGUCACGAGAACUGGCCAAUAUUUCAAAAAUUCCAAAAAAAAUUAUUUUGUUUUAUUUUAAUAUCUGGGGUUACGACCUUAUACGUAAGACGUAUUCCGGAUAUUAAAUUCUUUUGUUAGUGUUAGAACGGUCAGGUUUUACCCGAUAAGACAAGGACCUCCUUACCGAGGAGGACUUUUCUUAAACCAUAGACGGACCAACAACUAGAAAACAUGACAGGACCUUAGAUUUUAUCAGACAAUAAAACAAUGCAGUUUACCUUAGGUAGGGCGUAUUUGGGGUGCUAAUACCUUCCCUUUACGCAACCAGUCCCCGUACCCGAUCUUUGAGACCAGUUAGGGUUCCUAGUGACCAAAAUACUAGGUGUCGACUCCCAUUCUAUUUUUUCACUAAUAAAAGACAAGAAUUCCUUGUCUUCCCCCACAUAUUGCCACAUAAGAUAAGAUUUUAAGGGUGGAUGUUUUCGCCACAACGCCGCACACGUGCGACAUACAUAAUUUCUUAUUUUCAAAUUAUUAAUUAUUGAAGCAAUUCAUAAAAAAAUAUUAAAUAAAAUUUUAAUAAUACACGUUGCUGAAAAAACUAGUAUAAUAAAAUACACUAUAUAUAUAUAUAUAUAUAAACACACACUAUUUGACCCGUGUUUUUCCGUGGAUUGAAUAAUUUUAUUUCUAGGUAAAAAAAUAAAUGUACAGGUUUUUUUAACAUUUUUUUACCAUAAAACAAUUCCUAGUAAAAAAAACCAUAGAUUAAACUUGAAAAAUAAAGAAAUAAAUAUAAAUCAAGAAAUUUGAUCUUGAAACAUGGAUCAUGUACUAAGUAAGAAAUUUGAUCUCAAAAUAUGGAUCAUGUACUAAAUUGUGUCUAAUAACUUUGUUUUUAAGAAUAAACUAUUUAUUUAAUCAAAUGAUAAUAAAAACAAACACAGAUGAAAACAAUAAAUGUAAGGUUGCACAUAUUAAAAAAAAUGUUAUAAUUUUAUGUGAAAAUCAAGUAAAAAAUAAAUGAUAUUUAAUCCAAGACUAAAUAAAUUUUUUUUGAUAUAUAUAUAUAUAGCUGUAAAUAUCUGAUCUCGAAACAGGAACCAUAUAUUUAAUAAAAUGAUAAUAAAAAACACGGAUAGGAGAACAAUUGAAAAAAAAAUGAAAAAAAAUAGGUCUAAAAAAAUGUCUCCUAACAUAAAAAAAAAUUGAUAAGAUCUUUACUAUAAAAUAAGUAAAAAUUAAAUCAUAUUUUAUUAGAAGAGAAGAGCUUAAUAAUAUGUACACAUAAAAAUAUUUGAUCUUGACAUUAUUUAAAUUUUUCUUCUAUUUAAUUACCUAUCCUUUUUGAAUAUUGUUAUAAAAGCAAAGAGAAAAUAGUAUUUAAUGCUGAUAUUUUACAGUGUAAGAUCGAUUCUUGUACUGCUGAAUCUUUAUUUGGUUUUGUUUCUUUCAAAAAAAUUCUGAGCAUGGAAUGAUUGCACCCUCAGGCAACAACUGCUAUAAUGUAGGUUGUUGGUUCAACUCUUUAGAACUGGGAUUCAAUAAGCAGGGAAAGGUUGCAGAUAUCAAUCAUUACUGCUUCUCAUGAACGCUAAAGAAUCAACAGAUUUUUGCAUAGGAAAGCUGGAUACUACCUCUGGCUUUUUCACUGGAAACAGUAGCUAAAAUUUGUAGAGGAGAAAGAAGAGCCUCCCCAUUGUUUCUCCCUUCUUCUUUAGUCCUAACACUCUUAAUAACAGGUUCACUAGCAGGAUUGGUUAGUCUACCAUCUAAUAGGGCAGCAUAUUAACCAAAAUUAUGGAAGUUAGACCUCCUUUUCUUCCAUAUCAUUACUAGGAACAACAUAAGCUACUCAGGACUUUGUAUUCAGUUGAAAAUUGUUGCCAGCAAGUGAUGCGUGCAUACGGUUUCUCGAGAUGUUGAAGGCUUUCCAAGUUCUGUAUCUCUCCAGCAAGUGAAGUGCUGUGCAAAAAUCCCUAAAGCAAAUUGCAAUGGAAUGAGAAAUGAAGUAAAAAAAAGAAAAACUGAAAUCAAAUGAAAACAACAGGAAAAGUCAGAGUUAAGUUUACAAUGUUUUAAGAUCCAAAUAAGUCACCCAAAGUAGGACUAAUUAACCUCAAAUUAAUGUCUGAAAGCUCUCUAAGAAAAUCAAUAGGUUCCCAUAUUAUCGGUGAGUUAUCCUCCCACCCGAGAUCCAAGCUAGUAGACUGCUGAAUGACCUGAAGUGCUGACACCGCUGCAAAAUUCAACAACCAAUAGAGAAAGAAGAAUCAAUUAUAUCCAGGUAACAACAAAUCCGAGGUGAAAAUUCACGCGGACCCUAAUUUUAAUAUUUUUCUUGUUUUCUGAAUCAAAAUAGAAAAAGCAUUAAAGUUAUGAACAAACACAACACCAGAAGUUGGAACACAAAAUGGCCACAUGCUAAUUGCUUCGACCCCAUAAGGACUCUGAUCUACAACAAUUUCUCUCAUCCUUUGGAUUUCCAAUAGACUUUUCCCAGCUUUUUUAAGAAAAAGAAAACAAAAUAAUGCAGCGGAAAUUUUCCAAUAGGGAAUGCGCUCAAUGAAGUGUGAAAGGAUUUAUUUGCUGAAGCAUGCAGCAGCAACAGUCGCACCUAUCACGAGUGGAGGAGUGGACAACUCAGAGGAGGGCAAACUACAGCUCAAGGAUUCUAGAAUGGCACUUCAUUCCAAUUGGUGGCUUGUCAAGUUCUUCUUCCACCGCAUAAAAAUCGGCUCUCCAGAGUCCAAUAGGAAACCAUAAAGGUGGAUUUUAAUUCUGCUCCACAACUUGAGGGGCUUGAGACUUUGGAGAUAAUCUUUACCACUUCCCCUUAUUUGUCCUGUUGACGGCAGAGUUUUUUGGGGUUUUAGUAUAGUUAAUAAAAAAAUUUGUAAAGUAACACGGUAAAAAAAAUAUUUGAGAAAGUAAUACAGCUUAACAAGUCUAUAAUAUCACAGUUUUAAUCUGCAGCUUUAUACAAAAUUUCUUUUCAUUUCUCCUCUUUUUCUACCCUCUCUAUCUCCUUGUUGUGUAGAGAAGGGCAAAAGAUAAAUAUAUUGUGUUACUUCACAAUGUUUUACCUCACAGUCUAUAAUGAAUCACUUGAAUUAUUGAUUUCUUUUAAGUUUUUGUUUAUAUAUAUCCGACCAUUUUUGGCUAAUGGAAGAACAAGACAUGCAUAGAUUGCAUGUUGUGAAAAAAGAAUAAUGGUGUUUCCGACCAUUUGUGUCGAUUGGAUGAAUGAACAUCGAAGUUUCUAAGAGAUGAUCGAGUCGAUUUUGAAUUAUCUUACAUAGUUUUGAUCAAUUUAAAUCAAGUGAGCCCCGCACGUGUAUAGCACCGGUCUGCGGCCCUUUUCCUAAAAACAUAAAAAAAAUUCACCGAAUAUAUCAAUCUUUAGAGUGGAGUAGAGUGAGUCAUUGAAAAAUCAUAAUUUUUAGAGGCAGAGUCAUAAAAAUAAAUUGAAAUAAAUUAUAAAAUAUAAUACUAAAAAAAUCUAAUAUUAAAGAAUAAAAUUAAAAAAAAAUUAAAUUUAAAAUUAAAAAAAAUCAACAAAAAUUUUGAGGACCAAAAUAAAAUUUUUGUUAAUAUUUACACCUUCAAGUGCCCCUUGCUCUUAUCUUGUGCAGCACAAAAGAUUUAAACGUGUAUUUGUCCUAACAAAUAAAUUAAAUUGAUAUUUUUUAAAUUUUUUAAAAAUAUAUUAAAAAUAAAAAAAAUAAAAUAAUGGCACAGAAUCUCUUUAUUAAAAUAUUGAUAGCAAAUUAUGCCGUAUAUGGAUAAAAGGCAACAGCAUUAAUUGCAUUAUAAGGUUGUUUGCAUGUCAAAUUAGAGAAUUGUGGGGGUGGUUAAGAGUUUAUUAGCUGUUUUGGCUUGUUUUUAUGCACAACUAGAUUUAAAGUGUUUUUUAAAUUAUUUACCGUCAAGAAAAUAUUGUUGAGAGCUCAACAUUUUACUAACAAAAAGCUAAUGAAGGGACAUAACAUGGUUUGUUAUCUCAUAAGGUAAGGUAGUAUAGAUACAAAGGGUUGUAUUCAAAUAUAUUCCUCUUGUAAUCAUUCAAACUAAUAAAAAAAUUAUUUAUCCUCGAUUUAGCUGCCUUGAAUGAAUUUUUUUUUUAUCUUUUAAAUAGUUUUUUAAAAGGUUUUCAAUACAUCAUAUAAAAAUAUAAAUAAUAUAAAAUAAACUUUUUAAAUCACCCUAAUUUUAUACAUUAUCUUAUGAGCAUUUUAUUUUCAUUAUUAAAACUCUAAAAAUGCUUAUAUAAUUAAAAGCUAAAACAAUAAAAUUUUAUCAAAUUAUUAAAUCAGGUCCUUGAUUAUUAUUUUUAUCUUAUCUUUGAAAUCUUUUUAUAAUUAUUACUAAUAUUAAAGGAAGACUCCUUUAAGCGAAAUGAUUCAUGUACUUCUACUUUUUAUUCAUCUCCAUAUAAUUAAAAUUUAAAAAUAAUAAAAUUAAACAAAUUAUUAAAUUAGAAUUUUUUUUAUAGGAGAAUAACCUAUUGUGUUACGUUAUCUUUAACUUUUUUUAUAUGAAAUUAUUUGAUAUUUAGGAAAAAAUAAAUAUAAAGAUUUUAUUCGUAUGUAUAUCUUUAAUAUGUGUUUAAUAUAUGUUAAAAAAAAACUCUCUAAAAUAGAAGGAUAUAUAGAAACUAUAAUGCCAAUAUAAUAAUGUUAAAAGUCACAUCAUAUAACUAUGUAUUUCUGUUAUUAUAUGUAAAGUUUAUUUGAAGUAAUUCAUAAAUAUCUUAAUAUAAUAGCUACUGUAGUAGGUGAAGAUAUUUUAAUAAUAAAUAUAAAUAUUAGUAUAUGAGAUCCAAUGCUAUAUCAAUUUCUAUUUCCUUGGAUUUUUUAAAGAUUUUUUGAUUUUUGAAAUUGUUAAGUAUAAAUAACCAAAAUUGAUAAUUAAAAAGAAGGAUUAUUUAUAGUAUUGUUUUAGUUGUUACUCAUAUUAAAAAGCCCCCUUAAACAUAAUGAUUCAUAAAAUUUAUCUUCAUGCCUAUAUUUUUAAUUUUUAUUCACUUCACAUAUAAUUAAAAUUAAAAAAUUAAUAAAAAUACUUCAAAAUUUAGAAAAUUAUUGAAUUAGUCGUCAUUGUUUUAUUUUUAGAGGUAGCCCUUGAUUCUUAUCGUACAUUAUCUUGACUACUUUAGAUGAAAAUAUUUAUACUUUUUGAUAGAUUUUACUAAUAUAUAAAAGGACUUCUUAAUUGAAAGAUAACAUAAAAUAUUUAUCUUUAAUAUUAUUCCAACAUUUAGUAAAAAUGAACUCUUUAAAAUAAAAUAAUUCAUAAAAACUAUAACUUUUGAAUAAAAUUUUAUUCAACAGUAGAUUUUAUCUAAAUAAAAAAAUCUUAAAAACAAAAGUAAUUCAAAAAAUUUAUAAUAUAAUAAUUAUUUUUGUAGGAGGAAACAUUUUAAUUUUAUAAUAUUAAAAUAUAGAUAUUAAAAAAAUCCAAUUUUUUUAUUUGUAGUUUUUUUCAAGAGUUUUUAGUUUUAUAUAUUGAUAAUUAUAUGUAAUUAAAAGAAAAUCCAAUGAUUUCUUAUUUUUAUCAUGUUAUCAAACUAACUUUAUUUUUUUUAAAUGACAAGAUAUAUUUUUCUAAUUGAAUAAAAAAUAUUUAUUUAUAUUUGUGGCAAGAAAAAAUGUCGCUCUCUUUUUAUUUUUUAGUUUUGAAAAAAAUUAAAGAUAAAAAUUAUGAUAAUAUAAUAUAAAUAGUUUUGUUUUAAUUUUUAACAAUGCUUUAUAAGAAGAUUAAACAAAAUUUUUAAAGCUUAUUUCUCGAAUUCCAUAUAAUAAAUUCACAAACACAUAUACAUAAUUUCUUAUUUUCUAAUUAUUAAUUGUUGAAGCAAUUCAUAAAAAACAAUAAUAGAAAAUAUUAAAUAAAAGUUUAAUAAUACACGUUGCCGAAAAAACUAGUACAAUAAAAUACACUACACACACACAUAUAGAGCCGUGCUUUGCCAUGGGUAGAAGAAUUUUAUUUCUAAGUAAAAAAUAUAUAUAUAUAGGUUUUUUUAAAUUUUUUUACCAUAAAAACAUUCCUAGCAAAAAAACCACAUACUAAACUUGAAAAAUAAAGAAAUUUAAUCUUGAAACAUGAAUCAUAUACUAAGCAAGAAAUUUAAUCUUGAAAUAUAAAUCAUGUUCUAAGUUGUAUCUAAUAACUUUGUUUUUAAGAAUAAACUAUUUAUUUAAUUAAACGAUAAUAAAAAUAGUUAUACAUGGAAACGAUUGAAUAAAAACGAGGUAAAAAAAAUAUUAUGUAACAUUGUAUCUUGGAACGAAUGUUUUAUUUAAUAAAAUGAUAAUAAAAAACAAAACAAGGAUAGUAAAACAAUUGAAUAAAAAUGAAAAACAAAUAGGUCUAAAAAAAAUGUCUCCUAACAUAAAAAAAUGAUAAGAUCUUUUCUAUAAAAUAAGUAAAAAUUAAAUUAUAUUUUAUCAAAAUAUACAAUAAAAAUUUGUUAAAAUUGUAAAAAACAAAAUAGUUGUUAAUACUAACUAAAAAUUAAAGAGAAAAGCUUAAUAAUAAAUACACAUAAAAAUAUUUGAUCUUCUUGACAUUGUUUAAAAUUUUAUUUUAUUUAAUUACCUAUCCUCUUUGAGUAAUGUUAUUAAUGCUAAUUGAUAAAGAUAUCCCAUACAAGCUUGAAGUUUAAUACCACUCAUGUUUUUUUUUAUAGCAUGAUUUUUAUUGUCAAGGUUGCCAUGACACGACUUUUUUAAUGGCAAAGAGAAAAUAGUAUUUAGUGCUGAUAUUUUACAGUGUAAGAUCGAUUCUUGUACUGCUGAUUCUUUAUAUGGUUUUGUUUCUUUCAAAAAAAUUCUGAGCAUGGAAUUAUAGCACCCUCAGGCAACAACUGGGAUUCAAUAAGCAGGGAAAGGUUGCUGAGUCAAUUUUUCCUCAGUCAUAUCUAAAACAUGAGAGAUCAUUGAACAACAAAAUGCAAUAAGAGAUAAACGUUGACAUAUGAUUCACUUGUUUAACAAAGUAAUAUCUAGAGCUUAUAAGAGCAAGGAAUUUCUCAAGAAUAUAUGAAAUAUAAACAUACCAAGCCUAUAGCUCCACUGGGACUCGCAGAAUUUGUCACCAUCACAUGACAUCUCAUGAACGCUAAAGAAUCAACAGAUUUUUGCAUAGGAAAGCUGGAUACUACCUAUGGCUUUUUCACUGGAAACAGUAGCUAAAAUUUGUAGAGGAGAAAGAAGAGCCUCCCCAUUGUCUCUCUCUUCUUCUUUAGUCCUAACACUCUUAAUAACAGGUUCACCAGCAGGAUUGGUUGGUCUACCAUCUAAUAGGCAGCAUAUAUUAACCAAAAUUAUGGAAGUUAUGUUGGGAUAUUGCCAUUUAGUGGCAAUACCCCACCACUAAUUAUGGCUUAGUGGAAGCAUCACUAAUGCCACAAUUAGUGGCAUGAUUUCGGGACCUAUUGUCCCCUUGCUAUUGCUGGAGAAAGCUCACCAUGUUUGCCUAUAAAAGAGGCAAUUAUUUGAGAGCAAAGUUGAGAGAACGAGAGAGUGUGAGAACGUGAGAAUAGAGAGAAAGAGAGAGCUGCAAUGGCAGCAGCCUUGCUGCCAUUGCAGCAGCUGCAACAGCUGUGUGUGUGAGCUGGGAGUAGAGUAGAGUGGAUGUGAUCCUCCUCCUCCAUGUAUUUAUUGUAUCCUUUCUCUAUCUUUAAUAAAAUGAACCUCUCCCGUGGAUGUAGGCAAUUUGCCGAACCACUUAAAAUAUUGUGUCAGUGUGCUUAACCCUUCGAUGAGCAAUAUCAGAACACCCCCGGUCCGCGCAUGGGGGUGCCAGAAUCCCCAACAAUUGGUAUCAGAGCUAAUGGUUUAAAGGGGUGUUUGAUUUUUGCUCAAAAAUGAAAGUUGUCCAAAUUGUGUUUUGACCAUACCACUGUGUAGAGGAGGAAGAGACGAAGCCACUGUUGAAAACCACGUCGAAAUAGGACGUCGGAAACCUCCGCACCCACUGUCACGCGUCGACGAGGAGACUGCCCACGCGCACAGACGCGUGCCACGCGUCUUCUUCACCCGGAUGAGUUGACCCGACCCGAAUACCAGACGACCCGACCCACGUGCCAGAUCCGGAUAAGGAUGACAUCAUCAUGACGCAAUCAUGACGUUAGUAUACACAGUCAGCAGACGUGACAGCGCCCAGUUAGCACGCCAUGUCAUCGUCCAGUCAUCAGACACGUCAGCACUGUGGGACCCACAUGCCAUGUCGCCAGACGCGAGCCGAGCCACGCUGAGCCGAGUUGAGCCGAGCCUAAUUGGAGCCGAGCCAAGCCGCGAGCCGAGGGAUAGGAUCCAGUGUAGCUGAUCCUACGUGCAACCGGAUCUGAGAUUGAAUCGGAGCCGUUGAUCAAGCCAGAAUUGUUUUGAUCAAAUCUUAGCCGUCUGAAGUGCGAUUUGGACGAUUUGAGACUUGUUUCCAGCUAAUUUGAUCGUUCCGGAUGCAAUGGUACGGUCCGAUCGUUGAGAUUUAAGACCAAAAUGGAGGUGGUGAAUUAACAAAAGAGAUUGCCUGAUCAGGAGGCAUCUGAAGGUCAUCAUGGUGGUCGAUGGAGAUGAAGAAGAACAUGUCACACAUGUUUACCCAAUUACAUGUGCUGAACUGCUAAGUGGAGAGAAUUUUAAUUGCCUUGAGGGAAGGCAAAAUUGGGACACUCUGGACACCCGAUCAAGUGGACAAUUAGAGGUGUAGAGUGAAAAUUGAUGAAGACCAAUCUUGACGAAUCUAAGAACUGGUAGUCUCGCCAAAUGUUGAGAAAUCAUGUAUUAAACCAGUAUAUUCCAGAUCACUUGUAAAGGAAAGCCGCAACAAAGCUAGCAAAUGGUUGUAUAUACGGAAAGACAGUACGAUGGAUAGAUAUGGCCUAAGAAGUUCUGUCUAGGAGGUUAGGUUUUAAGCGGGACCAGUGUGACCCCUCCAAUCUUUCCUGGGAACUUGCUUAGUGGAAGGAUUAUCCAUACGUUACUAUUUUCGUAUAUAUAGCAGUUUGUAAUGAAACAGUUGAAGACUAGAAGGAUGGCGGCACAAGGGAACAGUUGGAUUCCGUAUGAUCAAGGAUCUGAUGAAGUGGUGAUUUCUCCAAAGAAGUUAGAUUCGGUGACUGUGAUUUCUCGAGGGGAGAAUUGAUGAAGACCCUGAUAAUGAAAGAGGAAUACAGCAAGGGGAUAAAGAUUGGCACCCUAUUUUGACUUGGACAGGUGUUAUGACAGGAUGAGCUGCUGUCAAACAUAAGCAAGGAAUAGGGAAAAAUCUGGAGAACAGAAAUUGCACGAGGGCACACGGAGAAUGUGCAUGAGUACCCGUAAGAUCCAACGAGGUACUGUAAUGAGACAACAGGUGCAAGGAGAAGAAGUGUUCCCAGAUGAAGCUCAGAGCAGAGACUGUUAAAGUUUGUACAACAGGAAGUCUCUUAUGCUCUUAAUGAAGACAACAGGCGAAGACCUUUUCAAUGCAUCCAAGGAUGGAAAGAGAGCUGUUGCAGAGGCACCUAAUUGAGGGGGUGCAAACGCCUGUGAUAAAAGGCGACCGCCUAUGAUGAAAGGCGAAGACACCAAAGAGAGUUGGUGUAGGUGGAGCUGUCAAGCAGAAAGGCACAGAAGCUCCAAACAUAGAAAUCGAGGUGGAGGAUUGCGAGGAGUAUACCGCAACUUUCUCUUUCUAUGUAGUCAGUGGCAGUAAUCUCUCCCAUAAGUGCACAUGGUGGUAGAGACUUUUGGAGCCACUUUGAAGCAUCUCAGCUGAAGGAGGAUGCGACCGCCCCAUGACAACGGGCGAAGACACCUUAGAGAAGGUGUGAGGGCCUUGAUAUAAGCCCAAUAUCAGACCGCCCCAUGACAACGGGUGAAGACACUUUAGAGAAGGUGUGAGGGCCGCGAUAGGAGCCCCAUUUCAGACCGCCGCAUGAUGACGAGCGGAGACACCUAAGGAGAAGGUGUGUGGGCCACGAUAUGAGCCCAGUUCAGAACAACCCCAAAGCCGAUGUGAUGGCUAGAUAUAAGUGGACAGGUGUAUGGAUAGCCAAUGAAGUGGCUAUGAUGAGUAUGGAGACAAAUGCAGGAUUGACUUUCAUGGAUAUUGCCCCCAUGCUAAAGAUCAAUGAGCUAGAAGACAUUUGCCUUGGACAAUAAGUGUGUGACUUGUGGAGCAUUAAGACGCGGCUGCUAUAAAGAAGCAGAAGGGCAUGCGCAGGUUUCGAGAACGAGUUGACUCUUGUCAAGGUGGUGAGCUCGGUAAUGGCAUUGUAAUACUCAGAGUAUGAAGACAUAUAUGGAUCAACCUUUAAUGGGCUGCCCCCAUGGUUAAAGGUGGAGAGCUACCUGGACUCUUACGACUAAGAGCGAGAGACUCACGGAGAAGUAAGGCGCGGUUUCUAGGGUGGAACAGAGGGCAGGCGCAACUCCUGGAUGAGUAGACUCUUGGAAGAGUGGUGAGCUUGUGAUCACAUUGAAAUACUCAAUGACUGUCGCACUUGGGAAUAUUCGUUUGAGGGGGUGUUGUAAGCCUUGGUGUAAGGCUUGAAAAAUCAUUCCGGACCGAGCAUGAUUGAUACACUCGAAGGGGAAUGUUGUGUUGAAGACGCUCUCAAAAUGGAAGCUUGGAAGAACUGCAGAAUGCAAGCUUGUGCUGAAGAAGCAAGAAAAACAAUUACCCACACAAAUGGCAAAGGGGGUGAUUGUUGGGAUAUUGUCAUUUAGUGGCAAUACCCCACCACUAAUUAUGGCUUAGUGGAAGCAUCACUAAUGCCACAAUUAGUGGCAUGAUUUCGGGACCUAUUGUCCCCUUGCUAUUGCUGGAGAAAGCUCACCAUGUUUGCCUAUAAAAGAGGCAAUUAUUUGAGAGCAAAGUUGAGAGAACGAGAGAGUGUGAGAACGUGAGAAUAGAGAGAAAGAGAGAGCUGCAACAGCUGUGUGUGUGAGCUGGGAGUAGAGUAGAGUAGAGUGGAUGUGAUCCUCCUCCUCCAUGUAUUUAUUGUAUCCUUUCUCUAUCUUUAAUAAAAUGAACCUCUCCCGUGGAUGUAGGCAAUUUGCCGAACCACGUAAAAUAUUGUGUCAGUGUGCUUAACCCUCCGAUGAGCAAUAUCAGAACACCCCCGGUCCGCGCAUGGGGUGCCGGAAUCCCCAACAAGUUAGACCUCCUUUUCUUCCAUAUCAUUACUGGGAACAACAUAAGCUACUCAGGACUUUGUUUUCAGUUGAAAAUUGUUGCCAGCAAGUGAUGCAUGCAUGCAGUUUCUCGAGAUGUUGAAGGCUUUCCAAGUUAUGUAUCUCUCCAGCAAGUGAUGUGUUGUGCAAAUCUCUAAAGCAAAUUGCAAUGGAAUGAGAAAUGAAGGAAAAAAAAAGUGAAAUCAAAUGAAAACAACAGGAAAAGUCAGAGUUAAGUUUACAGUGUUUUAAGAUCCAAUAAGUCACCCAAAGGAGGACUAAUUAACUUCAAAUUAAUGUCUGAAAGCUCUCUAAGAAAAUCAAUAGGUUCCCAUAUUAUCGGUGAGUUAUCCUCCCGCCCGAGAUCCAAGCUAGUAGACUGCUGAAUGACCUGAAGUGCUGACACCGCUGCAAAAUUCAACAACCAAGAGAAAGAGAAGAAUCCAUUAUAUCCAAGUAACAACAAAUCCGAGGUGAAAAUUCACAAAAUGAACAAACACAAAUUUUAAUAUUUUUCUUGUUUUCUAAAUCAAAAUAGAAAAAGCCCAACAUGAAUUGACAAUAGAAGUAAAAAAUCCAUAACUGCCAAAAAAAACUGAAACCAAAUGAAAAAUCAACAGGAAGAUACACUCAUCUUGUUCCAUUCAGUCAGGCAAAUAACCUAAUGAAGAAAUACCAAGGGAGAACCAAACAUAACAACAGUCCUAAACUAAAUAGAAAGAAGGAGGUGAGGCCAAUGUUGGGAAGAAACCCAAGGCGAGGCCAUGUGGGUUUAUGCAUUAAAUACAUAAUGAUGCUGUUGUCCCAAUCAUAGAAAGGAGCCACCACAUUAGCUCAAUUUAGAGAAGAAGCUGAGUCAGACCCAGGGAUCACCUCUCCCCCAAAGCUUAGCAAUCCACAAAAGCUGGAAAUUACAACCACCUCUCAUGAGCGCCAGAGUCGACAAUGAUCCAGGGAGAAAGCAGCUUGACCAAUCCACACAAAGCUCAGCCAUCCUUCCAGACCCAAAAGCAAGCACAUGGUUGGCAAGAAGAGCAGCCAAUAACCCGCGCUAAUUAGACAGAAACAAACCAACAACGACACCAAAAAAAAAAAAUCAAAGAAGCCACGUAAGCCACGCCCAGAAGUGGACCAUCGACACCUAAAAUGAGAAACGAAUGAAGAACUGUUCUAAUCCACAUGAAGUACAAUAUGGAUGAACAAUGAUAAUGUCACACCUCUAAAACUCAAAAUCACUGGCAGAAUGACAUAAUGAAUACGACGACAACCAAAAGGCAAUGAAAAGACGAAGAACCUGGGAAAGAAGAACAUCCACUAAGGAAUGAAAAGCUCCAGCAAACCAACCGAAAAAAGAUCCUGCAGAGAUAGUGAUAACAACACAAACCUACAUUAAAAGAAAAGAAACUAAAAAAUCAGGAAGAUAAACUCAAUGAAAUCAACAGAAAAAAAAUAAAAAACAAAAGCAAGUUAAUCAAAAUAAAGGAAGAGGAGCUCUAGAAAAAUGAGUACCAAUGGUAGAAAACCAUAUGAACAGAAAAGAAAGCAAAAAAAACCCAAGAGAGAGGCAUGAAAGAAAACCAAGACAAAAUGCAAAUGAAUCUAUCUACUUCCAACCCACAAAAAUUUUGUGAAAGCAUGGGAAACCCAAAGAUAAGAGAAGAAGCAAUGGAGGAAAAAAAAAGAAGACUACACUGAUGUCGUAGCAACAAAUGGCCUGAGAGUGAUGCCCAGACUUGAAAGCAAAAGAAAAACAAAAAAAUGAAGAGCUAAUUGGAAAUUCAAGACCCAGCCUCAAGAAAAGUCCUUGCUGCCCCACUCAUUUAAUACACAAUGAUUCUGCAUUGACAUCAAAAGCUGAGCCACAGCCAAAGAGCAACUCUUUCUAUAAGGAAGUUGAGCCAAGCCAGACUUGACGCAAACAAAAAGACCAGCAGAGAAGCCAAGACAACCUGCAAUAGACCCAGCAGAAAUGCAGCCCAAGGAUCCCAAAGCUGCAACAGCCAACUCAGUCGUGACCGAGCUGAGCAUAGCAGAAACAAAGCAGGGGAAAAGGGCUUGAUUCUGCAUUGACAACAAAAGUUGAGCCACAGCCAAACAAAAACUCUCUCCACACCCCAUCAAUCCUUAGAAAAACAGGUGAUGAAAGGCCAGCCAAGCAGCUGCAACAGCCAACCCACCCGUGUCAAAUUUGAGAUGCCUGAGCAUGGCAGGAGUUGAGCAGAGGAAAAAGAAGAGAAAAAGCACUGCUGUAUCAAGGACUGUUCUAAUCCACGCCAGUCUUGAUAAACAGUAAUUUAACCACAUGAUUUAGUUUAUAGUAGUUACAUGGCCGCAUGAUGCUGCGGAUUAAUUUUUUUAUAUAAAAAAUAUCAAAAAAACUAAGAUCUAAAAAUAUUAAAUUUUUUUACGAAGUUAUAUCCACGGCAAUAUGCAGUCCACAGUUAAAGGUAUAAAAACAGUAAAAAAACAAAAAAAAAACUAAAGGCAUCAGCCAAUAAUUCAAUAGAAAAAAAUUAAAUAUUGAUGAAUGAAAUUAAAUAAAAAAAAUUAUUAAUUAAAAAGAAAAAAAUAAAAGAAAAAAAACUUAUAAGAAGAAAAAAAUUAAUGAAGAAAAAGAAAAAAAAAUCUAAAUUAACUGGGUUAACCCGUCAAAUCUGAGAUUCGUGUCAUGAAAGUCUGAUAACUAAAUAGAAAAAAAAAUUAAUAUCAACAAAUUAAAUAAAAAAAUUAAUUAAAAAGAAAAAAAAAGGCAUCAGCAUUUUCACCGUGAACUGCACUGUGCAGUCUUAUAGUGAAAGGCAUAAAAAGAAAAAAAGAAGCAAAAAAAAAACUAAAGGCAUCGGCUUUUUAAUUGUGGACUGCAUACAAUAUUUAAAGAUGAAAUCGAAAAAAAAAAACUAAUGAGGAAAAAGAAAAAAAAUCUGAAUCAACUGGGUUAACCCGUCAGACCUGGGAUUCGUGUCAUGAAAGUGUGAUAACUAAAUAGAAAAAAGAUUUAAUAUUAAUGAACUAAAUUAAAAAAAAAAUUAAUUAAAAAGGAAAAAGCAAAGAGAAAAAAACCUACAGGAAGAAAAAAACUAAUGAAGAAAAAGAAAAAAAUUUGAAUCAACUGGGUUAACCCGUCAAACCUGAGAUCAGUGUCAUGAAAGUCUGAUAACUAAAUAGAAAGAAAGUUAAUACCAACAAACUAAAAUAAAAAAUAAAUAAAUAAAUAAAAACAAUGAAAAAAGACCAAAAAAAAUAAAUAAAUGCAUCAGCUUUUUCAUUGUGGACUGCACUGUGCAGUCCACAGUAAAAAGCUCAAAAAGGAAAAGAAAAGGAAAAAGAAAAAGAAAACAAAGGCAUACGUCACGGGUUAAAUUUUUUCUUUCAUAAAAAAUAUCAAAAAGGCUAAGAUUUAAGAGUGUUAGAUCUUUAUGCAAAGAUAUACCCAAGAGUCUUGGGUCUAGCUGCAACGAUUGACCCGAGAGUAAUAUUUACAAUAUUAAUAAUAAUAUUAAACUUACAUUACUCAAGUUUAAGUGAGUCUGGCUGCAACACCGGACCCAAUAGCCUUAGAUGUGGGUCUGGCUGCAAGGUCGUGUCGUAAAAAUGUGAUAAUUAAAUAGAUUAAUUAAAAAGAAAAAAACCAACAGGAAGAAAAAAACUAAUGAAGAAAAAGAAAAAAAAUCUGAAUUAACUGGGUUAACCCUUCAAACUAGGUUAACCCAUCAAACUUGGAAUUUGCGUCAUGAAAGUUUGAUAACUAAAUAGGAAAACAAAAUUGACAGAUUAACCCAUAAUUAACUAGGUUAACCCGUCAAACCAGGUUAACUCGUCAAGCCGGGGAUACGUGUCAUGAAAGUCUAAUAAUUAAAGAGAAAAAUAUUUAACAUUAUCAAACUAAACUAAAUGAAAAAAAUUAAUUAAAAAGAAAAAAAGCAAAAAUAAAAUUCCGGGUUCACUCGUCAAACCAGGUUAACCCGUUAAACCUGGGAUCCGUGUUAUGAAAGUCUGAUAACUAAAUAAAAAAAAAUUAACAUUAACAAACUAAAUUAAAAAAAAUUCAUUAAAAGAAAAAAACACAAAGAAAAAAGAAAAAAUAAACUUUAAAGGCAUAAAAAACAAAAAAAAACAAAAAAAACAAAAAAAAAUUGCUCAGCGUUUAACUGUGGAGUCCACAGUUAAACGCUGAGCAAUUUUAGUAUAUGUUCCAAUAUAUAUAUAUAUAUAUAUAUAUAUAUAUANNNNNNNNNNNNNNNNNNNNNNNNNNNNNNNNNNNNNNNNNNNNNNNNNNNNNNNNNNNNNNNNNNNNNNNNNNNNNNNNNNNNNNNNNNNNNNNNNNNNGUUAGCGGAACAUAUAGUCUCUCAUAAACGAACUAUCGCCGGCCUACCUGAAGAGUUAACUUUUGUAUCAUGUAACAAUAUACUUUGUAUUAUAAUUUUUUGCAUUUUCAUUGUAUUAAAUCAACAUUGAAGGAAAUUUAACAUGCUAAAGUAAAUUAUAAUUCAUUAUCCAUAAUAAUUAAUAAUCCAUAUGGAUGAAAACAAUACCAAGAAACUAACACAAGCAAGACUGAGUGUUCCAAUCAUAAAAAUGAUAUUAGUUUUAGUAUAAGUAACAAAUUUGAGGUUCCGCACUACUCCGUAAGCAAGGUUUUUUUUAUUGGUUUACAAAAAGUCUGGAUGAUACAAGCGUUUUAAAAAAGUAAAAAAAAUAUAACUUGGGACAUAGACCUGACUGAGAAAAAAACAAGUAUAAUCUAAUUAAAUAAAAAAUAAUAAUGAUAAUUAACGGUACAAUUUAAAAAAAAAAAUCAUGGGAACCUUCAAGAAAAAAGGUCACUGAAACAAAAAAAGACGAAGAAGCUAGGAUCCCAAUCAAUCAAAUUAAAAAAAAAAGAUUAAAAAAAGGAAAAACAAUUUACUCAAGUCAACUUCAAUGAGCAUGUCAAAUAUACAAAUCAUAUCAUGAGACUAAGAUAAGACACUAAAGCUCAAAUUAAAAAAAAAUCUAAAGUGACUAAGAUAACUCAGGCUAUUUUCAAAAUUAGCAAAAAAUUAUAUAGAAAGAAAAUAAAUAAAAAUAAUAGAGCUCGAUAUCCAAUUGAAUAAAUAUUGAAGGAUGAAACUGAAAAAACAUGAGUUUAGAAAAAAAAUAAUUAAGCAAACCCAGGUGAACCUUGAGUUAAUCUUUAAAACACGCAACCGUGAAAUCCUAAACAUGGAUUCAAUCAAUAAGAUCAAUUCCCAAUCAAUUUAAUGUUGACCGUGAAUUAAAAAAAAAACUUCAAAAAAACAAUCAAAGUGAAAAAGUAGCAAUCAAAAGAAUGAUGGUCAAAUUUGAUAGGAAAACAAAAUGAGGAUGAAACUAUAUAUAAAAAAAUUAAUUUAAAAAAUUAUUUUAAAUAAAACAAAUAGAAAUCAAAAGAAUGAGAACUUAAUUUUUAACUAAUUUAAUGUUGAAGAAUAAAAUCAGAGAAAAAAUCAAUUUAAAAAAAAUUACCAAAGUGAAAAAAACAACAAUUAAAAGAAUUAAGAUCAAAUUUGCUAGGAAAGAAAACCUAAGAAGGAUAAAUUGUAAAAAAAAAGAAAAAAAUUUAAGAAAUUAUUUAAAAUAAAACAAAUAGAAGUCAAAAGAAUAAAGAUCAAAAUUGAAAGAUGAAAAAUUUAAAAGGGGAUAAAAAUAAAAAUAAAAUAAAAUUUAUAAAUUACUUCAAAUAAAAUAAAUAGUAAUAAAAAAAUAAAAACCAAAUAUGAAUAAAAAAAAUCAAAGAGUUGCUUUAAAAUUUUAUAAGGCAUGAUUGAAAAUAAAAAAGGAUAGAUAAAAAGAAAAAAACCCUACCAACACCAAACUAAAAUAUUGACUACACGCGUUGUCGCAUAAAAAAAAAAAAAACGCUAGGAUAAUUCAAAUGCUUUAAUGAAAGGUUUGUUCACUUAACAGCCCUGCAAAUAACACUAGAAAGGCAUAUAAGUCAAAAUAUUUUAAACCAACUUGACAUUAACUAAAAAAACAUAUUGAAUUUAUGAAAGGAUGAUAAAGCUUGUACGUAGAUUAAUUUUAGUGUGCUAGAAAAAUUGAAAAGACUUAAAGCCUUGGAUUUAUGUUUUUUUUGUUUAAAUUUCAGGAUGCAAAAUCAUUUUUGUCUAGCCUUCGGAAUGAGGCUGGAAGUGGAAGGACACCGUGGCACUGCUGUUUCUUUUCCACCGCUAUGGCAGUGGCAGUCACGGUAGGAAAGAAGAAAAUUUAGGGAAGAUGAAGAUGAAGUUUUCAUGUGGCUUUUGGUCUUUUACGAUGAAAAAAAUGAGGGGAAACGGUUUAUGGUGGAGCUACUGUGGCUGGUGUAUUUGGGUCUAAAAGAAACUACCUCGGUGGGAGUGUUGGCUGCCACUGGUAUUGCUGGUGGCCAGGAGGAAGAAAUGGAAAAGCUUGGUUUGCUCCUGGCAUGGUGUCGACAGUGAUAGGGAAGAAGACUGUGAGAGAGCUAUAUUUUUAUUUGUGAGUUUUAUGUUUUUGACAAUAAUGGAGUAAGGGAUGAUUUUUGUUGGUGAAAAAUAGGUUUAUGAUGGUAAUGAAGAUAGCUUGGAAUGGGAGGAGACGAAGGGUCAGGUGCUUUUGUGUGAGUGGCGGCUGGGUUAGUAAUUUUUAGUGGCUCCCCUAUUUUUAGGUUAUUUUUUUAUGGCCUCCUCUCUUUGCCAGAAGUUUUUAAUAUUUAUAGGUAAUUUUUUUUAUUUUUUUAAUUGCUUGAUUCUCAAGAAAUUUAAAUUCACUUUAGUUCUUUAUUUUCUUUCUUUAUGCCUUUGAUCUUUUUUUUUUUCAUUUUUCCUUUUGUUUUCCUAUUUAUUUUUGUAUUUUGAUUUAAAAAAAUAGCAAUGCCAACACUAACUCGAUGAGAAAAAUUAAUCAAAGAUAUUGAAAUGAACAUGUUAAUAGUUGAACGCAUUAAAACAAAUUUUUGAAUUUUGAAUUCUUUCGAAAAGACAUUGAAAAUUACAUAAAUGUAUUAAAAAUAUAUUUUUAGGGUUUUUUGUUUUUUUUAUUGCUAUAUUUAGAUUUAAAAAAAAAAUAUUUUGAAAAGUGGAUCAAAAUUGAGUUAUGACAAUUACCGUAUUUUUACAACACUUACCGUAUAAACUCUUGUAAAGAAUUUUAGAAAGUAAAUUUAUAAAAAUAUAUAUAUAUGAAAGCCUUCCGAGGUUAGAAGAGAAAUCCGGGGUUUUGAUAUUAAUAAAUCAUGAGGCGGUUAUUCUUGUAGAUAUUUCAAUCUCAAUUAUUUUGAGAAUAAGGGUUUUCUCUUUGUUCUAAAAAAUAGUGUAAUUGAGGCCAGGGACUCCCUGUUGUGUGAAGAAUAUAUAGGAUUCUUCAUGAAAAGUUUGUUUUCGGGUGACUUGCUCGAGAUUUGCGAUUAGAUGACCUACUUGUUGUGCGACAAAUAUCUAGGGUUUAAUUGGAGAGUCAUUUCCGGUUGCCAAACAAGUGGGUUCGUAGUGUGGGUUGGAACUAUUAACUUAAAUGGUGUCAAUGGGGUAUUUAUCAGUUUCAGGUAAUGUCAGUGUUAGAACUACUGCUUUAGCUGAAGACUGUGUGGUAGCUAAAAUGGCAAAGCUUGUGGAAGAAGCUCAAAACAGCAAGUCUAAAACUCAAAGAUUCAUAGACAAAUCUGCUCAGUACUAUACUCCAGUUUAGGCAUACUGCAGUCCAAUUACUCAUCCAGUUUUAUAGGCUUUCACUGAAGUAGAGUAUCGAGAACAAGUAUUUGGACAGCCCUUCACAUCAUUCGUUUAGAAUGAAUCGUCAGCUCCAUUGCUAGACAAUCCUUUAUAUCCCAUUAUAUAUAUAUACAUAUAUAUAUAUUGGUAAAGGAAGAUUGCUCACAGACAAAUUAUUAUUAUUUUUAUUUAUUUUAAAAAAAUUAAAAAUUAGGUUGUCACACAUGAUAUAUCGUUGGUUUAAAGGAAUCGAUUGAUUUACACAUAUCGGAUUACAAAUAGAGAGGAAUCAUGGUUAUUUUAUAAAACUGCCAAAAACUUUCAAGACCAAAGUUAUUCCAUAGAUGUAGUAUUCAUGCGUGUUUGAAAUCUGAAUCACAGUGUUUAUUCUUACUGGGAUAUAAAGGCUUUCUACCUGUUCCGGAAAUUCUGUGAGCAAUCUUCCUUUACCAAUAUAUCUUCCUUCCCUGGCAAAAUUAAAAUAGCCAUUUCAGGUGAAAACAGCGCCGUCUCAAAACAAGCUAUUCAUCUCCUUCAUCCCACCGAUUCAAAGGAAACGGCAGCAGAUCAUUGUCACGUAUCUCUCCCCCACGAUGUGACACUAACAGUCCAGUAAUGGGUAUCCUUUUUUUAUCAUGCACGACUGAACCGUGCUAAUCUCCACACUAUCCUGGGACAGAUGAAGGGGCAUUCUCUUGCCCUAUAAGACCACAACACACAGAGACGAAGAGGCAGGGGGGAAGAAAAACAGAGGCAGAGAGAAGACUGAGAGACUUGUGACCUUCUUCCAGCAAAAGGGAACUUCAACUUCCCCUCACCGUAGGUUGUUGAUCCAACCAACCAAAUACAUACCCAGAGAAAUCAGGACGAACAGACAGAAGCCACAAAGGAGGGGAGAACCACAAACACAUAAUACAAAAAAACACAGACGAAAAAUGAACAAACACAGAUAAUACAGAGAGAGACCAAGAGGAACAAGAACAGAGAGAGACAGGGGGGACAAGAGAAACAAAAAAGAAAAAGAGAACAAGCAGAGAAAAGCAAGAACAGAGGUGAAGUGAACGAAAAACAGAAGUAGAGGGGAAGAAAGUAACAUUGGUUAGCCAGCGCUCCAUCACCAUCGUCUUUGUCUUUAAGUAGCAGCUCCAGGUAAGUCUUUCUUUCUCUUUCCCCCGCUUUGCACUUCAAUUCUUAAUAAUAAUUGUAAUAAUAAUAACAAACAUGGAUUGUGGAUCAUAAGGAACAGCAAACGAAAAGCCUUUUGUCAUGAUAUAUAUAUAUAAAUAACAGUAUGUAAGAAAUGGUUACGGUGGCGAAUCUAGAUGACAGACCAGUAACAGUGGCUGUGGCAGUAAAGGUACUAUGAUGGGGGAUCAUGAGGUAGCAUGUUGAUGGCAGUGUAGCGCCGCACCAUAUGGGAUUCUGUAGGCCUAAAAUGAUCUACAGGCUCCAUGCAAUAAUUGCGACAAUGAUUGAGCAUAACCUCUCUAGAUACAUGUCUGCAUAGCUUUCUUCUUCAACCCUGAGUCAGUGUCAUAGAAUAUCAUCACAUUUCUGUAGAAGUAGACUCAUAAUGAAACAUACAUCACAAGUAGAAUUUAUCUGACACAGACGAGUGAAAGAGCAUAUUCUUUCUUUCCCUGGCAAAUUAGAAUGGCAACAGGAAGAAUUGUAAUCUAGAUUGAUUCAAAAUCAAGAGUCAAAGAUGUUAAUUACCUCAAUGUCUAGGAUUCAAAGCUUUCCAGAAUCCACACACCAAUUCAAAGAUCCAACAAACCAUCUUCAUUUGCAUCCAUACUUCCAAUAGCUCUUUCCACUCUAUAAACGAAUUUCAUACAAAACUUUAACUAUAGCAAUCUGAAAAUGGAAAUAUAUAAAGUGAAGCAUGAAAAAUGUUUCCCAAGACUUCAUUACAAGAUAAAAAAAAAUAAUGGCAACUGAGAAAGCUCCACAAUAACAGGCAAGAUGACACAGUACCUGAAACACUAGAUUUUGGUACUUCUUUCAGAUUCAAAUUGAUCCAGGUAAAAAACCAAGGUUUGGAUUGAAAAAUAAAGCACUAAUAAUGGAAAGUACUUUAUUAUGAAUGAAAUAAGUACAUGUCAAAACACCCAUACAUGAUCCAAGGACAGAGGAUCGAACGGAACAAUCUACAAAUCCUCAAUUGAACAACAAACAAAAAACAGAUCAAGCUUUGAUGGGCCCAGCACCAUCCAAUGUGUCUACUUGUAGUCACCUUGUGAAUAAUACAUUUGGUAACUUGACAUUCUUGAUGCAAAGAGAUCAAGCCAUCCAAACUUCAUGUCAGAGACAUUGCUAUCCCAAAUUCCAGCUGCAAAUAUAAAGGAAAGCUCAGCAGUUGAAGAGAUGGUGCAUUGUUUCAUAGCAAUUAUUGCCAUGAAAAUAUUCAUGAAUAAAAACAGUAGAACAUGCAGAAUAAUCUCUGAAAGUGAAGUUGCUAUACCAAUUACUUAGCUGAAGAAAUUCUCAUCAAUCAUGAUGUGAAUGUGCUACUUAUUUCUUGAAGUUACCAAUUUGUUAAUAUUGUUGCCGCUCAAAUCCAGCUACUCCAAGCUGCUCAAAGAUUCUUGAUCUUUAUAAAAAUAAUAGUUAAUUAAAUCAUUGCAACUAAAAAAUUGUAGUCAAUAAGAAAGAUAUGGACAAACCGUGCGAUUCACAUGGAUUGAACCCCACAUUACACACGAGCAGCACGUGCGUCAGCGAUUAUAUUAUAACAUACUCUAAAUGGUGUGGGGGAAUCACUAUUCCCCCACACCUAAAUCACUGGAUUACAUAAGUAAUCCACAGUGAUUCUCCCUCUUUUUUUUUUUAAUUUUUCUCCUUUUUUUUUGUUUUUUUUUCAAAAUCAUUUUUUUUUCAAAAUUACCUUUUUUUUUCAACUUUCCUAUUUUUUUUCAUUUAUUUUUUUUUCAAAAUUUUUUUUGUUGAUUUUACUUUUUAAAUAUUAACCUAGUUAAAAAUUUUAUUUUGUAAUUUUUUUCUUUAAAAUACUAUGGAUUGCUGUGAUAUUUUUUCACAUAGUUUUUCUAUUUUAUUUCUUUAUUUUUCAAAAUUAUAUUUGUCGAUUUUUUUUAAUAUUAAGCUGAUUGAUAAUUUAGUUUUGUAAUUUUUUUUCUUUAAAACAUUGUUAAUUGCUACAGUGUUUCUCCGCAUAGUUUUUCUAGAUUCCUUCUAAAAAAAUUAACGAGGAAACACUCGCUCGCUCGCACGCACGCAUGUAUCUGUAUUUUUGUUAAGCAAACAGAUUAAUUCCUCAAGUUGAUUUAAAUAAUUAAUUGAUCCUUUAAUCAUAUUUUACCAUCAAGUUAGCGGCACAAACUAAGGAAAUAUUGCUGACAGCUCAGCAUUUUUCUAACGAAAAAUUAAUGAAGGGACUGAAUUGUAAACGUAUUUAAAAGUAUAGGGAUUAGUUAGAACAACUAGUUAUCAUUGUCUCUGAGAAUUAAUAUACAACUCAGCAUUUUGUUGAAGGACCAGGGGUGCAAGUGUCUUUAGUAUUGCAGUAGCUGUUGUAGUUAUGGUUUGAAAACAAUUAUUUUAUAAAAUGUACUUUUAGUUGAGGUUGGUUUGAAAAAAUAUAUGUUUAGUUAAAACUGUGGUUGAAAUUGAGGUUAAACAAAAAGUAGUUUAAUAUGUUUGAUUAAAAAUGCUUUUGAAAUUGAGAUUAUAAAAUAAUUUUAAAAAAUAUAUAUUAAUAUUUAUGGUUUUUAAUUUAAAUAUUAUAGAUUUAACUAUUGUUAUUACAUCAUGAAAUAAAUAAUACUUUAUAUGAAAUAUUUUUUAUUAUUCCAUUAAACUAUCUACAAUUCCAUCACGUAUGAAAUACAUCCAACAAGGACUACAGUUUCAUAAAUUUCUUACGAGCGCAACAACAUCAGGUAAAAUAUAAUCAGAAACAAAAUUAGGAUUGCGAUCAAAUUCUGUAAAUGCUACGUCAUCAAGCGAUCUCCGUCUAAUUAAUGUAGUGUCAUUGAAUAAUAUUUAACACUAGUUUUUCGAAUAAAACACAAUAUCUGUGAAAUUUUUUUGGAUUUUUUUAUUUUACUAGGUCACACCCGGUUCAAUGCAUUUAGGUUUGGAAUGGACCCGGGUCAAUGCAUUUAGGUUUGGGUCGGACCCGGUCCGACCCAUAUGGGUUGGGCUAAACCCAGCCAGCCUGGCCCGAUCACUGGCCCAAGCCAGUGACCCAGCUGGGCAAAGCAACAUGCGUGUACUAAAUUCACGCGUGUUGCUACACUGUUCAAGUGAAUUAAAAUUCACUUGAAUAGUAUAAUGUUGAUAAAAGCAAAGUGGGAGGAAGAUGAAAGUUGAGCACUUUUCUAUUCCUCUGUUCUGCUCCUUCUCCUCUCACAGUGUCUGCUUGGUGAUGGAGUUGGACUUUUUCCCUGUUUUCCCCAGCCACUCAUUCUCCUUCUUCUUCUUCUUCUUCUGCACUUCCAUGUCUCCAUUGUUCACGUGAACAGUGGAGACAUGGAAGUGCAAAAGAAAAAGAAAAAACACGCGCUUCUGGUUACUGGAAGAAGAAGAAAAAACGCGCGCUUCUGGUUACUGGAAGGAAGUUCAGUUGCGCGCCUCUGGUUACUGUGCUAUAACAUAGUUUGCAAAAAAAGCAGCUCCAAGCUGCUUUGUUCUCCCCCUGCGUUGUAAACGCAGUAAACAAUGGGGCCCAUGCAGAAUAAAUCUUGUUUUUUUCUUUACCAAACAACUUAAAUCUACAGUUUACUUAAAAUGCAACCGCAGCCGCAUAAACAAACGGACUCAAAGGUACAUUUAUAUAUUAUCUAGUUUUACAAUAUCAAUCAUAUCUCUCAAUCCGACUAGUGGAUCAGACUGAAAUUUUAUGAAGAUUUUCCUAACAUAUUGUUAUAACUAAGGUUGAAAUUAAUUAUAGGGAAAUUGGAGUUUAAAAAGGCUUUGUGAGACUGCUGGUGACAUUUUCAUAAUUUUGUUUUGAAAGGUUUUUUUUUUUGUUCUUUUUUUAGAUUAAUUUUUUUUCCAAUUUAACCAUUCAAUAAUAGAUUUAUUUAGAAUUUAGCUUUAUAAUUUGUUUUGAUUUACUUUAUUUAGUGUUAUUAUGGUCUUAUAACCUGGAUUACAGAUUUAGAAGGUUAACUUGAGUUGACCUGGGUUGAUCCAAUUUGUUGUCAUUCCAAUAUAGUUUUUUUAAAAUAUGCUAUCUUAAAUUUUUUUGAGUCAAAUUCUAUUUUUACUAGUCGUUCAGGUUGUCUUUGGACCCAUCUAGUUGAUCGGGUUAUAUCGGUUCAACUCUCAUUUUUUUUCUUGUGUUUGAAAUUUAAAUUGCAUAAUUUCAAGUUAGUUUAUCUUUAAAUUUGAAUUGAAAUUAUAUUUAUUAAUUAAUAUAUAUAUAUAUAUAUAUAUAUAUAUAAAAUCCCGAAACAGCACACCGAAAUACUUUAAAACCAAAACAUACCGUUUCAAUUAAAAAAAUAAAACACUAACCGGUAUGAAAUUGAGAACUUGACAUGAUAUGUUUAAAAUGAGCAUCAUCGAACCAUUCAGAGCAACCGUGUACAUAACAAGGGCGUCCCCUUCUCCGUCCAGAGAUUAGGCACUGAAUCCUUCGUUACAGUUAGAGGAGGCGAAGCUUGUCAAGCUUACAAUGGCGCGAAUCUUACUCUAGUCAUCGUCACUUGAUCACUAUUGAUUUAUUUUUCAUCAACACUACUGAUCACUUGUUUGUAUGUAUGCUGUUGUUGAUGAUGAGAAUUGAGGGUGGUAGAAUUUGAGGAUUUUUAUUCUGGAAUAACUUGGUAUGGUUUAAAAUAAUUUAUCAAUGAAGAUUUUAUUCUGGAAUAGUUGUGGGUUGGGUAUGUCUGCUAAGAGGGCCUCUAUUAGGAAUACAAUAACGCAUAAUGAUAUUGAAGUGUGUUUCUUGCUUGAAACCAAGAGGUCACUAUAACACUAGGGAUAAAAUCUAUUACAAACAUCUUGAAACUCUUUCAAAAUCGCACUUACUUUUUCAAGUGGUUUCUCUAAAACUUUCUUAGCCACUAAAGCAAAUACAACGAACUAGAUCUUUCUACUCUUAAGAGUGAAAUAGUAAGAAUUUGACAUACCAAAAAUGAUGAUGUCUAUAUCACAGAGACAUUGUAUACCUAACAUAUCCUACAUUUAUUGGAGUCACAUCACACUCUCAUCACGGUAACUUGAGAAAUUAAUAGGAAAAUACAUAUCUCUUUGAUUGUUAUGGAAGUGUUAUUAACCCAUGAUUUUUAUCAAUAAUGUAGUUUAUACCCAGCCCUUUUUGUUUUUUUUUUGGAGGAACCACCGAUGCCCAUUUAACAUUGCAUAGUUUUUUUCCCUCCUUCCUCCUAAGAACCAAAGAAAGAUAUGAUAUGUUUCUCAAUUUUGGUAGCAACAGUGGAUGUGAUAGGAAAUAAAGAAAGGUUGUAGAUAGGGAGAUUAUUUAUAAUUGAUUUAAGCAAGCACACUCUCUCACCAAUAGAUAAGUGACGCCCUUUCCAGGCAGCCAACUUGCUAUUGAUUCUAUUAACAAUAGUUUUCCACAUGAGAUGAAGAUGCACAAAUAGGCAGGCCCAAAUACUUAAAUGGCAUCCCCUCCAUUCUACAUAUUAGAUUGCUAGCAGUUGAAGAAGUAAUAAUAGUUCCAGUGAUUGAGUACUUGUGGAAAUUAACCUUCAGCCUAUAAAUCAACUCAAAACAUCACAUAGUUCUUUUGAUGUUUUGAAGAGAUGGAAAAUCAUAUGAACUGAAGAUGAGUGUCUCAUCUACAAACUGAAAGUGAGUAAUUUUCAGUUGAUCAUGACCAAAACAAAUACCUUUUAUAAGUCCCAAAUCACAUCUCUUUUUAGCAUUCUAACCCUCAGUUGCUAUAUUGAAAAGAGAUGUUGAUAAAGAGUACCCUUGUCGCAAUCCCUUUUCCAUAAAGAACUCUUUAGUUGGAGAGCCAUUCACAAGAAUUCAAAGUUUUGUUGUCGAAAUUAAUACAUUAUUGUAUCCAUCAUCUCCAUCGUAAACCAAAACCCACACAAGCCGUAACUGUUGAAAUACCUGGGCAGUAAUUGUUGUGCGUGGUCUAGGAUCGUGUGUGAUACCACCGGAAGGCGAGUGAUCCAACUCUCUCUUGGGGGUGCUGGGGAUUGGGGGUUAGGCGAGUGGGUUCUCAACGCAUCUUUGUUUCUGCCUUUUAAAGAAUUGCAAAGUCUUGAUUUGAAGGCUAAUGAAUUAGUUGGGUGCCUUUGAGCAUCAAGGUUGUUUCAUAUUAUUGUGUUAUACUAAAAUUAAAACUGAUGAAAUGGCUGCUGUUUAACGCUACUUAUUUUGCUUUGAUAUUUCUCUUGCAGGUUUCGGAGUGUUGAAGCCUUGUACGUAUUAAUUUUCGUAAGUUCUCCAACUUCAGAAGAUCUUAGCAUGGGAGUACUGAAUUUGUUGUUGUUGCUGGUGGGGGAAUAAGUGGUUUGCUUCUUGCAUUCUGGGCCCAAAAUUGUGUUAGUUCGAAACUUGUCGGCAAUUUUCUUGAAUGUGUCCAGCUAAUGGGUGCUUUAAGUGUUGACCUCAUAGCUUAGCCUUAUUGUUGAUCGUUUCAAUAGAGAAGUGUUGUAACUAUAUUUAUCUGUGGAAUCCUAAGUCUGUCUUGUUUAAUUACUUUGUGUUCGCUAUUUUUUUUUAAAAAAAAAUUUGCACUGACCAUCAUGUUGGAGUAUUCUGAUCAAGAAAUUAACAAUGAUAGAGUCCACCUUCAAGUUCAGUUUCUUAUUAAUCUCUUCCUAAUUUAACAUAAAAAAUAAAAAAACUAUACAGAAAACUCCUACUAAAACUAACUCUUUCAACUUGUCUGAAGGUGUAUGCACUACAGAUAUUCUCUUUAAUGAUGAAGAUCUGUUGCUUGGAUCAAAAUUCCAUAAACAUUAUUUUUUUUAUUAAAAGAUAUAUUAAUGAAGAGAUGGUAAAUUGUAUCUUGAUGGAUAAUCAUUCAACUAUUAAUAUACUAGCUCUUAAGAUUAUAAAAGAGCUCGAGAUUUAUAUUUAUGUUUAUAUAUAAAAAAACAAUGUCAUUUUGACACACAAAUAUAAAAUUAGAUUGAUGCAAGUAGACCCUAUAAAAAACCAUGAUACAAAUCUUACUCGAGGUUAAACCACGAGCAGUGUCUAACGAGGAUUGUUUGGAAAAGGAUUCUGGAAGCCCACCAGUAUGCGUAAGGAAAUCACCAGGAAAUUACUCAUCUUGGCCAGUAGUGCUAUAAAGAAGAGAAAGUGGUAUAUCUACUUUCUCAUCAAUUACGACAAUAAUUGACUCCCAGUCAAUACGAUCCACGCAAAUUGUUUGGUGAGGUUUACAUGCCAACAAAACUAAUUUGAAUAUUUUUAACGUGGGUAAACUAUUAAAUGUUGUAGUGAGGUAACAUUAUGUUUUCUUUAUUUCAAGAUAAAAAAAAUAUUAUAUUUAGAAAGGUUUCCGAUUAAUUAAAUAGGUUAUAAAAAUAUAAUUGCUUAGUGGUAUAGAUCAUGAAAAUAUGAUUGCUUAGUGGUUGUUUAAUGGUAUAGAAGUAUGAGGUUGACAAUUAGACAACAAAGUUAGAAGUUGUUAGUUUAAGUAUUUUAUAGGGCCACUGUUUGAUCCAAAAAAAUGAUUUGAAUAGAUACAGUUUUUUACCCAAAUUUUAUAUAUAGAAAAAGCUUGUUCUCUCUGGUUUUUAAACGGUGCAUUAAUCCAGUUUUUAUAGAAAUAGCUAUGAUGAAAAUAGUAAAGAAUACGUUGACUAUCUGUCAAUAAUGCUCAGGAAUGAUUUCAGGGUUUAUUAUAAAUUAUAUAUAAAAAAAUUGCUAUCUAAAUUAUAUACAUGGAUGAAGACUAGUUUACAACUCCAAAAGCAUAAUAGAAUUCUGAAUGUUCUAGGAGCUGUGAUUAGUUUAUUAGGUAUCAUGCAGUUAACAAAUUAUUGUAGUUAAGUGUUGGAGGGAUUUUAAGAGGUUAUAUGCUUGCCAAUAGGUUUUUUGAGCUAAGAUUUUAGACCACGCAAAGUAUAGAGAAGUUAGUAGCAGCGAGCAAGAACCCUGAACUCACUAGCCACGCUAAUAUUAGAAAUGUGAGGAAUCAUUAGCAAAAAGUAAAAACAAAUAAUGACAUAAGCAAGUGUCAGUCAAGUAAUAUACAACAUCAAAAUACAUAAACAUCAAAUAGUAAUUUUGUUGAAUCAGAAGAACCCUUCAUUUAUGGCUAUGUUCCAAGAUAUAUAAGUGAAUUAGUUGCAAAACAGGGAGUCUUUGUGAAAACAUUACAAUAGCAUUUACUCUGAGCAAGAACACCUCCAUGCAUGUGCUGUAAUUGACAAAGAAAAGAAGAGAAAUCCUUUCAAUUUAUGAAAAUGCAAUGAGUUAACCUUAUCUCACACUGCAAUAUAUACUCUACAGUAUUCAUGUAUGAAAACAUUUGAACGGGAAUAAAUAAAAUAAUUCAUCAAACAAUAUGAGAGUUGUUUGGAAAAAGAUUCUGGAAGACCACCAAUAUGCAUAAGGAAAUCACCAGGAAAUUACUGCAUGGUUGUGCUUAAAAAUCAAAAGGGCACACAGCAAGUCAAGCAUCCGCGUUCACAACCUUUUAAUGCUUUAAAUCAUCUUCGCCAGUAGUGCUAUAAAAAAGAGAAAGUGAUAUAUCCACUUUCUCAUCAAUUACUUUAGAUUUGUGGAAGAUAUGAUACAAGAGAAAGUGGUAUAUCCACACUCUAUAAUGGGUGGCAAGCUCCUUGCUUUUCACGUGAUGAUGCGGAUAAGAUGUUGCUUGUUCUUACAGGGAGAGGAAGCCCAGCUCCAGACAGCAGAAGGGAGAUCGUUUUCCUACAUCUUCAUCAUUAGAGCACAGCAAUAACUCAAAGCUAUCUUUAAAUUACAAGGGUUUAUUAAUCAAUUUUAUUAAAUUAUAUGGACUGGGUUAUAUAUAUUUAUCUCCUAUAUACUUUCCUGUCAUUGUUCAUCGGUGAGGUGAUAUGACGGAAGCUCAUCAUGCAUGAAACCACAUUCGAUAAUUUUGAUACCGAAAAUAAAAUCAAUAAUUUAAUGUUUUUCAUUCAAAAAAAAAAACAUCAAGACUCAUAUGUAUCCAUUCACAUGAAAAAAAAAAAGAAAUGAAAUGAAAUGAAUUAAGUAGGAAAAAUUCUUUUUUUUUUUAUAGAUACAAAUGAUAUUGAUAAUGCGUGAUCAUAAUAGAUUUCAAUCAUAUGAUCACGCAUUAUCAAUAUGGUAACUACUACUAGUACUUUAAGUAGCAAAAAAAAACAAUUAAAAGGUUGUAAUAUCACGCUUUUUUUUUUAUGCAUGUCUUUUCUUGUGCUUUACAGGUUUUUUUUCUUAAAUGAUAUUAUUAUGGUAAAAAAAAUCAGGUUUUCAACUAACUUAACCCUAGUUAAAAAAACCUUACUACGAAACAAUAAAGGAGAUCUUUCUACGAAAAAAAAUAAAAAUAUUAGAGAGAGAGAGAGANNNNNNNNNNNNNNNNNNNNNNNNNNNNNNNNNNNNNNNNNNNNNNNNNNNNNNNNNNNNNNNNNNNNNNNNNNNNNNNNNNNNNNNNNNNNNNNNNNNNNNNNNNNNNNNNNNNNNNNNNNNNNNNNNNNNNNNNNNNNNNNNNNNNNNNNNNNNNNNNNNNNNNNNNNNNNNNNNNNNNNNNNNNNNNNNNNNNNNNNNNNNNNNNNNNNNNNNNNNNNNNNNNNNNNNNNNNNNNNNNNNNNNNNNNNNNNNNNNNNNNNNNNNNNNNNNNNNNNNNNNNNNNNNNNNNNNNNNNNNNNNNNNNNNNNNNNNNNNNNNNNNNNNNNNNNNNNNNNNNNNNNNNNNNNNNNNNNNNNNNNNNNNNNNNNNNNNNNNNNNNNNNNNNNNNNNNNNNNNNNNNNNNNNNNNNNNNNNNNNNNNNNNNNNNNNNNNNNNNNNNNNNNNNNNNNNNNNNNNNNNNNNNNNNNNNNNNNNNNNNNNNNNNNNNNNNNNNNNNNNNNNNNNNNNNNNNNNNNNNNNNNNNNNNNNNNNNNNNNNNNNNNNNNNNNNNNNNNNNNNNNNNNNNNNNNNNNNNNNNNNNNNNNNNNNNNNNNNNNNNNNNNNNNNNNNNNNNNNNNNNNNNNNNNNNNNNNNNNNNNNNNNNNNNNNNNNNNNNNNNNNNNNNNNNNNNNNNNNNNNNNNNNNNNNNNNNNNNNNNNNNNNNNNNNNNNNNNNNNNNNNNNNNNNNNNNNNNNNNNNNNNNNNNNNNNNNNNNNNNNNNNNNNNNNNNNNNNNNNNNNNNNNNNNNNNNNNNNNNNNNNNNNNNNNNNNNNNNNNNNNNNNNNNNNNNNNNNNNNNNNNNNNNNNNNNNNNNNNNNNNNNNNNNNNNNNNNNNNNNNNNNNNNNNNNNNNNNNNNNNNNNNNNNNNNNNNNNNNNNNNNNNNNNNNNNNNNNNNNNNNNNNNNNNNNNNNNNNNNNNNNNNNNNNNNNNNNNNNNNNNNNNNNNNNNNNNNNNNNNNNNNNNNNNNNNNNNNNNNNNNNNNNNNNNNNNNNNNNNNNNNNNNNNNNNNNNNNNNNNNNNNNNNNNNNNNNNNNNNNNNNNNNNNNNNNNNNNNNNNNNNNNNNNNNNNNNNNNNNNNNNNNNNNNNNNNNNNNNNNNNNNNNNNNNNNNNNNNNNNNNNNNNNNNNNNNNNNNNNNNNNNNNNNNNNNNNNNNNNNNNNNNNNNNNNNNNNNNNNNNNNNNNNNNNNNNNNNNNNNNNNNNNNNNNNNNNNNNNNNNNNNNNNNNNNNNNNNNNNNNNNNNNNNNNNNNNNNNNNNNNNNNNNNNNNNNNNNNNNNNNNNNNNNNNNNNNNNNNNNNNNNNNNNNNNNNNNNNNNNNNNNNNNNNNNNNNNNNNNNNNNNNNNNNNNNNNNNNNNNNNNNNNNNNNNNNNNNNNNNNNNNNNNNNNNNNNNNNNNNNNNNNNNNNNNNNNNNNNNNNNNNNNNNNNNNNNNNNNNNNNNNNNNNNNNNNNNNNNNNNNNNNNNNNNNNNNNNNNNNNNNNNNNNNNNNNNNNNNNNNNNNNNNNNNNNNNNNNNNNNNNNNNNNNNNNNNNNNNNNNNNNNNNNNNNNNNNNNNNNNNNNNNNNNNNNNNNNNNNNNNNNNNNNNNNNNNNNNNNNNNNNNNNNNNNNNNNNNNNNNNNNNNNNNNNNNNNNNNNNNNNNNNNNNNNNNNNNNNNNNNNNNNNNNNNNNNNNNNNNNNNNNNNNNNNNNNNNNNNNNNNNNNNNNNNNNNNNNNNNNNNNNNNNNNNNNNNNNNNNNNNNNNNNNNNNNNNNNNNNNNNNNNNNNNNNNNNNNNNNNNNNNNNNNNNNNNNNNNNNNNNNNNNNNNNNNNNNNNNNNNNNNNNNNNNNNNNNNNNNNNNNNNNNNNNNNNNNNNNNNNNNNNNNNNNNNNNNNNNNNNNNNNNNNNNNNNNNNNNNNNNNNNNNNNNNNNNNNNNNNNNNNNNNNNNNNNNNNNNNNNNNNNNNNNNNNNNNNNNNNNNNNNNNNNNNNNNNNNNNNNNNNNNNNNNNNNNNNNNNNNNNNNNNNNNNNNNNNNNNNNNNNNNNNNNNNNNNNNNNNNNNNNNNNNNNNNNNNNNNNNNNNNNNNNNNNNNNNNNNNNNNNNNNNNNNNNNNNNNNNNNNNNNNNNNNNNNNNNNNNNNNNNNNNNNNNNNNNNNNNNNNNNNNNNNNNNNNNNNNNNNNNNNNNNNNNNNNNNNNNNNNNNNNNNNNNNNNNNNNNNNNNNNNNNNNNNNNNNNNNNNNNNNNNNNNNNNNNNNNNNNNNNNNNNNNNNNNNNNNNNNNNNNNNNNNNNNNNNNNNNNNNNNNNNNNNNNNNNNNNNNNNNNNNNNNNNNNNNNNNNNNNNNNNNNNNNNNNNNNNNNNNNNNNNNNNNNNNNNNNNNNNNNNNNNNNNNNNNNNNNNNNNNNNNNNNNNNNNNNNNNNNNNNNNNNNNNNNNNNNNNNNNNNNNNNNNNNNNNNNNNNNNNNNNNNNNNNNNNNNNNNNNNNNNNNNNNNNNNNNNNNNNNNNNNNNNNNNNNNNNNNNNNNNNNNNNNNNNNNNNNNNNNNNNNNNNNNNNNNNNNNNNNNNNNNNNNNNNNNNNNNNNNNNNNNNNNNNNNNNNNNNNNNNNNNNNNNNNNNNNNNNNNNNNNNNNNNNNNNNNNNNNNNNNNNNNNNNNNNNNNNNNNNNNNNNNNNNNNNNNNNNNNNNNNNNNNNNNNNNNNNNNNNNNNNNNNNNNNNNNNNNNNNNNNNNNNNNNNNNNNNNNNNNNNNNNNNNNNNNNNNNNNNNNNNNNNNNNNNNNNNNNNNNNNNNNNNNNNNNNNNNNNNNNNNNNNNNNNNNNNNNNNNNNNNNNNNNNNNNNNNNNNNNNNNNNNNNNNNNNNNNNNNNNNNNNNNNNNNNNNNNNNNNNNNNNNNNNNNNNNNNNNNNNNNNNNNNNNNNNNNNNNNNNNNNNNNNNNNNNNNNNNNNNNNNNNNNNNNNNNNNNNNNNNNNNNNNNNNNNNNNNNNNNNNNNNNNNNNNNNNNNNNNNNNNNNNNNNNNNNNNNNNNNNNNNNNNNNNNNNNNNNNNNNNNNNNNNNNNNNNNNNNNNNNNNNNNNNNNNNNNNNNNNNNNNNNNNNNNNNNNNNNNNNNNNNNNNNNNNNNNNNNNNNNNNNNNNNNNNNNNNNNNNNNNNNNNNNNNNNNNNNNNNNNNNNNNNNNNNNNNNNNNNNNNNNNNNNNNNNNNNNNNNNNNNNNNNNNNNNNNNNNNNNNNNNNNNNNNNNNNNNNNNNNNNNNNNNNNNNNNNNNNNNNNNNNNNNNNNNNNNNNNNNNNNNNNNNNNNNNNNNNNNNNNNNNNNNNNNNNNNNNNNNNNNNNNNNNNNNNNNNNNNNNNNNNNNNNNNNNNNNNNNNNNNNNNNNNNNNNNNNNNNNNNNNNNNNNNNNNNNNNNNNNNNNNNNNNNNNNNNNNNNNNNNNNNNNNNNNNNNNNNNNNNNNNNNNNNNNNNNNNNNNNNNNNNNNNNNNNNNNNNNNNNNNNNNNNNNNNNNNNNNNNNNNNNNNNNNNNNNNNNNNNNNNNNNNNNNNNNNNNNNNNNNNNNNNNNNNNNNNNNNNNNNNNNNNNNNNNNNNNNNNNNNNNNNNNNNNNNNNNNNNNNNNNNNNNNNNNNNNNNNNNNNNNNNNNNNNNNNNNNNNNNNNNNNNNNNNNNNNNNNNNNNNNNNNNNNNNNNNNNNNNNNNNNNNNNNNNNNNNNNNNNNNNNNNNNNNNNNNNNNNNNNNNNNNNNNNNNNNNNNNNNNNNNNNNNNNNNNNNNNNNNNNNNNNNNNNNNNNNNNNNNNNNNNNNNNNNNNNNNNNNNNNNNNNNNNNNNNNNNNNNNNNNNNNNNNNNNNNNNNNNNNNNNNNNNNNNNNNNNNNNNNNNNNNNNNNNNNNNNNNNNNNNNNNNNNNNNNNNNNNNNNNNNNNNNNNNNNNNNNNNNNNNNNNNNNNNNNNNNNNNNNNNNNNNNNNNNNNNNNNNNNNNNNNNNNNNNNNNNNNNNNNNNNNNNNNNNNNNNNNNNNNNNNNNNNNNNNNNNNNNNNNNNNNNNNNNNNNNNNNNNNNNNNNNNNNNNNNNNNNNNNNNNNNNNNNNNNNNNNNNNNNNNNNNNNNNNNNNNNNNNNNNNNNNNNNNNNNNNNNNNNNNNNNNNNNNNNNNNNNNNNNNNNNNNNNNNNNNNNNNNNNNNNNNNNNNNNNNNNNNNNNNNNNNNNNNNNNNNNNNNNNNNNNNNNNNNNNNNNNNNNNNNNNNNNNNNNNNNNNNNNNNNNNNNNNNNNNNNNNNNNNNNNNNNNNNNNNNNNNNNNNNNNNNNNNNNNNNNNNNNNNNNNNNNNNNNNNNNNNNNNNNNNNNNNNNNNNNNNNNNNNNNNNNNNNNNNNNNNNNNNNNNNNNNNNNNNNNNNNNNNNNNNNNNNNNNNNNNNNNNNNNNNNNNNNNNNNNNNNNNNNNNNNNNNNNNNNNNNNNNNNNNNNNNNNNNNNNNNNNNNNNNNNNNNNNNNNNNNNNNNNNNNNNNNNNNNNNNNNNNNNNNNNNNNNNNNNNNNNNNNNNNNNNNNNNNNNNNNNNNNNNNNNNNNNNNNNNNNNNNNNNNNNNNNNNNNNNNNNNNNNNNNNNNNNNNNNNNNNNNNNNNCAGAUGGCUGGAAUAGACCAAAAAUUCCAGCAAGAGUUUAGGUAAAAUUCAUGGAACAAGAUAACAUUAUGAACAAGAUGAAAUAUUUUUUAAUUUAUUUAGUUUUUUAAAUUAAAAUAAAAUAUACCUGACAUAAUUAAAUUAAACACCAUAACUUUUAGAGCCCCUAGCAUACGGCCCCAUCUCGUGGAAAAAAUGCAUGAUGGCAAUAGUCUCAUGGACCAAUGUGCAGAUGGCAAUGGACUCAUAAAUGCAUGAUGGUGAUUGCCUGUCGAACCCAUCUUGAGGGAAAAAAAAAUGCAACGUUAGGAGGAUUGCCACCAUUUGUAGUGAUAUUUUCACUGUUAGAGACAUACAGUAGUUUUAUCAAGGAACGAAGAUAUUUUCGGAGAAUAACAUUUAUAGUGACACUUUUAUGCAAUUCAAUUUUUUCUUUUUUUUAGAUCAACAUGACUUUCUUAAGCUAGUUGUAGUAUAUAGAAUUUUUUUAAAAUAAAAAAUAAAAAUAUAAUUCGCAUCCAAGUAAAUACCUCCACAAAUAUAAUACCAUUGAAAGUUGCAUCAUGUAUUAAUCUAAGGUCCAUUGUCCGUUAAUUAAUCAGUGGUUGCAUUCUAACACUUGAGAUUGAAAGAUAUGAUUGAUAUCAUAAAAAUAUACUAUAUUUUUUUUAUAAAAGCAAAAUAAAAUAUUAUUUAGUCAUAAUAAAAUGGCUGGAAUAGAACCCAAAUAUUCCGGCUAGAAUUUAAAUAAAAUUUAUGAAACGAGAUAAGAUUUUAAACUAGAUGAAAUAUCUUUAAAUUUAUUCAGUUUUUUAUAUUGAAAUAAAAUAUACAUGUCAUUUCAGACAUGACAUAAUGAAAUUAAAAACCAUAGCUUUUAGAGCUCCAAGCAUACGGCCCCAUCUCGUGGAAAAAUGCAUGAUGGUUGGAAGAGGACGUCUCAUGGCCUCUCCUCGAGGAAAAAUGCAUGAUGGCAACGGUCUUAGGGACCAAUGUGCAGAUGGAAAUGGUCUCGAGGAGUUUAGGCUUCUAUCAAGCAAGGUUGUCAAUUCCAUUAGUGUUUUAUUUUUUUAAUUGUAACAAUAUAUUUUGGUUUUUGAGUAUUUUGACGUGUCAUUUUAGAUUGUUUUAUAUAUACUUUGAACUCAUUAAAUCGAUUGAGUCAUAUUAAUUUAACUCUUUAUUUUUAUUUAUAAUUGAAAUUUAAAUUGUAUAAUUUCAAGUUAGUUUAUUUUUAAAUAUCAAUUAAAAUUAUGUUUGUUAAAAAUAUUGAGAUAACAACAUAUUAGAUCGACCUAGGUUAAUCUAGGUUAAUCUUUUAAAUCCGUGACCCAGAUCAUGAGACCAUAAUAAUCUCAAAUAAAAACAAAUUAUAAAUCAAAAUUUUUUAUAAAUCUAUUAUUGAAUUAUGAAAUUGAAAAAAAAAUCAAUAUAAAAAAAGACACAAAAAAUGACCUUACAAAACAAAAUUAUUAAUUUAAAUAAAAUUAUAAAAAUAUCAUCGGCAAUCUCACAAAGUCUUUCUAAACUCUAAUUGUUCUAAAAUUUUAACUUGCAAUAUAAAUAUAUGUUAGAAGAUUCCUCGUAAAAAUCCAACAGUUGAAUUGAGAGAUAUAACUAAUACCAUAAAACUAGACUACAUUUUUUUUUUAUAAAAGCAAAACAAAACAUUAUUUGAUCAUAUAAGUUCAUAGCUCUUAAAGACAAGAAAUAUACCACAAGAUUUAAAACUAUUUUAUAUUUCAUUAAAAUAAAUAAAUAAAUUACUUAUAUGGUUACAAUAACAACAUUCCCAAUUAAACAAAAGUUCAUAGCUUUUUAUAAUGCUUCUAAUCUGAAUAUCUUUUAGAAAAAAAAUAGUUUUAUUUUGGUUUGAUUUUUUUUUAAUUUUAUAUCUUAUAAUUUUUUUUAAUUUUAAUUUUAUAUUAAUUUUGGUUAUCAUUUAGUUUUUUUUAUUUUUUUAAUUAAGAUUUUUUAUCUAUCAGAUUUAAUUUUUAUAAUUAUUUUUUUAAUAUUUAUUUUAUUUAAAAUAAUUUAUAAGAUUAUAAUUAUUUUUUUUAAUUUUAUCAUCUUUUAAUUUCAAUUUUUUUUUAUAUGUCAUGCACAGCUAAGGCACCCAUCCCUUUGUAUAAAAAAUGAUUUGACGGUGCUUGGAUUGGGUGUAUGCCUACGUACUUAGUUUUCUAAACAGGCCUUGAGCUUUAUUUUUUUCUAUGCAGUAUUAUAUAUUCAAUUCUUUAAUAGUUAGAAAAUACAAAGAGUUAGUGACACUUACACAGGGUAUUUGUAUCUUGUUUUUUCUAAUUAAAAACUUGUAUUGAUUGAUUUAUUUAUUUUAAUUUAAAUACUUGCUUUUAAUUAUGAAUUUUUAUCAAUCAAGUCUCCAUAUUAGUUUUGUUGCCAGAAUGCAAAUAACACGACUAAUAAUAUUUUAUUUUCAAUUUUUUUCAAGACUUAAAUUUUCCACACGUAAUUUCUAAAAAAAAAGUAGCAAGUUUUCUUUAUCUAUCAUCGUCAUGUGCCUGGCAUUAACCUUUUAUUCAUGUUUUUUUCAAAAAUAAAUAAAUAAAUAAACUUGACUCAACGUACGUUUCAAGAAGGAAUAUCAGUUUCGGUUAAUUACUUAAUUUUAUGCAAUUCAUUUUUUUUUUCUGUACUCUAUGGUUUCGAUGAAGAUGACUUUCUUAAGCUAGUUGUAGUAUAUAGAAAUUUCUUGUAGCAUUUUAGAAAUAUAAUUCACAUCUCAAUUGAUAAAUUCACAAAUUAAUAUAAUAAGUUUUAAUAUUUAUUUUUAAUAUAUAUUUUUAAUUUAAUAUUAAUAGAAUAAUAGUUAUAAAGUUUAUUUAGUUAACAAAAAAUGUUCCACUUUUGUUCUCUAUCUAUCACUUUUCCUUUUAAAGGGCUUAUGUACAUCCUGCAUAUAUUUUGAAGUUUAUUUAUUUUUAAUUUAAUAUAUAAAAUCUUUUUUAUAGCUGAAUUUUAUUUUUUGAAAAUAAAAAGAAAUUUAUUUUCAAAUAAUAUUUUUAAUAUGUGCAGCCUUGCAUAUUAUUUUUUCCUUUUAUUUUAUUCAAUCAAUUUAUAAUGUGUAUAUGUUUUUAUUAUUGUUUGAUCGAAUUAAAAAAUUAUUUUAAUUUGAAUUUUUAGAAAAUACAAUUGCGUAAAUGUCAUGUCUUUUGAAAUUAAAUAUUUUGAUUUACACCUGUCUCUUAAUUUUUUUAGUUUUUAUUUUGAGUCAUCGUUUAUGGUUUUUUUUCAUUUAUUAACACAUAUAAUUCUCGAUUUAUUUGACUAUAUUUGUAUAUAAAUUUUUUAAUUUUAACUUAAUGUUUUUAAAAUAAAAAAUAUAUUAAAGAAAUCUAUUAUAAUUUUUUUAAUUAAACAAAUUUAACUUGCGAUAAAGCUCUGAUCAAAUAACUAAGUCCAUGUACUAAAAUGAGUGGCACUCGAAAGUUCACUUACCUUAUCUUCCAAGCAAGAAGAGACAAGAAAAGCAGUAGGUGAUGUUCUUUUCUCCGAAUAUAAAUAGAUGAAGGGAUUAAUACCAAAAAUAUGGACAAAAAUUGAUGUAGACCCGCACCACUUAGAUUAUUCUUCACUUUCUUCACUCUUACUGUGUUUCACUACUCGAUGAUUCAAAAGUUAUUUAUUUAAAACAAUUUCAUUUUUUUAAAAUAUUUUACAAUAUGGUUACAAUAUUUUUUUCUUAAGAAAAUAAAUUGAUGUCAUGUGUUAAUAACAUUUAAGGAUUUUUUCCAAUCAAAUAAUCAAAUUUAUUUUAAUUAAAAAGUUUCGUAUCAAUAACAGCAUUCCUAAUUAAACCAAAGUUUCUCCACGAACCCAUCUCGUGGAAAAAAAUGCAUGAUGGUUGGAAGAGGACGUCUCAUGGCCUCUCCUCGAGGAAAAAUGCAAGAUAAGAUAUUGCAUAGAAGCAGCUGAUUCGAUUAUAGCCUCCAAAGUGCUGUCGAUGGCUUACUCUUCACCUUAUACUCCAUUUGAUUUCUUUCGCCGGUAUUGAUCAUUCGAUUAUAGGCUCAUUUUUCUAUGUUCCCCGGCAUGUGUCAUUAUUUCAUUUAUGGGGUCCAAGAGGGUUUCUGGGAAAUUGCCUGCCUCUCAGCUUUUUAAUUGAAACCACUAGUGAAACGACUUGGUCAGAUUUUGGUAGAUUCUCAGUUUGCUCCUUCAGAUUUCUCAAUUUCAUCUUGAAAUUUUAGUUUGUAGCAAUCGCCUUCUAUAGUUAGUAAAAAAGACGACGAAAUUUGAGAGAAUUAGUUUUUCUAGAAAUUUAUAGGAUAUAAUUAAUAACUUGACUUUAAUUUAAAAGGAUUAAUGGACAUCAUGAAAUUUCAACUAAUAUAUAUAUAUAUAUAUAUAGGAACUGCAUGGCCAAAAAAAAAAAAAGAGUAAGUAUUUUCAAUAUUUUAGCUAACCAAUGCCGACUUGAUCAUUGAUGAAUUGUUUAUAUUGGAUGUAAAUAUAUUGCAAACAAUUAUCCACAUCCAAAUUAAGUUAAGGGUAUGUUUAUAAAAAUUAAAUUUUUUACGACCCUCCUUUUCAAUUGAAAUCUUGAAGGAUAACACAAGAAGUAUAUAUCAUUUUCUGACAAUAUUAGUGUAAGGUAAAACUAUAGAGAAAAUGAAGAAAAUAUUGUUAGAGAAUAAUAUCAAUCAUAUUUUGGGACCUCAUCUAACAACUUAAGUUAUUGGGUUGAGAUGGUUUUUUGACAUGGUAUCAGAGCCUUUAUGACCAAGCGGUCACGAGUUCGAAUCUCACUAUCCCUAUUUAUUUGAUAAAAAUUAAUCAUAAGGUAGGAGGUGUGUUAGAGAAUAAUAUAAAUCAUAUCUUGGGACCUUACCUAACAGUUUAAGCUAUUGGGUUGAGAUGGUUCUUUGACAUGGUAUUUGAGCCUUGAUGACUAAGCAGUUGCGAGUUCGAAUCUCACCAUCUUCAUUUAUUUGAUAAAAAUUAAGCACAAGGUAAUGUGGACCUGUGCAAAUUUCAAGUCCAAAAGGUUUUUACUUGAGAGAGUGUGUUAAAGAAUAAUAUAAAUCAUAUUUUGAGACCUUACCUAACAGCUUAAACUAUUGGGUUAAGAUGGUUCUUGGACACAAAUACACUACAUUAAGAUUUAUUUUUUAUACAAGUUGAAAUUAAAGCAUAUAUCAUCCCUUCUCAAGCUUGAGCGGAAAUGGUGUAACGGACCCAUCUCGUAGAAAAAAACGCUUGAUAGCAAUGACCUUACCUCAACCUUUUAUUCAUGUUUUUCCACAAAAGACUUUUGACUUGGGGUCAACUUGUCGGUUACUAAAAUCACUUUAAUUAUUCUUUCAAUCUUCCCGUGUGAUUCACUGCUUGGUGAUUCUAAAGUCACCUAUUUAAUAUUUAGUACAUUAUACAACUAAAUUUAUUCUUUCACUCGCUAUUUAUUAUAUAUUCAAUUCGUUAAUAGUUAGAAAUACAAAAGAGACAAAGACAAUUACUAAUGUAUUUAUAACCAGAAAACUUAGUGAUUAAUAAAUUAUCUUUGCUAGUUUUGUUAUAAAAUAAUGAUGUUAGAGUUAAUUGUUUUUAGAUGAGUAUGGAUUAAUUCUGUUUUAUUUUUAAUUUUUGAAUUAUAAAAAUAUAAAUAAAUUUAAAAUAAAUAUCUUUUUACAAUAGUCUUAAAGUAAAAUUUGUACUUUUAAAAUAAAAAAUAUAUAAAAGCAUGUUUUUUAUGUUCCCACUAUUUUUGUAUUUUAUAUCAUGCUAAUUAAAUGUUGCCUGGUUAACAUAACACUAAAUCAUAAUAAAAUAAAUUAAUUGUGGAAUGGCAUGGUAGUUUUAUCUAUUUGAUUGAAUUAAAUCUUAAAAUAAUACAAUUUUUUAUUAAUACUAGUCAAUAAGCUAACUUGAUCCAAAUCUUGAUUCGAGUAUUAGGCCAAUCUAUGACCUAAACCCUCAUCUAGUUAAAAAUCUUGAUAUAUCAAUAGGUAAUUUGUGAAAAAUCUGGAUUUGAGGUUGAAGAUGAAAAAAUUUCAGUUUGGUCCCUCAAUUUGUGAAACUUUCAGUUUAAUCCCUAAAUUUUGAAAAAAAAAUCAGUUUGGUCCCUAGAGCAUAAUCCAAGAUUCUAAACAAAAUUAAAGAAGAUUAUGGGCAAAAUUCCAGUAUAGUUAUGAAUAUGACAUUUUCAUUUUGGUCUUUCAUCAAUUUGAUAAAAUUAUAAUUUGACCCUUAAAAAUCUGCAAAAAUUCCAGUUUGGUCCCUAACUAUAAUUAAUAUUAGCUUUUUCCUAAUUUUUUAAACCUAUUAACUCUUUCACUCUAUUAUAAUCUAAAUAUAUUGAUUUAAAAAAUAAAAAUCACUCCACAAAUAAUAAAAUACUGUUAUCAAAACAAUUAAUUCUCAAGUCAAUAUACUCCAAGAGGCAGCCAUCCUUGCAAGAAACCAUCAUUACUAAAACCAUCAGCAUCAGAAGGAACAGCCCCAUCUUAUAAAUGCUGAUCAAUUGAUAUAGAGGAUAGUAAGGAGGUUUAAGCUUUUAUAGAGGACUUUACGGACCCAUGCUGUGGAAAAAAAAUGCAUGAUCCCAUCCCACGGAGUCCAAUUACUUGUAACAGCAUUCCCAAUUAAAGCAAAGGUUUUUUUCGUGAUCUGAGUAAUGAGAAUAUAAUAAUUUUAAAUAAAAUAAAUAAAAAUAAAUUAUGAAUUUUAAUUUUUAAUAAAUUUAUUAUUAAAUUAAAAAAUUAAAAAAAAAUCAAUAUAAAAAAAACACAAAAAAUAACAUUUCAAAAUAAAAUUAUGAAUUUAAAUAAAAUUAUGAAAAUAUAAACAGUAAUUUCACAAAGUCUUUCUAAACUCUGAUUGCUCUAAAAUUUUAACUUGUGAUAUAAAUACAUUUUAUGAUAAUUGAGGAAUAUAUAUAUAUAUUAAUACCGAAAAAACACCCAAGUUUAAAUGACCAGCCAUUAAAAUUAAUGAAUCGGUUAUAUAUAUAAAAGCAAAACAAAACAUUAUUUGGACAUAAUAGAAUGGCCGGAAUAGAACCGAAAUAUUCUAGUCAAAAUAAAAUUAAAGCAUGAUUUCUAGACGUGAUUUCCAUAAAGAUAGAAGGGAGGGCUAGCAUCCAUCAUCUUCAUGGAAAGUGAGCUGGCCAUCGUCAACCAUUUAUUCAUGUUUUUCAACAGAAGACUUUGACUUGGGGUCAACUCGUCGGUUAAUUACUUUUAUGCAAUUCAAUUUUAUUUUUACAAUGUUAGUAAAAUCACUUUAAUUAUUCUUUCAAUCUUCCCGUGUGAUUCACUGCCUUCUGGGUGAUUCUAAAGUCGCAUAUUUAAACUUUAGUACAUUAUACAACUAAAUUCUAUCAAGAGGAAUUCAAUGAUCACUUAAUAUCUUUAUAUUAGUUUUCAAGUUUUGAGAUAUAAGUUCAUAGCUCUUAAAGACAAGAAAUAUACCACAAGAUUUAAAACUAUUUUAUAUUUCAUUAAAAUAAAUAAAUAAAUUACUUAUAUGGUUACAAUAAAUUCCCAAUUAAACAAAAGUUUUUCCAUGAACCCAUCUUAUGGAAAAAUGCAUGAUGGUUAACUGUCUCAGGGACCAAUGUGCAGAUGGAAAUGGUCUCACCAACUCAUAAAUGCAUGAUGGAAAUGGUCUCGAGGAAAGGCAACGCUACAGAUGCCAAUGGUCUCCGGGACUCAUAAAUGCAUGAUUUCCAUGGCGGAUGGGCGGAACCUUAUGAUUGUCUGUCGAACCCAUCUUGAGGAAAAAAAUUGCAUGACGGCAAUAUACCACAAGAUUUAAAACUAUUUAAUAUUUCAUUAAAAUAAAUAAAUAAAUUACCUAUAUGGUUUCAAUAUUUUUUUUUCUUAAGAAAAUAAAUUGAUUUCAUGUGUUAAUAACAUUUAAGGAUUUUUCCAAUCAAAUAAUCAAAUUUAUUUUAAUUAAAAAGUUUCUAACCAAUAACAGCAUUUCCAAUUAAACCAAAGUUUUUCCACGAACCCAUCUCGUGGAAAAAUGCAUGAUGACAACGGUCUCAGGGACCAAUGGGCAGAUGGAAAUGGUCUCACCAACUCAUAAAUGCAUUUAGAGUGAUAUUUUCACAGUUAGAGACAUACAGUAGUUGAGGGAGUUUUAUCUGGUGUUGCCUCUGACGCAGACAUUAUAAGGUCCCCCUCAUUUUCAUCAUCAACAACAAUUACUAACUGCAGAGAAUCAUCACACAUUAGUAACUUAAAGCCUUUGAAGUAAUGACGUAAGGCCUAAGCAUACGAGCUAGACCCAGAAAAUUAAAUAAUAAAUCAAGAGGGUGAGCCUUUCCUUGACGAAUAUCCUCAAUGGCCUCUGGGAUCGAAGCAAAUCCUCUGGCCACAAUUUAUUGUUAGCACGUGUUUGCAAUUUACAACAUAUAUUUUGAUAAGCUACUUGUAGAGUAAGGCGCUGUUUUUGUAUCUAGCUUUAGGUGAUUGCACCAAACAUAGACUGAACAAAAGGGACAUACAGUGGUGGAGAAAUUGGAUCCAGUUCCUUUUGAUACAUGUAACCAGUUUUGUAUUUUGCUCACUUUUCAAUUUGGUUUCGGUAUCGUGUUUUGCAAUUAUUACUUACUGCUGUUGUUUUGAAUUAACUAAUCAUUUUUUCCCUCGAACUUCCCAUAUCUUUUUGUUGGAAGCUCCAUUUGUAUAGCUUUCUUUUUUUAUUGUUUUUCUUAUUAUUGAUGUAUGUUUGACAUUUUUAAUAUCUUAGAAGAGCACACAGAAAGGUUUAUGAGGAUUCCAUGGGAGGCUACUGAUUUUUGCUCCCCAUGAGAAGAGCAUCUUCUAACAGAGCAUUGAAUGUCAUAACGAGAAAGAUUGUCUGUCAUUGCACACCCUAGAAAAUGCUUCUUUUUUUUUUUUUUAAUCUUUUUUCUCACAAGAUAAGGUAAUUGGCUGUCGUGUGAUUUUUAUAUGGCUUGUGUGUUUUAGAUGGGCUUGUGGUGAUCACCCAAGAGAAUGUCACUUUUAGCAUUCUUUUAUAUAUAUAUAUAUAUAUAUAUAUAUUUGAAGUUUUUGUAUAUAAUACUGUAGCCACACAAUCCACAAGAAUAAGAUUUAUAAUUAUUCCAAGUUUAUUAUUAUUGAUAAUUUAUGUAUUUAAUUAUAUAUAUAUAUAUAUAUAUAUAUGAUAGUGAUGAAACCAUGCAAGUAGGGUCCUAAAUGAUUCUAAAUUAUAACGAGAGAAGUACAAUUAUAAAUUUGAAAAGAUUUUACGUGAAAUCACAUAUAAAUGUCGAUAAAAAUGUUGAAGUACUGCAACAAUUUUUUUUUUAUUUUUUUAAAUUGAAUAAUUAGUAACCAAAAUAUAAUUAAAUGCAAAUAGAAUAAGUGCUAAACAGUAAAAUAAAAUAAUAUUCGAAUCCAAGAAUAUUCCAAAAAGAAAUAAAUUAAUAUUCAAAUCUCAAAACAUAGAACCUGCAUAAGAUAUGCAGAUAAAAUCAUGGAAAUGGCCAAAAUUGUAGUAUAAAUAGGACCUCUAUGGUUGCCCAAAGACACAUAACAAACAACAAUAUUCUACGUAGUUGUUCAUAGAAUUAUCUAAGAUGAUGAUGAAAAGAAUGGGGGCUUGGAUGUUGCUAGCAAUAUUAUUGACUUUGGUUGGCGAAUGGUAUGGUCGUUGUUAUGGGUGUUUGGAGGAAGAGAGGAUUGGUCUCUUGGAGAUCCAAUCUUUGAUCAACCCACAUGGCGUUUCCUGGAGAGAUCAUUGGGUGGACACCAAUAGUAAUUGUUGUGAGUGGCGUGGGAUCGAGUGUGAUAACACUACAAGGCGAGUGAUCCAGGUCUCUCUUUUUGGUGAAAGAGAUGAGAGCUUGGGCGAUUGGGUUCUCAACGCAUCUUUGUUUCAGCCUUUUAAAGAAUUGCAAAGUCUUGAUUUGGGAUGGAAUGGAUUGGUUGGUUGCUUGGAGAAUGAAGGUUAGUUCAAUGUUUCUGCACUUAAUUAUAAUCAUAAAAUAAAUGAAGGUUGGUUGGUUGGUGUUUAAUGUCAAUUAUCUUGCUUUGAUGAUUCUCUUCCAGGCUUCGAAGUCCUAUCAUCAAAACUGAGCAAUCUUGACCUACGUGUUAACCAAUUUACUAAUGAUAAAAGCAUUUUGUCAUGUUUCAAUGGUAACCUUUCCACUCUCAAGUCUUUGGAUCUUUCACACAAUGGGUUGACAGGUGGAUCAGGAGGUAGCUUCUAUGGUAACCUUUUAGUUAUUUAUUUAGCUUUGAAACCUUUUCUUUUCUCCUUCUCAUAUCAUGUUUUUUCUAUGCGUUUAUUUCCUUCCAAUAUGCUAUUGAGAAACAUCAUGCAGGUUUCAAAGUCUUGUCAUCAAGGUUGAAAAAGCUGGAGAACCUUCUUCUAUGGGGGAAUCAAUUCAACGAUAGCAUUUGUCCAUCUCUAACUGGGUUUUCAUCCCUCAAGUCUUUAGAUCUUUCACACAAUCAGCUGACAGGAUCAGGUAUAAUACACAGUUUCUACCUAAAUGCUUCACAUGACAUUCUCUUAAUUAUAUUGUUUCUUUAUCAACAAAAAUGAGGACGACUUUAUAUCUACCUAAAGAGGCACUUGGAAUUAGGUCCAAGAGGCAUAUAUUUUAUUCUUAUUUUGGCCCUUUUAUGCCAUGGGUGAUUUUAUGGUGAAAUAUUUGGACUUUGAGAAAUAAAACGUGAAAAAGUUUAUAAUUCUUUAAUGCCAUGGAUAAAAUAGGGAAAGUACUUGCUAGAAAACAGAGGCAGUUAGGAACAAAUUAUAAUUACUAAAUUAGUGACAACUAAGCAUCUUACUAACUAAAUAGAUAGAGGAAUUCAGUUACGAACGGAUUUCAACUUACAGAUUAUUAUUAUUAGAAUGAUAUUUAACGAUUAUUAUUCUUGUUUUAAUUACCGAUGGGUUGACAGCUGGAUCAGGAGGUAGCUUCUAUGGUAACCUUUUAAUUAUUUAGCUUUGAAACCUUUUCUUUUCUCCUUCUCAUAUCAUUUUUUUCUACGCAUUUAAUUAUUUCCUUCCAAUAUGCAGGUCUCAAAGUCUUGUCAUCAAGGUUGAAAAAGCUGGAGAACCUUCAUCUAUGGGGGAAUCAAUACGACGAAAGCAUUUUUCCAUCUCUAACUGGAUUUUCAUCUCUCAAGUCUUUGGAUCUGUCGUACAAUAUGUUGACAGGAUCAGGUAUAAUACACAGUUUCUACCUACCUAAAUGCUUCACAUGACAUUCUCUUAAUUAUAUUGUUUCUUUAUCAACAAAAAUGAGGACGACUUUAUAUCUACGUAAAGAGGCACUUGGAAUGAGGUCCAAGAGGCAUAUAUUUUAUUCUUAUUUUGGCCCUUUUAUGCCAAAAGUGUUGUAAUAUUUAGAUUAAAUUAGCAAUCAGAAGUUCACUUCAAAACUCUCCUAUAAAUAUAUAUUUUAUAUUUAUCUUUUUAAAUAAAUAUAUUUUUAUAUAUGUUUUUUCUGGCUUGAGAUACUUAGUCGAACACAACUCUAAGUUUUUUUUUUUUAAUGCAUUUGAGUUUGAAUGGGUUUUGAAUAACAUAAUAAGAAGCUCUCUCCUAGAAUAUUAUAAUUAAGAAAAUUGUAAUUAUUAAAACUUAGAGAAAUAUCCAAUACAAAUAACUAGACAGCCAACGAGAGACUGCCAAUUUCUUUAUGAGAAAAACUCUCGACUGUUUUAUAGCCAUUUAUUAUUUCCUCUCUUUUUAAUGGGUUUUAUAUUAUUUUGGACCUUUUUUUAAUCAGAAUAUCAUUCUGUGGUGGAGGAUGAUUUUAUGGUGAAAUAUUUGGACAAUAUGUUGCUAUCUAGGAUCGAUUAUUAUUCUUGUUUUAAUUACCGAUGAGAUCUUAAUUAUAAGUUUCUUUAUCUUGUUUUGUAAGUCUAUCAUAACUUAGUUUCCAUCUUUAUCGACUUUAUAUCCAAAAAUUGUUUUUUUUUCCAAUAAGAUCAAAAUUAGAAUGAUUAAAAAUUAUUUCGUAAUAUUUUAUAUAAUAUAUUAAAUAUGCCUUCAUGAUAUUUAAAAAUUGUUUCUUAAUAUUUCCAAUAAGAUCAAAAUUAGAAUGAUAUUUUAUAUAACGACUUUAACGACUUACUCUUGCAGGUUUUGAGAUCAUAUCAUCACAUUUGGGGAAACUCGAGAACCUGGACCUGAGCUCUAAUAAUAUAUUCAACGACAACAUUUUAUCACAUCUGCGUGGAUUUUCUUCUCUCAAGUCUUUAAAUCUAUCAUUUAAUGAGUUGACAGGAUCGACGACUGUCAAUGGUAAAGUUCUGUUAUUUACAAUACCUUUUGAAAUCUCUGGAUUUUUCAGGCAAUUUGUUGUUUAAAAACUUGAUCAAGAUAACAUUUAAUUUCACUACUUACUUGAUUGCCUGUUUUCAAUUCUACACAUCAUAGGUUUAAGGAAGCUGGACUUCCUGCAGUCAUAGUUUAGUUUCUUAAAAUCUUAAUUAAUAAUAAUGGCACAUGGCUAUUCUGCACCACCAUUAUUUUCUUCAUAUCUCUUCUUCUUCUUUUUUCACAGGGACUUUCUUCAAUUCUAGCACCCUUGAAGAAUUGCAUCUAGAUCAUACUUCUCUCCCAAUAAACUUUCUCCAGAACAUUGGAGCAUUGCCUGCUCUUCAAGUCUUGUCUGUUGGUGGAUCUGACCUCAAUGGCGCCUUACCCGCUCAAGGUAAAUUAACAACUUCCAUCCGCCUAUAAUUACAUCAUCAAUAAAAGAUUCUUUCAACACUAUUUUUGACUGUUUCGAGAUAAAUUAUACAGGUUGGUGUGAAUUGAAGAAUCUGAAGCAGUUAGAUAUCUCUGGAAAUAAUUUAGGAGGUUCACUCCCAGAUUGUAUGGGAAACUUGUCAUCUUUACAACUAUUAGAUGUUUCUGAAAACCACUUUACUGGAAAUAUUGCCUCUAGUCCCCUUACCAACCUCAUAUCCCUUGAAUUCCUCUCACUAUCAAAUAACCUCUUUGAAGUUCCCACUUCAAUGAAGCCUUUUUUGAACCACUCAAGCCUCAAGUUCUUCUCUAGUGAGAACAACAAACUAGUAGCAGAUCCUGCUGCCUUUCAUGAUUUGAUUCCAAAGUUCCAACUAGUCUUUCUUAGCUUGUCAAAAACAACGGAAGCACUCAAUGUAGAAAUUCCUAACUUCCUCUAUUACCAAUACCACUUAAGAUUCCUUCAUCUCUCCCACAACAACAUCACCGGAAUGUUUCCAUCGUGGUUGCUUAAGAACAAUACACGAUUGGAGCAAUUAUAUUUGAGCGAGAACUCCUUUGUUGGUACUUUGCAGUUGCAAGAUCACCUAUAUCCAAAUAUGACCGAAUUAGAUAUAUCCAACAACAACAUGAGCGGUCAAAUUCCAAAAGAUAUUUGUUUGAUCUUUCCAAAUCUACAAACCUUAAUGAUGGCUAAGAAUGGAUUCACAGGUUGUAUUCCUUCUUGUUUAGGAAAUAUUAGCUCUUUGGAAAUGUUAGAUUUAUCCAACAAUCAAUUGUCCACAGUAAAACUAGGACAACUAACAACAUUAUUGUUUCUCAACCUGUCAAACAACAAUUUGGGUGGUAACAACUUUUGGGGUCAGAUAUCAGAUUUUCCAUUAUAUGGGUGGAAAAAGUGGAUUGUAUUGGAUUUGAGUUACAAUCAAUUUUCAGGCAUGCUUCCAAGGUGGUUCGUCAAUUCUACGGACCUUAGAGUAAUUAAUUUGUCCAAAAAUCAUUUUAAGGGUCCGAUCCAUAGAGACUUUUGUAAGCUUGGCCACCUUGAGUAUUUGGACCUUUCUGAGAACAACUUGUCUGGAUAUAUACCAUCUUGUUUUAGUCCACCAUCUCUAAUCUAUGUGCAUCUAUCCAAAAAUAGAUUGAGUGGUCCAUUAACAUAUGGAUUUUCUAACAGCUCUUCCCUGGUUACGAUGGAUCUUCGAGAUAACAGCUUCAUCGGCUCCAUUCCAAAUUGGAUUGGCAAUCUUUCAUCAUUGAGUGUUCUUCUUCUAAGGGCUAAUCACUUUGAUGGUGAGCUCCCUGUUCAGUUAUGCUUGUUAGAACAGUUAAGCAUUUUGGAUGUUUCAAAAAACCAGCUCUCUGGUACAAUACCAUCAUGUUUGGGCAAUCUUACUUUCAUGGCAAGUUCCCAGAAAGCGUUUGUGGAUCUCAAUGUUGGUUUUGAAUCAUGGUCCAUAGAAAGAGCUUAUUAUGAAACAAUGGGUCCACCACUAGUUAAUAGUAUGUACAGCUUGGGAAAGGAUUUUAUGGUUAACUUUACAGAAGUGAUAGAAUUUACAACUAAAAAUAUGUAUUAUUGUUACAAGGGGAAGAUUCUCGGCUACAUGUCUGGUAUUGAUCUCUCCAAUAACAACUUCGUAGAAGCAAUCCCACCAGAAUUUGGAAACUUAAUUGAGUUACUAUCAUUAAACUUAUCACACAACAAUCUCACUGGAUCUGUCCCUGCAACAUUCUCAAACCUAAAGCAGAUUGAGAGUUUGGAUCUUUCUUACAACAACUUGAAUGGUGUCAUCCCUCCACAACUUACUGAAAUUACCAUGCUGGAAGUUUUUAGUGUGGCACACAAUAACUUGUCAGGUAAGACACCUGAGAGAAAAUUUCAAUUUGGGACCUUCGAUGAAAGUUGUUACGAAGGAAAUCCUUUCUUGUGUGGACCUCCAUUGCGAAACAAUUGUAGUGAGGAAGCAGUGUCAUCUCAGCUAGUGCCUGAUGAUGAACAAGGAGAUGAUGGUUUCAUAGACAUUGACUUUUUCUACAUCAGUUUUGGUGUAUGUUACACAGUUGUGGUGAUGACGAUUGCAAUAGUUCUCUACAUCAAUCCAUAUUGGCGACGCAGGUGGUUGUACUUCAUUGAAGACUGCAUAGAUACUUGCUACUAUUUUGUGGUGGCUAGUUUUCGCAAGUUCUCCAACUUCAGAAGGUGAAUUUGUUACCAGGGAGACGGUCGUUCCUAGUUUGUCAUGAUUGUUUGUUUAGCUAUUGGGUGCUUAAUUCUGUAGUGUACUGUCUCUACAUCAAAUAUAUUUGUCGGACUUCUCAUUCCUGAACCAUUAGUAAGGGAGCUGAUUUGGAUUGGUCAUUGACUCGGGUGUGAUUACUCUUUCAACUCUCAAGACUUGUCUGAAAAUAAAUUGCCAAAACCACUACUAAGUUAAAACAAAAUAUUCUAUGCAUGUGAGCAACACUUACAUCUGCCAAUGUUUCAAGGGCGACCCCACCUUAGUUAUUCAAUCAAAGCAUUGAAAUUGGAGCAAGAAGAUCCACCUCAGUUAUUCAAUCAAAGCUUGGAGUGCUCGCAGAUUGAGGCUGCCUAUCGAAACGCUGAAGAUUUUCCCGCAGCAUGUAGGAAUCAAACCAAAGCCCCUUUUAAGAAAAUUUAAUCUGCCUGUCGAAACGCUGAAGAUUUUCCCGCAGCUUGUAGGAAUUAAACCAAAGCUCCUUUUGAGAAAAGUUAAUCCCUGUUGAAACGCUGAAGAUUUGCCCUCAUAAAAAUCUGCCUUGUGUUUAAAAAAACACCUCCCUUCUGUUUCCUCAACAUUUCAGGUCAUGUUUGAUGUUUGAUGCCCCAGGCAGGAAAAAGGACAAAAUUCUAGAAGAGAUGAUUCAACAUGACAAGCUCAAAUAUUUUGGCUUGGAUUUGUAGCAAGUCCUGUGAAAUUUUUGCUACAAUAUCAUUCUCUCUUCCCCCUUUUCUUUUCUUAAAAUCUCUCGUCCCGCAUCAUCAUAAUUGGUUGUGACAUGGAAACCCCAGAUAAAGAUGAAAGAGAACCAUGCUGCAAGCUUGACAUAUUGUUCUGCUGCAUUGUUGGUAUAGAACCUUGCACAUUCAAUGAUUGCAACUGGGGAUUUAGUUGAUUUUCAUGGGACUGCAAUUGAUGAACUGGAGGCUGGGGAAGUUGUCCGAGCUGUAGAUUAGGAAUAGGCCUCCUGAAUCUGCUUGGGUUUAGAAAACUUACAAUCUGCUUCUCAUAGGAACCCAAUUUCUCCUUGAAACUAGGUGUGACGUUGUUUUUAGAGAACUGUAAGAAUGUUAUCAAGCGCUCCAACAUGACCUUGAAAACCUCCAGCUUUUCAAGCUGUUCUGACUUCGGUUGUUGCGAAUGAGAGUCAAGCUGAAAAGCAAAGUUAACAUACACGAGAAUUAAAAAUUACAUUGAUCCUUUGUAGCAAAACAUUAGUGAAAAAAAAUGUUUCUAUUCCAAUUCUUCUGUGUCGAUGCAUGGUUGUGGGGGCGGUUGGGGCGAGGGGUAGGUGAUUAGUGCAGAUGAUACAGUGACAGGCAAUGCUGAUGAUGAAAACAAAUUAAUACAAAAGCUCAACAUAGGGAAAUUGCAGAUAAUCAUGCAUGGACAGCUAAUCCAGAAGAAAUUGCAGAGACAAUUUACCUUGUAACACCCUCAAAUGUCAUGAAAUCUCAAACAUUUCCUUACUAAUGUCAAGUAUUGAAUAGUAUGUCUAAGAUUAUGAGAUUUUUAUUUUUAAAAAAAAUUUCAGCAGUGUUUCCUUUGUUUUCUGAUGUUACCAAGUUAUUGACUAGACUUCAUUCAAUCACAAUACUCAAAACUUCCACUUUGAUCCAACCAUCUUGGAUCAUAUCCCAUCUCAUCAAAUAAUAUUUCACAUAACUAUACUUCAUUGUAUUUUCUCAACCUUACAUCAUCAACAAAUAACACAUUAACUACAAACAAUUAUAAACUCAAAAGAUUCAUAUUGAACUAAUUAUUACAUUAACAUGCAUCCAUCUUUUAAACAUGCAUAAUUAUAAUUACUAAAUAUUCUUUUUGAAUAGUUUAGUAAUAUUAGUUCCUUACUAAUACAUUUUAAAUGUAUAAGUACCAAAAGCAACAUCUUCAUGAUACAUAUAUUACAAUCUACAUAUAAUACAAAUUANNNNNNNNNNNNNNNNNNNNNNNNNNNNNNNNNNNNNNNNNNNNNNNNNNNNNNNNNNNNNNNNNNNNNNNNNNNNNNNNNNNNNNNNNNNNNNNNNNNNNNNNNNNNNNNNNNNNNNNNNNNNNNNNNNNNNNNNNNNNNNNNNNNNNNNNNNNNNNNNNNNNNNNNNNNNNNNNNNNNNNNNNNNNNNNNNNNNNNNNNNNNNNNNNNNNNNNNNNNNNNNNNNNNNNNNNNNNNNNNNNNNNNNNNNNNNNNNNNNNNNNNNNNNNNNNNNNNNNNNNNNNNNNNNNNNNNNNNNNNNNNNNNNNNNNNNNNNNNNNNNNNNNNNNNNNNNNNNNNNNNNNNNNNNNNNNNNNNNNNNNNNNNNNNNNNNNNNNNNNNNNNNNNNNNNNNNNNNNNNNNNNNNNNNNNNNNNNNNNNNNNNNNNNNNNNNNNNNNNNNNNNNNNNNNNNNNNNNNNNNNNNNNNNNNNNNNNNNNNNNNNNNNNNNNNNNNNNNNNNNNNNNNNNNNNNNNNNNNNNNNNNNNNNNNNNNNNNNNNNNNNNNNNNNNNNNNNNNNNNNNNNNNNNNNNNNNNNNNNNNNNNNNNNNNNNNNNNNNNNNNNNNNNNNNNNNNNNNNNNNNNNNNNNNNNNNNNNNNNNNNNNNNNNNNNNNNNNNNNNNNNNNNNNNNNNNNNNNNNNNNNNNNNNNNNNNNNNNNNNNNNNNNNNNNNNNNNNNNNNNNNNNNNNNNNNNNNNNNNNNNNNNNNNNNNNNNNNNNNNNNNNNNNNNNNNNNNNNNNNNNNNNNNNNNNNNNNNNNNNNNNNNNNNNNNNNNNNNNNNNNNNNNNNNNNNNNNNNNNNNNNNNNNNNNNNNNNNNNNNNNNNNNNNNNNNNNNNNNNNNNNNNNNNNNNNNNNNNNNNNNNNNNNNNNNNNNNNNNNNNNNNNNNNNNNNNNNNNNNNNNNNNNNNNNNNNNNNNNNNNNNNNNNNNNNNNNNNNNNNNNNNNNNNNNNNNNNNNNNNNNNNNNNNNNNNNNNNNNNNNNNNNNNNNNNNNNNNNNNNNNNNNNNNNNNNNNNNNNNNNNNNNNNNNNNNNNNNNNNNNNNNNNNNNNNNNNNNNNNNNNNNNNNNNNNNNNNNNNNNNNNNNNNNNNNNNNNNNNNNNNNNNNNNNNNNNNNNNNNNNNNNNNNNNNNNNNNNNNNNNNNNNNNNNNNNNNNNNNNNNNNNNNNNNNNNNNNNNNNNNNNNNNNNNNNNNNNNNNNNNNNNNNNNNNNNNNNNNNNNNNNNNNNNNNNNNNNNNNNNNNNNNNNNNNNNNNNNNNNNNNNNNNNNNNNNNNNNNNNNNNNNNNACUUUUCUUCUCCUCCUAGUGUGGCCAGCCCUCCUCACCUUUCUUAUAUCUUCCUUCACUUGAUUCUUCCUUAAUUUAAUGUUCCAAGUCUUUCAAUCUUACAAGUUUCAAAGCUCUCUCUCGCUUUUUCUUGUUUUUCUCUUAACUUCUCAUGUUCUUUUCUUAUUUUCUUUUUUUUUCUUUUCACAUUUGUUACUGCCCAGUCAGCAGUUCAUAACAGAAAAGGGGCUGCCUUGUUUUAUUUUUAAUGGCAAAUUACCAUUUUACCCUUAUGAGUCUUUUUGCUUCCAUUUGACGGUCCUUAUUCUUUGAUAGCACUGCCGAGCUCCAUUCAUCCUAAAAUUUUAAAUAGAUUUUAUUUAUUUUAAGGUUCCUCAUAAAAUUUCAACUCAAUUUGAUGGUCGGAUUUAAAAUUACGUCCAAUAACGUAAAACUAGUCAAAUUGUGAUUUUUCGUCAAAUUUCUGAAUUUCUCUAAAACUUCUGAAAUUUUAACCCAAGCUAAGGAAUCAUAUUAGAAGGCUCCACGUAAAUUUUCAGAAUUUUCUGAUAACCCAAUCGAGAGUUACAAAUUGUUUUCUUUUUGUUUUACAUGAAACUAGUCAAUUUAUAAUUUUUCGCCUAGAGGUUUUACAUACCUGCUGUAACUUGGCAGCAAUUCUCUGGUACAUUUCAUUUAUUUCAAGGAAAUAAGUCUCCUUCAUGACUUUGAUCUAGAAAGUACAAAUAACCAGCAAAACAUUAUCGGUCAUAUGCUUGAUUUCUUCAGGUGCCAGUCAGAAAGAAAGUAACACAAAACAUUACCGGUAUCUUCUAUCAUAAGGAGCAAUAACAUAUUUCUUCAGGUGCAAGUAACCAUCAUCAACAUCAAUUCCAAAAGCUGGUAAAAGGCUGCUUGAAACUGAGGCUAAAUUCUUUGUGACAUCUCCACUCGACCGUCUUCGAAACAGUAAUGACAACGGUGACCUAGUUUCUGACGAUGACAUUAUUGACCGGAGCAAUAUUAGUGAGAGAGCUUAAUUUGUUCUCCUCUCUCUCUCUCUCUUUCUCUGUCUAUAUAUAUGAAUCUUCCCGACUUGAUGAACAGAGUUUCCUCUUUAGAUAAGGGGAUUCCUAGUAGUAGUAGAGGCAACGGAACCGGAGACGGGGUGGGGUUAUGAACUGGAGGCGUAUCUGGAUGUGGAGGUACAGCCGGAGGAGGUGAAGCUGGGUUAGGGAGUUCGAGUCAGGUCAGAUUAUCCAUGGUUGAAAAAGGGUUUUGAAAGUGGAUUUGAUCUGUUUUUUGUGUCUGGUCUGUCAGAUACAAUAUGCUUGGAAUUGCCUUGUGUUAUAUAGUGUUUUCAGAGAAAGCCUUCGUGAAAAUCCCAUGAAGUCCCAUGACCUUGUUGUGUGAAGCUUUUUCUUUCUAUUAGGAAAUACAGAUACCACGCUGGACAGUGCUGUACAGGUAAGUUGUAGCGUGGGUCCUUUAGAAUAUUGCCGGUGCAAAUUGAGCAUGUCCCAGGGCCUGAGCUCGCGGCCUGGACGGCUGAAGGUGACCUGAAUGCCCACCUUGUGUUUGAGGUUUUGACUGCGAGAGCAGCUGCAGUGCUUGGUGGUUCAUGUGCAUAUAUCAAACAAGGUAAUACAGUCAGUAACAAGACUUUCGAUCUAAGAGAGGUUUGUGAGAAUGUCCCAGCUAAACACCUCGCUCCACCCCCCCCCCCAACGCACCACCUACACGGCUCCUCCAAAAUCCUCAGACCACCAUGCUAAACACCUUUCUCAAAACAACAUAACAACCUCACCUUCUCAAAAAUUUCCGGAUACAAACCUUCCCAUACCUGUUCCAUCCUUUGCACCUACCUGCAAAACCCCUGUCCCUGCACCCUGUCCCUCCAUCACCAAUGAUGCAGCAGAACAUGUUAAGCUGUUCUUUGAGAGAUUUCCUUCAUGGGUGGACUAUCAAGAUCUGAAAAGGGCUUUUUUCAAACUUGGCCGGGUUAUCAAACUUUUUGUAUCAAAGCGAAAAACUGUUCUUGGAAGACGCUUUGGAUUUGUGGACAUUUCAUCCUCCUUAUCUGUCUCAACUCUCUGUGAUCAAGCCAGCCGGAUUUGGUUUGAUACAUACAAACUAAUAGUGAACCCAGCUAAACAUCACUCCCUUAAAACUUCCCCUUCACCACCAAAACACGUACCCAAGCCUGCAACACCAUACCACCCCCAGCUUUCUUUGAUAGAUCAUAGAUCUUUUGCUGAGGUACUCACAAACACAAAACCUCAAAUAGCCACUACGAGAAGAAGAAUGGUGCAAUAUGUAUCCACGGAGGAAGAUAAGGAAUGGUUAUAUAGGAGCUUGGUAGGAAAUAUUCUGCCAAAUGUUGACGUCGCAACCCUGGAGGCAACGAUAUUGAAAUCAAUUGCUAAUACUGUGAGCUUCAGAUUCCUAGGAGCUAGUCAGGUGAUCAUCACCUUUACGGACCAGUUGGCUUCAAAGAAAGAACAAGACAAUGAGGGGUCCAUUUUGAAAUCACUACUCAGCAACCUUAGACAGUGGGAAGGAAGGACUAGAGCUUAUGAUAGAUUUGCUUGGAUAGCCAUCUUUGGCUUACCAAUGGAAGGUUGGAACAGAAACUGCUUUGACACUAUUCUGCAGAGUUGGGGAACUAUUGCUGGCUACGACACAACAUGUGUUAGUCAGGGGUCAAUAUCAGGUAUCAGGGUUCUUAUUAGAACCAUAAAAAUGGAACCUUUGCAUGAUGAGGUGAGUCUCAAGCUUGACGGAAUACAAGUUGAGGUCCUUUUGAAUGAAAUCAAGGGUGAGUUCAUCCCUUCCCUCACAACAGUCAAACACUCUAUGGACGUCUCUCUUUACACAGAAUCUGUGCUAUCCGAUGAUGAAGAAGAGCAAACGGACACUAUCUCUGCAGCAACAAUCCCCAGGGCUACAAGACAAAAUACUGAGUUUGAAUUCAUUUGUACGUUGGGCAAUCAAGAUCAGAACGACAGGACAUUUCUCAACACUGGCAUAUCACCACUGUACCUGCAUCCAGAAAUUACGGAAUUCUGCAGCCAUGCAAUUUUACCUGAAGAGCUGGUGUACGAAGACGGUAACCAUUUGGCUUUGGUACUAUAUGAUUGUGCUGGGGUGGCUACAGCUGAUGUCAGAGAGGGAGAUGAGCAACAAGUCGUGUGUAUGCUGGAAAGAGAUGGGCUGGAUCAGCAGAAGGGUUAUAAUAGUGGUGAUGUGAAGAAGAUGGGCCGGGAAAAAAAGCAGAAGCCCUUCAGAUUGGACCAACAUAAGGGUAAUAGUGGUAGCUCAAGCAUUGGGCCAUCUUUUGCUAAUUUUAUUAUCCCCAUUGCAGACCAAACUGAACUCUCUGAUCUAGAAUUGCAAAAUAGGAGAUCUCAAAGGAACAAAGCAAAGAAGCUGUCACGUAAAGCACCGACUGUGAAGAGAAGAAAACCACGAAAAAUGGGAAAUCAAAGUUCCAAGAAAACUGAGUUAGGCAUUAUUGAUUACUCUGUCUCUGAUAAUGGAAUCAUGAAUAGAAAUGUCAUUAUUCGAUCUGGGAAGGAAAUAGCUGGCGAAGAUGAGGUCAGCAGUUCACACUCUCUUAUCUCUCCAACAUCUAGUGAUCCGACACGUGAACCAUUACAACCUGACCCCAGGGAAGAAGCAACUGCUUGCUGGGAUGUGGGAAAAGCGGUAUUGCAAGUCCAUGAUGAAAGCCACCUCAUGACACAGACACUGCAGAGUUUUAUAGAAAAAGAGCAAGAGGAGUGGAUGAGAAGGAAGGAGCAGUAAGGAUGUUGUUUCUGUCUCAAUGAAGGUAUGGUUAUUAAUCCUUGAUAUGGGUAGUAUUAUUAUUUGGAAUGCGUGUGGUAUAGGAGCCAGAGAUAAAAAAAGAUGUGUGAGGAAUCUUGUGCAAAAAUUCAGUCUGGAUGUUCUGGGUAUUUUGGAAACGAAAUUGGAAAAUAUUAAUGACUGUAUUGUUAAUUCGAUUUGGGGUAGACGUUCUAGGGACUGGUACGCAGUACCUUCCUUAGGUCUUUCUGGGGGUAUCCUAUGCAUAUGGAACCCAGCUUCUUUUUGUGUUUCCAAUUGCUCUGUUGCUAUGAAUGGUCGUAUUCUUCAUGUUGAAGGUGUGUUUUCUCGUUUCAAUAUGGAAUGUUUGGUGUCUUUUGUGUAUGCUCCAAAUGAUGGUUCUCUGAAGAAGGAACUGUGGGAAUACCUUGCUACUUUCAAAAGCAGCGUUAGCAAGCCAUGGUGUCUUGCAGGUGACUUCAAUGAAACUCUUUCCCCAUCAGACAGAAAAGGAGGCUCUAGAAUCUCUUCUGCCAUGAUAAGCUUUAAGAAUUGUAUUGAUUGUUGUGAACUUGUUGAACUUCCUUUAAAUGGGAAGAAGUUUACGUGGUCUAGGGGAAAUGUUGCGAGUCGUAUUGAUAGACUGUUUGUGUCGGGUGAUUGGCUUCAGUCUCUCCCAUCUUCUACUCUGUAUGGGCUGUCGAAGAACUUCUCUGAUCAUAGACCACUGCAUAUGCUGAUAGAUUCUACGAACUGGGGUCCAAAGCCCUUCCGGCUUAUGAACUGCUGGUGGCUCAUUCGUGGCUUUAGAAAGAUGAUUCAGGACUAUUGGAAUUCAACCUUGACAAUCGGUGGAAAAAAAAGGUUGGCCCCAGCAUUACGGUUAUUAAAAGACAGAUGCAAGGAAUGGAGCAAAGAUGUUGUGGGUAACACUUGCAGGAAAAUCAAAGAUCUAGAAAUGGAAGCAGAAUCUCUAGACUCUCAAAAAGAAAGCAGAGACUUAUCAGCUGCUGAAUUAUUCAGAAGCAAUGCCAUUUCCUUUAGCCUUAGAACCUUGUACAGAAUGCAAGAAUCUGCUUGGCACCAAAAGUCGAGAAUCCAAUGGUGUAAGCUUGGAGACAGAAACACUCGUUUCUUUCAUCUAUCAGCCACAACAAGACACAAAAGGAAUCAGAUUUUCUCCCUGGAUGUUGAUGGAACGACUCUAACUAAACCGUCUGAUGUGAAGAUAGCUGUAUUUGAUUUUUUCAGUAAGCUAUACUCUAAGCAUGACAGACCUAGAGCCUCUUGCUGUAAUCUGGACUUCCUAAAGCUUCAGCCCACAUCAUUGCAUGCUUUAGAAAUUCCGUUCUCUGCUGAGGAGAUAAAAUCUGCAGUUUGGGAUUGUGAAGGAAACAAAGCUCCAGGCCCUGAUGGUAUUAAUUUCUUCUUUAUUAAGAAAGCAUGGAACAUUCUAGGGGGGGAUAUUGUUCAAAUGGUUGAUGAAUUCUAUCGGACAAACCUCCUUCCUCCAGGCAUCAAUAGCUCCUUUGUUACUCUUAUCCCGAAGAUACAAGGUGCCAAUAAGUUGAAAGAUUUUAGGCCUAUCAGUCUGGUAGGAAGCCUUUACAAGAUCAUUUCAAAGAUACUGGCAACCAGGGUGAAGCAAGUUAUGUCAGAAGUCAUCAGUGAUCACCAAACUGCUUUCAUAAAAGGAAGACAAAUCCUAGACAGCGUUUUGAUAGCUAAUGAGGCGAUUCACUUCUUAAAGAAGAGAAAGAGAAAAGGAUAUCUCUUCAAGCUAGACUUUCACAAAGCUUUCGAUUCUGUUUUAUGGGAAUACAUUAAUGAAGUAAUGGCUGCUAUGGGUUUCGGGAGCAGGUGGCGAGGUUGGAUCAUGCAAUGCAUUUCAACAGCAAAGAUGUCCGUGCUUGUCAAUGGAUCUCCAACGGCAGAAUUUAACUUGGAAAAAGGGCUACGGCAAGGAGACCCCCUCUCUCCUUUUCUUUUCAAUAUUGCAGUUCAGGGAUUGAGUUGUAUGUUGCAGCGAGGCUGUGAUUUGGGUUUGAUCGAGGGUAUUAAGAUUGGCCAGGAUGGAUAUACUUUAUCUCACCUCCAAUUCGCAGAUGACACUCUUAUUUUCAGCUCAGACUCCUUAUUCAGCAUGCAGAAUAUCAAGCGCAUCCUUCUGUGCUUUGAAUUAAUGUCAGGUCUGAAGGUUAACUUUUGCAAAAGCAGCAUAUUUGGUGGUGGGUAUAGAUGAACAUAUAUGUAAUUACACUGCACAAAUUCCUCCGAUGUAAGCAGGNNNNNNNNNNNNNNNNNNNNNNNNNNNNNNNNNNNNNNNNNNNNNNNNNNNNNNNNNNNNNNNNNNNNNNNNNNNNNNNNNNNNNNNNNNNNNNNNNNNNUAAUCAUUGUGUUACAGAUAGUAGAUUGCAAGACAUUGUGAAACAUCAAUCUGUGAUGCUAGUUGGAAAUGGCAAGAGGAUUAAAUUCUGGCUUGAUGAUUGGACAACUACUGGUAGCCUGGCAGAUCAGUUUCCUGCCCUAUUCCGGUUAACUAAUGAUAAAGAAGCAAGCCUUGAUAAGAUGGGGAUAUGGGAUGGUCAUGCUUGGCACUGGCUAUUCACCUGGAGUAGACCCUUGCGAGGUAGAAACUAUGGCCUUCUAGACCGAAUGACUGCCAUUCUUUCAAAAGUGCAGCUGGACAAAGACGCAGAGGACAGAUUAAUUUGGAAAGCCAACUCCACCGGUAGAUUCUCGAUCAAAUCUCUAUGUGGGCUGUUAAGCCCCCAACCCCCAAUGGACACUAGCUUCUCCUUUACUGGGAUUUGGAGAGGCAUCGUUCCUCCUAAAGUUGAAGUAUUCUGCUGGAUGGCUAUCAUUAAAAAAAUCAACACUCGUAGUAUGUUGGUCAGAAGAGGUAUAUUGGACAUCUCAGCUGCUGCUUGUCCCAUUUGCUUAGCUGAGGAAGAAUCGGUUGAUCAUAUACUUCUGCAUUGUCACAAACAUUGGAUAGUUUGGUCUAAAAUUAUCAAUUGGUGGGGCUUAGCGUGGUGUUGCCCAAAGAACUUGGCAGCCCUUUUCUCUCAGUGCGAUUCUUUGGUUUAUGGAAAAUUUCAGAAAAAAGCUUGGUUGAUGCUGUUUUUUUCAGUGGCAUGGUCUCUUUGGCUACAUCGUAAUGAUGUGAUAUUCAAGCAGACAACCCCGAAUUAUGAUACUCUAUUUAUCCUUAUUAUUACUCGUCUCUGCUUUUGGAUAAAGGCUAUAGAACCUGAUUUUUCUUAUUCCGCUUCAGAUUUGCUAAGGUCAGCAGAAGGGCUGUUACGAUGGACUAAUUCUAAAAACCAAAGGGUAGUUGUUGUGUGGUCUCCCCCUAUGAUUAAUAGCUUCAAAUGGAAUGUGGAUGGCUCCUCUCUUGGGAAGCCGGGCCCUUCAGGUAUAGGCGGAGUCUUGCGAAAUCAUAAUGGGAUUAUUCUUGGUAUUUUCUCCUUGUCAGUUGGGAUCUUAGACUCCAAUGUCGUCGAGCUGAAAGCGGUUGUCAAAGCUAUUGAAUUAUUAGCCUCUAAUUGCCGCCUGCAUCAUAAACACAUUAUUAUUGAAUCUGACUCGGCCAAUGUCAUUAGCUGGAUGAAUAACCCCCAUAAUAGGCCUUGGCGGCAUCACAAUCUUUUCUCCUCUAUUCAGAGAGUAGCUUCAUGUUUUGGUUCUCUCACAUUCACUCAUUCUCUUCGUGAGAGUAAUCAUACGGCAGAUCACAUGGCCAAACAGGGAGUCUUUAGAAACACUGAAUUUGUCGCUUGGCUCUAAUUUGCUUGAUAUGCGGGUCUUCUAUUUCUUUAAUUUCUGGGUGCAGCUUUUGGGGAAUCUGGAUUGUUUUUCAGGUUGGUUCGGUCUCUUGCAGUUUUUGAUGAAAAGUUGCAGGAUUCUGUUUGGUGCGUGCCAAUGAUCUGUAGAUUGCUUUAGUUCUAGAAAGGAGCUGAAUCUCCAAGAUAUCCAGAGUGUGGUGCGCGAUCUUGCUCCUCUUCUUGUUAAGGUGUCAAAGGCUGAUCUCUGGAGAGGCCAUGACUGGUUGUUCGGUUAAGUUGAGGAAAGAUGGCAAUAUUUUGUUUAUCUCAAAUCUGGUUCAAGUUGGAAGUUUACUUGGCAAUUCAUCUUGGUGUGUGGCAACAAAUCUGCAUCUUUUAGCUGCUAUUUUGUUAUUUUGGAAUCAUAUUUGCUUCUCUUAGCUGCUAUUUGUAUUUUUGGUUUCUUGGGUUGGUUAUCAUUUCAUUUCUUAGACCUGCUAAUCGUGAGCUGUAAGCAGAUUUUUUAUGUUUUAUAUGUCUCCUCCGCCAGAUCUUGGCGUAUUCUAAUGCAAUAUUAUACUUCUCAAAAAGAAAGAAAGAAAGUAACACAAACAAACUUAAGGGAAUUGAUAAAAAUAAAAUAAUAAUAAAAAAGGGUAGAGGACAACAUAAAUUAGUUGAGAUAAAAUAGCAAUAGCAGAGUGGAAUUAAUGCUGGAAACUCAAAAGGAUGUCGAUAUUGAUGGAAUGGAAAGAUGCAAAGGGCUGUGUAAGUACACCAUAAGACAAGAUUCAGGGGUUGGUUAAGUUCAGUUACUUUGUCUCCCUGCAAGCUACUCAUCAUUGUUUUCUGUUGUCAUAGCUCAAGACAAUGGAUGUCACGACUUUAGCAACGCUUCUUAGCCUUAGAUCCUAAGCAUGACCCUAUGUAUCAUUAUCAACAACCAUUCUUAUUCCCGUUUUAAUACUCUCCUAAGCACAAAAAAAAUGUCCUUAUCAAAUAUGCAGUUAUGACUUGAGACAUUCAGAAUUUCAACCUCAUUUUCUAUAAAAUUCAACAAUACUGGAUAUGGUCAUGAUUCAAUGGAAUAAGUCCCACUUAUUUUCUUUUUCUUCCAUUGUCACAUGUUUCAGAACAAGUUGAUUGCAAUCGUGCAAAUAACUCUUCACUUAACCAAAGAUAAACUGUAAGUCAUUCAGAUAUAGUGCACUCUUAUUUUUAAGUCUGUCUAAUGCAGUAAGAAGUACGGACAAUAGGACUCGUUGGAAAUAAAUAAUAAUUCACCACACAACAAAUAUGGGGGGGGAAAUCGAAAGGGAGAGGUUUGCAAUAAAAAACUGUCGUGCCAGAACCAAGAAAGCAAUCCUCUUGACCUAGAAAUCUGAAUAUUUUUACCUUCAUUCAUCUUAUCAAUGAUUAAUCAUUUCUUAGUUGCUGCAAUCAUGGAACUUACAAUGCUUCCUAACUAAUCCCAACCAUAGCUGAAUAAAAUUCCUUGGACCAAUCCCAGGAGACCUUUUUCCAUUGAAAUCUUGCAAGACUAUGGCAUACAUGAACUCCAUCUAAUGAACAGUAAAUCACAGAAAUUACCUUAUGAUAGAUCUCCUCUUGCCAAUCAGCGCCUUUUGCAUGUCCAGUCUGUGCUGUAGAAUCUAGGAAUGCUACAAAAAUUUCAGUGCGGGCAACAAAAGAUUAGAAUUCAUGUAUUUUUGUGUGUUUUCCAUAUACAAGGGUAUUUCUGUAAUUUUCACUCUUGCUGAAAAUUAUGGAAUACUGCAAGUCUCAGUUUUAUUUUCCAUUUAGUAAUUUAUUAUCCCAAAGUAUAGCGAGCUUCAUUAGGUUUUUCCUAUUCUAGAUAGGACUAUUAGUAUUUUCCUACAGAGAAAUACAAGUCCUUUUCGGACUAGGAGUACUAGGAACUCCAUCUAAACAUUAUGUAAUCAUUCAAACUGACGGACAGACCCUAUAAAUCCAGAAUGAGAGGUUAACAGCUGGUGCAAUGCACUGGAGGGUAUGAUGUGGUAACAAAUGCGUGUGUGAUUGCAAUGGUUUCAAUAGCAGUGGCAUUUCUAAUGCCGUAAGUGGCCGCAGUGGCACAUAAAGCUACCAAAAAAAGCAUUACCUGGCAUUUGUCUCUGAGAAUUGGCAAACAUAAUGGAGGGAUUCCCUUGUCCCAUUGAAUUCCCCACUGAGUUCUGUGAAACACCAGGGAUACUCUGCAUGUUAGGAUCCUGGACAACAGUGUUGGGGAUAGUCUGGGUUACACCGGAGACAAGAGGCAGUGUCGCUUGUAAACCAGCAAAACUUUGAACUCCAUUAGAUGCCAUGCAAUUCUGCAUGUUCUGUGAUAACAACUGUUGGCGUGCUUGAGACUGAUUAGUGGACAAUAGGAUAGGGAGAAACAACCCAUGAUUCUGAACUUGAGGGGGCAUACUAUGGGAUGUUGUUCAAGAUAAAAGGCAAAAAGAAAAACCUGUCAGAAAAAAAGAAGGCACUGAACAAGGAAGACAAAUGAAACAUCGGCAGUUCACACAUAAAGUUAUGAGCGAAAGAACUAGGAUGGAUUUGAUUCAAAGCAUAAAAGUGUUGUCUGACAAUUUUCAGGGUUGGGGGAAGAAGAGGCGGCUGAAAACAAAAAUAAUAUGACAAUUUUCGGGGUGGAUGAAAGAAAAGGAGGAGGCAGAAAACAAAAAUAAUCAGUAAUUUUCUUGCCUAACAUUCAUCGAUUACUCAACUUUUUGAUUAAAGCAUGCCAUACACAUAGCAAUAUGCUGCAAUAAAAUGCAAAAGAGUAUGAUAACAAUGCGACAAACAAAACAAAAGGUAAGAUGUUUAGAAAUUCAAUGCUCGGCAGCAUUAUUAUAUAUGAAAAAAGGAUCAAAUACUUUCUCUCAGAAGAAAAAGCAAGAAAGUGACGUCUUACAUCCUAAGCAGGAAAAUCUUUAAAAUCUACCAUCUCAAGCAUAAAAUAUAAAAUAGUCAUGCAUUACAGUCCUUGUUCCUUAACAAGUUAAGGAUGAAACACUUCACAUGCAUUACAGAAUUAGCAUCGUGGAGGUGAUCAUGAGAUUUUUCCAGCAAGGCAAAAUACAUAGCAAUAUGCAGCAAUAAAAUGUAAAAGAGUUUGAUAACAAUGUGAAAAGAAAAACAAAAGGUAAGAUGUUUAGAAAUUCAAUGCUUGGCUGCAUUAUUACCUUCUGGAUCCAUGAGGGCAGUGGGCAUGGCGUUUUAAGACCUGAUCUCCAUCGAAAGAAUCUCCAGUGAUAUUUUACGCAAAUAAUCAGACUGAAAUCAGAUAUCAAUAACAAAACACUAGCUCUCAGAGCAAUCCAUGUUACAAGAGAAGGGGGAAAUGAAUAUAUGCUCUAUCAUUUCAUCUUCUGUGAGGAUAUACUUCUGUUUCCUCUAUUUUAAUUUUAUUAUUUAUGUAUUGAUUCACUAUUUGCUUUUUGCACACUUCCCCUAUACAUGAACUUGUUCACUCUAAAUAAAACACUUGUCAAGAGAAUUAACAAAAAGAUGUGAACUCCCAAUCAGCCUUGCAUACAGAAUGAACGGUGAGGAAGUGUAGGCACAGUACACACACAUUUGUACAUGCAUAAAUGCGUGUGUAUAUUCAUGUCUAGAGAUUAUUGUAUUAUCGAACCUCGCANNNNNNNNNNNNNNNNNNNNNNNNNNNNNNNNNNNNNNNNNNNNNNNNNNNNNNNNNNNNNNNNNNNNNNNNNNNNNNNNNNNNNNNNNNNNNNNNNNNNGGCGGUAGUAUAAAUCUUUUCCUCAAGCCGUAUAGCAAUUUUUCUUGAGUUCUUGUAAUCCCUCCUGACCAGAAAACAGAAGAUGCCUCUUUAAUGUCUCCAUUCUGCACAUGUAAAUCAUUACGUUUCAUUUUUAAUGACCAGGAAAAUAUAGAGAAGUUAGUAGUAGCGAGCAAGAACCCUGACCUCAUAAACCACACCAAUAUAAAAAAUGUAUGGAAUCAUUAGCAAAAAGUAAAAACAAAUAAUGGCAUAAGCAAGUGUCGAUCAAGUAAUGUAUGGCAUCAAAAUACAUAAACAUCUAUUUUUACUUCCUCCAGAGGUACAGAGUAUAGGAGUUUACUUGGCCACCCUUCUGUCUAAAAAUUCUAGCUAAGAGCUUCAUGGUUAAUUUUGUUGAACUGGAAGAACCUUUCAUUUAUGGCUAUGUUCCAAGAUAUAUAAGUGAAUUAAUGGCAAACCAGGGGAGUCUAUGUGAAAACAUUACAAUAGCAUUUACUCUGAGCAAGAGCACUUCUAUACAUGUGUUGUAAUUGACAAAGAAAAGAAGAGAAAUCCUUUCAAUUUAUGAAAAUGCAAUGAGUUAACCUUAUCUCACACUGCAAUAUAUACUCUACAGUAUUCAUUGGCCACUGCAAGUGCCAGCAGUAGCUGUCUAUAUGAUUUUGAAUGUAGAGAGGUCAACAAAACAUUCAACUUUAUGCUGAGAAACUAGGAAACCAUACUCUACAGUAUUCAUUGUGGCUAAUUGAUUUUUGUCUGCUGCUUUUCUACUUUAAGAUCACUAUCAUUUCAACCCUGUAGAAGUUAAAACAAAUAAAAGGCCCAAAUCCAACACCAUUCAUUUAAGUUCAGUUAAAACUCGAAACACGUAUGCUCAUGGCAAUAGAUUAACCUUGAAAUUUAAAGCGGAACAAGCUUCAUGCAGCCAUCGAAAGAAGAGAUUACAUAAGAAGUUCCAACAAAAAUUACUUCCCAGCACUUUAUGUUCCCUCAAGUUUGCUUAUUGUGAGAAACACAUGAGAAGAUGAAAAAAAAAAACAAAAAAAGAGGCGAGUGAUACUUGAGGUUGCCUCAUGGCAAUCCUGCUGAUUUUAAUUAACCUUUUGCCCUUCUCCUUUUCUUUCAUAUAAAUAAAAAAUUUACUAUUUUGCAGCACUUGCACAUAUUAGGAAACAAAUACAUACAUUUUGUCGACUAUUCUUUUCCGUGAGUCAGGCUGCAUUUGAAUUCUCCAAUCACCCGUGUCCAUGACAGGUUCUCCGCCUGGGACAGCGGGCCAACCAAAAAGAAAAAAAAAUCAUAUUGCAUGUUAGAAUAGACCCUAAAAAGAAAGUCAGGAGCGGCAAGAAGAGUAAAAGCACAUCAAGAUCAUAAAACGAGGCUUUUCAAUCCCCAAUGAAUAUCAGCACAAAUAGAAGAUUAAGAGGCCAGAAACAUUAAACCAUCCCAAAGAGAUUGUCUAGGAUGUUCUAAUCUAGGAAAAAGAAGAAGAAAACAACGAGCAUUAACAAUGAAUAUUUCAUGUUAUCAUCAACUCUAAAGAGCUAACUGAUAAGAAUCAUCUUAACAAAUUUACAGACACAUCUUUCUUUGAAUAGACAACACAAUAACCCUGACCAUACUAAAUGCUCCACCCACAGUAGAAUCGGCUGAUUGCGCCUUUCUUCAAGUUGCGUUCACGAGCAGCGAUUUCAUCGGAUCCGAUUAUAUAUCUUUUUAAUUUACUUAUUAAAAUCGAAUUUAUCUCUCUGGAUAAGAAUUUUAGUUAAAUAAAUGAAAACGCAGACGUAAAUCUUUUUAAAAAGCAAAAACAUAAUAGAAAAGGAAGCACCUGGUGGAGAUUUGAAGCCUUAAUGGUUGAGGUGGCGGCGGAGGCAGCUGUUUCCGAGAGCGGAGGAGGGAAAGAGAGAGCUCAGGUGGGGAGAGGUGAGGGAUGUCGGACCAAAGUGAACAGAGCUUGACAGAUGACUCUACUCUUUUCCAGAUUCGCUAACAAACUAAAAGAAUUGUAUUCUUGUGCUGCUUAACUGUUCAUAACUAACAAACUAAACUAGAAGAAUUAUAACGUCUUCUUUGUAUAAGCCUAUUCAUUUAUCCUUACAAAAUUUAAAAUUCUUUAAUUUGAUUGCUAAAAAAGGUCCUGAGAGAAUUCUGUGGAAUAAAAUAAUAAAUAUAAUUGAUGAAAUUACCAAUGAAGUUGGCUUUACAAGUUUCUUUGUAGGAGAAGGCAUAGAAUAUAUAGGAGGUGGUCACAUCUUUUUUUUAUCUCUUAUUAUAUUUAUUUUAUGUAUUAAUUUUUUUAUUAAUUUCUUUAUCUAUUUUUUCUUUUUUCUCUUCUUUGUAAUUUUUUUCUAUUACUAUUGCAAAGAAUCUUUUUAAAUUGAAACUUGAUUUUGUAACAAAUUCAUUAAUUAAGUUCAAGAAAUAACCCAUUUUUGUUGCAAAUGAUUCUUUAUUAUUUUCUAUUUUAAAAAAAACUAAGAGCGCUCAUUAAAACACGGUGCUCUGUAUGUGAAUCAUAUAGAUUCAGAGUCUUCAUCGUGCCAUCUCUCUGUUUUUUGUGUUUCUUCUCGCGUGGAGAGUGUUCCAGUGUUUUUUUUUAAAUUUAAUAUGGAUAGUGAAGCAUUCUAUUUUUGAAAAGAAAAUUUUUCCUUUUUGAUUUAGUUCUGUUUUCUUUCUUUUUUUACUAAUGAGUCCUUAUUUUUUCAUUUAAUUCUUUUUUUGGCCUAAUUAUAUAAGAUAAAGUUUUCAAUUUAAUUAAAAAUAAACUACUAUACUAAAAAAGUUAUGCUUCUCAACCUCAUUCACUCUCUAUGUAUUUUUUGCACUUCUUAAUUUGGUGUUUUUCAUUGUUUUCCUUAUUUCUUUUUACAAAUCGGUCUUUAAACAUUUUUUUUCUUUUUGAUUUAACUCCUUUUGGGUCUAAUUGUAUGAGAUAUAGAUUUUAAUUUAAUUAAAAAUUAUUUAUUAUACUAAAAAAGUUAGGGUUUUCCUCCUACUUCACCUUUCAUAUCCUCCCUUUAAAUAUAUAUAUAUAUCUUCUAAUUUUUUCUUCUUUUAAUUGAAUGAUUUUUGCCUUUUUUUUCCUUUCAAUUUCACUUUAAUAUUUUGUUAAUUUUAAAUUGCUCAUCAUAAUUUCUUUUUGUUUUCUUUAUAUGUAAUUAUUACAAUCUCAAACAAACGUCACUAGAUUAGUUUAGCUCUUAAUUUUAUAAGUAUCUAUUUUAGUUAUUAUAUCAUUAUAGAAAAAAUAGUUUUAAACUUAAAGGAGUUUAUGAUCUAGGCUGCACAUUUGACAAGUUAAGCAGCAGAGCUCAAGUUCAUCUAGUAUAUAUAUUUUUUUUUAAAUCAUGAUUAUUUUUUGUUAAAUCCAAACCAUGCUUUUAUUGGUCUUUUGGGUUGCUUUAAUUUGCACAUGUUAAGCCAACUAGAUUAUGUACAGACAACUCCCUUGCAAAUUAAUUUUAAACCUAUACUAGACUAGAAGUCAAGUCGAGAGAUCAAAAUCAAAUUUAAUAACAAUGUCAUAUUGUUCCUUUGUUUUUAAGCUCUACCUUCAAUUUUUAAUGUCUUUCAAUUGAAUGCUUUUUGGUUUUUUUCUAGUUUCAUCCUUUAACAUUGGUUAAUUUUUAAUUUGAUUUAUUUCGUUUUGCUUUCUAUAAUGUUAUUGUAAUCUCAAAUAAAUAUUCUAACAUUUGUUGAUGCUUAAUUUUAUGAGCAUUUGUUUUUGUUAUAUGUCAUUAAGUAAAAAGUAAUUAAAAAACAAAACACAAAGUUGUUAAAUCAGGUGCAAGCUAUUAUUCAGGUUGUGGGUUUGAAAAGUUGUGCCACAAAACUAGAGUCAAUCUAAUACGUCACCGUAUCAAUAUUAAAAAAAGAUGUUAACUUGAAAUUUUUUUAGAGUGAAAUUAUAAUUUCUUCCAGUCAUAUGGAUUGAAUUUGAACCCACCAUGUCGACAGAAUCAUGUUAGGAUAACUUUCACAUUUAUUAAUUUUAAACUUAAUAUAAAUUAGGAGUCGAAUAAGAGGGAAUUAAGAUUAGGGGUGUUCAUUUUCGGUUCGGUUCGGUUUUUAUAAAAAAAAUUAACCAAACCGAAUUAAAAAAAAACCAAAACCAGUUCAAACCGACCAGUUUCAAUUCGGUUCGGUUUGGUUUUUUAAAACAAAAACCGGUUCAAACCGGUUUGACUCGGUUUUUUAUGGUUUGGCUCGGUUUUCUUUAUUUGGCUUGGUUUUUUCGGUUUGGCUCGGUUUUUUUGGGUUCGGGUUUGGUUCGGUUUUUUCGAUUCCAGGCUUAAAAACCGAAACCGAACCGGUCGGUUUUUUCAAAAUUUUAAUUGGUUUUUUUUCACGUUUCGGUUUUUUCGGUUAUUUUUUUCCGGUUUAAUCGGUUUUUUGAUUUUUUUGAACACCCCUAAUUAAGAUUAAUUCACUAGAUCGAGUUUAAUUACAAUGACAAAUAAUUCCUUAAGCCUAGAUGAUUUAUUUAUGUUGCACAGAACAUAAAUGAGUUCCUUUCAAAAUAUUUACAAGUAAACACUCACGUAUAUGAUGAUAAAAAUUGGAGUAAAAUUUUAUUUAACCAGUGUCUGUUUUCUGUGAAACAAACAAAUUAAUCCCUCAAGUUUUUUAAAUAAUUAAUUGAUUCUUUGAUCACAUUUUACCGUCAAGUUAGUAGAACAAACUGAGGAAAUAUUGCUGACAGCUCAACAUUUUACUAAAGAAAAACUAAUGAAGGGACCAGUAACACCAGUUUAUUAACAUAAUGUAAAAGUACAGGGAAAAGAAUUAAAAGAUCUAGUUAUCAUCAACAAAACAGUUUAAAGACAGUAGAACCCAAAGAGUUUAAAGAUUUUCGGCCCAUCAGCAUGAUUCAUGGUAUCUACAAGAUCAUUGCCAAAAUCCUUGCAUCCAGACUGAAAACUGUUAUGCAAGAUAUCAUUAGCAUUAACCAAUCAGCGUUUAUAGCAGACCGCAACAUUAUAGAUGGCUUUAUGAUUGCAAAUGAGCUGGUGAGUGAUCUAAAGAAGCGAAAAGCGGCAGGUCUGAUUUUCAAGAUUGAUUUUCAUAAAGCCUUCGACUCAAUCUCCUGGGAUUACCUAGAUGAUAUCAUGGGUUAUAUGGGGUUUGGCAGAAAAUGGAGAACCAUGAUUUAUGAAUGUCUUUCUUCAACAAAACUCUCAGUCCUCAUUAAUGGAUCUCCUUCAAAAGAAUUCUCUGUUCGGCGAGGACUGCGUCAAGGAGACCCGAUUUCCCCUUUUCUGUUUGACAUAGCUGCUGAGGGCCUCUCAGUCCUCUUUCAAAGGUCAUCUAGUGGGAACAUUAUCAAAGGGCUGCAAUUUGCAUCAGGAAUUUUCAUCAGCCACCUACAAUAUGCAGAUGACACGUUAAUAUUCAUCCCGGCAGAUAUUGAUCAAUUAGUUCAAGUCAAAAGAAUUUUAAGAUGGUUUGCUUUGUCUUCAGGCCUUCAUAUAAACUUCCAUAAAAGCUCCAUUAUUGGUAUCAAUGUCGAUGAUCACUUGUGCCUGAGCUUGGCUACAUCUAUUUUCUGCAGGUCAGACUCCCUCCCAAGCAAAUAUCUUGGCAUGCCACUAGGAGCCAAUCCAUCUCGUAUCUCUACAUGGAAGCCAGUAAUAGAGAAGUUUCGUAAAAGGCUUCAUAUGUGGAAAGGGAGAUUACUAAGCAUGGCUGGUCGUCUAUGUCUCAUUAAAAGUGUCCUUAAUUCCUUGCCUAUUUAUUUUAUGUCUGUAUUUAAGAUGCCAAAAGGGGUAGGCAGGCUUCUUUCAUCCAUCCAAAGGCGUUUCUUGUGGUGUGGAUGUACCAAGCAAAGAUCUUUCUGCAAGAUCCAAUGGAGACUAGUGAUGCGUGAUAAGAAACAAGGAGGUCUCGGUGUAGGCUCCCUUAUAUCGAAAAACAGAGCCCUGCUGCUAAAAUGGAUCUGGAGACUCUCUUCCCCAGGUACAAGUUUAUGGAAAAUGAUUAUCUCUUCGAUGUACAAUCCGGCUUAUGAGAAUGGGGUUCCAAUUUUCUACAACCAACCCUCCAAGAUCUGGAAGGAUAUUAUUUCCAUUGUUCAAACUAACGUUCACCACGUCUUCACGAAUCAUUGCAAAUUCAUGGUGGGGAAUGGCAGUUUAACAUCCUUUUGGCUAGACAACUGGAUUGGUGACUCCGCUCUUAAAAUAGCCUUCCCUAGGCUAUAUCUUUUGUCUUCAUCUAAAUCUGCUUUGGUGGCUGACAUGGGUAGAUGGAGCAAUGGAAUCUGGCUCUGGUCCCUACAAUGGCGCAGACCUCUAUUUCAUUUUGAACAAGAACAACUUUCAAUUUUAUCAUCCUUGCUGGAAUCCAAGCCAAUGUUCUGCCACAAGAUGGAUAAGAAAAUCUGGACCCUAACCAGCGAUGGCCUCUUCAGUGUAAAAUCUUGCUCCAAAAUAAUGGACCAGCUGCUCUAUGGUGGUGCCAAACCAUUUCAAUCUUUUGUUUGGAUAAAACUAAGCCCACCGAAAGUGCAACUUUUCCUUUGGCUCCUUGUCCAAGACAAAGUAACCACAAGAGAUUUUCUAUUUCAGCAUGACUACCUAACCCUUCAAGAGUCAAGAUGCGCUUUAUGUAAUAAAAGCCUGGAAUCUACAAGUCACCUCUUCAUUCACUGCCACUUCACUUGGAAUAUAUGGAUGAAAUUGCUUGCUAAUCGGGGUGUUUGUAGUGUUUUUCCAAAAUCUGUUGAUGAUAUGUGCUACCAAUGGUCCUCUAUGGUUAAAGGCGAGCAACAGAAUCUCUCAUGGGAGCUUCUUUUCUCUUGUGUUGUUUGAAAUCUUUGGCUUCACCGAAAUGAUGUUAUUUUUAAUGACACUGCCCCUAACCUUCAAAUCUGUUUCUCCAUGGUGCGCCAAAGUAUUGCUUUAUGGCUGAGGCUUGAUUCCAACUCUUUAGACCUUAAUUUAGAGAAUGUUUAGUCGGGAGAAAUUGAUUUCUUAGGUUUUGUUUUGUUCCCUUUUUGUUGCUCUCCCUUGUUUCAUGCAACAGUUUUAAUGCUUUCCUUUCCUCUACUUGUUCAUCUGAUGUAAGUUAGGCUAUUAUCUUUGUAGCCUUUUUUCUUAAUAAAAUUUCGACUAUUAACAAAAAAAAAAAUCAUCAACAAAACAACCAAAACGAAACACUAUUUCACUGUUCAGUGUCUCAAUGUAGAAAUGGCACUUUGUAAUUCUAGGGAAGUUUAAUGUUUAUUUACGUGGAAAGAACACUUUGUGGAUCUAGGAAGAUAAAAAGUUUAAUGCUAUUUCACUAUUUAGUGUCUCCCUUUUAAAUUUCCAUGUUGAAUUUUAUUGUAUAUUCUUUUCAUAGAUUUUUUUGCUUGACUUAAUAUUCAAUGUAAUUUUAGUUUGUUGUAAAAAUAGAUACAUGGAUGACUUUUAUUUAAUAAAAUUGAUUACAUUCAUAAACUUGUUUUAUUUAAAUAAAUACACAAAAUAAUAAUGAUAAUUCUUAAUUUGAUGAUUAGAUAAUAUUCGUGUAAGAAGAAUAUAUGAUGCAUGUAUUAAGUUCAAUGUUUUUGAAAAAGAAAUACCUUCAUAAAACAAAAUAUUGAUUAAUGUAUAAAUUUAUUUAAUAAAUAAUAUCUUGAUUAAUUAAUAAAUUUCAUGGUCCCAAUUAUAUUAAUUUAUAGAUGUUAACUGUAUAUUGUAUUAAUUUUUUAAAAAAAUAUAAAUUUUACAUGAUAAAAUUAAAAAAACUUAAUUCCAUAUAAGGAAAAUAUUUAUUUUUUAAAACCACAAUACAAAAAUACUAAUAUGUAUAUUCAAGUCUAUCUCUAAUUAAGCAAGAUACUAACACGUUAAUAUAAUAUAGUCCCCUUUUCCAACAUAUGACAAUUUAUUCAUGUAAUUGUCAUUUUGUUAGCUUGGAUCAGGGAAAAUCUUUUUAUAGUUGGUAAAAAGAUAAUUUAGUUAAAAUAAAAGUUUAUCAAAAUUAGUAAACAUUAUCUUCUCUGUAAUAUUUGAUUAGUUUAAAUUACUAAGAGAUAAGUUUGAAUAAAGUAGAAAAAGUUAUCUAAAGAUAACUUUAUUAGUGUUUAUAUAAAAGAUAUUAGCAAUUUGUUACCAAUGUUACAUCCUAUGAAGCUUGAAGAUUAUCCUUAUUUUUAUCACAUAAAACAUAUAUAUAUAUAUAUAAAAGGAAUGUUAAGUUUGAAGAAAUGAGUGAGUUGUGCUUCAGAUGAGAGUUUUUAUAACAUAAAAGCAUCAAUUACAUUAAAGCAAGUGUGUCAAUCAGCGAAGGAGUUUAUGCAUAAUUUCACAACACAUACUCUUGACACACAAGGAGGGUGUAGGAAAUUCUCGAGGAGAAUUUGUAAACCCCGGGAAAAAAAAUAAUAAAUAAAUAAAAAUAAAGAAAUUCAUGCAUAUGGUUAAAUAAAAACAGAAAUUCAGAAAUUUUUGAAUAUAAAUUCCCGGACGAAAUAAUUCGAGACAUUAUAAUAAACCCGAUACUGUUGAAGGUUGGAUUUAAUUGAAGAGAAUAAUACACUUAAAAGAAAAAAAAAGGGCCUAAAUGCAAAUAAAAGAAAAUAUAGAGUAUAAAUACUCUCUCCUCACCAAAAAUCUGUAGGAACCAUAAGGAGAGAAAAUAGGGAGUUUUAUAUCCAUUCUUGAGAAAUCAAGAGAGAAACACUAAAAUUUCAAGAACUCAUCCAAGAUGAAGAGUUUAUAGAUAGGAUAAAUACUUGAGAGCAAAGGAUUACCAAAAUUUGAUUAAAAUUUUAUUUAAUUAGUGUCUGUUUUUUGUGAAACAAACAAAUUAAUCCCUCAAGAUUUUUAAAUAAUUAAUUGAUUCUUUAAUCAUAUUUUACUAUAGUUCUCAGACCCAGCCCGGUCCAAGGCUCGGGUUUCGGGUUUUGACCGGGUCACCGGGUUGCCUGGGUCAAUUCUUUUUUAAAUCAAAACGACGUCGUUUUAGUAAAAAAAAAAAACAAAAGUCAACGGGUUGCAACCGGGUUUUUGACCGGGUCUUGUCAGGUCAACCGAGUCACACCGGGUUUUUCCUUCCCCUAUUUUUUUCUUCAACCUGGCCCGGUUCCAGCCCCAGGACGGCCAGGUCCCGGGUCGACCCACCUGGCCGGGCCGGAUUUCAAAACUAUGCAUUUUACCGUCAAGUUAGUUGAACAAGCUAAGGAAAUAUUGUUGACAUCUCAACAUUUUACUAACAAAAAACUAAUGAAGGACCAGUUUAUUAGUUUUAAGAUCUAGUUAUCAUCAACAAAACAACCAAAACAAAAGGCUAUUUCACUGUUCAGUGUCUCAAUGUAGAAAUGACAUUUUGUAAUUAGAGGGAAGUUUAAUGUUUUUUUUUUGUUCGGGCCAGCUUGCACGCACCUCGACUAAUCCCUACGGGUCUUGAAUUAAACAACCAGGUAAGCCUUCAGUGGCUAUCAAUAUUAGCAAUCAUAGGGCUCAAACCUGAGACCAUGUAGGGAGCAAACUUUUUAGUCUCAAACUCUUAUUACUAGGCCACCUACUAGAUGAUUAAGGAAGUUUAAUGUUAUUUAUAUGGAAAGAGCACUUUGUGGUUCUAGGAAGAUAAAAAGUUUAAUGCUAUUUCACUGUUUAGUGUCUCACUUUGAAUUUUCCAUGUUGAAUUUUAUUGUAUAUUCUUUUCAUAGAUUUUUUGCUUGACUUAAUAUUAAGUAUUCUAAUUAAGUAUGCAUCCAAUGUAAUUUUAGCUUGUUGUAAAAAUAGAUACAUACAUGACUUUUAUUUAAUAAAAUUGAUUACAUUCAUAAACUUGUUUUAUUUAAAUAAAUACACAGAAUAAUAAUUUAUAAUUUGAUGAUUAGAUAAUAUUUGUAUAAUAAGAAUACAUGAUGCAUGUAUUAAGUUCAAUGUUUUUGAAAAAACAAUACCUUGAUAAAUUCUUUUUUAUUGAUUAAUGUAUAAAUUUAUUUAAUAAAUAACAUCUUGAUUAAUUAAUAAAUUUCAUGGUCCCAAGAUAUUAAUUUAUAGAUGUUUAAUUGUAUAUUGUAUUAACUUUUUUUAUAAAAAAAAUAUUAAUUUUACAUGAUAAAAUUAAAAACACUUAAUUCCAUAUAAGGAAAAUAUUUAUUUUUUAAAACCAAAAUACUAAUAUGUAUAUUCAAGUCUACCUCUAAUUAGGCAAGAUGCUAACACGUUAAUAUAAUCCCUAAAAUAUAAGCUAAUCCCUUUCCCAACAUAUGACAAUUCAUACAUGUAAUUGUUAUUUUGUUGGCUUGAAUUAGUGAAGAUUUCUUUAUAGUUGGUCAUAAAAUAUUUUAGUUACGAUAGAAGUUUAUCAAAAUUAAUUAACAUUAUCUUCUCUAUAAUAUUUGAUUAGUUUAGAUUAUUUAAGAGGUAAGUUUAGAUAGAUUAGAAAAAGCUAUUUGAAGAUAACUUUAUCAGUAUUUUUGUAAAACAUGUUAGUAGUGUGUUAUCAACAUUACAAACUAGGAAACUUGAAUAUUAUCCAUAUCUUUAUCAUAUAAGACAUGUAUAUAAGGAAUAUUAAGUUUGAAGAAAGGAGUGAGUUGUGUGCUUAAAAUGAGAGUUUUAUAACAUAAAAAUAUCAAUUACAUUGAAGCAAGUGUGUCAACUAUCUAAGGAGUUUACGCAAAGGAGAGUUUUAAGAUGACAAUAGCUUGAAGAUCGUCAUAUGUACUGACAAACUACUAUGUUUGGUGACAUAACAUGAUUUGUUAUCUCAUCAGGUAAGGUAGUAUAGACUCAAAGGAUUAUGUUCGGAGAUACUUCUCUUGUAAUCAUUCAAACUAAUAAAAAAUUGUUUAUCUUGGGUUUGGCUGCCCUAAAUGGUUUUUUUUUUUUUUUAUCUUUUAAAGAGUUCUUCGAAAGGUUUCCUUUCAUAAUCAAAUACCUUGGACAUUUGAAUUUUCUGCAUUCUUUAUUGAUUAGUGUUUACAAAGUGUUAUUAGAUCAUUUGUUAACAUGUAGUAAAUAAGAAAAUAGACUUUCAAUACAUCAUAUAAAAAUAUAAAAUAAAAUUUUUAAAUCACCCGCAAUUUAUUCAGUAUCUCAUGAAUUUUAUUUUCAUUAUCAAAACUCUAAAAAUACUUAAAUAAUUAAAAUCUAAAAAAAUAAAAUUUUAUCAAAUUAUUAAAUCAGAACCUUGAUUAUUUUUUUAUGUUAUCUUUGAAAUCGUUUUUAUAAUUACUACUAAUAUUAAAAGAAGAAUCCCUAAAGCAAAAUGAUUCAUGUACUUCCACUUUGUAUUCAUUCCCAUAUAAUUAAAAUUCAAAAAUAAUAAAAUUAAAUUAUAAUUUUUUUUAUAGGAGACUCUAGGUUAUUAAUGUGUUACGUUAUCUUUAACUUUUUUAUAUGAAAUUAUUUGAUAUUUAGGAAAAAAUAAAUAUAAAGAUUUUAUUCGUAUCUAUAUCUUUAAUAUGUGUUUAACAUAUGUUAAAAAAAAAACUCUCUAAAAUAAAAGGAUCUGUAGAAACNNNNNNNNNNNNNNNNNNNNNNNNNNNNNNNNNNNNNNNNNNNNNNNNNNNNNNNNNNNNNNNNNNNNNNNNNNNNNNNNNNNNNNNNNNNNNNNNNNNNNNNNNNNNNNNNNNNNNNNNNNNNNNNNNNNNNNNNNNNNNNNNNNNNNNNNNNNNNNNNNNNNNNNNNNNNNNNNNNNNNNNNNNNNNNNNNNNNNNNNNNNNNNNNNNNNNNNNNNNNNNNNNNNNNNNNNNNNNNNNNNNNNNNNNNNNNNNNNNNNNNNNNNNNNNNNNNNNNNNNNNNNNNNNNNNNNNNNNNNNNNNNNNNNNNNNNNNNNNNNNNNNNNNNNNNNNNNNNNNNNNNNNNNNNNNNNNNNNNNNNNNNNNNNNNNNNNNNNNNNNNNNNNNNNNNNNNNNNNNNNNNNNNNNNNNNNNNNNNNNNNNNNNNNNNNNNNNNNNNNNNNNNNNNNNNNNNNNNNNNNNNNNNNNNNNNNNNNNNNNNNNNNNNNNNNNNNNNNNNNNNNNNNNNNNNNNNNNNNNNNNNNNNNNNNNNNNNNNNNNNNNNNNNNNNNNNNNNNNNNNNNNNNNNNNNNNNNNNNNNNNNNNNNNNNNNNNNNNNNNNNNNNNNNNNNNNNNNNNNNNNNNNNNNNNNNNNNNNNNNNNNNNNNNNNNNNNNNNNNNNNNNNNNNNNNNNNNNNNNNNNNNNNNNNNNNNNNNNNNNNNNNNNNNNNNNNNNNNNNNNNNNNNNNNNNNNNNNNNNNNNNNNNNNNNNNNNNNNNNNNNNNNNNNNNNNNNNNNNNNNNNNNNNNNNNNNNNNNNNNNNNNNNNNNNNNNNNNNNNNNNNNNNNNNNNNNNNNNNNNNNNNNNNNNNNNNNNNNNNNNNNNNNNNNNNNNNNNNNNNNNNNNNNNNNNNNNNNNNNNNNNNNNNNNNNNNNNNNNNNNNNNNNNNNNNNNNNNNNNNNNNNNNNNNNNNNNNNNNNNNNNNNNNNNNNNNNNNNNNNNNNNNNNNNNNNNNNNNNNNNNNNNNNNNNNNNNNNNNNNNNNNNNNNNNNNNNNNNNNNNNNNNNNNNNNNNNNNNNNNNNNNNNNNNNNNNNNNNNNNNNNNNNNNNNNNNNNNNNNNNNNNNNNNNNNNNNNNNNNNNNNNNNNNNNNNNNNNNNNNNNNNNNNNNNNNNNNNNNNNNNNNNNNNNNNNNNNNNNNNNNNNNNNNNNNNNNNNNNNNNNNNNNNNNNNNNNNNNNNNNNNNNNNNNNNNNNNNNNNNNNNNNNNNNNNNNNNNNNNNNNNNNNNNNNNNNNNNNNNNNNNNNNNNNNNNNNNNNNNNNNNNNNNNNNNNNNNNNNNNNNNNNNNNNNNNNNNNNNNNNNNNNNNNNNNNNNNNNNNNNNNNNNNNNNNNNNNNNNNNNNNNNNNNNNNNNNNNNNNNNNNNNNNNNNNNNNNNNNNNNNNNNNNNNNNNNNNNNNNNNNNNNNNNNNNNNNNNNNNNNNNNNNNNNNNNNNNNNNNNNNNNNNNNNNNNNNNNNNNNNNNNNNNNNNNNNNNNNNNNNNNNNNNNNNNNNNNNNNNNNNNNNNNNNNNNNNNNNNNNNNNNNNNNNNNNNNNNNNNNNNNNNNNNNNNNNNNNNNNNNNNNNNNNNNNNNNNNNNNNNNNNNNNNNNNNNNNNNNNNNNNNNNNNNNNNNNNNNNNNNNNNNNNNNNNNNNNNNNNNNNNNNNNNNNNNNNNNNNNNNNNNNNNNNNNNNNNNNNNNNNNNNNNNNNNNNNNNNNNNNNNNNNNNNNNNNNNNNNNNNNNNNNNNNNNNNNNNNNNNNNNNNNNNNNNNNNNNNNNNNNNNNNNNNNNNNNNNNNNNNNNNNNNNNNNNNNNNNNNNNNNNNNNNNNNNNNNNNNNNNNNNNNNNNNNNNNNNNNNNNNNNNNNNNNNNNNNNNNNNNNNNNNNNNNNNNNNNNNNNNNNNNNNNNNNNNNNNNNNNNNNNNNNNNNNNNNNNUUUUUUAAAGAUUUUUCGAUUUUAGAAAUUGCUAAAUAUAAAUAACCAAAAUUGAUAAUUAAAAAGAAAGAUUAUGAAAUAUUUGUAUUUUAGUUGUUACUCAUAUUCAAAAGCCCCCUUAAACAUAAUGAUUCAUAAAAUUUAUCUUCAUGUUAUUCUUAAUUUCUAUUCACUUCGCAUAUAAUUAAAAUUAAAAUUAAAUAAAAAUACUUCAAAAUUUAGAAAAUUAUUGAAUUAGCCCUUGAUUCUUAUCGUACAUUAUCUUGACUUCUUUAGAUGAAAAUAUUUAUACUUUUUGAUAGAUUUUACUAAUAUAUAAAAGGACUUCUUAAUUGAAAGAUAACAUAAAAUUUUUAUCUUUAAUAUUAUUCCCACAUUUAAUAAAAAUGAACUCUUUAAAAUAAAAUAAUUCAUAAAAACUAUAACUUUUGAAUAAAAUUUUAUUCAUCAAUAGAUACACAAAUCUUGUAAACAAAAGUACUAAUUUAAAAAUUUUAUAAUAUAAUAAUUAUUUUUGUAGGGGGAAACAUUUUAAUUUUAUAAUAUUAAAAUAUAGAUAUAAACAAAAUGCAAUUUUUUUUUAUUUGUAGUUUUUUUCAAGAGUUUUUAAUUUUAUAUAUUGAUAAUUAUAUGUAAUUAAAAGAAAAUCCAAUGAUUUCUUAUUUUUAUCAUGUUAUCAAACUAACUUUAUUUUUAAAAAAAGACAAGAUGUAUUUUUCUAAUUGAAAAAAACAUAUUUAUUUAUAUUUGUGGCAAAAAAAAAAUAUCGCUCUCUUUUUCUUUUUAGUUUUGAAAAAAAAAGAUAAAAAUUAUGAUAAAAAUUAUAUAUUAACAUAGAUUAAAAAAAAUAUAGUUUAAUUUUAGUAGGAAAAGUAAAGUGUAUAUAUUUUCUCUUAAAUUUCAUGACUGUGUUAAAUUUCUUGUCGUCUGUUACCUGUGUACUUGUUGCGUUGAUUCUACAGGAAAAUAAAUUUUAUGUUGCAUGGUAUUUUCCUUCGAUGUUGUAUUGAUAUGAAAAGAAGAAAAAAACAAACGACCAGAAAAAAAAAAGUUGUAUAUUUAGAUAAUAAUUACCGGUGAAAUAAUAUAUGUUAAGUGCAACUCUAUUUAACUGUAAUUCUUUUGUUUAAGUUGCAUAGCAACAACUUUAUUAUCAGAGACGUGUCAACAACUAUAAACAGUUAAUUAAAAAAAAAACAUAUAUAUAAUUCUCUUUUAUAUAAAAUUAAAAAGAGAUUUUGAAUAGAUAUGAUAUAUGUCUCACCUGACAUCGCAGCGGCUCUAAAAAUAAUCCUUGAAUUAUGGAAAAAGAACAAAUAUCUGGCAUCUGGUUCUUUUGGGGGAAAAUGUCUUGUUUAAGGAGUCACCACCUAAUAUUAUGAUCACUAGGAACCCUAACUGGUUGACAGAGAUUCUAUGGUACGGGACUGGUUACGUAAAAUGGAAGAUAUUAUCACCCCUUAAACGUUCUGCCUGGGGCAGACUGCAUUGCUAAUUUUGUCUUAAAUUGCUAAAUAUUUAUUGGUUUAUGCUCUGAUGGUUUACUCGCAAUAUUCCUGACUCUGACGCCAGUGAAUAUUCAACUACGGAUAAUUCCAACUUUGUCGUUGGUAAAUAUUACGUAGCUAUAAAAUAAAUUAGAUCAAUAUUUUUUAAUUCCUGAUUCUAACGCUAGCGAAUAAACAAAUAAAAUAAAUUCAUUUAUUUACACAUUCACAUAUAUUUUUUAUUUUUUAUGUAGUUAAAUAAAAAAACAAAAAAAAAAUUAAAUCAGUAUUUUUAUUCCUGACUCUGACGUCAAUGAAUAAACCAAUAAAAUAAAUUUUAUUUUUCACGCAUGCACAUAUUUUUUAUUUUUUUGCUAAAUAAAAUAAAAUAUAAUGAAUAAAAAUAAUAUAAAUUUAAACCAGUAUUUUAUUCCCGACUCUGGCAUCGGUCAAUAAACUAACAAAUUUACAUUAUUUUUAUUCAUUCAUACACAUAUUUUUUCUCUAUAUUUUUUAUUUUUUAUUAUUUAUGUUUUUGGGGCUGGGCCCAGCUCAGCCCAUGUGGCUGGGCUGGACCCAGCAGGCCUAGCCGGGUCACGGGCUUGACCCGGCUGGCCAUUUUUUCUGUUUGUUUGACCCGCAGGCGUGCGUGAACUGCUCACGGACGCCUGUUGCAACAACAUGCAAUUAAAGUGCAGGGAGGGACAACGCCACUUACCUGUCGCUGCACUUGAAGACGGGGAUGACAACUGACCAGCGUUACUCCUCUCUGUUACUGCUUUCUGUCUACUCCUCUGUUUUAGCUUUCCUUGUUCUGUCGUCUUCUUCUUUUCUGUUUCAGUUUGUUCCCCUGCUCGUCGUCUUCCCCGCUCGUCCGCGUCCGUCUGUUUUUUGGUUCUUCUCGCCCACCGAUUCUGUCCUCUCUUUUCCGUGUUUCUUCUCAGUUUUUCUUCCUUCUCUGCCGCCUGCUCUGGCUUAUAAAGCCAGAGAAUGGCCUUUCUUCACGCGUUCGUGCCUCACAAUCGUGAGGCACGAACGCCUCUGUUUCUUUGAGAAGAAACAGGGGCAAACUCUGUAUAAUCUCCCUCCCCGGUUCUGUGAUUCCUCCUCCCAGUUUUUCCUUUUGUUUUUCUCCUGUUUUGGGUCUCUCCCUAUCACCGUUUCCCCCGUUUUUUCUUUAGUUUCCUCCCCCCCCCCCCCCCCUGUUCGUUCGUCUCCUCUGUUUCUUUGAGAAGAAACCAGGGGAACGAAAGUCUGCUCUUUCUUUUUUCUUUUAGUCCAGUCUUCUCCGUUCAAGGAGAAGACAAUGGUGGUAAAAGCACGAGGUGCUGCUGGUUGAUGGACCAAAAAUUUCCCCUGGUUCUGUUUCUCUCCCAGUCUUUUUUUGUAUUCCUCUUUCUUUCAGUCCCUCUGUGACCUUUCGUUCUCUGGAUUUUAUAGCCAGAGAACAAUCCGUUUCUUCCAACCAUUGAUUGCAGGUGUAAUGGUGGCGGUGGGCGUCCGUUGAAGAAGAUGAACAGCGCAUCCACAGACGGCGCCGUUUUGAUGUUUAAUGAUUAUUUACGUUUUGGCCCUUGAAGUUUUAACAGUUUUGUAAUUAAGCCCCUGGAUAAAUUAAUUCCAAGCUCAAAUAAGUCUAAAACUUAUCAAUUCUCCAAUUAAACCCUUGAUUUGAUUAAUUAAAUUAAUUCCAAGCUUAAUUAAGUCUCAAAACUUAUCAAUUCUCCAAUUAAACCCUUAAUUGGAUUAAUUAAAUUAAUUCCAAGCUCAAUUAAAUCUCAAAACUUAUCAAUUCUCCAAUUAAGCCCUUGAUUUGAUUAAUUAAACUAGUAAAAAAUUUAAUUAAAUCUUUAAACUUCCAAUCAUAUUGCCCUUAAUCCAAAUUUUAAUUCAUUCUUCAUUUAUUUUAUUUUUACUUGUUUUUCAUAAAAAAAAUUUCAAUAAAUAAAAUAAUUAAAAUAAAAAGGUCAAAAAUUGGGUUAUGACAAUAUAGAAGUUAUUCCAAUGAAAAAUUAAUUAAAAAUCAUCAAUCAUAAUAAUUUUGAUAUAUUUGUUAACAUGGUAAGCCUAGUAGAGUUCAUAAUCUGGGUUAUGUAUUUGACGAGUUAACCUGCGGAACUCGAGUUAAUAUAAUAUAUCAUCGUCUCAAUAUUAAACAAAAUAUCAUCUUAAUUUUUUUUCUUUAAAAUCCAAACCAUGCUUUUAUUGGUCAUUUAAAUUGCCUUAAUUUGCAUAUAUCAAGGCAACUAGAUCAUGUACAAACAAUUCCCUUGUAAAUUAAUUUUAAUCUUAUUGCUAAAUUAUGUUUUUUUACCGGUCAUGUGGAUUGACUUUGAAUCCACCACAUUAACUAUGUCAUGUUAGGGCAACUUUCAUGUUGGUUAAUUUUAAACUUGAUAUAAAUAAGGAUCAGUUACAUAAAUUUAAACUAAAUUAUUUUUGUCGAUUUUAUUUUUAAUAUUGAGAUAAUUGAGAAUUUAAUUUAAUUUUUUUCUUUUUAUUUUGCCUUUCUAUGUGGUUUGCGAGUUUGUCGAGAUAACUCGAGUUACUCCAGUUUACGGAUUUUGUGUGGUUUUUUAAAUUGAAUUUGAUUUUUUUUAUAGUAUAUUUUUUUCUUAUAUUAUUAGAAAAACAGUUUUAGAAAAAAAAACAUGUUAUUAAACUUUAUUAAGUAAGAAAAAUUAAAGAAUAUGGGGGAAAUAAUUAUUCACCCAACACCCAUUACAUUAUGGAUUAUAAUAGUAAUUCACCGUGUUUUGUUUUGUUUUUUUUUUAAUUUUUGUUAUAAUUAUUUUUGAAAUCUAUUUUUACAAUAGUUGAGAAUCUUGGUAAAACAAUUAAUUUUAAUCGUUGUUUUCUUUUUUUGGCAACUGUCUAUGGCCGCAUGACCAUUUUUAUAAGGGAAAAAGAAAGAAAGAAAACCCAUGACCUUUAUUUGCUCAGCAAGAAACAAAACAUAAAGCAGAAUUGGACCUAUCAACAGAUUGCUCUGUCAGGUGUAACCUUGCAGAGAUUACAAUAAAAAGACACAUAAGAAAAGCAAGAGGUUUAAUUGACUUGUAAAAUGUAUGUUUGUGAGCUAUGAUGUAGUGUUUUUUGUUCAAUUGUUGAGAGAAUUUCAUGAAACCAAUGGAAAAACAAAAAAAAUAAUAAGAGUAUAUUUUGACUGGUAAAAAUACUUGUAAGAAAAAAAAAAGAAUUUAUGUAAGAAAUACACCUGUUUAUUUUCGUGUUGUGUUCGUUAACCAAUUUCUUUUUAAUUUAUAGUUUAAGAAAAAGUAUGGAAUAAUUCUUUAGAGUGUUCUCCUUCUGGGGUUUGGAAAGCGUAGAGGCUUUCCAUUGGAACUGCCAUUCUAUAUUUAAUGUCAGUUCUUGAGAGUUUCAAGUUAAAUAUAAAUAUAUUAACAAAUAUAUUAAGUUGCUAAAACCUGAUUGGUCUAGUUAUAUUUUUAUUGAUUUAAUUAAUAUUAUAAAUUUAUUUUUAAAUAAAAUGAUAUUAUUUUAAUAAAAACAAUUAGUUUAUAUCCAUAUGAUACGAUGACCUCAAGGAUUUAUCUCCUUCUGGGGUUCACAGAUAUAAUUUCAAACUCAAACAAUCGAGAAAAAGACGUAGUAUACAUUGAUAAUAUUUAAAUGUUAUUUAGUCAUUGCAUUGCAUUGCAUUGAUAAUAUAAAUAUUUCUUUCUUUCUUUUCUAGAAACAGACAACCUAAAGAUCAAUAAAUCCGAGAAACGAACGACGAACCAACAAACUGACGUUACAACUAUCGACUAGUGGCUCAACGUCGCAUCACUUUAGCUUUACCUUUCGACCAUUUUUCUCUUAUAUGUUAUUUAAUUUAAUUGUAUAUAUUUAUACACUUAUUCACUAUGAGCUUGAUUGAUUAGAUAAAAAGAAAUUAGCAAAAUGUCUUAAAACAGUCUUUUAUCCCGAGGAUCCAACAUAAUAUUUUGUAUCUAUUUAUUUUACUAUACUGUGUUAUUAUGCGAGUUGAAUUAAAAAAAAUUCAGUAAAAAGGAAAUUUUCAGAUCUUUAGCAUUUAUUAAAUCCGAUUCAACAAAUUAAUAUUAAAAUUUUCUAGUCUAAUUUCUUAUUUAAUUAGCUCGAGUUUCAAAUUUAACUAUAUGAAAGUUAUUCUAAUAUGACCUAGUUGACUUAACAAGUUUGAAGACAACCCAGAUAAUAGAUAGAAAUGUGAUCUAGCUUAAUUUUUUUAAGAUAUAUUUUUUUUGUACUGAAACGACAACAUUUUAAAUUAAUCAGAGCUUCAUAACUUUACUUGUUGAAUCCGUAAUCCUGAUUAUGAACUCCAUUAAAUUUAAUAAAUCUAUUUAUAUUUGUUUUCUAUAAGAUCAUUGUAAUUUCAAACAAACUUUCUAGUACUUAGUUCAUAUAUGAUUUUACAAAAAUCUAUUUCAAAAUUGAAUUACCUAUUGGGUUUUUGCUAAUCAAUAAAGUUUAAGUUUCUAAUAUUAUAUUUCUACAUCAGAACCAAUUUAUUUUUUUUAAAUAGCAUUGAUUUGUUUAAAAAAUUAAUCUAGUUAACCCAAUAACUCACAAGUAGAUUAACAAUUCAACAAAAUAGAUUUUGAACAGGAUCAAAACCUGAACCAGGUUGGACGACCACGCCAUAAGUUGCAUCUUAUUUUUGUCUUUGCAAUACAAUAAUACUUACAAACAAUAAAUAACUAAUUUGUAUACAUCUUUUUGUCACAUCUUUAUAUAUAGUUUUUGUAGAAUAAAUUGGAACUUAUUAAGAUAAUAUUCUUUAAUUCUCAACGCUAUUUGUAAUCAAUAAAAAAGAUAUGGACAAGUGCGAGUCACAUGGAUUGAACGCCACAUCUUCCUCGGAAUCGACCACACAAUAACCCUGACCAUGCUCGACCUUGAGGUAAGUUCUAAAAUGUUCUUCCUAACUAGAUGCACAGCUACGCCUUAGGGAGGGAGGGAGGGCGGGGAGAGGUGAGGGAUGUUGGACCAAAGUGAAAUAGAUGACUUUAUUCUUUUCCAGAUUUCUUCUAAAAAUAUUAACGGGUAAACACUCGCUCGCACACCCGCGCACACGCACGCAUAUAAUGAUUAAAAUUUGAGUUAAAUUCUAUUUAACUAGUGUCUGUAUUUUUGUUAAACAAACAGAUUAAUCCCUCAAGUUGAUUUAAAUAAUUAAUUGAUACUUGAAUCACAUUUUACCGUCAAGUUAGCGGCACAAGGUAAGGAAAUAUUGCUGAGAAGCUCAACAUUUUCCUAACGAGAAAUUAAUGAAGCUACCAAAUUUUUUAUUUUUUAGAUUUGAUUUUUAUUAUUUUGAUUAUUAUUUAUUUUAUUUGAGAUAAUUUAUGAAAUUAUAUAUAUUUUUUUAAUUUCAUUCUCAUUCAACCUUUUAAUUUGUAAGAUUUGUUCCUCAUUAUUUUAAUAAACUUGAAAAAAAUAAAACAUUAAUAAGUUAUUUUACAGCUCGUUUUCCAUGACAUAACCAAACACUGGAAAGUAUUUUCCAACUUAUUUUCCAUUACACUACCAAACAUCGAAAAAUAAUUCACUUUCCCGGAAUUCACUUUCCAAAAAAAAACUACUUUCCAGCAAAUAAACGGGAGAAUUGUAUUCUUGUGCUGCUUCACUGUUCAUAACUAACAAACUAAAAGAAUUAUAUAUAUAUAUAUAUAUAAGAGUGCUUCACUGUAUGUGAAUCCUGUGGCUUCAGUCUUUAUCGCACUCCGUCCCUCUUUUUCGUGUUUCUUCUCGCGCGGUGGGUGUUCCUGCGCUUUCUUCUCAUUUGUGAGUUUGGAUAAACUCCUAGCAUUAGUGAUGUAUUGUCACCAAGAGAAAAAACUUCAAGUGGUAUAAUUUCUCAGUGUGAAUUUAUCAAGGGCAUUGUAUAUUUCACUUGAAUUAGUAAAAGAGUACAAUACUCAAGUACGGUUAGUACUUGAGGUGUGGAUGUAAGCUUACUGAACCACAUUAAAAAUCGAGUUUGCAAUAUCUAUUUCUUUAUCUAUUUACUUUAAACACUUUAAUUAUAUUAUUGAUUAUUGUGUUAUAUGUGUUUAGUGUGUUUAUUUGCAUUAUUUGACAUAAUUAGUGCAACACCUAAUUCACCCCCCUUAUAUGUUAUUGUUGCUUUAAUCCUAGAAUUACGUAAGUAUCAAUCAAAUUUGUUUUUAUCAUAACUUUAGAAAAGUGCAUAAUGUUUUUUUAUGUUGACGUGAAAGAAAAAUAUUUGUAAUUAUUUGUAUUGUUAUAGUUUCGAUUGAAAAUCCCAUUGUGUCUCAUAGAAAAACAAAUGAAUAAAAACAUAAUUGCAAAGUUAAAUUGUUUAUUAAAUUGUUUUUUUUGUGUGCAGAAUUAGUGUGUUAAAUUUUUGUGAUUCAUUUUAAUUAAUAUUAUUUGAGAUUAUAUAAGUGUGAUAUAUAAUUGCAAAGUUAAUCUUGUUAUUGAGAUAAUAGAUGGAUAAAACUAUCCAUAUAAAAUAAUAUUACAAUCACAUUGCUAUUACCAAAGAGCAAGUAAUAAAUUGUUUUAUGAUAAUUUAUUGUCAAUUUAUUGAUUUUAAUUUGUGGCUAUCCAUACAAAAUAGAUCUCCUAGACCUAUCAAAUUAAAAAUGGUAUUGAGAUUUCUAAAACUAGAAGUGAAUAUUCAGACAAUGAUAAAAAGUUAUUUUUUAUGGAUGUUAAAGCCAUGAAUAUUUUAUAUUAUGGAUUGGGUAAAAGUGAAUUUGAUAGAAUUAUAUUCUAUAAAAAUGCUUAGAAAUAUAUAGCAUACUUUAAAAGUAACUCACGAAGGAACUAAUAAGUCAAAAAAUCUAAAAUUUAAAUGUUAAUUCAUCAGUAUGAAUUGUUCAAAAUGAUUGGUGAAUUCAUAACUAAAAUGUUUAUUAAAAUGGCUAUAAUAACUAAUAGUUUAUUAGUUUGGAUGUUUUUAGUAAUGCUGAAAUUAUAGAGAAUUGAUCAUUAAGUUGAUUUUUUUAUAUGCAUAGAAAUCAGAUCAUUAUAAAUUUAAUAAACUAUUUAAAGUGUUCCAAUGGAAAGAAAAUGGGUGUUGUGAAUUUGAGUCUGUAGUUUUCUCUGCUUUCUUUUUGGAUUUUUUCGUUUGUCCCUUCCUGAAAAUUUGUGCUCAGUUUUCGCCUUCUACCUGCUGCUUAGUUCAGGGUAUUAAAUUUCUUUGUUUCAUCAGAAGAUGCCUUACUCUUUGUUGAUUGCCUUUCUGUUUCCCAGAUAUAUUCAGAAGUGAAUUAGUUGCAAAACAGGGGAGUCUCUGUGAAAACAUUACAAUAGCAUUUACACUAAGUAAGAAAACUUUUAUGCAUGCACUGUAAUUGACAAAGAAAAGAAGAGAAAACCCUUUAAUUUAUGAAAAUGCAACGAGUUCACUCUGCAAUAUAUAUCAGUGCUCAUUGGCUACUGCAAGUGCCAGCAGUAGCUGUGCCUGUCUAUAAGAUUUUGGAUGUAGAGAUAUCACCAAAACAUUCUACUUUAUACUGAGAAAGUAGGAAACCAUACACUAUAUAUCGUGGCUAAUUGAUUUUUGUCUGCUGCUUUUGUACUUUUAAGAUCACUAUCACUUCAACCCUGUACAAGUUAAAACAAAUAGAAGGCCCCAAAUCCAACACUAUUCAUUUAAGUUCAGUUGCAACUCAAGUUUCAAAUUGAAACACCAGUGCUCAUAGCAAUAGAUUAACCUAGAAAUUUAAAGCGGAACAAGCUUCAUGCAGCCAUCCAAGAGGUCAUCAUCGAAAGAAGACGUUACACAAGAAGUUCCAACAAAAAUUACUUAAGUGGUUGCUCUGUAACAUUUGACUUGCUAGAAACAGUUGUCAAAGCACCGCCAUGAGCACCAUCAGGACUGGUAAACUCUGCAAGCAAAGGUGAUGCAGAUAUCCCAGGAGUGCCAACUGCAAGGGAUGGAGCCUGUGCUUGUGCAACAGAUGGUUGGUGUACAAUAUUUCCAGUAUUUAAGAUUGAGGAAAUACCAGAAACUGGUUUGUCAGAAUCUCCUGGCAUAGGAGAUGGAGCUAAAGGAGUUGAAGGAGAUGGGACAACAAAAGGCGAGUUCGCAGAUUGCAGAGGUGUUCCAGUUUUGGUUACAGAAGACGGUAGAUUUUGCUGGUCAAUCUGAGGAGAUGAAUGUUGUAAUUGAGGGGAAGCAUGCUGAGGUAGUUGAGGUGAAGAAAUAGGAAAUGAAGGUGCUGGUUUCAUGUGUUGACGUGGGAAAGCUGUGCGUUGACCUGUUGGGAGAUGUUGUUGGAAGACUGCUGGCUUAAUUCCAAUCCCCUGUCUCAUCUCAUUUACAUCAUUCAUCUGUUGCGGCUGUGGAAUUUGGU